rnacentral:lncRNA from 1 species
UGAAAUUCGUCGUUUUGUAUCAAUUCAAGCUUUCGCGAGCUCAUGGAAUCACCUGGUGAGUUGUGGUGAAACGUUAUCGUUUCAAUUUUCGCUUAAUUCUUUAUUGCAUAUUUUUUACUCUAAUAUUUCAGUUUAAUUUAGAAAAGAAAGAGGACCCAAAAAGAGAGAGAGAGAGAGAGACUCUACCAUACUCAAUUCCUUGCUCAUUCUGAUUUGGCCUGAAUGUUGGCAUUGACUAUUAUUUGUUUUCAUUUCGAUUUAAUUCUCAUUUAGACAGUCUUUUCUAACGGUCAAUAAUAGUUUAAGGAAAAUGAUAAUAGGGAUUCUGCAAUAAUCUUUCUGCAUUGUUCAAGUUAGUAGACGAUGAAUAGGAUGUUUAUGUUUACCUCAUUUUGAACCCUGAGGGCUUUGUUGAGUAGUUAAUUCAACAUAUCCAGCAACGGUUUAUGUGAGAACAGGAUGCCACUUAGAUAGGCUUAAACUGAUUUUGGAGGUUUGUAUUGGUUCUAUUGUACGUCUUGCUUACAAAUUUUUUAUUUUUAAUUUUGUAUAAUAUGCUUUUUGUUGGUAAAUCUUAUUUGACUUAGAAGAGAUAGUUUUAUCCCAACAGUGGGAUAAAUCAUUGAGAUGCAUGGCAGUGUGAAUAUAGUAGACAAAAUCAUUGAGACACAUGGUGGUGUGAACAUAGUAAACUUUGUCAAACACAGCUAAGAUAAACAAAUUGUUUCAUUAGCCUUUAUCUUAUCUGCUGUGAUGAUUCAAAUUAAUGCUGUUUGGUAAGUUGCAAAAAACGAAAUGAGCUGACUGUUCGUAUUAUUUAGUCAGAUCUAUAGCAAUAAGUUGAAGUUCAUUGUCACAUGGGUUGGGAGUAGCGUGGGCUGUGAGUAGUAGAAUGGAUUUAUGGAGUUGAUACAAGUGCCCACAAUCUAUCAUGUCAUUCUAGGAUUAAAUGGAUUGCACAUUACUAUAAAGAUGGAGGUUAAAUUUAUAUAAUUCGGAUUGAUUGUAAAAUGGGAGGCAGAGAUGAGUUAGAAAAAGAAUGACCUGUGUCCUUUUUGAGCUGUUUCUAAAUGUCCCUGGUGUGCUUCAUGCUUAACACGUGCCUUUCCAAAUAAUUUUGCUUAACCUGUGCUUGUCUACUUCUUGUGCUAUUCUGUGCCUGGUCCUGAGCUGUGUUGGUAGAUUGACAUCCAGCUUGAACUUUUAGGUAUAUCUUUUGUACAUAAAUUCUGAAUACCCAUGGACUUAGCGUGAUAAAGUCAAGGAUCCAUUUAGCUGAGUCGUUCAAGGUUUGUUAGUAUGUCUUCGGAUUAUAAAUAUGUGACAAAAAUGAGGUGUAGAAUACAUUUAAAAAGAAAAGGAUAAAAAAAAAAGAAGAAAUGAAAAGAGGUGUUUAGAAGGAAUAGUUAAACUAGAUACACUCCCACUAAUUAGCGAUUCUGAUGAACAGUGCCCAUAGCUUCUUUUAUACCUUGAAGUUGCAGAAAUUGAUUCUUGGUGAAUUAAGUCACUUACAGACAUAACUUUUUCUUCCAUCUAAUUUUUAUUAGGUUAGAUAGGAGAAGACUUGUUUCAGGGUGUCCUGACCCUAGUAUUAGUUUUCUCGUCAGACUUUUCAAGAAAAUUUACAAUGCACACGACAUACAACUUCUAGUAAUCCUAGGACUUUGUUGACAGGGUGCUUCUAUUCCUCGUUGUGGAAAUGGGACAAACCUUUUGAUACCUUUACCAGGAUCAGUUAGUGCUGAGGAUAUGGCUAUUACUGGAGCUGGUGCACGACUUCAUGAUCAAGAUGCACCAACCCUUCCACUGUUGUAUGAUUUUGAAGAAUUAGAGGGAGAAUUGGAUUUUCUUACUCGUUUUGUGGCAGUUACCUUUUAUCCUGCUAUUUCUGGAACAAGCUCCAUGACUCUUGGUGAGGUAGAAAAUAUUUUCAUAAAAUGUUAAUUGAUGUGUCUACGCACUUUAUUCUUAAAUUAGUAUUUUAGACCAUGAGCUUUGUGGAGUGGGUUUGCUGUAACUGCUGCUGGUGACAACAUAAUUGUUAAUAUUAUUACAGAUAGAGAUUCUUGGAGUUUCUCUUCCAUGGACGGGGUAUUCAAUAAUGAAGGCCCUGGUGCUAGAUUAAUUGAGCUUGGCAAAAAGUUUCAGAAGGAAACCGAUCCAUUUUUGUCAAAUUCAGUUACAAAUACAGUUCCGUUUUCCAAUGAAAAUAUGUCAACAUCAAUGCAAACAGAAGCUGCUUCCAAUCCUUGGGUUGACCUGUUGUCUGGAGGGGACACAUUUUCUGAUCCUCUUUCAGAGCCGUUUUCUAGCCCUCUUUCCGAGCCGUUCUCUGAUCCUCUUUCUGAGCCGUUCUCUGAUCCUCUUUCUGAGCCAGUGACAAGAAAUGUUGCAUUUGGAGGGGCUGAUUUGCUUGAUUUCUUGGACCAGCCUAUAGUUGAAGAUCAUGGUGUGGAAACUUAUAAAAGAUCUUCAACACAGGAUGGCUGUUCUCUAGCUAGUGGUGCCCAGCAGUACAUAAGCUGUCUAAAAUCCCUUGCAGGGCCAUGCGAGGUAUAGUACUGCUCUCUUGUGUUUUUUGCAGCUCUACAUCUUAGCAACUUCAUCUUUUUAAAGGAGUAAAUUCUAGAAGUUCAACAAAUUUUGCUCUGCUAAAUGUAUAACUUAUUAAUCAGUGUCCUGUUAUUAUGGUUUGACACUACUGACAUAUUGUGUUGGUAUUUAUUUGUACUUCCCUUGGUUGAAUUAUUUGCUGUCUCCAUGCCAUUCGAUAUGGUGCUACUUGGUUUUUGAUCAUCCAUGACGCUAUAUAUAUGUAAAGGAUGAAUUGAUUGUUUUGGCUUGUAUUCUCACAUUUUAUGAUUGAUUGAUGGAAAGGUCUUCAUGUAUUAAAUUCAACCUCACAAGCGUAAGAUUGACAGAUUCUGGGCAAAUUUUCAGGAAAAGAAACUAGACUUCAUGGAAGCAAUGAAGCUUGAAAUUGAAUGUCCGCAGCUGAAUCUUUCUGCAGCUGAAAGGGAUAGAGCUUUAUUGUCAAUUGGAACUGAUCCUGCCUCUAUAAAUCCAAAUGUAUUGCUUGAUGAAUCUUACAUGGGAAGACUGUGUCGAGUAGCAACCACUCUUGCAUUACUUGGCCAAACUUCCCUAGAAGACAAAAUUGUUGGUGCAAUUGGCCUUGAGAAUAGUGAUGAUAGUGUUUUAGACUUCUGGAAUAUUACUAGAAUCGGAGAGAGUUGUUCUGGUGGCUGGUGGCGGGUGCAAGGUUCGUGCAGAAACUAAGGUGCCUGCUCUUGCUUCCUCAACUGCAACAUCUGUUGGAGCUUCACAAUCCCCUUUGUUGUGUUCUCAAUGUGAAAGAAAAGUUUGCAUAGUUUGUUGUGCAGGAAGAGGAGCUCUACUGUUUUCAAAUUAUAAAUCAAGGGAUGUGACCAACUACAAUGGCUUCUCAAGUCAGAGUGGAUCAAGCCAUGGAAGCCAAGUUGAUGUAUCUACCAGUCGUUCACUAACACUGGAUGGCGUUAUCUGUAAACACUGCUGCCAUGAGAUUGUGCUUGAUGCAUUGAUGUUGGACUAUGUUAGGGUCUUGAUUAGCUUGCGAAGAAGUUCCCGUGCAGACAACGCAGCAUACAAUGCUUUGAAUGAGGUUGUUGGAUCCUGCUUAAAGGAUAGUCUUUCUGAAAGGAUUCAGUCUUCCGAUAACGUGCAAGCUGCUGAAGUCCUUCACCAAUUAUGUGGUGGACAGGAAUCUCUUGCUGAAUUUCCAUUUGCUAGCGUUUUGCACUCGGUAUGUUCUUGGUUUGUAUUCAGUUCUCAUCAUGUUAUGUUUUCCUUUUAAAUUUCUUUUCUUGAUUAAAAUUUUUAGAAAUAUGUUUUAGUAUUUGUUCUUAUGAUAUAUGCCCAGAACAUUCAUCCCACUUAUCCAUGAGAAUCCUUGUCUGGUUUGAUUUUCAAUUGAGACAUUUUUGGGAACCCUGAGCAGGUUCCAUAUGCUAAUAAUCUUUGAGGUAAGGUGUUGUAGGAUGCCUUGAGAAGCUAAAAACCAAUUACAAGGAAAAGCUCUUGCAUUGUUUUGUGCAAUCUGUGUGCUAGCAAGUCAUGUCUCUAAUAAUUUCAUAGUUCGCUUGAUUGGAAUUUUUUAUUUUGAUAUGGAUUGUUUAUUCUAGAUUCCUUGCUGCCACUGUAGGUUGAAACAGCAAAAGAUUCAGCACCGAUUUUGUCACUGCUUGCUCCAUUAAAUUCUGGAUCAAGGCACUCAUAUUGGAGAGCUCCACCUAGUACUACUUCUGUUGAAUUUGUUAUUGUUCUCGGUUCUGUUUCUGAUGUCAGUGGGGUUAUCUUGCUUGUUAGUCCUUGCGGCUAUUCUGUGGCUGACACUCCGAUGGUAAGUGCCAUAUUUAUUCCCUUAUUUCCUUGUUGUUCAAUAAAUUUGGUGAUAAGCCAAGUGGCCUUAAUAAUGAAGCCCAGUACCAGGGGUGGUGGGUAAUCGAUAUUCAACUUGUGAAUAUUCCUAAGCAAACACUGAAUCAACAUAUACCUCGGCAAAAGUUCUCCAUGCUAUUAUAACAAAAGUCAUAUUUUGAAAUGAUUAAAACAGUCCCUGUGUAGUGCCAUUUCCAAAGAAAUUGCAGCUGGGGGUUUAGUUUCAUGUAGGUUAGUUUCCGAUAAUAAACUUUCCAUUUCAUUAAUUGCCGAUGGAAAAACCAAGUAAGAACAGUUUCGUUGCUCGUCAUUUAUGUAUAUUUUGGUAAACUGUAAUUUUAAAUUCUCAACGAUCUUCCCUUUGUAGGUAAGAAGAUGGUCCACUCACUUGAUAUUUAUGAUUGUAGAUCAGGUUUCUAUUGGUUUGCCUUUAUCAUUCGGAACCCAAGUUUGAUAUUAACAGAGAUCACGUCAAUAAUAUCCUAUUUGGGUAGAUGUGGGUGAGGAUUUAAAAUCAAAUUUGAAAUUGAGGGGAAAGAAGAGAAAAGGAACUACAAUAAUUAUUCUGAUGAGUUUUAAUCUCGAGAGGAGCAAUUUUCAAAUGCAAAUUUAACGGCUAGAGAAAUUGUAGCUUUUUGUCAUUAGUUAAGAGGAAAGAGAAUAAGAACUAUCCGGCCCUUUCCUUCAUGAAUGUGUGUUGAGGUUGCUGUAUUAUUUAGUCAGUAUUUGUAAUUUUCUUCCCUGCAGUGCUCUCUGCCUCCUGAAUUUGCUACUGAGUCCAUAUUUUUCUUUGAGCUGUUCCUUCCUAUUGCUGUUACAGUUACAAAUCUGGGCAAGCAAUAAGAUACACCGGGAGGAAAGGUCAUCAAGGGGAAAAUGGGAUGUCCAAUCCCUCAUCACAUCUUCUUCAGAUUUGUAUGGUCCAGAAAAGUCCGCUAGUGUUGAAAAAUUACCUAGGCAUGUACAAUUUACUUUUAAGAAUCCUGUUAGGUGCGCAUUGUUUGGAUCACAUUACGUCUUCAGAGACCUGGUUCGGCUUCAGUUAAUUUCGGGAAGGACUUCAGUCUUUUGUCUCUUGAUGAAGAUGAAAACCCCUUUGCACAAGUAGACAGACGUGCUUCAUUUGGAGGAGCAGUUGAAAAUGAACCAUGUAUUCAUGCCAAAAGAAUUCUUGUAGUCGGAAGCCAGUAAAAAGGGAGGGGCUUACCUCAUCACAGAGCUCUGAGCAGCUAAGUAUUAGAAACUGGUUGGAUAGAGCUCCACAAAUGAGUAGAUUCAAGGUAUUAGUUGCUUUCACUCUUUGUUCAUUCAUAAUUCCAGCUUUCUGCUUCACUGAUAAAACUCUUUUUUCUCUUCAGGUCCCAAUUGAGGCCGAGAGAUUGAUGGACUACGAUCUCGUCUUGGAACAGUAUCUACCUCCAGCAUCACCUUCGCUUGCCGGAUUCCGUCUAGACUCUUUCAGUGCAAUAAAACCUAGGGUUACCCAUUCACCUUCCUCAGAUUCAUUUACAUGAGAGAAAGAGUUUUGGGUUUGACUUUGAUUUUGAUUUGUAUUUGUUGUCAUUUCAUUGAAAUUUCUUUUUGUUGUAUAAAAAUCAGAAGGUAAAAGUAUUAAAUUCACUGAUGCGGUAAUAUCUGUGCUGGUUACAGGAUUUUAUGUUUAACUUGAAGUUAGUAAGCAAUGACUUAACAAUAGCACUUUGAAUUUAACGUGGAUCAUAUUGUAUUUGAAAUUAAAAAAUAAAGAGAGAGAAAUUAAUUGUUAAUUGAGUUGGACAAUUUUCCGUGGUUAAUUGCUCCCAGAAAAGAGAAGAAUGGGAUUGUGCUUCCUCACACGAAGAAAGACUCGAACGUCUUCGUGCUAAUUAAUCAAUGAAAGAUUUUGUCAAAUAUCUGGCCCUUUCUUUCUUGAAUGUCUGUGUACAAGUUGCUGUGUCAUUUAGUCAAUAUUUGCAAUUUUCUUCCCUGUAGUGCUCUCUGCUUCCUGAAUUUAUAUUAGUGAUCUGGUUUCUGAGUGCAUAUUUUUUCUUUCUCGUUGCUGCAGGUUUGUCGUUGUCAAACAGAAUCAAGUUAUAUUAUUAUUGUGAUCCUUAUGAGCUUGGAAAAUGGGCAAGCCUUUCUGGAGUUUGAUCGUUAUUUAUAUGUUAGAGAAAGAGUUCUGGGUUUGUUAAAACUCAUUAUUAUAAUUUGAAAUAUGUGUUAUUUCAGCUAAUGAUUAACACUAAAAAAAUUAUCACCCAUAUAAUUUUUUAAUUUGUGUAGGGUAAUAAUAAAAUUGAAAAUAAUUAAAAAAAUAGCACAAUAAUGAGUUUUAACAAUAAAACAAAUUAAAUGAAAAUUGAAAAUUUAGAAAAGUGUAUCUAAGAAAAUGGAUAUUUUCAGAAAUAAAAUGAAUAUAACUAAAAAUGGGGUUUUAUGAGGAGAUCAAAGGGGUGCCAAUAGUCCAACUCGUAAUUAAGAAUCUCCCAUUACAUUGUCAACCAAAAAGACACUUGCAUAAGAAAAAAAAUUUCUGUUUGAUUUUAUUUGUAGAUCCAACAUUUCUCAUAUCCUGGUCGCCUUUCCGUAUCAAAUUAAAAUAGUAUUAGCAAAAUCGUAGUGCAAAUUCAAUUAACCAACUAAUAGUCUAAGAAGCAAAGAGAGGAUUACAAGUUCACAACACCAUUACAAAGGAUUCAAAAUUCCCACACGAAAACAUCAAUGUACAGAUUAUAAACAAUCCGAAUUGGACACAAGAAAAACCCUUCAAUGGAUUGCUUGCCUUCCCAAUGCUAAAUACUGUGCAAACUGCGCAUUGGCCAAGAAAAUGUUUUCAAUUUAGUGUAUUUUCAAAAUGCUUAUUUUCUCAGAAUAUAAAAAAUGAAAAAAUAAAAAAAGAAUUCUUACAUGUUUCAUCAGCAUGAUUAAAAUCAAAGAAGAAAGCGAGACAUAAUGUCUCUGACAUAAUAAAAUUACAAAAAUUUCAAGAAAAAAAAAGGGUUAAAACAUGUAAUCUUCAGAAGCAUAUAAUAAAAGAAGACUUCCACAAGUUACUACAAUUACAUGCAGUAGAGAUUAACUGAUGCUUUGACUUAUUAGCAGGUUGCAAUGAAUUAUUAACUGAUGCUUUGACUUAUUAGUUCUGCAGCUAAGUUAAAUAAAAUAAGGUAUUUUCAAAAGCAAAAUGGAAUACAUAGACAAAACAUCAUCUUAAACAAAUCACAAUCUAGAAUUAGAGUGUUGAUUUGAGAUUCUAGAUUGUGAUUUGAUCGGCUCAUUUGUUAAGAAGUGUUGAUUUGAUCGGCUCUGCAAAUUCUCUUGGGACUCGGUUCCAAUUCCUCUUCAUCAAAACUGUAAUAUAAUUCCCCUUCAUCAGAACUCGAAUCAAAUUCACUUGCAGCAGUUCCACUCGCGCUUGGCAAAUCAUCUAAUUUCCAAACUUCGGUAGCAAAAUUGAGAGUAAAAGUGUUGGCUUUGAUCUCGCUGGGAUUUGCAUAUACUGGACAUACUCCGCAACGUUUUAUCUUCUGACCCUUUUGGACCUUUAGGUUUCGGCAACACUCAUUGAAGAACUUAAGUGAGACAGUUGUAUGAUGGUAACCAUCAGGAAAGCCAACAUUCAAGCAAGGUUUAAAACCAAGUAUGACAUGAUCUGAAUCAAUGAGGUCUUCAAUUGAGUGCGAAUCGAAACUCAGAUGAACAUGUUUGGUUUCAGAGAGAGUCUUUAUUUCUAAGUCGGAUCGACAGCCGACGUAAACAUUACGAAAACGAUCAGAAUAAAGUUGCUUAAAAUCAAGAACAGCACAAAAAGCAAACCCGAUUAAGUUUCUGCAAAAAGAGUGCGGUGGCAGUUGAAUACGUAUUGAAGAUCCUGAACUUUGAUUGCUGAACCAGUCAGGAAUUUUGCUCCCAGGUAAAACAAUUUGGGAUCGCCUGAGUUCAGAAAGUUUCUGUGAAACGACAUUUAAAAAAAGAAAAUUGUCAAAUGAAAACCAUGAUUUCAGAUAUAACAAAGAGGGACAGAGUAAACAAGAGAGGGAAUUUGAUACCUCGUCGAUUGUCUUUCCCCGUCUCAGUGAUGCUGCAAUUGCCAUACGUAGUGAAUCUGCCAAAAUCUUGUUGUUUGCUUUUCCAUCAAGUUUCAAGCAGUUAGUAAACCGAAAAUAAAUUGGUUGUGACAGUCGAUAUUCCGGAUGCCAUUCACAAAGGUCAGGAGAGGGUUUGGAUAGCUUUUCGAGUACGGAUGCAUCUAGUUCUUGUAGACAUGACGGAAUCUCUGGCAAAGAUUGAAGCCGGUUGCAGUUCGUUGCAUUUAGUGAAUGUAGACACAAUGGAAGUUCUGGUAAUGACCGAAGCAUGUUACAACCCGUCAAGUCAAGAGAUUCUAGACACAAUGGAAGUUCUGGUAAUGACUGAAGCAUCUUACAACCCUCCAAGUGAAGAGACCUCAGCUGCGACAGUUGCUUGAUACUUGCAGGUAAGCUCUCAAAGCUAUUUCCACUUAGAUUUAAUGUUGUCAGUGAGGAUAGACAGGCAAUCUCUUGUGGAAUUUCCAUUACAGCACAGUUCCUCAUAUCUAGAUGUCCCAAAUAAGCUAAACCUAAUAAAAACGAUCGAGGCAAUGAUACCAAACCUUUGCAGCGAGAGAAGUAAAGAACUCCAAGUCUGUUUGAAUAUGCAACAGAGGAUGAUGGUAGUUGACUAAUAGCUGAUCCAACUGCUGAGAUGAUAAACAAACAUUUUAAAUUGCCAAUGUUAUCCGGCAACUUAUCAAGCUUAGAGCAAUCUUCUACGAACAAUUCUUCAAGCCCCGGUAGAUUUUCAAAUGACGAUGGCAGCUCUGUAAUUGCCGUCUUGUUUAAAUUGAUGCGUUCUAAAUGUUCCAUUUUCUCCAAGAUUUCUGGGAAGCGCUCAAGGUUCACGCAGCCAUUAAGAAAAAGAUCAACCAAAGAUCUCAAUUUACAAAACCUAGUUGAAAUCCUCUUCAGCCGUUUGCAAUACUUCAAAUUCAACUUUUUAAGAUCAGUUAGGCACUCUAUUGAUGACGGAACUUCUUCUAUUGCAGACUUGCUCAAGUUUAGCGAUGUUACUUUCCCAGAAAUCAGUGGAAACUCUAUGAGAUUAACACAAUAGGAGAAAUUAAUAGUUACUGGACAAACAAAAUGAAGAUUGCUUGGAAAAGACCUAAGACUUUUGCAGCCCUCAAAAGACAACGCACUGAGAUACUUGAAAUUCUGGAUAGAUGAGGGAACACAAGCCAAGUUUGUAUAAUCCAAAAGAUAUGUUUCAACAUUUGGGGUUUCAAAUGGGCCUGGCAUCUUAAUGAAAUGUUGAGAAUGGCUGAGGUUAAUAGAUUUUAACUUGAAAGCUUCCUGCAAUAACAGAUAUAUAAAGACUAUAUUAAUUAAAAAGCAACAUUGAAUUCAACAAUUAAUUGCACGUAUAUUUAAAGAAAGAAAAAAUUAAUGUUUUAGUUUUAGUACAAAACUUACCUUUUCUCCUUCCCAAAGUUGCUCAACUUUACUACAACUCAAAUUCAGUGCAACAAGGUUCUUUGGCUUGAAAUUUGAUGGCAGUGUCCUUAAUGGAUAUGUGUCCCAAUGAAGAUAUCUCAAUUUUUUAGGAAGAUAAUCUAGGCCAUUUGGAAGCUGCACUUUAGAGUAUGAAAGAUGCUCUUCAAUGCUCAUACUUGGAAGCUUUUCAAUCCCAUAAAAUUUGAGCAAUCUCAUAUUAGACAUAUUUGUGAAGGCUCCGGGGUCUAAAUUGAUGCGUUUUAUUUUGGACAAAUCCAGAAAUAUGCCUUCAAUUGCAUCGGUCCCCUUAUUAAAAAAAAAAAAAAGAAUGAGUAAGCCUAAAACUCAAAAGAAACAUUCGUAAACUUUAUUAAUUAAGAGCUCCUUAAACAAAAAUAAAUUACGCAAUCUUUGAUUUUAUUUUUUUAAUAUAUUAAAUAUCUAUAUGCGAGAAAAGAAAAUUUUGGGGACCAUUGCAAAAUUAAACUAACUGAAAAAAAAUUCAAAAUUUCUCUAAUUUACAAACCUGUUAUCUUAAUAUCUAGAAGUUGAGAAGACAAGGCCUAUUUGAUUGGUAUAAGAUUUCGAUUUUUUUUUUUUUUAGUCCAUAGAAUCCAAAAUGUUAGUUCAAAAUUAGGGAAAAAGUCAUUUUUUUUCCACUAGCUGUAAUUGUAUCCAAGUCAAAUUGAGAUACGACCCUUUUCAAAAGGAUUUAACCAUCUUACAGCCUCCUUAAGGCACAUUUAAGCUAAAAGGAGUGAUUGGAGGCAGAACUAGGUGGGCCAAUCAGUCCAUUUUAUUAGUGACCGUUGCUUAAAAAAAAUUAUACUCUAAACCACACUUACUUUUUUGAAAAAAAAAUGUAAUUAUAUUGAAAUAAAAUCAGGUGGGCCAAUCCUCAUGGCACUCACUUUGUUCUAACACUCUUCACUAAAUUUGAAGAAAAAUAAAAUUAUACUCUUCACACUCGUAUUCAACAUUCCAAAAUUGAUAAAAUCGGGAGUUUUCUUUAAAAAUUUAAAAUUUGAAGACUUGUUCUCUUGACACCCUCAGUCAUUAAUUUUACCUAAUUAUGGUUUUUAUGAUUUUGGUUGUUUUGUUCAUAAAAAUGCUUUUACUAAAGGAUGUUCUGGUAAUAAUAAAAUUUAUAAAAAAAACAUGGGUGUGCUGAUAUAGUUGGAAAAAUAUGAGUGCAUAACUCCAAACAAAUAAAAGAUAUAUAUAUAUAUAUAUAAAUGGAGGAUUCUUACCUUAUUAUGCUUUAGUACGCGGCGGAUUUCCUUAGGAUCCCACAACCUGCUGCGUUUGCCUGGCUCUUUCUCAGAUUCUUGGCGAACAAUCUGUCGCCCCAUUUCUUGCAAUAUAUCAUGCAUCUGCAAGGAAUCACCUGAUAUUGAUAUGAGUGACUUAUCAAUAAGGACAUCCAGUCCAUCAGACUCAGAAUCAUCAAGAAUCCUUGCCAGAAAAUCUUUAUCCCCUCCCUCGAAGAAACACGCAAUAUCUAGAAAUAUGCUCUGCACCCUGGGCGUUAAUUCAUAAAAACUAAUCUUUAAUAUUUCAUAAAUAUUAUGAAUAUCAGAUUCACAAAUCCGAUUUAAGUCGUCCAAUACAUUUUCCCAAUGGCUUUUCCUCUUGAGAUACAGGGAGGAACCCAACACCUUAAGAACUAAUGGAUUGCCUUUGGCAUACUUUACAAACCUCCGUGAGUGCCGAUUGAGAUCUUCAGGACAAUGAUUUUCUUUAAAAGCGAAGUUACAAAAAUGCUCGAAAGCCUCAUCCAAUCUCAAUCCAUUGACCCUAUAUAUUUUCUCCACUCCAAAUUUUUCGAGGACUCGUUUAUCCCUGGUGGUUACAACAAUUCUACUUCCUGGACCAUAUUGAUCAAGCCCUCCAAUCAAACCCUCUAAUUGUUCAUCUUUAUUCACAUCAUCGAGUACAAUCAACACCUUCAUGCGUCGGACCCUCCCUUUAGUAAAUUGUGGAAUAUUGGGACCAGCUACUUCAAGUUUUUCACUUAAUAUUGUCGAAAGCAUUUCCUUUUGUAGGUCUUCUAGGCCACCCUCUGUUUCUGAUUUUCUCCUAACAUUUUUUGCAAAGUAUUUACCAUCAAACUCACCAGAGAAUUGAUCGAAAAUAGCUUCAGCAAGGGUAGUUUUGCCUAUACCACCCGUGCCCCAAAUUCCAACAAUUUGGACAGUAUCCCACAAAUCCAUACACAAAAAUGGUUUAAUCUGCUCAAUUCGUGAAUUUAAUCCAACUAGGCCGUUGGAUGAGUCCGUUGAGACUGUUAUUUUUUCCAACUUCUUCAAAACAUCUUCGACAAUUUUGUUUACAAGUUGCGCAUCAAGCCUAAUAUGAAGGUGCAAAGAUGCAAAAACAUUGAGUCAAAUCGGGCCAAGACAGAAACAGAGAAAAGAUGAAUUAGGAAAGAGAGUUACCUGAAUUUCGUGGAUUCAUGGCCGGCUAGAUGGGAUGUUUCUGUCAGUGCAUCCCUCCACUUCUGAACCAUUUCUGGUUUAUCUUUGAACUGUUUUUUGAGCUCAUCAAAACGGUCUCCAAAUGUUCCGUUUUGAUGCCGCACAUCAGAUGGACUUACUCCAUAGAAGACUGGAAUAAUAAUUUGGCCGUUUGUGUUCUUGCAUUCAAGAAUCUUGACAAGUUCAUUCAGGCACCAUUUUGAAGAAGCGUAGUCCUUUGAGAAAAUGACCACCGAAAUUUUUGAACCUUGGAUUGCGUACAAAAGGGCGGGUGAAAUCUCAUCUCCUCGCCUAAGCCCUUCAUCAUCAAUAAAUGUUUUGAUUUUCUUUCCUUCAUACAAUUUAUCAUAGAGAUAGCAAGUAAAGCUCUUACGAGUGUCCUCCCCUCUAAAGUUGAGGAAGACUUCAUAAUUGCCACAAGAAGAAGAGGAAGCCAUGAAGGAAAUUUUAGAAAAUUGGUGACAGAAACAGAGAAUUAAUCUUGAGAGUUGAGAGAGGAGAUGUAAGAAUGAACAUGUGUGAAGAUUCUUGCGAGUACAUAGUAAAUAAUUGAAUGGCUGGAGCUUUCUUAGUUUCCUGGAAAUUUCCUGGAGCUUUCGUAUACAUGAUUUGUCAAGUCAUGAAACAUAAUCAUGAUAAUGGGGCAGACCAAAAAGAAAAGCAACAAUUCAAAUAUUUGAUUCAACCAGUAUAAAAAGGAAGGAAAAGCAAAGAAAGGAAAUGUUGAAAGUAGAGUUAGGGAAUUAUAAAAAGCUGAAGGAAAUUGGAAUUUUGUACAAUUUCUCCAGCGAGGAACUUUCACAGUCGUUACCUCAUUGUUACAGUUUAGAUUAAGAUUUGAGGGUGCAAGCAUUUACCUAGAUUUUACCUCCGCACUAAAUUCUUAAGUUUGAAAAAUUAUGAGACCUUUAUAUUGGAAGAUAUUAUAAUCGAAUCAAAACUUAAAAUUUUAAUAUUGUUAAUCUUUAAUCUUUAAAAAAAAUUACCUUGCCGUUACAAUUUGGAUUAAGAUUUGAAUAAGCAUUUACCUAAAUUUUAUCUCCGCCUGUAAAUUCUUAUGUUUUAAAAAUUAUGAGACCUUUAUAUUGGGAGAUAUUAUAAUCGAAUCAAAAUUUUGAAUUUCAAUAUUAUUAUUCUUUUAAAAAAAUUUGAGAUAACAGAGUGAUUGAUAAUAGAGAACUUGUCUAGGCAAACACAUGCAUACACAAAAAUGUGAUGGAUUCAAAAAGAAAUUAAAGUGAUAAUGUACGUGGAUCCUUAAAACAAAAAGCGAAAUCGCUUGGUGGCCCAGUAAAAUUAAGACUGAAUAUUUUUUACACGAGAAGUCAAGCUCAUAAAUGGCAAAAGCCAUUUCAUUUCACUUUUACGCGUCAUUGACUUUUGUAACACGGUGUAUGCAUCGUCAAGUGGGGCAAAAGGGUUUCGAUUACAGUGGGAAAACAUGAACAAGAAUGCAUAAUGAAUAAUUCUUUCGAUAAAGCGAAAAUUAAACACAGAAUAAUCCUAAAAUUUAAACUCUAAUAUCUUAUAAUGUAUUGAUUAAAAAUAAUCCUAAGAGUUCCCAAUUGAAACUUUCAUAAGUAUUUUUAUUGUUUUGGAUAAACAAAUUGCACUAGGAAAACAAUUUGGCAAAUUCAGAGGAUAAUGAAAAAUAGCUAUGCUUCAAUAGGCCAAAGAUUAGAGAACAAAGAAGAAUUAGUUAUUGAUAUACGAAAGAGAAACACUCCAAAAUUUCAAGCAAAAUAUUUUCAUAUACCAUUUCGAUUUUGGAAGGGGUGUGGUUUUGAACUUCAAUAGUUUCCUCUAAAAUCAAAAGGCAGCAAUUAAGCUAGAAAGAGCAAAGAAGACUUUUUGGUACCUUAUUGAAGGUAAACAUUAUGGAACUUCCAAUGUCAUUACCUCACUGUUUAAUUUUUAUUGAGAUUUGUGCAAGCAUUUACCUAAAUCUUACCUCUGCCUGUAAAUUCAUAAGUUUUGAAAAUUAUGAGACCUUAUAUCGGGAGAUAUUAUAAUCGAACUAAAACUUAAAAUUUCUUUUCUUUUCUUUUUUUAUCAUAAAAGGGCUCUUAAGAGAGCUACGACAACACUAAGUGGGAGUGUGCAACCCCAUGAACAUCAUUAAUCAAUAUGUUUAGCGUAUUUGGAGGAAUAGAUUGAAAGCAAUGUAAACCCAAAGGAAACAAAAAGCUGUACGAAGUAAGGAAAUCUGCUGCUACAUUGGUUUCUCGGUAGAUAUGAUCCACUUUGAUCAGCCAAUCACGCCAAAGGAGUUCUUCGAUGGCCUGAAUGAGAAUAAAAUGCUCAUUGACGGGAGGGUUUUAGUUAGAGAUUAACUUCAUAACACACAUGCUGUCUACUUCCACGUAAAACUUAAAAUUUCAAUAUUAUUAUUCUUUAAAAAAAAAAUUGAGAUAUCAGAGUAAUAUCACAUAGAAAAACUUGCCCACGGACGGUAAGCCAAAUGUCUAGUCAACCACAUGCAUAAAGCUAAGUAGAACAAGAGAACAGAGAAACGCGUGGGUCCCUAAAGAAAAGGCAAGCACAUAAAUGAAAAAGCCAUUACAUUUCUAUUAACACGGUGUGGCAGCAUAUGCACAAUCAAGUGAGGCAAAAGGGAUUCGCUUAUCGUGGCAGAACAUGGACGAGGACGCGUGACGAAUAAUUCCUUCGAUAAAACGAAAAACAAACGCAGAGAAAAGAAUUUCUUAUAUGACAAGAAAUCAAAGAAAUGUGAAGGAACAUGAUGAAGAAAUUGCAGACUGAUCAAUUAUCCCCAUGGACUCCUAUAAAUUCAACCAAAAUAACAAUUCGAAUCUUACCAAAUUCUUGAGUUAAAUUUAUUCAAUGCUUUUAUUUUUUUAGAGAAAUUUUUUCCAUUGCUACUUUCCCUUUUUUGGGGAAAUUAGAACCGCGGCAUGUAUAGAAAACAUUGAGGUGUAAAGCAACAUUAAUUUCAUGGGAUAUGCGUUAUACGCAUAAUAUAUUUUCAGUCCAAAUUCAACUAUACAAAGAGGCUUGAGAACUUAAAAUUAAGCACAAACUAAACAGACGAAGUAAAUACAUGAUUAUGCAACAUAACAUUAAUUCUCUUAAUUUAUAACUGUUUUUGCCACAUGAAUCUUGCACAGUUAAUCCUAAUUGAAGACUAAAAAAGAGCAAUUGGAAGAAGGUUUUGGAAUAGAAUGGUAUACAAUCGAUAUGAUCCUUUUCCAGUAGUCAACGCUAAUUAACUGCAGUUUCUAGACUCCUAAUUAUACUAGCCAUAGAAAACUGGUGAUCAAAUUAGAUUUUGAAAGGAAAUAAUGUUCAUUUUCCCUUCGCUGCCUUUUUUUUUCUUUUCUUUUUAUAGCAAAGAAUUAUAUCAUGAAAAGAAUCAAUUUAAUCACCUUUUCCAGCAGCACAAUUUUUCUUUUAUAAAAUUUGACCACAGAGACAAAGAAGAAUUAUUCAUACCUUCAUCAGUGAGGAAAUACUUUUCGGUAUGGCUAGGGUGAGAAAAGGCUUUCCACAAACACUUGUACUUUGUAUUCCUGUAAAUUUUCUUUAAAGUCAAUAAAAACCAUAAGUUCUUUACAAUAACCACCUCUUUGAUAAAAAAGUGCCGUAUUCCUUUAGAAUUUAAAACCGGCAAAAUCGGAAUCAGUGUCUUUGAAGAGACAUAAUGGUCGUAAUUCUUUAAAUGAGUUGGCUAUGGAAAUCCUUAUCCAAGAUUCUUUUACGCCAUAUUCUUUCGUAAACCAAAAUUCAUUUUGGAAUACUCUGUUGAGAAUGUCAAAUAAAACGGCAUUGAAGGAAGUUUUCAAAGGUAGAAUCCGCACUUGUCAAAGGGAUGAUCUGCACUUGUCAAAGACACGAUCCGCGUCAAACGAAUCGACACAUUUCCUUUCGUAUUCGCAUAUGUAAUCUUUGAAAAAAUGUAGCUUCUGCAUCUAUAAAUAACGCUCAGUGUAUAAUGUUUUAUUCAAGAAAAAAAACAAGUUUCUUCAUACUCGUCGUCCGAACAUACAGAGACCGUCUCUCAUAACUUCAGCCGAAUACUUGUGAUGAUGAUCAUUUGUGAUUUCAUCAGGCAAAGGGUUGAUGGUGAAAAUUUUUGUAUGUGUGAAGAAUUGAGCUGUGGAUAUAGGGGACUUAAGUGUAAUCGAAAGAGAGUUAUUAGGUCAUAGUGCAGAUUGCAUUCAGUUUAUGGGUCGCUAUGCAGAUAAUUUGUUGACGUGGCGAAAUCUGUUAUGGUCGUUAGUAUUGUUUCUGGAAAUUUUCUAGAAACCUCAGCAUAAAAGGGGCUUUUGCAUAGCCUCUGGUGUGCGUGUGAUUUCUCUUUCGUUUCCUCAUCAAAUUCUGUAAUUCUUGCUUUGAUAAAAAGCUUGUAAUCUCUUCUGUAAUGUGUGAUCAGUGCGUAAUCAUUUUGAGCAAUAAACGCUUGUGGGUUUUUCCUUCAAACAGUGUCGUUUUGGUCAGUUUGUUAGUUUGAUCUGUUGGUGGAAUUUUCUUUGGUUAUUUGUUCUCAAAAUUCAACCGUAUAUAAAGUUUGAACUCUAAUGGCUUAUAAUGUAUUGAUUAAGAAUAAUCCUAAGAGUUCCCGAUUGAAAUUUUUAAUGACUAUUUUUAUUGUUUUGGAUAUACAAAUUGCAUUAAGAAAAAAUAUUGUCAAAUUCAGAGGAUAACGGGAAAUAAUUAUGCUUCAAAAGGCCAGAGAUUUGAGAACAAAGAAGCAUUCAUUACUGAUAUACAAAAGAGAAACACUCCAAAAUUGCAAGCAAACUAGUUUCAUAUACUGUUUGGAUUCUGGAAGGGGUGAAGUUUUGAACUUCAGUUGUUCCUCUAAAAUCAAAAGCAGCAAUUAAGCGUUCUCAAUUAGAAAUAGCAAAGAAGACUUAUUCGUACCUUACUGAAGCUAACAUUAUGGCACGGUUGUUCAUAUGUAAUGGCUGCUCUGUUAUGCUAUAUGCUCUGUUAUGCUAGCUUCUCUGUUUUUGCUUACAGUUUUGAACAUAAAUUCUUGCUCAAAUAACCCAUAAUUAAAUAACACUAAUAUGGCUCCUGAAAUCCCAUAAUAGCUAAUUACGCAACUUUCUCCUCCUCCUCAAUUAUGUCUUCCCCUGCUCGGACACUAACUUCAAAAUUCAAUGCCCCGAAAAACAACACAAGAAAUCUUUGAGUUAAAUCGUGACCAGUUUAUAUAUCGUAGCAAUUGAAAAAGAAAAAGAAGAAAAGAGUUAAUUAUUAUUCAGACCUUCACUUAUUAGGAAGUUUGUUCUGCUAUUGGGUGAGAUCAAGCUCUCAGCAUAUACUUCCACAUGAUACUUUCUAACAUUUUCUUGAAAGCCAUCAAUCAUAAAAUCUUCAUACUUUUUUCCAUCCUUUGGAUCAAUAAGUACAAAUUUCUCAUCUAAAACAGACAAAAUAAAAUCACUGUCCUUCAUGGAACAUAAUGGCUGCAAUGCCUGAACUGAAUUGGCUAAUGAAACAUAGUCUUCUUUUCUUUCUCGACAUGGAACAUAGUCUUCUUUUCUUUCUGGACAUAUGUCUCUGUACUUUUCUCUCUCUACUGAUCCACACUUUUUCAUACUUCUAACUAUCAUUUUGUUUUUUUUUUUGGUUAAGUUGUGAUUUAUUCAAUUAUUUUGUAUUUUUAAUGACAAUUAUUUAAUAUUUAGUUAGUUUUGAUAUUGAUUAGUGAUUGAAAGUGUAUUUUAGAAGACUUCCGGUCUCUUGGAAAAAGGAAAAAUGGAGACGAAGAAGAAGUGUUCUUGAUUUUUUUGUAGGCAUUAAAGUUAAACGGUUUGAAAUGAUAUUUUGUUUUAAUUUCACUCAUUAAUCUCAUUCAGGAUAAAAUUAUAAAUGCAAAUAAAUGGGGUUUCAUGAGUUUUUUUUAAUAGUGUUAAAAGGUCUACUCACUAAAUAAACAUGUUUUACCCAAACCAAUCCGAUUAAUAAAGUUAUUGGGUUGGGUUGAUCAGGUUAAAAAUCAAAAUUAAAAAUUAAAUAAAUAAAAAAGGCGUUAAAACUAUCUGUUACUUGAAAAUAAAAAGAAUUUCAAAUAGUUAGUUCUAAUGUCCCAUAUCCAAAACAUGCAUAUUAAAUAAAUAUUAUAAGUUAGAGAUAAAAUAUCCAAGAAAUAAUGAAUGAAUGAAAUACCAUAUUUUUGUUGAGAAUUAAGAGUGUGAUUUUAAUUUUGAUAUUGGAGUCUAAAGCAAUAGAUAGUACAAUGAAAUCAUGAAUGCCACAUUUAAAUAAUGUCUUUUAUAAAAUAAUAAAAAGAAGUUAAAAAUUAGGUUAGCCAUUUAGGCGUUUAGGGUUUAGCAGUUAAGGAUGAACAUAUUAUUAUUAUUGUUGUUGUUGUUGUUAUUAUAACAAUUAUUAUUUACAUAUUAAUUAAUCCAACCCAACCCAAUUAUUAACAAACUAGGAAAUAAAACCGCACUUCGUGCGGCUUUAAAAGAAAAUUAAUAUUAUUUUUUUAUUACUUUACAAUUGAUGAAACUAAUAAAAAAUAUGAAUUAUUUUUAAAAUGACGUAAUCUUAUAAAACUAAUGUUAUUUAUGAAAGUUAAUUAUUUUUUUGUUAACAUUAAAAAUAUAUAUUAAUGUGUAUAGUUAAGUGUACACAACUUUUUCAUCAAUAAAAAUUAUGUUCACAUUAAUCAACUCUCCAUUUUUCUUAGUAUUAACAGACUCUCACAUCUUACAAAGUCUGACCCUUAUUAUUCAACUAUCUUUAUCAUAGUUUAACUCAUGAAGAAAAUAGUACUCCAUGAAGCAUACAAUACUAAAAAUUUAAAUAAGUCAAAAAAUAAAAACACAAAAACAUUUCUAAAGAGAAUGUUGGUUAAAUAAUAAAAAAAACUCAAACAUAACAAAUCUUAAAUGCUUAAUAUUUAUAGAGCUUGAAGAAGCCAAAAGAUACUAAAUAAAAGGUUGCAUAAUUAAAUAUAGGAUUAUAACAUUAAAAUUAGGUCAUAAGGCAUUGGUGAGGGAAGAGGAAGGAACAUUCCUUCUUAUAUUAAUUAGUUGAUGUAUUUUAAACCACUAAAGUUUAUUUGUUGGCUUAAUAAAAUAAAUGAAUGUUUCAAAACUUAUAAUUAAUUUAUUAUUAAUGGUUAUAUAUUGUUGAAUUUAAAUAGAAAGAGAAAGAGACAUGUAAUCUUUUGUAAUCUAUUAAUUAUUUUAUAUUUUUAAUAUUUUGUAAUGUAAUUAUUUUUUAAUCUCAACCAAUAUGUUAGAUAAUAGAGAAUAUAAAAAGAUGAGAAAUAAUAAUGCCACAAAUCUUAACUACUUAAUAUUUAUAGAGUUUGAAGAAGUCAAAAGGUACUAAACAAAAGGUUGCAUAAUUAAAUAUGAGAUUAUAGCAUUAAAAUUAGACCCCACUGGCAUUAUUGAGAGAAGAUGAAGGAACAUUCCUUCCUAUAUUAAUUAAUUGAUAUAUUUAAGCUACUAAAAUUUAAUUGUUGGCAUAAUAAAAUAAAUAAAUGUUUCAAGAUUUAUAAUUAAUUAUUAUUAAUGGUUACAUAUUAUUGAAUUUAAAUAGAAAGAGGAAGAGACAUGUAAUCUUUUAUAAUCUAAUAAUUAUUUUUAUUUUUAAUAUUUUAUAAUGUAAUUAUUUUUUUAAUAUCAACUAAUUUAUUAGAUAAUAGAGAAUACAAGAAGAUGAGAAAUAGUGAUGUCACAUCACCUCCUCUAGUCCCAACUUUAUAUAUAUAUAUAUAUAUAUAUAUAAUAUUUUGUAAUGUAAUUAUUUUUUAAUCUCAGCCAAUAUAUUAGAUAAUAGAGAAUAAAAAAAGAUGAGAAAUAAUGAUACCACAAAUCUUAAAUAUUUAAUAUUUAUGGAGUUUGAAGAAGCCAAAAGGCACUAAACAAAAGAUUGAAUAAUUAAAUAUGAGAUUAUGACAUUAAAAUUAGACUCUAAUGGCAUUGUUGAGGGAAGAUGAAGGAACUUUCCUUCCUAUAUUAAUUAAUUAAUGUAUUUUAAGCCACUAAAAUUUAAUUGUUGGCAUAAUAAAAUAAAUGAAUGUUUCAAGACUUAUAAUUAAUUAUUAUUAAUGGUUACAUAUUGUUGAAUUUAAAUAGAAAGAGGAAAAGACAUGUAAUCAUUUAUAAUAUAAUAAUUAUUUUCUAUUUUCUAUUUUAAUAUUUUGUAAUGUAAUUAUUUUUUAAUUUCAACCAAUUUAUUAGAUAAUAGAGAAUAUGAAAUGAUGAGAAAUGGUGAUGCCACAUCACCUCUUGUAGUCUCAACUUUAUAUAUAUAUAUAUAUAUAUAUAUUAAUUCAUGUCUUUUAUACCACUAAAGUUUAAUUGCUAGCAUAAUAAAAUAAAUAAAUGUUUCAGAAGACUUAUAAUUAAUAUUAUUAAUGAUUACAUAUUGUUGAAUUUAAAUAGAAAGAGAAAAAAAUUACAAAGAAUAUCCACCAAUAUUUUAGAUAUUUUAGAUAAUAGAAAAUAUAAAAAGAUGAGGAAUGAUAUAUAUUAAUAAAGUUACUAUUUAUUAAAUGAGUUAAAUACAAUCAAAUUAAUUAUGAGAAGAUGAAAAGCCAAAUCUAAAAAAAAAAUCUCUAUUUAUUAGAUAAUAGAGAAUAUAUAAAGAAGUAAAAUGGUGAUGCCACAUCACCUACUCAAGUCCUAGCUUUAUAUAUACACUAGAAAAUAGAACCGCGUUUCACGCGGCUUUGAAAAAAAAUUUUAAUGUUAUCUUUUUUUUUUAUUUUGCACAUGAUGAAACUGAUAAAAAAUAUGAAUUGACUUUUUUUUAAGAUGAAGCAGCCUUAUUAAAAAAAAACUAUUAGCCAGCAAUACAAAUAAAGAAGUAAUGUAAGAUAAAAAAUAAAAUGAGAGAAUAUAUUAUAGAAUGAUUUUAUUCAUUCUAAUUGUGUGGUACAAAACAAAAAGAUGAGCUCUCAUUUUAUAGUUACAUAAUCACUCCAUGAAAUUAAUGAAAAAUUAUGGAUCAUAAUUCCUUGUGAGAUAGUGGGAGUUAUAGGGAAGCUAAAGGUUGCUAAUGGAAGAUAGUGGGGAGACUAAGAGAUAUAUGUUAUGAACAUCUACAUUUAUUUUAAUAAAUUCAUAACACUCCCCCUUUGAUGUUCAUUAUAAAAAAUAUGCCUCAUUAAAAUCUAUUAGCCAACAAUACAAAUAAAAAAGCCACACAAUAUAAAGAAUAAAAUGAGAGAAUAUAUUAUAGAGUGAUUUCAUUCAUUCCAAUUAUGUGUGUACAAAACAAAAAGAUGAGCUCUCCUUUUAUAGUUACAUAAUCACUCCAUGAAAUUAAUGAAAAAUUAUGGAUCAUAAUUCCUUGUGAGAUAGUAGAAGUUAUAGGAAAGCUAAAGGUUACUAAUGGGAGAUAGUGGAGAGAGUAAAAGAUAUAUGUUAUGAACAUCUACAUUUAUUUUAAUAAAUUCAUAACACUCCCCUUUGGAUGUUCAUUACAAAAAAUAUGUCUCAUUAAAACCUUUAUAUAAUUGUUAUUGUGUAAUAACAAUCAAAUUAAUUAUGAGAAGAUGAAAAGUCAAAUCUAAAAGAAAAUUUCUCUAUUUAUUAGAUAGAUAAUAGAGAAUAUACAAAGAUGAGAAAUAGUGAUGCCACAUCACUCUCUCAAGUCUCAACUUUAUAUAGAUAUAUAGAUUUGAAAUGAUUGACUCAAUUAAUCCACAAUAAUUCAUUCAACUCGUCUAAAUUAGAUUAUGUUGAAUUUGAUUUGCUACACCUACAUUGAGCAACAAACCUCAACGACAUUCUACGAGCUCUUUGAUUGUUUAUAAAAUUGAUUUAGAGUACAUAAAGUGUAUCGACAAUGAAAGUGCAAAACAAAUUAUUGUACAUAUUAAAAUGUGCAAAACAAUGAAUUAUAUGUACAAACGAGUGCAAACACAUUUUUCAAUAAGAAGUUAAAAGAUAUUUAUGCAUGAAAAAGCCUACGUUUGUAGUUAUUCUAAAUUUUAAAAACAAAAUUUACAUUUAGAUCCCUAAAAUUUACGUAUAAGUAUAAAAGUUUCAAAUAUUGUCUAUUAUUUUUUUAACAUGCCUAUUCCUUAUGGAUAAUUCUGUCUCAUCACUAAUGUUGUUUCUUGCUUAGAAAAAAUAAAUGUCAUCUCCUUUUACAAUUUUUAUAGCGUCUCGAAAUAGACAAUAGGGGAUUUUGAAUUUUUUAAGUCUCAAGAUAGUCUCUAAUCGUGUGAGAAAGAUUUUCUUUCAAUAAUUUGGAGCUAAACAUAACAUAUUUUUUAGACUAAAAUCUAACUCUGCUGGUUAGUAGUUGGUGGUAUCCUUUUCAAGACUUGAGUCUUUAGAUUCGAGUUUUAUAUAGUGUACAUGUGUAUUUAAUUAAUAAUUUUUUUCAAAAAAAAAAAUUACAUCAAAUACUAAUAUUCAUGACAUAAUUUAGUUCAUAAUUUUUUUAAAUACAUCGAAAAAUAUAAUUUUUUAACAACUUAUAGGCACGACAAAUUUCAAGAUAUAAAUAUCAGUCAAAAUAAAUGAAAGAAAUAAUGGUGUCAAUUCUAAUUUCUUAACUAAAUUAAUUAUUGCAUGAGCCCCGAAUACGACAUGAGAGUUUGAUGGGCUAACUUGGCACAAGAACGCGAAUAGUUAACUCAUUUAAGAAAUAAUUCAACAAAAAAUAUAAUUGAUAAGAAUUCAGUAUUGAAAUGAAUUUUUUACGAAACAUUGAAUUAAUGAUUAUUAAGCAAGAACAAUAAAAAAAUAAAAUAAAAAUAAAUAUUAACCAUUGAUAAGCUUCAACAAGAACUUAACACAACCCUCAAUCCUAAUUCAAAUCAUAAAUGUCAUUCAUAUAUUCAUUAUAAAUCAAUAACAAAGGUUAUAAAUGUUUAGAAAUUCUAGAGGGAAGGAAGCUAUCUCCGGGGAAUCAACAACUAAAUUUGAUGUAAUUGUGGCACACGAUGGAAUAUGGAAACUACACCAUAAUUUCAAAUGCCGCCAUAGACAUUGACUUAUCUACAAUAACAAUGAUCUAAUUAAAAUUAAAAUAAAGUUUAUGGGCAUUUAUUAUUUUGCCAUUUCUCAUUUGCAAACAGGGAUAUAAUUAUAAUUUUACUUAGUCAAAGCAAUCAGUAAUUUUCUUCAUUAUCGGAGUGAAGUAAAAACAUUUAGAUUUUAAUGAGUGUACGGAAAAUUUAUCUUUAAAAAUACUUUCUUAAUGUGUGUGUAUAUAUAUAUUGAAAUAUUAUGCUAUCAAAAGUUAAUUUUAGAAAUUCCAAAUCCAAUAGCUAACACAAUUCUUUAAAGAAAAAAAAAAAAAGGUUGAUAAUCAGCAAUUAGUAUUACUUUCUAAACUUACUUCAACUGGUCGUUAAUGAGGGGCCUUGGGCAAGAGUGAUGAAUGUUUAGUCGGUGCAUUUGAUUGAUAGAUAUAUAAAGGGCCGAAACUUGAGAUUAUAUUACUUUUACAAAUUUUAAUCCAAUCACAUAUUUACUGAAACACAAAAUGAGUUAGGAUACUUUAUUUAGAACCCACAUUUUAAUAAGGCUUCAUUUGAUGUAGUUUUUCAAACAGUGAUUAUUUGAGUAAAGUUUCCUCAAUAGAGUUUUUAUCAAAUAAAUUUUAUUUAUUUGGUUGUCGAUAAGAACUUUUAUUAAAAAUUAUAAAAUUAUUUAAAUAAACAUAUUUUUUUAAAAUUACAUUAUAAAAAGAAUUAAAUAAAGUUAUAAAAGUAAAAUAUAUUUUAGAUAUUUUAAUAUUUAAGAAAAAAAUUUUGAAUCUCUACUUUCAGAAGCUCAAAUUUUUAGUUUUUAGUUGUAGAGACAAAAUAUCUUAUUUAAUCUUUAAAAGUUCUGCUAAAAACAAUCAAAUAACUAUAAAAUUUUUAAUAAGAGUAUAUAAAAUUAAAUAAGCAUUUAUUAAUAAUCACUUUAGUGUACUUAUCUAAUGACCAUAAGUGUUUAUUUAAUCUCAUAAGUUCUUAUUUAAUCUCAUGAGCUCUUUUCAAUUUUUUUUGUUGUUUGCUUUUUUUAGUAGAGUUUUUGAAAAUUAAAUAAACUAUUUUGUCUCUAUUAGGAAAAACUCAAAUUUUAGGUUUUUGUGAGUAAAUGUUUAAAUUUUUUUAAAAAUAUUAAAAUAUUAAAGUAAAAGUUGUAGAGACAAAAUAUCUUAUUUAAUGUUUAAAAGUUCUGCUAAAAAUAAUCAAAUAACUACAAAAAUUUUAAUAAGAGCAUAUAAAAUUAAAUAAGCAUUUAUUAAUAGUCACUUUAGUAUACUUAUCUAAUGACCAUAAGUGUUUAUUUAAUCUAAUGAGCUCUUUUUAAUUUUGUUUGUUUGUUUUUUUAGUAGAGUUUUUGAAAAUUAAAUAAACUAUUUUGUCUCUAUUAGGAAAAACUUAAAAUUUAGGUUUUUGUGAGUAAAUGUUUAAAUUUUUUUUAAAAUAUUAAAAUAUCUUUUCUUUAUUUCAUAAUCUUAUUUCAUUCUUCACAACAUAACUUUAAAUAACUCACCUAUUAAAAUAAUUUCACAAUUUAUAAUAAAAAUUUUAAUUGACAAUCAAAUAACAAAUUUUUUUUUAUAAAAACUCUAAUAAUAAAAAUUCUACUUAAAUAAAUUAUAUUUGAAAAGGUAUACCAAACGAACCUAACAUAAAAACAAAAAUUUUUACAUCCACACAAUUAAGCUUAAAACAAUUUCAAAUGAAUUUUAGACUACUCAAAGUACAAUACGUACCAAGUUUGGUAACUUAUUGGGGUCCGCUUGUAAUACAGCUCAUGAGCUCUUUUUAAAAAAAUUUUGAAUCUCUACUUUCAGAAGCUCAAAUUUUUAGUUUUUAGUUAUAGAGACAAAAUAUCGUAUUUAAUGUUUAAAAGUUCUGCUAAAAACAAUCAAAUAAUUACAAAAAUUUUAACAAGAGCAUAUAAAAUUAAAUAAGCAUUUAUUAAUAAUCACUUUAGUGUACUUUAUCUAAUGACCAUAAGUGUUUAUUUAAUCUCAUGAGCUCUUUUUAAUUUUUUUGUUGUUUUUUUAGUAGAGUUUUUAAAAAUUAAAUAAAUUAUUUUGUCUCUACUAGGAAAAACUUAAAAUUUAGGUUUUUGUGAGUAAAUGUUUAAAUUUUUUUACAAAUAUUAAAAUAUUUUUUUCUUUAUUUCAUAAUCUUAUUUCAUUCUUCACAACAUAACUUUAAAUAACUCACCUAUUAAAAUAAUUUCACAAUUUAUAAUAAAAAUUCUAAUUGACAAUCAAAUAACAAUUUUUUUUUAAUAAAAAUUCUACUUAAAUAAAUUAUAUUUGAAAAAGUAUACUAAACAAACUUUUUUUAGACUAAUCAAAGUACAUCUUCUCAUAAAAUAAUUUCACAAUUUCUAAAAAAAACUCUAAUUGACAAUUAAGUAACAACUUUUUUUUUUUUGUAAAAACUUUAUUUAUAAAAAAUCUAAUAAUAAAAAUUCUAUUUAAAUAAAUUAUAUUUGAAAAUGUAUACUAAACCAACCUAACAUAAAAACAAAAAUUUUUACAUCCAGACAAUUAAGCUUAAAACAAUUUCAAAUGAAUUUUAGACUAAUCAAAGUACAAUACGUACCAAGUUUGGUAACUUAAUUGACAUCUUCUCAUAUAACCUUCGAUCAAGUCGAUUCUGACCUGACGACUAAUUGGUACAUCACCGUUGUUCUCUAUACUCGCAUGCAUCCGAUCACAAAUCUCACUCCAAUUGUCGUCUUUCUUCGGCGUUUUAGCGCAUCCUUCUUGAAUUUCCCGCAUUUCGUUCCCUCCUGUUACAAGUCUCCGGUCAGGUCAGUUCACUUGACGAUUAAUUCGGCAAAUCUCGAAUCUCUUCUCUAUCCCUCUCGUUUUCUCGUGUCUCCUUUCAGUUUAAGUGAUUGAAUCAAUUUUAUCGCAGUCUUAAGAGAAAUUAAGUAAUGCUCUUGGAUUUAAAAUUUUUUUGCUUUCGACUUUAGAUCUCGAAAGUCAAACUCUGCUACGAAUCCAUAGAUUCUCAAUGUUUAUAAUCUUAUUUGUGUUUGACCAGGUAACUGGAUCGUGAAAUUCGUCGUUUUGUAUCAAUUCAGGCUUUCGCGAGCUCAUGGAAUCACCUGGUGAGUUGUGGUGAAACGUUAUCGUUUCAAUUUUCGCUUAAUUCUUUAUUGCAUAUUUUUUCUCUAACAUUUCAGUUUAAUUUAGAAAAGAAAGAGGACCCAAAAAGAGAGAGAGAGAGAGAGACUCUACCAUACUCAAUUCCUUGCUCAUUCUGAUUUGGCCUGAAUGUUGGCAUUGACUAUUAUUUGUUUUCAUUUCGAUUUAAUUCUCAUUUAGACAGUCUUUACUAACGGUCAAUAAUAGUUUAAGGAAAAUGAUAAUAGGGAUUCUGCAAUAAUCUUUCUGCAUUGUUCAAGUUAGUAGACGAUGAAUAGGAUGUUUAUGUUUACCUCAUUUUGAACCCUGAGGGCUUCGUUGAGUAGUUGAUUCAACAUAUCCAGCAACGGUUGAUGUGAGAACAGGAUGCCACUUAGAUAGGCUUAAACUGAUUUUGGAGGUUUGUAUUGGUUCUAUUGUACGUCUUGCUUACAAAUUUUUUAUUUUUUAUUUUUAAUUUUGUAUAAUAUGCUCUUUGUUGGUAAAUCUCAUUUGACUUAGAAGAGAUAGUUUUAUCCCAACAGUGGGAUAAAUCAUUGAGAUGCAUGGCAGUGUGAAUAUAGUAGACAAAAUCAUUGAGACACAUGGUGGUGUGAACAUAGUAAACUUCAUGGAAGCAAUGAAGCUUGAAAUUGAACGUCUGCAGCUGAAUCUUUCUGCAGCUGAAAGGGAUAGAGCUUUAUUGUCAAUCGGAACUGAUCGUGCCUCUAUAAAUCCAAAUGUAUUGCUUGAUGAAUCUUACAUGGGAAGACUGUGUCGAGUAGCAACCACUCUUGCAUUACUUGGCCAAACUUCCCUAGAAGACAAAAUUGUUGGUGCAAUUGGCCUUGAGAAUAGUGAUGAUAGUGUUUUAGACUUCUGGAAUAUUACUAGAAUCGGAGAGAGUUGUUCUGGUGGCUGGUGGCGGGUGCAAGGUUCGUGCAGAAACUAAGGUGCCUGCUCUUGCUUCCUCAACUGCAACAUCUGUUGGAGCUUCACAAUCCCCUUUGUUGUGUUCUCAAUGUGAAAGAAAAGUUUGCAAAGUUUGUUGUGCAGGAAGAGGAGCUCUACUGUUUUCAAAUUAUAAAUCAAGGGAUGUGACCAACUACAAUGGCUUCUCAAGUCAGAGUGGAUCAAGCCAUGGAAGCCAAGUUGAUGUACCUACCAGUCGUUCACUAACACUGGAUGGCGUUGUCUGUAAACACUGCUGCCAUGAGAUUGUGCUUGAUGCAUUGAUGUUGGACCAUGUUAGGGUCUUGAUUAGCUUGCGAAGAAGUUCCCGUGCAGACAACACAGCAUACAAUGCUUUGAAUGAGGUUGUUGGAUCCUGCUUAAAGGAUAGUCUUUCUGAAAGGAUUCAGUCUUCCGAUAACGUGCAAGCUGCUGAAGUCCUUCACCAAUUAUGUGGUGGACAGGAAUCAGUUGCUGAAUUUCCAUUUGCUAGCUUUUUGCACUAGGUAUGUUCUUGGUUUGUAUUCAGUUCUCAUCAUGUUAUGUUUUCCUUUUAAAUUUCUUUUCUUGAUUAAAAUUUUUAGAAAUAUGUUUUAGUAUUUGUUCUUAUGAUAUAUGCCCAGAACAUUCAUCCCACUUAUCCAUGAGAAUCCUUGUCUGGUUUGAUUUUCAAUUGAGACAUUUUUGGGAACCCUGAGCAGGUUCCAUAUGCUAAUAAUCUUUGAGGUAAGGUGUUGUAGGAUGCCUUGAGAAGCUAAAAACCAAUUACAAGGAAAAGCUCUUGCAUUGUUUUGUGCAAUCUGUGUGCUAGCAAGUCAUGUCUCUAAUAAUUUCAUAGUUCGCUUGAUUGGAAUUUUUUAUCUUGAUAUGGAUUGUUUAUUCUAGAUUCCUUGGUGCCACUGUAGGUUGAAACAGCAAAAGAUUCAGCACCGAUUUUGUCACUGCUUGCUCCAUUAAAUUCUGGAUCAAGGCACUCAUAUUGGAGAGCUCCACCUAGUACUACUUCUGUUGAAUUUGUUAUUGUUCUCGGUUCUGUUUCUGAUGUCAGUGGGGUUAUCUUGCUUGUUAGUCCUUGCGGCUAUCUGUGGCUGACACUCCGAUGGUAAGUGCCAUAUUUAUUCCCUUAUUUCCUUGUUGUUCAAUAAAUUUGGUGAUAAGCCAAGUGGCCUUAAUAAUGAAGCCCAGUACCAGGGGUGGUGGGUAAUCGAUAUUCAACUUGUGAAUAUUCCUAAGCAAGCACGGAAUCAACAUAGACGUCGGCAAAAAUUCUCCAUGCUAUUAUAACGAAAGUCAUAUUUUGAAAUGAUUAAAAGAGUCCCUUUGUAGUGCCAUUGCCAAAGAAAUUGCAGCUGGGGGUUUAGUUUCAUGUAGGUUAGUUUCCGAUAAUAAACUUUCCAUUUCAUUAAUUGCUGAUGAAAAAACCAAGUAAGAACAGUUUCGUUGCUCGUCAUUUAUGUAUAUUUUGGUAAACUGUAAUUUUAAAUUCUCAACGAUCUUCCCUUGGUAGGUAAGAAGAUGGUCCACUCACUUUAUAUUUAUGAUUGUAGAUCAGGUUUCUAUUGGUUUGCCUUUAUCAUUGGGAACCCAAGUUUGAUAUUAACAGAGAUCACGUCAAUAAUAUCCUAUUUGGGUAGAUGUGGGUGAGGAUUUAAAAUCAAAUUUGAAAUUGGGGGAAAGAAGAGAAAAGGAACCACAAUAAUUAAACAAAAUAUUAGGAACUAUUCUGAUGAGUUUUAAUCUCGAGAGGAACAAUUUUCAAAUGCAAAUUUAACUGCUAGAGAAAUUGUAGCUUUUUGUCAUUAGUUAAGAGGAAAGAGAAUAAGAACUAUCCAGCCCUUUCCUUCAUGAAUGUGUGUUGAGGUUGCUGUAUUAUUUAGUCAGUAUUUGUAAUUUUCUUCCCUGCAGUGCUCUCUGCCUCCUGAAUUUGCUACUGAGUCCAUAUUUUUCUUUGAGCUGUUGCUUCCUAUUGCUGUUACAAGUACAAAUCUGGGCAAGCAAUAAGAUACACCGGGAGGAAAGGUCAUCAAUGGGAAAAUGGGAUGUCCAAUCCCUCAUCACAUCUUCUUCAGACUUGUAUGGUCCAGAAAAGACAGCUAGUGUUGAAAAAUUACCUAGGCAUGUAAAAUUUACUUUUAAGAAUCCUGUUAGGUGCCGCAUUGUUUGGAUCACAUUACGUCUUCAGAGACCUGGUUCGGCUUCAGUUAAUUUCGGGAAGGACUUCAGUCUUUUGUCUCUUGAUGAAGAUGAAAACCCCUUUGCGCAAGUAGACAGACGUGCUUCAUUUGGAGGAGCAGUUGAAAAUGAACCAUGUAUUCAUGCCAAAAGAAUUCUUGUAGUCGGAAGCCCAGUAAAAAGGGAGGGGCUUACCUCAUCACAGAGCUCUGAGCAGCUAAGUAUUAGAAACUGGUUGGAUAGAGCUCCACAAAUGAGUAGAUUCAAGGUAUUAGUUGCUUUCACUCUUUGUUCAUUCAUAAUUCCAGCUUUCUGCUUGAUGCCCUGCCUCUGAUAAACCUCUUUUUUUCUCUUCAGGUCCCAAUUGAGGCCAAGAGAUUGAUGGACUACGAUCUCGUCUUGGAACAAUAUCUACCUCCAGCGUCACCUUUGCUUGCCGGAUUCCAUCUAGACGCUUUCAGUGCAAUAAAACCUAGGGUUACCCAUUCACCUUCCUCAGAUUCAGAUAUCUGGGACAAAUCAGUAACAUUUUUAGAAGACAGGUACAUCUCUCAAGCUGUGUUGUAUUUACAAGUAUCCGCACUCCAGGAACCACAUAACAUGGUAACUAUUGCGGAAUAUCGACUGCCGGAGGCUAGAGCCGGAACGCCAAUGUACUUUGAUUUCCCAUGACCGAUACAGUCCCGACGAGUUUCAUUCAAGCUUCUUGGAGAUGUUACAGCAUUUGCAGAUGAACCUUCAGAACAAGAUGAUUCAGGAUUGAGAGCUCCACUUGUGGCCACAGGUUUGUCUUUGUCAAACAGAAUCAAGUUAUAUUAUUAUUGUGAUCCUUAUGAGCUCGGAAAAUGGGCAAGCCUUUCUGGAGUUUGAUCGUUAUUUAUAUGUCAGAGAAAGGGUUUUGGGUUUGAUUUUGAUUUUGAUUUGUAAUUUUUGUCAGUUUAUUGAAAUUUUUUGUUGUAUAAAAGCAGAAUGUAAAGGUAUAAAAAUUCAUUGAUGCUGCAAUGUCUGUGCUUUUGAGAAAGAAGAAUUAAUUGUCUUUUCUAUGCCAUUGGAGUUUCCCACUGCUUGUAUACUUGGGCUGUCGAAUGCUCUGUGAACCUUAAGGGCUAUAAAGUAAUUUUCAAGACUGAAGGAUUUAUUAAUCGAGUUCAAAAGAUUGUAAGUUGGUGACUGGUGAGCGUUGGCAUUUAAAAAUCAAUUGUUAUUCUCUCAAUAAUCUCUCUCUUCUCCUCGUGAAGUGUUUUCUUUUUCGAGUGAAGGUGGUUUUCCACUUGCAUACGUCGGGGGUCUUAUGAUAUGUAAUGUGUGAAAUUUCUUUCUCAUUUUACCAUAAAGAAAAAUGUUGUAAUAAUCUAAAGCUCGAGUCUUAAAUUAUCUUAAAUUUAUAUUUAGAGUGGAGCUAUUCGCAACCCUAUAUUAAAAUUACAAUUAAAAACAAUUGAAAAUUAAACACUUAUAGAUUCUUUUUACAGCAAAUUACUUAAUUCAUAAUCAAUCCUUUAAAAAAAAAAUACAUAUGUUAUUUCUUAUCUAACUAAAAUAAAUUGUACAAAUUUAGAAUAAUCUAUUGUUCUCUUUUGAUUUCUUAUUAUUUAAAUAUUUUUAUACAUAAAGUUACUUUGAAAUUAUAAUUUGAAAUAUGUGUUAUUUCAGCCAAUGAUUAACACUAAAAAAUUUAUCACCCAUAUAACUUUUUAAUUUGUGUGUAGGGUAAUAAUAAAAUCGAAAAUAAUUAAAAAAAUAGUACAAUAAUGAUUUUUAACAAUAAAACAAAUCAAAUGAAAAUUGAAAAUUUAGAAAAGUGUAUCUAAAAAAAGGAACGUUUUCAAAAAUAAAAUGAAUAUAACUAAAAAGAGAUUUUAUGAGGAGAUCACUGGGGUGCCAAUAGUCCAACUUGUAAUUAAGAAUCUCCCAUUAUAUUGUCAACCAAAAAGACACUUGAAUAAGAAGAAGAAUUUAUCAGUUUGAUUUUAUUUGUAGAUCCAACAUUUCUCAUAUCCUGAACGCCUUUUCGUAUCAAAUUAAAACAGUAGUAGCAAAAUCGUAGUAUUAAAAUCGUAGUGCACAUUCAAUUAACCAACUAAUAGUCUUUGGUAUAAGAUUUUAUAUUAGGUAGCCAAGUAGGUUGUCCAUCCCACUCAGACAUGCACGAAAGCUAAAUUCAUCAAAUGAAUUACUUAAGAAGUAUUUGAUAAUUUUGAAAUUAUCAAAAGGUGUUAUACUAUUAAAUAUUUUUAUACUUAAAAUUGUUUUGAAAUUAUAAGUUCAAAUUAAAAUAAUAGUAGCAAAAUCGUAGUGCACAUUCAAUUAACCAACUAAUAGUCUAAGAAGCAAAGAGAGGAUUACAAGUUCACAACACCAUUACAAAGGAUUCAAAAUUCCCACACGAAUACAUCAAUGUACAGAUUAUAAACAAUCCGAAUUGGACACAAGAAAAACCCUUCAAUAGAUUGCUUGCCUUCCCAAUGCUAUAUACUGUGCAAACUGCGCAUUGGCCAAGAAAAUGUUUUCAAUUUAGUGUAUUUUCAAAAUGCUUAUUUUCUCAUAGUAUAAAAAAUAAAAAAAAUAAGAAAGAAUUCUCACAUGUUUCAUCAGCAUGAUUAAAAUCAAAGAAGAAAGCGAGACAUAAUGUCUCUGACAUAAUAAAAUUACAAAAAUUUCAAGGAAAAAAAAAGGUUAAAACAUGUAAUCUUCAGAAGCAUAUAAUAAAAGAACACUUCCACAAAUUACUACAAUUUCAUGCAGUAGAGAUUGAAGAGUUGAAUUCCACUAAUUUUAAUAAUGAAAACAACAACAGAGGAUUAACUGAUGCUUUGACUUAUUAGUUCUGCAGAGCAUCUCCAAAAGCCUAUAUAAAUUUUACUCUUCAAAUACUUAUUUGCUUACCUAUGUGGCAAAUAAAAGGGUGAAAAAAUAUGAUAUUCUCCAAAAGACUCUUCAAAUAGAAAAAAGUUAAUAUUAUUUUAAUCAUAUAAUUAAUUUUUUAAAGAAAAAGUCAAUAGCAAUUAAAGCACUUCUCUCUCUUUCUUCAAUGAAAAGUAAUAAAAUAUAAAUUGAAGAGGGAGAAAUUAACUCUCCAAAUUUGAAGAGAGAGAAUUAAUUCUUAUUUAAAGAAUCUUAAUUGAAGUGUCUUUUGGAGCUUUAAAUAUUGAUGUGGCUCUUCAAAUAAGUAAUAAAAUCUUAUUUGAAGAGCCUUUAAAUAAGGUGCUUUCAAAAGCAAAAUGGAAUACAUAGAUAAAAACAUCAUCUUAAACAAAUCACAAUCUAGAAUUAGAGCAUUUUCGACAUACCUAAGGAAAACGAAUACGUGAAAACGGGUGAUUCAUUUGUUAAGGAGUGUUGAUUUGGUCGUCUCUGCAAAUUCUUUAGGGACUCGGUUCCAAUUCCUCAUCAUCAAAACUGUAAUAUAAUUCCCCUUCAUCAGAACUCGAAUCGAUGCAAUAUAAUUCCCCUUCAUCAGAACUCGAAUCAAAUUCACUUGCAGCAGUUCCACUCGCGCUUGGCAAAUCAUCCAAUUUCCAAACUUCGGUAGCAAAAUUGAGAGUAAAAGUGUUGGCUUUGAUCUCGCUGGGAUUUGCAUAUACUGGACAUACUCCGCAACGUUUUAUCUUCUGACCCUUUUGGACCUUUAUUAUGUUUCGGUAACGCUCAUUGAAGAACUUAAGUGAGACAGUUGUAUGAUGGUAACCAUCAGGAAAGCCAACAUUCAAGCAAGGUUUAAAACCAAGUAUGACAUGAUCUGAAUCAUGGGGGUCUUUAAUAGAGUCCCAAUAGAAACUCAGAUCAACAUGUUUGGUUUCAGAGAGAGUCUUUAUUUCUAAGUCGGAUCGACAGUAAACGUAAAAAUAACGAGAACGAUCAGAAUAAAGUUGCUUAAAAUCAAGAACAGCACAAAAAGCAAACCCGAUUAAGUUUCUGCAAAAAGAGUGCGGUGGCAGUUGAAUACGUAUCGAAGAUCCUGAACUUUGAUUGCUGAACCAGUCAGGAAUUUCGCUCCCAGGUAAAACAAUUUGGGAUUCCCUGAGUUCAGAAAGUUUCUGUGAAACGACAUUUAAAAAAAGAAAAUUGUAAAAUGAAAACCAUGAUUUCAGAUAUAACAAAGAGGGACAGAGUAAACAAGAGAGGGAAUUUGAUACCUCGUUGUAUGCAUUUUCAUAGCCCAGUCUCAGUGAUGCUGCAAUUGCCAUACGUAGUGAAUCUGCCAAAAUCUUGUUGUUUGCUUUUCCAUCAAGUUUCAAGCAGUUAGUAAACCCAAAAUAAAUUGGUUGUGGCGUCACAUAUUCCGGAUGCCAUUGACGAAGGUCAGGAGAGGGUUUGGAUAGCUUUUCGAGUACGGAUGCAUCUAGUUCUUGUACACAUGACGGAAUCUCUGGCAAAGAUUGAAGCCGGUUGCAGUUCAUUGCAAUUAGUGACUGUAGACACAAUGGAAGUUCAGGUAAUGACCGAAGCAUGUUACAAUCCUCCAAGUGAAGAGUUUCUAAACCCAAUGGAAGUGCUGGUAAUGACUGAAGCAUGUUACAACGCCACAAGUGAAGAGUUUCUAGACCCAAUGGAAGUUCUGGUAAUGACUGAAGUAUCUUACAAUCCCUCAAUUCAAGAAAUUUUAGGCCCAAUGGAAGUUCUGGUAAUGACUGAAGCAUAUUACAAUCCUCCAAGUAAAGAUAACUUAGCCACGACAGUUGCUUGAUACUUGCAGGUAAACUCUCAAAGUUAUUUCCAUUUAAAUUGCCAAUGUUAUCCGGCAACUUAUCAAGUACAGAGCAACCACUUACGGACAAAAGUACAAGCCCCGUUUGCAAUGCCUCAAAUCCAACUUUUCAAGAUCAGUUAGGCACUCUACUGAUGAUGGAACUUCUUCUAUUGCAGUCUGGCCCAAGUUUAGCGAUGUUACUUUCCCAGAAAUCUGUGGAAACUCUAUGAGAUUAACACAAUAGGAGAAAUCAAUAGUUACUGGACAAACAAAAUGAAGAUUGCUAGGAAAAGACCUAAGACUUUUGCAGCCCAUAAAAUCCAACCUACUGAGAUACUUGAAAUUCUGGAUAUAUGAGGGAACACAAGCCAAGUUUGUAUAAUCCAAAAGAUAUGUUUCAACAUUUGGGGUUUCUAAUGGGCCUGGCAUCUUAAUGAAAUGUCGAGAAUGGCUGAGGUUAAUAGAUUUUAACUUGAAAGCUUCCUGCAAUAACAGAUAUAUAAAGACUAUAUUAAUUAAAAAGCAACAUUGAAUUCAACAAUUAAUUGCACGUAUAUUUAAAGAAAGAAAAAAUUAAUGUUUUAGUUUUAGUACAGAACUUACCUUUUCUCCUUCCCAAAGUUGCUCAACUUUACUAAAACGCAAAUUCAGUUCAACAAGGUUCUUUGGCUUGAAAUUUGAUGGCAGUGUCCUUAAGGGAUAUGUGUCCCAAUGAAGAUAUCUCAAUUUUUUAGGAAGAUAAUCUAGGCCAUUUGGAAGCUGCACUUUAGAGUAUGAAAGUUGCUCUUCAAUGCUCAUACUUAGAAACUUUUCAAUCUCAGGUACAUAAAAUUUGAGCAAUCUUAGAUUAGACAUUUUUGUGAAGGCUCCAGGGUCUAAAUUGAUGCCUUUUAUUUUGGACAAAUCCAGAAAUAUGCCUUCAAUUGCAUCGGUCCCCUUAUUAAAAAAAAAAACAAAGAAUGAGUAACCCUAAAACAGAAAAGAAACAUUCGCAAACUUUAUUAACUAAGAACUCCUUAAACAAAAACAAAUUCUGCAAUCUUUGAUUUUAUUUUUUAAAAAUAUUAAAUAUCUAUAUAUGAGAAAAGAAAAUUUUGGGGACCAUUGCAAAAUUAAACUAACCAAAAAAAAAAUUCAAAAUUUCUCUAAUUUACAAACCUGUUAUCUUAAUAUCUAGAAGUUGAGAAGACAAGGCGUAUUUGAUUGGUAUAAGAUUUCGAUUUUUUUUUUAGUCCAUAGAAUCCAAAAUGUUUGUUCAAAAUCAGGGAAAAAAACGAAAGUUAUUUUUUUUUCCACUAGCUGUAAUUGUAUCCAAGUCAAAUUGAGAUACGACCCUUUUCGAAAGGAUUUAAUCAUCUUAUAGCCUCCUUAAGAUACAUUUAAGCUAAAAGGAGUGAUUGGAGGCAGAACUUAGUGGGCCAAUCAGUUCAUUUUAUUAGCGACUGUUGCUUAAAAAAAAUUAUACUCUAAAACACACUUACUUUUUUGAAAAAAAAUAUAAUUAUAUUUAAGUAGAACCAGGUGGGCCAAUCCUCAUGGCACUCACUUUGUUCUGACACUCUUCACUAAAUUUGAAGAAAAAUAAAAUUAUACUCUUCACACUCUUAUUCAACAUUCCAAAAUUGAUAAAAUCUGGAGUUUUCUUUAAAAUUUUAAAAUUUGAAGACUUGUUCUCUUGACACCCUCAGUCAUUAAUUUUACCUAAUUAUGGUUUUGGUUGUUUUGUUCAUAAAAAUGCUUUUACUAAAGGAUGUUCUGGUAAUGAAAAAAUUUAUAAAAAAACAAACAUGGGUGUGCUGAUAUAGUUGGAAAAAUAUGAGUGCAUAACUCCAAACAAAUAAAAGAUACAUAAAAAAAAAAAAGGAGGAUUCUUACCAUAUUAUGCUUUAGUACGCGGCGGAUUUCCUUAGGAUCCCACAACCUACUGCGUCUGCCUGGCUCUUCCUCAGAUUCUUGGCGAACAAUCUCUCGGCCCAUUUCUUGCAAUAAAUCAUGCAUUUGCAAGCAGUUAUCUGACACUGUUAUAAGUGACUUGUCCACGAGGACAUCCAGUCUGUGAGACCCAGAAUCAUCAAGUAUCCUUAACACAAAAUCUUUAUCCUCUCCCUCAAGGAAACACGCAAUAUCUAGAAACAUACUCUUCACCCUGGGCGUUAAUUCUUUAAAACUAAUCUUUAAUGUAUCAUAAAUACCAUGAAUAUCAGAUUCACAAAUCCGAUUUAAGUCGUCCAAUACAUUUUCCCAAUGGCUUUUCCCCUUGAGAUACAGGGAGGAACCCAACACUUUAAGAACUAAUGGAUUGCCAUCGGCAUACCAUACAACCCUCCAUGAGUGCCGGUAGAGAUCUUCAGGACAAUGAUUUUCUUUAACAGCGAAGUUACAAAAAUGCUCGAAAGCCUCAUCAAAUUUCAAUCCAUUGACCCUAUAUAUUUUCUCCACUCCAAAUUUUUCGAGGACUCGUUUAUCCCUGGUGGUUACAACAAUUCUACUUCCUGGACCAUAUUGAUCAAGCCCUCCAAUCAAACCCUCUAAUUGUUCAUCUUUAUUCACAUCAUCGAGUACAAUCAACACCUUCAUGCGUCGGACCCUCCCUUUAGUAAAUUGUGGAAUAUUGGGACCAGCUACUUCAAGUUUUUCACUUAAUAUUGUCGAAAGCAUUUCCUUUUGUAGGUCUUCUAGGCCACCCUCUGUUUCUGAUUUUCUCCUAACAUUUUUUGCAAAGUAUUUACCAUCAAACUCACCAGAGAAUUGAUCGAAAAUAGCUUCAGCAAGGGUAGUUUUGCCUAUACCACCCGUGCCCCAAAUUCCAACAAUAUGGACAGUAUCCCACAAAUCCAUACACAGAAAUGGUUUAAUCUGCUCAAUUCGUGAAUUUAAUCCAACUAGGCCAUUGGAUGAGUCCGUUGAGACUGUUAUUUUUUCCAACUUCUUCAAAACAUCAUCGACAAUUUUGUUUACAAGUUCCGCAUCGUGCCUAAUAUAAAGGUGCAAAGAUGCAAAAACAUUGAGUCAAAUCGGGCCAAGACAGAAACAGAGAAAAGAUGAAUUAGGAAAGAGAGUUACCUGAAUUUCGUGGAUUCAUGGCCGGCUAGAUGGGAUGUUUCUGUCAGUGCAUCCCUCCACUUCUGAACCAUUUCUGGUUUAUCUUCGAACUGUUUUUUGAGCUCAUCAAAACGGUCUCCAAAUGUUCCGUUUUGAUGCCGCACAUCAGAUGGACUUACUCCAUAGAAGACUGGAAUAAUAAUUUGGCCGUUUGUGUUCUUGCAUUCAAGAAUCUUGACAAGUUCAUUCAGGCACCAUUUUGAAGAAGCGUAGUCCUUUGAGAAAAUGACCACCGAAAUUUUUGAACCUUGGAUUGCGUUCAAAAGGGCGGGUGAAAUCUCAUCUCCUCGCCUAAGCUCUUCAUCAUCAAUAAAUGUUUUGAUUUUUUUUCCUUCAUACAAUUUAUCAUAAAGAUAGCAAGUAAAGCUCUUACGAGUGUCCUCCCCUCUAAAGUUGAGGAAGACUUCAUAAUUGCAAGAAGAAGAAGAGGAAGCCAUGAAGGAAAUUCUAGAAAUUUGAAAGUAGAUUUAGGGAAUUAUAAAAAGCUGAAGGAAAUUGGAAUUUUGUACAGUUUCUCCAGCGAGGAACUUUCACCUCCGCACUAGAUUCUUAAGUUUUGAAAAUUAUGAGACCUUUAUAUUGGAAGAUAUUAUAAUCGAAUCAAAACUUAAAAUUUUAAUAUUGUUAAUCUUUAAUCUUUAAAAAAAAAUUACCUCGCCGUUACAGUUUGGAUUAAGAUUUGAGCAAGCAUUUACCUAAAUUUUAUCUCCGCCUGUAAAUUCUUAUGUUUUAAAAAUUAUGAGACCUUUAUAUUGGGAGAUAUUAUAAUCGAAUCAAAAUUUUGAAUUUCAAUAUUAUUAUUCUUUUAAAAAAAAAAUUGAGAUAACAGAGUGAUUGAUAAUAUAGGAGAACUUGUCUAGGCAAGCACAUGCAUACACAGAAAUGUGAUGGAUUCAAAAAGAAAUUAAAGUGAUAAUGUACGUGGAUCCUUAAAAUAAAAAGCGAAAUCGCUUGGUGGCCCAGUAAAAUUAGAGAACAAAGAAGAAUUAGUUAUUGAUAUACAAAAGAGAAACACUCCAAAAUUUCAAGCAAAAAUAGUUUCAUAUACCAUUUCAAUUUUGUAAGGGGUGAGGUUUUGAAUUUCAAUAGUUUCCUCUAAAAUCAAAAGGCAACAAUUAAGUUAGAAAGAGCAAAGAAGACUUAUUAGUACCUUAUUAAAGGUAACAUUAUGGAACUUUCAAUUUCAUUACCUCACUCUUCAAUUUUUAUUGAGAUUUGUGCAAGAAUUUACCUAAAUAUUACCUAAAAUUGAGAUAUCAGAGUAAUAUCAAAUAGAAAAACUUGCCACGGUAAGCCAAAAGUCUAGUCAACCACAUGCAUAAAGCUAAAUAGAACAACUAACAAGAGAACAGAGAAACGCGUGGGUCCCUAAAAGAAAAGGCAAGCACAUAGAUGAAAAAGCCAUUACAUUUCGAUUUUACAUGUCAUUAAUUUCUGUAACACGGUGUGUGGCAGCAUAUGCACAAUCAAGUGAGGCAAAAGGGAUUCGAUUAUCGUGGCAGAACAUGAACGAGGACGCGUGAUGAAUAAUUCCUUCGAUAAAACGAAAAACAAACGCAGAGAAAAGAAUUUCUUAUAUGACAAGAAAUCAAAGAAAUCAAAGUAAUGUUUCAUUUUCCCUUCCCUACCUUUUUUUUGUUUUAUUUUUAUAGCAAAGAAUUAUAUCAUGAAAAGAAUCAAUUUAAUCACCUUUUCUAGCAGCACAAUUUUUCUUUUAUAAAAUUUGACCAGGGAGACAAAGAAUAAUUAUUCAUACCUUCAUCACUAAGGAAAUACUUUUCGGUAUGGCUAAGGUGAGAAAAGGCUUUCCACAAAAACUUGUACUUUGUAUUCCUGUAAAUUUUCUUUAAAGUCAAUAAAAACCAUAAGUUCUUUACAAUAACCAUCUCUUUGAUAAAAAAGUGCCGUAUUCCUUUAGAAUUUAAAACCGGCAAAACUGAAUCAGUGUCUUUGAAGAGACAUAAUGGUCGUAAUUCUUUAAAUGAGUUGGCUAUGGAAAUCGUUAUCCAAGAUUCUUUUACGCCAUAUUCUUUCGUAAACCAAAAUUCAUUUUGGAAUACUCUGUUGAGAAUGUCAAAUAAAACGGCAUUGAAGGAAGUUUUCAAAGGCAGAAUCUGCACUUGUCAGAUGGAUGAUCUGCACUUGUCAAAGACACAAUCCGCGUCGAACGAAUCGACACAUUUCCUUUCGUAUUCACAUAUGCAAUUUUUGAAAAAAUGUAGCUUUUACAUCUAUAAAUAACACUCAGUGUAUAAUGUUUUAUUCAAGAAAAGAAAACAAGUUUCUUCAUGGUAUCAGAGCCAUGAAUACGCUCAAGUUUCUUCAAGUUUCGCUGCUCUGUUUGUAACAAAAACAGAGAAAACCAAAAUCUUCCCACAACCAUUUUUUCCACCAUUUUCUUCCUUAAAAUCAUUCCUACCAUUAUAGAAAUCCAUGCCGAUCAAAAAACAAGCCACCCAUACGUAAAAAACUUGAGUUUACAAAUUUAUCAACAAUCUCAUAAAUUAGAUACAAAACAACGUGAUGUUAAAUCUCCAGAACUGCAGCAGUCUUAAAACGACAUGUCGUUUCUAUUCCAUCAGAACCGACAUAUCAUUUCUUUAAGCAGAGGCCAAACGACUUGUCGUUUUUUUUUUUAUCUAAAAAAGUUAUUUUUUCUUAUUUCAAUCUAGACGCCAAAAAAAAAACAAAAAAAUGGAGAAAACUCCAACUGAAUCUGAUCCUGUUGUCAUUCAAUCUGUUCAAUCUGAUGAGUAUUUAAUGUUGGAAUUAUCUUCACUGAGACAAACUACGAUAUUUGGUCUUAAAUAAUGGAGUUGCAUCUCGCAGAAAGAGAAAAACUCUCAUAUAUUUGUAGCAACACAAAGUCAUCUGAGGAAUCUUCAAAGGAAUAUGAGAAAUGGUAUAGUGAGAAUGAAAAGGUAAAAAAAUGGUUACUCAUAUCCAUGUCUCUGGAUAUCAUGAAGUGAUAUUUACGAAUUCCUACAGCCUACGAAAUAUGGGAUGCAUUAUCAAAAGCCUUCUAUGAUGGAAUCGAUGAAUUACAAGUUUUCACUCUAAACCAGAAGGCGUCUCUACCAAGAAAAAUUGACAGCCACUAUCUAAAUUCUACGGAGAAUUGAUCGAAAUAUUUUGAGAACUUGAUCACCGAGAUAAAGUGAUCAUGAAGGAUCCAGAAGAUGUUGUAAUAUACAAAAGGUCUGUUGAAAGAUUGAGAGUUCACAUUUUUCUUGUUGGGCUAGAUGAAGAAUUUAACCAAGUUCGUGGAGAAAUUCUAUGAAAAGAUAUUAUCCCAGACUUAGAAGAAUGUUAUUCUUUGAUCUGAAGAGAAGAUGUACGGCAAAACAAACUAAACAAGAAGGUCGACUCAGAAACGUUUGCUAUGAUAGCACGACAACAGCCUCAAAGGAAGCUUGUUGACAAGUCAUCACUCCAUUGCACUCAUUGUAGGAAGAAGGGUCAUAUGAAAGCACAAUAUUUUGAAAUCAUUUGAUAUCCUGACUGGUGGGAUACUUGAAAGAAAAACAUCAAGCAGGGAUAAAAAACUGCAGUAGCUGAAUCCACAUCCACUACAGAUCUUAGAAAAGAAUCUUCAGUGCAAAUCGCAACCUCUGUUAGUCCAGGUAAGGCCCUUAAAACUCUUAUACUUGUUAUUAAUAGUACAUGGAUAAUUGAUUCUGGGGCAACUGAUCAUAUGACUUUUGAUUCUCGACAAGUUUCUCAAUUGAUACCAUCUUCACAAAAACAUGUUUCCACUCCAAAUGGAACCACAACCUUAGUUAUUGGGGAAGGAUCUUUACGACUCACAUAUAAAUUAAAUUUAGACUCUGUGUUAAUUGUUCCAUCUUUAGAUUAUAAUCUUUUAUCUGUGUCUCAAUUAACCACUUACUUAUCAUGUGUUGUAAUUUUUUGGCCUGAUCAUUGUGUGUUUAAAGACAUCCAAACGAAGCAAACGAUUGGUUAUGGUAUUAGACGGGGCCACUUGUACUAUUUGGAGAUGACAUCAACAAACACUGGAAAGCUAAGCCCUGCACUAGUCGCAGAUAGUUCCAUAAAAAAAAGGAAAUCAGAAAUUUGGUUAUGGCAUAGACGUUUAGGGCAUGUGUCAUUUGGUUACUUAAAAAAAUUAUUUCCUAGUUUAUUUCUGAAAUUUGAUAUUUGUAACUUUAAAUGUGAUGUUUGUGAACUUUUAAAAAGUCAUCGAACUACUUUUCCAUUGUCCUUAAAUAAGAAUCAAGUUCCUUUUAUGGUAGUACAUUCUGAUGUAUGGGGGCCAUCGAAAGUUUCUACAAUUGGAGGUGCUCGUUGGUUUGUUACAUUUAUUGAUGAUUGUAGCAGAAUGACAUAGAUUUUUCUGAUGAAAUCGAAAGACGAAGUAAACUCUUUAUUUUAAAGAUUUCAUAAGAUGGUGACGACUCAAUUUCAGACACAAAUUCGAGUUCUACAUACUGAUAAUGGAGGCGAGUAUAUGAGCACAACAAUUCAACAGUUUCUGAAAUCACAAGGAACUGUCCAUCAAACCACUUGUGUGGGGACACCCCAACAAAAUGGCAUUGUUGAACGAAAAAACAGACAUUUACUAGAAGUUGUUCGAGCAUCACUAAUCCAGGCCCACAUGCCACUAUCUUAUUAGGGAGAAGCACUGGCAUCCGCAGCAUACUUGAUCAAUCGAACACCUUCAAGCUCCCUUGGAUUCCAGACUCUUUUCCAGGUUCUAAAUGAUGCAAUUAUGUCACCAAAUGUGCCGAAUUUACCCCCACAUGUGUUUGGCUGUGUUGCCUUCGUUCAUUUGCCGCAACAAGACAAAUUAUCUCCUCGAGCACUACGUUGUGUGUUUGUAGGGUAUGCCUUACAGCAAAAGGGAUACCGAUGAUAUGAUCCACCAUCAAGAAAAAUAUACAUCACCAUGGAUGUCGUCUUUCAUGAAGAUAUCAUAUACUACUUGUCAAAGCCUGAAUUUCAGGGGGAGUAUAAUGAAGAGGAAAUUCAUAAUCUUAUAUAUCUUCCACCUAAAGAAGAUCAAUCUUCCAUUGAGGUUGUAAACCUUCAAGAUACUGGAAAAGAAAAUGGUGGUGAUUCUCAGGCUGAGAUAAGUGAAGACACAUUUGGGGAGCAAAAUAACUUAGACACAACUGCAAUCGAGAAUGAGUCACAUGAAGAAAUACCUAACUAAUCGUCUGCAGAGGAUGUUCCUACCACAAGUCCUAGUCUAGUCAGAAGAAUUCUUCCUCAGCGUCAAAAUAGAGGUAUCCCUAAACCCACAUAUGAGCCCGACCUUUCUAGUAGAGUCAAAUACCCUAUGAUUUAUUUUGUGUCUAACCAUCGCUUGUCAGAAUCAAAUCAGUCAUUUGUGAAUCAAUUAUCUACUGUAUCUAUUCCUAAUAGUGUGCAGGAAGCCUUAAAAGACCCAAAGUGGAAAGCGACUAUGAAUGACGAAAUGUGAUCUCUUCAAAAAAAUCAAACAUGGGAACUAGUUGAUCUUCCACCUGGAAAGAAACCAGUGGGUUUCCGAUGGAUCUACACUAUAAAGUACAAAGCAGAUGGCUCUAUUGAACGAUACAAAGCAAGGCUCGUAGCUAAGGGUUACACCCAAACCUACGGGAUAGAUUAUGCCAAUAUGUUUGCACCGGUAGCAAAAAUUAAUACUAUUCGUAUCUUAUUAUCAUUAGCAGUCAACUUGGAUUGGCCAGUGUAACAGUUCGAUGUAAAGAAUGCUUUCCUCCAUGGAGACCUGUCUGAAAAAAUUUAUAUGGAUAUGCCACCAGGAUGUAGUGGACCAGAACGACUCAAUCAGAAAGUAUGCAAAUUGAAGAAAUCAUUGUAUGGGUUGAAGCAACCCCUAAGAGCAUGGUUCGGGAAAUUCACAAAGGCUAUGGUUCUUUUUGGGUAUAACCAAAGCAAUUCAGAUCAUACCUUGUUCAUUAAAAAAUGACAAGGUAAAAUCACUGCCCUCAUUUUCUAUGUGGAUGAUAUGGUAGUCAUAGGUAACGACGGGGAAGCAAGAGAGGCUCUUCAGAAGUACUUGUCGAGAGAGUUUGAGAUGAAGGAUUUAUGAGCCUUAAAAUACUUUCUUGGAAUUGAGGUUUCUCGAUCUAAGGGAGGAAUUUUCCUGUCUCAAAGGAAAUAUGCUUUAGAUCUAUUAAACGAAACGUGAAUGACAGCUUGUCAGCCUAUUGACACCCCAAUAGAAGAAGGACUGAAGUUUUGUAUUACCUCAGACUAAGUUCCAGUAGACAAAGGAAGAUAUCAAAGGCUGAUUGGAAGAUUGAUGUACUUGUCCCACACAAGGCCAGCUCUUGCUUAUGCAUUGAGUGUUGUAAGUCAGCUUAUUCAUAAUCCCGGAGAACAACACAUGAAAGCAGUAAUGCGGAUCCUAAGGUACCUGAAGUCAAAUCCAGGAAAAGGAAUCCUAUGUUCCAAAAAUGGAGAUUACAGCAACAUAGAAGUUUAUACUGAUGCAGAUUGGGCCCGGUCAGUUAGUGAUAGACGCUCUACCUCAGGAUACUUUACCUUAGUGGGAGGCAACCUUGUCACAUGCUGCUUCACUUGCUGCCAAUCCAGUUCAUCAUUCAAGAACAAAACAUAUAGAGAUUGAUGUUCACUUUGUGAGAGAUAUAAUUUCCAACGGCGGAGUGGAAGUAAGAUAUGUCCCUACUGAAUAUCAGCCUGCAAACAUCUUCACAAAAGCUCUUCCUGCUGAUAUGUUUCAACAGUUGCGAGACAAGCUACAUAUUCUUCCUAGAACAUUGCGCUUGAGGGGGCAUUAUGAAAAUAUUGUAGCAGAGCUACCAAACUUGAGUAAUACGAAUUCAAAGUUGUUAGAUGACAUGGCAGCACACUUGGCAUUCAUUGGUGUUUUGGAAAGUUAAAGUGAUCAACCUUAUCUCUUAGCUUAUCAUUAAUUCAAGCUGCACUUUUGUAUUUAUCAAGAUCAAGAUAAAGAUAACAAUUGUGCUAGGCUUGAUCUUAUUCUUGGCAUUAUCGUGUUUCCUGUAGAGCAUUAUAAAUGUAAUGAUUAUGAGAUGAAUAAAAUAACGAAAAUGUGUUUUGUUUCUUCUUUAAGCUCAUCUUUAUAAUUUAAGUUGGUAUCAGAGCAUGGCGAGCUCCAAUUCUGCGAAAUUAGUCAAUAUGAAUACUGUAAACCAAACACCACAAAUUUCUAAUUUUUUGACUCCUGUCAAAUUGGAUAGGCAAAAUUUUAUGAUAUGGAAGUCUCAAGUGCUACCUUCCAUUCGUGGUAACAAUCUUGAAAGCUUGAUCAAUGGAGCAAAACUUGUACCCACUAAAUUCUUGGUGCAAGUAGAAGAGGAUCAAACAGUAACGACUGUGGAAAAUCCAGAAUAUAUACAAUGGCUGAGACAAGAUCAGCUUUUACUUAGUUGGCUUUUGUCCACUAUGACUGAAUCAGUUUUAAGCAUAGUGGUGCAGUAUACAACCUCUUUUGAGGUUUGGAAUGCCUUGAAGACAUUGUUUGCAUCUCAGUCAAAGGCUAGAAUUUUGUAGCUCAAGAUGCAACUCCAAACCACGAAAAAGAAUGCUAUGACCAUGAGUGACUAUGUCAACAAAAUGAAAAAUUUAGCUAAUAGCCUGGCAAUGGCUGGAAAAUAUGUUACUGAAGAUGAUUUAAUUUCUUAUAUUCUUGCAGGUUUAGGAACUAAAUACGACCCUGUGGUUGUAAAUAUUACAGCAAGAACAAAUGAUUUAUCUCUGCCUGAAGUAUCCUCUCUUUUGCUCAAUCAUGAAAGUCGAAUGGAACAACUCUCAGCUGCUGCAAAUCUUGAGUCUAAAGGCAGUUUUAAUGCAAAUUUUGCAGGAGCUUCUUUUCACAAAAGGAAAGUUAUAAGAAAAGGCUUUAUGUCAGGAAGUUUAUGAGGCAAUGAACGUGGUAGAGGCAAAGGAAGAACCAAUUUUAGCCGUGGUGGAAAUAGGCCAACCUGUCAGAUAUGUGGCAAAUAUGGACAUUCAGGAUAUCAAUGUUUCUUCCGCUUUGAUCGGGGGUUCUCUGCAAGACAAGAGGCAACACAAGCAGGUCAAGCCUCUGCCUAUAUGGCACUCCCUGCUGAAGAAAUAGAUAAUGGAUGGUAUUUGGACAGCGGAGCAACACACCAUGUUACAAAUGAUUUAAACAAUCUGCAGAUUAAGUUAGAAUUUAAGGGAGGUGAGAAGCUGGUAGUAGGUAAUGGUAAAACUUUAGCAAUAUCUCACAUUGGCAGUGCACUUAUUUAUAUUCCAAACCAUGAACCAUUGUUGCUUAAUGACAUUUUAUAUGUGCCCAAAAUCACCAAGAACUUAAUUAGCAUUUCAAAAUUACUUUCUGAUAAUAAACUAAUGCUUGAUUUCUGUGACAAUGUUUGUACUCUUAAGGACAAAGUUCUGGGGAAGAAGCUGCUGCAGCGAAAAAUUGAAAGAGGCUUAUAUCGGCUACCAGUGCUUUCAAGACAAGCCAUUCUAUCUGAUUCAAAAAUUAUUUCCAAUAAAUCUUAUUAGUCUUCUCUUCCAUUUAGCUGUUUCAAUUCUAGCUCAACAAUAAGUUCUGUAAAUGAACAAGAAUUUAUUUCCAAUUCCAAGCCUAGCAGUUUUAUAAAUCUUUUGCACAGAAGGAUGAGACAUCAUCAUCUUGCUGUACUAAAACAAAUUCUACCUUUGUGUAACAAAACAAGUCAGUUAAAUAAAAAUCUCAUUCCUCAAUUCUGUGAUGCAUGUCAACAAGGAAAAAGUCAUAGGCAAACUAUCAAAGCAUCAAAUAGUAGAGCUUCAGAACCUUUAGAAUUAUUGCAUCUUGACUUGUGGGGGCCUGCACCUUUAAUGUCUAGAAAUGGCUACAAAUAUUAUUUGAGUAUUGUAGAUGACAACACACGUUUUACAUGGAUAUUUCCACUUAAAGUUAAAUUACAAGCGUUUGAAGCUUUUAAGUAUUUCAAAGUUCAAGCCGAAAAACAAUUAGGAAAGAAAAUCAAAAGUUUACAAACUGACGGUGGAGGAGAGUUUCAAGCAUUUACAAUUUUUUAAAAGAACAGGGUAUUAUUCACUGACUUUCUUGCCCACACACGCAUCAUCAAAAUGGUAGAGUGGAGCGAAAACACCAACAAAUUGUAGACACUGGUUUAACACUUUUGGCAUAGGCUGGCAUGCCACUCACUUUUUGGUGGGAUGCUUUUCAAACAUCUGUUUAUUUAAUUAAUAGAAUGCCUACUUCCAUCUUAGAAAACAAAUCACCAUUUCAAAUACUUUAUGAUGAAGAAUAGGAAUCAAUAUUAUACUAGGAUUAGUUUCCUUAUUAACUAAAGUUUAAGACUUUUAAAUUCCUUUCUAAUUUAGAAUUUUGUUUCCCUUUCAAUUUAGGAUUUUGUUUUACUUCAUGAAUUAGGAUAAUUAUUACUACUAUAAAUAGCUCCCUCUUGUAGCCUUUAAAGGCAGAGAAUUUUGAGUUUAAUAAUAUUUCAAUUUUCAAAUCUCUUUGUGAGUAUUUGAACAGUUAAUUCUCGGUAUUCUGCGAAAUCAACGAGUCUUAAAUCCCUAAGUUCGCGGUAUUCUUUUGAAUCAACAUGAAUUUAGUUGUUCUUUUAUUCUGGUAUUCUCUAGAAUCAACGGAAUAUUUUGAAUAUUAAACUUCCACUGCAUCACUUUACAAGAAAAUACCUGAUUAUUCUUUUCUAAAAGUUUUUGGAUGUGCUGUAUUUCCUCAUCUUCGAGAUUACAACAAACAUAAAUUAGAUUUUUGAUCAGAUAAAUGUAUAUUUUUAGGCUAUAGUACAGCUCAUAACGGGUAUAAGUGUCUCCACAAGUCAGGAAAAAUUUUUGUAAUGCGACAUGUUGUCUUUAAUGAAUAUGAUUUUCCUUUUAAAAGUGAUCCCUCCUUCAAAAUCUCAAAGAGUUAUCCAAAUCAUGAUUCUAGUACUCUCUUUCAGUCUCCUAUGUUUGCAGGUUUUGAAAGUCCUAGAGCCUAUAAGACUCUCUCGGUUAUUCAUGCAACAGACUCUCUACUAGAGUUGGUUCAUAACACAAUAGUUAUAGAUCAGGCAUCAAGUCAAGAUGAGGAAACCAAUUUUGAAUCCAACACCAAAAGCCCACCUGGAAAAGCCAACCUUGAAUCAAGCACUGAAAUCCAAGCAACUGAAAACACCACACAAUCUUUAUCUAUCCCCGCGUUUAUCAAUCAAGAAGCCGAUCACACAAUCUCUCAACCACCUAGUUCAACUCCUCAUUCUCAACAGCCAACACAUACACAAUCCACUCAUCCAAUGAUCACUCGUGCCAAGGCCGGCAUCUUUAAACCCAAACCUAGACUUUACCUAACAACCUCUCAUACCAAAAUAAGUGUACAUGCCAGUGUUAGUGAAGCUUUGGAAGAUCACAAUUGGCGUAAUGCUAUGACAGAAGAAAUGAAUGCUUUGGCUAGGAAUAACACACGGUGUUUAGUUCAACCUACUUCUGACAUGAAGAUUGUGGGAAAUAAAUGGGUUUUUCGGAUAAAACAAAAGGCUGAUGGUUAGAUAGAGCGAUAUAAGGCUCGGUUGGUUGCAAAAGGAUUUCAUCAGACCCCAGGAAUCGAUUUCAACGAGACUUUUAGUCCUGUUGUUAAAGUUGCAACAAUUCGAUUGGUGUUAAGUAUUGCUGUGAUGAAAAAUUAGGGUGUAAUACAACUGGAUGUGAACAACGCCUUUUUAAAUGGAGACUUAGUAGAAGAUGUUUACAUGAUGCAGCCUGAAGGCUUUAUCAACAAAGCACAACCAAAUCAUGUGUGUAAAUUGAGAAAAGCAUUGUAUGGGCUUAAGCAGGCUCCAAGAGCUUGGUUUGAAAAACUCAAGAGAGCAUUGAGUGACUGGGGUUUCACAAAUUCUAAAUUAGACACAUCACUAUUUAUUUUGCAGCAAGGAAGGGAUAUAAUAUUUGUCCUUAUUUAUGUGGACGAUAUUUUAAUAACAGGAAGUAAAGAAAGUUUGGUGCAAGAAGUUAUUGAACGACUUAAUUGUCAGUUUGCUUUAAAAGUGCUCGGACCAUUAAGCUAUUUCCUUGGUCUUGAAGCUCAUCGCACAGAGAAUGGCCUACAUCUUAGCCAACACAAAUAUAUUUGUGAUCUCUUGAAGCGCACAGAUAUGGAUGGCUGCAAGGAAACAUCUACUCCUAUGAGUGUAGUACCGAAACUUUCAGCUGAAGGUGGUAAGCAAUUUUCUGAUCCUACACUUUAUCGUAGCAUCGUUGGAGCCUUAUUAUACGUAACUAUUACUCGGCCUGAAAUUUCUUAUGCUGUUCAUCGUUUAAGUCAGUAUAUGCAAAAUCCUUUACAGCCGCAUUGGCUUGGGUGUAAAAGAAUCCUUAGAUAUUUACAAGGAACAGCUGAUUAUGGAAUUUAUUAUACUACCAAAGGAAGAAUGACGCUCACAGGCUAUACAGAUGCAGAUUGGGCAAACAAUAUUGAUGAUAGAAAAUCAACUGGAGGCUACUGUAUUUAUCUUGGCAAUAACUUAAUCUCAUGGAGUUCAAAGAAACAAAAUGCAGUAGCAAGGUCUUCAACUGAGUCAGAGUAUCAAGCACUUGCAAAUACCACAGCAGAAAUUUUAUGGCUUCAAUCUGUGCUUAAAGAGUUGCAGGUGCCACUAACUGAAAUUCCAAUUAUUUGGUGUGACAACACUGAAGCUGCUUCACUUGCUGCCAAUCCAGUUCAUCAUUCAAGAACAAAACAUAUAGAGAUUGAUGUUCACUUUGUGAGAGAUAUAAUUUCCAAAGGUGGAGUGGAAGUGAGAUAUGUCCCUACUGAAUAUCAGCCUGCAGACAUCUUCACAAAAGCUCUUCCUGGUGAUAGGUUUCAACAGUUGCGAGACAAGCUACAUAUUCUUCCCAGAACAUUGCGCUUGAGGGGGCAUCAUGAAAAUAUUGUAGUAGAGCUACCAAACUUGAGUAAUACGAAUUCAAAGUUGUUAGAUGACAUGGCAGUACACUUGGUAUUCAUUGGUGUUUUGGAAAGUUAAAGUGAUCAACCUUAUCUCUUAGCUUAUCAUUAAUUCAAGCUGCACUUUUGUAUUUAUCAAGAUCAAGAUAAAGAUUACAAUUGUGCUAGGCUUGAUCUUAUUCUUGGCAUUAUCGUGUUUCCUGUAGAGCACUAUAAAUGUAAUGAUUAUGAGAUGAAUAAAAUAACGAAAAGGUGUUUUGUUUCUUCUUUAAGCUCAUCUUUAUAAUUUAAGUAAAGGGACUUUUGCAUAGCCUCUGGUGUGUGUGUGAUUUCUCUUUCGUUUCCUCAUCAAAUUCUGUAAUUCUUGCUUCGAUAAAAAGCUUUUAAUCUCUUCUGUAGUGUGUGAUCAGUGCGUAAUCAUUUUGAGCAAUAACAGCUUGUGGGUUUUUCCUUCAAACAGUGUCGUUUUGGUCAGUUUGUUAGUUUCUGUGUUCGUCUGAUUCCAUUGCUCUUGUUCUCUGUUCUUGAUCUGUUCGUGGAAUUUUUCUUUGGUUAUUUGUUCUCAAAUUUCAACUGUAUAUAAAGUUUGAACUCUGAUUGCUUAUAAUGUAUUGAUUAAGAAUAAUCCUAAGAGUUCCCGAUUGAAAUUUUUAAUGACUAUUUUUAUUGUUUUGGAUAUACAAAUUGAAUUAAGAAAAAAUAUUGUCAAAUUCAGAGGAUAAGGGGAAAUAAUUAUGCUUCAAAAGGCCAGAGAUUAGAGAAUAAAGAAGCAUUCAUUACUCUAUCAAAAAAAAAAAAAAAAAAAAAGCAUUCAUUACUGAUAUACAAACUGCUUUUAUUUGGAUUUUGGAAGGGGUGAAGUUUUGAACUUCAGUUGUUCCUCUAAAAUCAAAAGCAGCAAUUAAGCGUUCUCAAUUAGAAAGAGCUAAGAAGACUUAUUGGUACCUUACUGAAGCUAACAUUAUGGCACAGUUGUUCAUAUAUAAUGGCUGCUCUGUUAUGCUAGCUUCUCUGUUUUUGCUUCUAUUUUUGCUUACAGUUUUGAACAUAAAUUCUUGCUCAAAUAACCCAUAAUUAAAUAACACUAAUAUGGCUCGUGAAAUCCCAUAAUAGCUAAUUACGCAACUUUCUCCUCCUCCUCAAUUCUGUCUUCCCCUGCUCGUACACUAAAUUCAAAAUUCAAUGCCCCGAAAAACAACACAAGAAAUCUUUGAGUUAAUUCGCGACCAGUUUAUAUAUAGUAGCAAUUGAAAAAGGAAAAAGAAUAAAAGAGUUCAUUAUUAUUCAGACCUUCACUUAUUAGGAAGUUUGUUCUGCUGUUGGGUGAGAUCAAGCUCUCAGCAUAUACUUCCACAUUAUACUUUCUAACAUUUUCUUGAAAGCCAUCAAUCAUAAAAUCUUCAUACUUUUUUCCAUCCUUUGGAUCAAUAAGUACAAAUUUCUCAUCUAAAACAGACAAAAUAAAAUCACUGUCCUUCAUGGAACAUAAUGGCUGCAAUGCCUGAACUGAAUUGGCUAAUGAAAUUUGAGUCCAGGAUUCUCUCAGCCCAUAUUCUUUCAUAAUCCAAAAUUCUUUUCUUUCUCGACAUGGAACAUAGUCUUCUUUUCUUUCUGGACAUAUGUCUCUGUACUUUUCUCUCUCUACUGAUCCACACUUUUUCAUACUUCUAACUAUCAUUUUGUUUUUUUUUUGUUAAGUUGUGAUUUAUUCAAUUAUUUUGUAUUUUUAAUGAAAAUUAUUUAAUAUUUAGUUAGUUUUGAUAUUGAUUAGUGAUUGAAAGUGUAUUUUAGAAGACUUCCGGUCUCUUGGAAAAAGGAAAAAUGGAGACGAAGAAGAAGUGUUCUUGAUUUUUUUGUAGGCAUUAAAGUUAAACGGUUUGAAAUGAUAUUUUGUUUUAAUUUCACUCAUUAAUCUCAUUCAGGAUAAAAUUAUAAAUGCAAAUAAAUGGGGUUUCAUGAGUUUUUUUUAAUAGUGUUAAAAGGUCUACUCACUAAAUAAAUAUGUUUAACCCAAACCAAUGCGAUUAGUAAGUUAUUGGGUUGGGUUGAUCAGGUUAAAAAUUAAAAUUAAAAAUUAAAUAAUUAAAAAAGGCAUAAAAACUAUCUGUUACUUGAAAAUAAAAAGAAUUUCUAAUAGUUAGUUCUAAUGUCCCAUAUCCAAAACAUCCAUAUUAAAUAAAUAUUAUAAGUUAGAAAUACAAUAUCCAAGAAAGAAUGAAUGAAAUACCAUAUUUUUGUUGAGAAUUAAGAGUGUGAUUUUAAUUUUGAUAUUGGAGUCUAAAGUGCCACGUUUAAAUAAUCUCUUUUAUAAAAUAAUAAAAAGAGAUUAAAAAUUAGGUUAGCCAUUUAGGCAUUCAGGGUUUAGCAAUUAAGGAUGAACAUAUUAUUGUUGUUGUUUUUUGUUGUUGUUGUUGUUGUUGUUGUUGUUAUUAUUAUUAUUUAUAUGUUUACUAAUCCAAUUUACGUAUAAGUACAAAAGUUUCAAAUAUUGUCUAUUAUUUUUUUAACAUGCCUAUUCCUUGUGGAUAAUUCUGUCUCAUCACUAAUGUUGUUUCUUGCUUACAAUUUGUAUAGCGUCUCAAAAUAGACAAUAGGGGGAUUUUGAAUUUUUUAAGUCUCAAUAUAGUCUCUUAUCUUGUGAGACAGAUUUUCUUUCAAUAAUUUGGAGGUAAACAUAACAUAACUUUUUGGACUAAAGCCUAGCUCUGCUAAUUAGUAAUUGGUGGUAUCCUUUUCAAGACCUGAGUCUUUAAAUUCGAGUUUUAUAUAGUGCGCAUGUGUAUUUAAUUAAUAUUUUUUUAAAAAAAUUACAUCAAAUACUAAUAUUCAUGACAUAAUUUAGUUCAUAAUGUUUUUUUAAAUACAUCGAAAAUAUAAUUUUUUAACAACUUAUAGGCAUGACAAAUUUCAAGAUAUAAAUAUCAGUCAAAAUAAGUGAAAGAAAUAAUGGUGCCAAUUCUAAUUUCUUAACUAAAUUAAUUACUGCAUGAGCCCCCAAUACGGCACGAGAGUUUGAUGGGCUAACUUGGCACAAGAACAAUAGUUAAUUGAUUUAAGAAAUAAUUCAAUGAAAAAUAUAAUUGAUAAGAAUUUAGUAUUGAAAUGAGUUUUUUUCGAAACACUGAAUUAAUGAUUAUUAAGCAAGAACAAUAAAAAAAAUAAAAUAAAAAAUAAAGAUUAACCAUUGAUAAGCUUCAACAAGAACUUAACACAACCCUCAAUCCUAAUUCAAAUUAUAAAUGUCAUUCAUAUAUUCAUUAUAAAUCAAUAACAAAGGUUAUAAAUGUUUAGAAAUUCUAGAGGGAAGGAAGCUAUCGCCGGGCAAUCAACAACUAAAUUUGAUGUAAUUGUGGCACAAGAUGGAAUAUGAAAACUACACCAUAAUUUCAAAUGCCGCCAUAGACAUUGACUUAUCUACAGUAACAAUGAUCUAAUUAAAAUUAAAAUAAAGUUUAUGGGCAUUUAUUAUAUUUGCCAUUCCUCAUUUGCAAAUAGGGAUAUAAUUAUAAUUUUACUUAGUCAAAGCAAUCAGUAAUUUUUAGGGGUGUUCAAAAUUCAAUCCGAUCCGCUCAAUCCGUCUGAUCCGUAGAAAUCCGAUCCGUAAAAAUCUGAUCUGUGGAUUGGUAGAUUGGAUUGAAUUGAAAAUUUGAUAAUCCGCAAUCGGUGGAUUGGGUAUGGAUCUACUUCUGUAAAUUCGUAAAAAUCCGUGAAUCGGCAAAAAAUAAAAAGUAUUUAUUUAUUAAAAAAUAAAACUUGUAAAUAUGGCAAUAGUACUUACUAGUAAAUAAAUAAGUUAAAAUAUAGUUACAUUAACACUAUAUUAUAUCUUAUCCGAUAAUAAUAAAAAAUAAAAAAUAAUUAAAUAAACAAAUAUAACUUUCUAAAUAGUUAAUUUUCAUGUACUGAUCUAAACGAAUGAGAUUUUUUUUUUUUCAUUUUGGUGUGUUAUGUUUUGAACUUUAAAUGUAAUUUUUAGUUUUAUUUAAACAAGUAAUUUAUUUAAAUCUUAUUUAAUUUUAAAUUUGAUCGGCAAUAAAAUUAUUUAUAUUAAUUUUUUUUUAUUUAGUUAGUUCGUAGAUUGGACAGUAUUAAAAAUUUUCAGUCCGUAAACCAAUUCGCAAAAUGGUGGAUUGGAUAUGGAUUGGGUCAAAUCCGCAUCCAAUCCGCAGAUGUAUGAAUUGAAUUUCACCAAUCCAUGAAUUGGAUUGGAUUAAAAAUUUAUAAUCCGCAAAAUCGUGGAUCAGAUAUGGAUUGAGGUCCAAUCCGUAAAAUUUGAUCCGGAAACACCCCUAGUAAUUUUCUUCAUUAUAGGAGUGAAGUAAAAACAUUUAGAUUUUAAUGUAUGUACGGAAAAAUUUAUCUUUAAAAAUACUUUCUUAAUGUGUGUAUAUAUAUUGAAAUACUCAAACCAAUUUUGGUUAUUAUAUAAUUAAACAAAUUUUAAAAUAUGAAAAAUAUAAUGUAGUUAUAGUGGAUAAACAAUAAGUGAGCGCAAUAUAAUUAAUCAAAUAUCAUGCCAUCAAAAGUUAAUUUUAGAAAUUCCAAAUCCAACAGCCAACACAAUUCUUUUAAAAAAAAGCUGACACAAUUAAUAAAAUUAGUGACAUGAAUUUCACACCAUUGAUAAUAAGCAAUUAGUAUUACUUUCUAAACUUGCUUCAACUGGUCGUUGAUGUCCGGGGUCACCAAAAGUAUAAGCAAUAAUAAGGGGCAUUGGGCAAGAGUGAUGAAUGUUUAGUCGGUGCAUUUGAUUGCUAGAUAUAUAAAGGGCCGAAACUUGAGAUUAUAUUACUUUUACAAAUUUUAAUCCAAUCACAUAUUUAAUGAAAACAAAAUGAGUUAGGAUACUUUAUUUAGAACCCACAUUUUAAUAAGGCUUCAUUUGAUGUAGUUUUUUAAACAGUGAUUAUUUAAGUAAAUUUUCCUCAAUAGAGUUUUUAUCAAACAAAUUUAUUUAUUUAGUUGUCGAUAAGAGUUUUUAUUAAAAAUUAUAAAAUUAUUUAAAUAAACAUGUUUUUUAAAAUUACAUUAUAAAAAUAAUUAAAUAAAAUUAUAAAAGUAAAAUAUAUUUUAGAUAUUUUAAUAUUUAAGAAAAAUUUUCAAUCUCUACUUUCAAAAGCUCAAAUUUUUAGCUUUUAGUUGUAGAGACAAAAUAUUUUAUUUAAUCUUUAAAAGUUAUGCUAAAAACAAUCAAAUAACUACAAAAAUUUUAAUAAGAGUAUAUAAAAUUAAAUGGUAAUUUUUAAAAACCUCCCCUGAGGUUUGGGCUUGUUGCAAGUAGAUGGCGAGAAUCCAUUUAUUUGUAACAAACCCCCUACCGUCAGUUAAUUUUUGCAUUAACCGUUAGUUGACUGUGCAAAGACAAUAUUGUCCCUAAUGACAGUUUGUAGACUGACAUAGCUAAAAAAAAUGCUGAGAUUGUCGGCACGAAAAUCACAAAUAAUUUUUUUUUGACAAUUUUGUCCUUGUUAAUUCCAAGAUUUACAAUGUCAUAAGUAAGGAUUAUGACUAUUUUACCCUCUUAAAAUUAUUGAUAAUUCCUUAAAAUUUCUACAAAAAAGAUAAAAUUAAAAACUUGAAGAAAAAUAAAGUUCUCAAGCCGGCUAACCAAACACAUAGAAUAAAAAAUCCAUCGUUUGACAACAAAAACAACUUUCCAUAAACCCAAACAAAAAUAAACAAGUCCCCAUUACUCUAAUUGGCUUUGCUUGGAGCUGUUACUAUUGUGCAUACAUUUCUAGGCAAAGCAAAAUGACCCCAUGAUAUAAACCUUAUAAAACAUGCCUCCACUAUUCUUAAUUUUGGUAUAAUAAUAAUAAUAAUCACAAAAAAUUAAUUGAAAACUUGACUAAUUAUCUUUGGUGGAGAAUUUUAAACCGAAACCGAUUCAGGAACCUUAAAUUGAUCAAAAGGAAGCUAAUAAUGACAAAAAAGUAACCGAUCAAAAAUCAUUAAGCAUAAAAAAAUAUUGAAUUUAAAUAACUAAAAAUGCCAUCGGAAAUUGAAAUUAAUUAUUUAACAUAUAGCAUGAAAACAAAUCUUCACUAUUGGUGCUAGGCGGCUGUCGUUUAGCUUGGUUCUAAGAGGUGGCAGUCAGUCAACUUCGAGACGGUGCGUUCGAAGUCAACUAAGCUGCAGCAGAGGUUGCAGGGGGCAGAUUGCAGCGAAGUCGCGGUGGAGCAGAGGUCGCGUCGCGGUGGAGAAGAGGUCGCGUUGCGCUGGCUUGGCUUCACGGUGGUGGGAUGGCUGGGCGGGCUGGCCAGCUGUGUGCGCAUUGUAUAUGAUUGUUUUUCACUUUUUUAAUAUUUUCUUGUGCAUUAGUUCAGAUUAGAUUAGUGAGUUUGUGUGUGUGUUUGCAGUUGAUUUGGUUAAGAUAUUUAGGUUAAAAUAAUUUUUUUUAAUAAAUUUUUUUUUUCAAAAUGUCAACAAUGCCCACAACUACCCAAAUGGCAACUAAGCAGAGUAAAAACGUAGGGGUUUUUUUUUAUAAAUAAAUAGAUUCUCGUCAUCUAUUUGCAACAAACUCAAAUCUCGGGGGAGGUUUUUAAAAAUUACCCUAAAAUUAAAUAAGCAUUUAUUAAUAAUCACUUUGGUAUACUUAUCUAAUGACCAUAAGUGUUUAUUUAAUCUCAUAAGUUCUUAUUUAAUCUCAUGAGCUCUUUUCAAUUUUUUUUGUUGUUUGUUUUUUAGUAGAGUUUUUGAAAAUUAAAUAAACUAUUUUGUCUCUACUAGAAAAAACUCAAAUUUUAGAUUUUUGUGAGUAAAUGUUUAAUUUUUUAAAAAAAUAUUAAAAUAUCUAAGAUAUCUUUCCUUUAUUUCAUAAUCUUAUUUCAUUUUUUCAUAACAUAACUUUCAAUAACUUACCUAUUAAAAUAAUUUCACAAUUUCUAAUAAAAACUCUAAUUGACAAUUAACAAUUUUUUUUUGUUUGUAAAAACUCUAUUUAUAAAAAAUCUAAUAAAAAUUCUAUUUAAAUAAAUUAUAUUUGAAAAGGUGUACUAAACCAACCUAAGAUAAAAACAAAAAUUUUUACAUCCAGACAAUUAAGCUUAAAACAAUUUCAAAUGAAUUUUAGACUAAUCAAAGUACAAUACGUACCAAGUUUGGUAACUUAUUGACAUCUUCUCAUAUAACCUUCGAUCAAGUCGAUUCUCACCUGACGACUAAUUGGUACAUCACCGUUGUUCUCUAUACUCGCAUGCAUCCGAUCACAAAUCUCACUCCAAUUGUCGUCUUUCUUCGGCGUUUUAGCACAUCCUUCUUGAAUUUCCCGCAUUUCGUUCCCUCCUGUUACAAGUCUCCGGUCAGGUCAGUUCUCUUGACGAUUAAUUCGGCAAAUCUCGAAUCUCUUCUCGCGUCGUUUCACUUCAAUUUUUUGUGUCUCCUUUCAGUUUUAGUGAUUGAAUCAAUUUUAUUGCAGUCUGAGAGAAAUUAAGUAAUGCUCUUGGAUUUAAAUUUUUUUUGCUUUCGACUUUAGAUCUCGAAAGUCAAACUCUGCUACGAAUCCUUAGAUUCUCAAUGUUUAUAAUCUUAUUUGUGUUUGACCAGGUAACUGGAUCGUGAAAUUCGUCGUUUUGUAUCAAUUCAAGCUUUCGCGAGCUCAUGGAAUCACCUGGUGAGUUGUGGUGAAACGUUAUCGUUUCAAUUUUCGCUUAAUUCUUUAUUGCAUAUUUUUUCUCUAACAUUUCAGUUUAAUUUAGAAAAGAAAGAGGACCCAAAAAGAGAGAGAGAGAGAGAGACUCUACCAUACUCAAUUCCUUGCUCAUUCUGAUUUGGCCUGAAUGUUGGCAUUGACUAUUAUUUGUUUUCAUUUCGAUUUAAUUCUCAUUUAGACAGUCUUUACUAACGGUCAAUAAUAGUUUAAGGAAAAUGAUAAUAGGGAUUCUGCAAUAAUCUUUUUAAGGAAAAUGAUAAUAGGGAUUCUGCAAUAAUCUUUUUAAGGGAUGUAUAACUUAUUAAUCAGAGUCCUGUUAUUAUGGUUUGACACUACUGACAUAUUGUGUUGGUAUUUAUUUGUACUUCCCUUGGUUGAAUUAUUUGCUGUCCCCAUGCCAUUCGAUAUGGUGCUACUUGGUUUUUGAUCAUCCAUGACGCUAUAUAUAUGUAAAGGAUGAAUUGAUUGUUUUGGCUUGUAUUCUCACAUUUUAUGAUUGAUCGAUGGAAAGGUCUUCAUGUAUUAAAUUCAACCUCACAAGCGUAAGAUUGACAGAUUCUGGGCAAAUUUUCAGGAAAAGAAACUAGACUUCAUGGAAGCAAUGAAGCUUGAAAUUGAACGUCUGCAGCUGAAAGGGAUAGAGCUUUAUUGUCAAUUGGAACUGAUCCUGCCUCUAUAAAUCCAAAUGUAUUGCUUGAUGAAUCUUACAUGGGAAGACUGUCGAGUAGCAACCACUCUUGCAUUACUUGGCCAAACUUCCCUAGAAGACAAAAUUGUUGGUGCAAUGGCCUUGAGAAUAGUGAUGAUAGUGUUUUAGACUUCUGGAAUAUUACUAGAAUCGGAGAGAGUUGUUCUGGUGGCGCGUGCAAGGUUCGUGCAGAAACUAAGGUGCCUGCUCUUGCUUCCUCAACUGCAGCAUCUGUUGGAGCUUCACAAUCCCCUUUGUUGUGUUCUCUGUUGUGUUCUCUGUUGUGUUCUCAAUGUGAAAGAAAAGUUUGCAAAGUUUGUUGUGCAGGAAGAGGAGCUCUACUGUUUUCAAAUUAUAAAUCAAGGGAUGUGACCAACUACAAUGGCUUCUCAAGUCAGAGUGGAUCAAGCCAUGGAAGCCAAGUUGAUGUAUCUACCAGUCGUUCACUAACACUGGAUGGCGUUAUCUGUAAACACUGCUGCCAUGAGAUUGUGCUUGAUACAAGUUCACAACACCAUUACAAAGGAUUCAAAAUUCCCACACGAAAACAUCAAUGUACAGAUUAUAAACAAUCCGAAUUGGACACAAGAAAAACCCUUCAAUGGAUUGCUUGCCUUCCCAAUGCUAUAUACUGUGCAAACUGCGCACUGUCCAAGAAAAUGUUUUCAAUUUAGUGUAUUUUCAAAAUGCUUAUUUUCUCAGAAUAUAUAAAAAAAAAAAAAGAAUUCUUACAUGUUUCAUCAGCAUGAUUAAAAUCAAAGAAGAAAGCGAGACAUAAUGUCUCUGACAUAAUAAAAUUACAAAAAUUUAAAAAAAAAAAAGUUAAAACAUGUAAUCUUCAUAAGCAUAUAAUAAAAUAACACUUCCACAAAUUACUACAAUUUCAUGCAGUAGAGAUUGAAGAGUUGAAUUCCACUUAUAGACACCGACCUCUUAUUUUGUCUAAUGUUAACAAUGAAAAUAACAACAGUAAUGAAAACAACAACAGAAUACAACAACAGAAAACAACAAUCCGCUCUGCAAAUUCUCUUGGGACUUGGUUCCAAUUCCUCUUCAUCCGAAGUUCCACUCGAAUCAAAUUCACUUGCAGCAGUUCCACUCGCGCUUGGCAAAUCAUCCAAUUUCCAAACUUCGGUAGCAAAAUUGAGAGUAAAAGUGUUGGCUUUGGUCUCGCUGGGAUUUGCAUAUACUGGACAUACUCCGUAACGUUUUACCUUGUGACCCUUUUGGUUUUGGUAACAAUUAUUGAAGAACUUAAGUGAGACAGUUGUAUGAUGGUAACCAUCAGGAAAGCCAACAUUCAAGCAAGGUUUAAAACCAAGUAUGACAUGAUCUGAAUCAAGGGAGUAUUUAUUUCUAACACUUGUGGUUGCGGGCCCACUGAAACCUAGAUCAACAUGUUUGGUUUCAGAGAGAGUCUUUAUUUCUAAGUCGAGUUGAGAGCGGCCGAAAACAUUGCAGCAAUAACAAGAACCAACUUUCUUAAAAUUAAGAACCGCACAAAAAGCAAACCCGAUUAAGUUUCUGCAAGAAGAGUGCGGUGGCAGUUGAAUACCUAUCGAAGAUCCUGAACUUUGAUUGUUGAACCAGUCAGGAAUUUCGCUCCCAGGUAAAACAAUUAGGGAUGUCCUGAGUUCAGAAAGUUUCUGUGAAAUGACAUUUAAAAAAAGAAAAUUGUAAAAUGAAAACCAUGAUUUCAGAUAUAACAAAGAGGGACAGAGUAAACAAGAGAGGGAACUUGAUGCGUUCUAAAUGUUCCAUUUUCUCCAAGAUUUCUGGGAAACGCUCAAGGUUCAAGCAGCCAUGAAGAAAAAGCUCAACCAAAGAUUUCAAUUUACAAAACCUAGUUGAAAUCCUCUUCAGCCGUUCGCAAUCCCUCAAAUCCAACUUUUCAAGAUCAGUUAGGCACUCUAUUGAUGAUGGAACUUCUUCUAUUGCAGACUGGCUUAAGUAUAGCCGUGUAAUUUUCCCAGAAAUCUGUGGAAACUCUACGAGAUUAACACAAUAGGAGAAAUUAAUAGUUACUGGACAAACAAAAUGAAGAUUGCUUGGAAAAGACCUAAGACUUUUGCAGCCCACAAAAUCCAACCUACUGAGAUACUUGAAAUUCUGGAUAGAUGAGGGAACACAAGCCAUUUCUCCUUCCCAAAUUUGCUCAACUUUACUAAAACGCAAAUUCAGUCCAACAAGGUUCUUUGGCUUGAAAUUUGAUGGCAGUGUCCUUAAUGGAUAUGUGUCCCAAUGAAGAUAUCUCAAUUUUUUAGGAAGAUAAUCUAGGCCAUUUGGAAGCUGCACUUUAGAGUACGAAAGUUGCUCUUCAAUGCUCAUACUUAGAAGCUUUUCAAUCUCAUACUUAGGUACAUAAAAUUUGAGCAAUCUCAGAUUAGACAUAUUUGUGAAGGCUCCGGGGUCUAAAUUGAUGCCUUUUAUUUUGGACAAAUCCAAAAAUAUGCCUUCAAUUGCAUCGGUCCCCUUAUUAAAAAAAAAAAAAAAACAAAGAAUGGGUAAGCCUAAAACAGAAAAGAAACAUUCGUAAACUUUAUUAACUAAGAGCUCCUAAAACAAAACAAAUUCUACGAUCUUUGAUCUUAUUUUUUUAAUAUAUUAAAUAUCUAUAUGCGAGAAAAGAAAAUUUUGGGAACCAUUGCAAAAUUAAACUAACCGAAAAAAAAAAUCAAAAUUUCUCUAAUUUACAAACCUGUUAUCUUACUAUCUAGAAGUUGAGAAGACAGGGCCUAUUUGAUUGGUAUAAGAUUUCGAUUUUUUUUUUAGUCCAUAGAAUCCAAAAUGUUAGUUCAAAAUUAGGGAAAAAAAUGAAAGUUAUUUUUUUUCCACUAGUUGUAAUUGUAUCCAAGUCAAAUUGAGAUAUGACCCUUUUCGAAAGGAUUUAAUCAUCUUAUAGCCUCCUUAAAGGAGUGAUUGGAGGCCUAACUAGGUAGGCCAAUCAGUCCAUUUUAUUAGCGACUAUUGCUUAAAAACAUUUAUACUCUAAAACACACUUACUUUUUUGAAAAAAAAAUAUAAUUAUAUUGAAGUAGAACCAGGUGGGCCAAUCCUCAUGGCACUCACUUUGUUCUGACACUCUUCACUAAAUUUGAAAAAAAAUAAAAUUAUACUCUUCACACUCUUAUUCAACAUUCCAAAAUUGAUAAAAUCUGGAGUUUUCAUUAAAAAUUUAAAAUUUGAAGACUUGUUCUCUUGACACCCUCAGUCAUUAAUUUUACCUAAUUAUGGUUUUUAUGAUUUUGGUUGUUUUGUUCAUAAAAAUGAUUUUACUAAAGGAUGUUCUGGUAAUAAUAAAAUUUAUAAAAAAAAACAUGGUUGUGCUGGUAUGAUUGGAAAAAUAUGAGUGCAUAACUCCAAACAAAUAAAAGAUAUAUAAAAAAAAAUGGAGGAUUCUUACCAUAUUAUGCUUUAGUACGCGGCGGAUUUCCUUAGGAUCCCACAACCUCUUGCGUUUGCCUGGCUCUUUCUCAGAUUCUUGGCGUCGCCCCAUUUCUUGCAAUAUAUCAUGCAUUUGCAAGCGGUUAUAUGACACUGUUAUGAGUGACUUAUCAACAAGGACAUCCAGUCCAACAGACUCAGAAUCAUCAAGAAUCCUUGCCACAAAAUCUUUAUCCUCUCCCUCAAAGAAACACGCAAUAUCUAGAAAUAUGCUCUGCACCCUGGGCGUUAAUUCAUCAAAACUAAUCUUUAAUUUCUUAUAAAUAGCAUGAAUAUCAGAUUCACAAAUCCGAUUUAAGUCGUGCAAUACUUUUCCCCAAUGGCUUUUCCCCUUGAGGGAGGAACCCAACACUUUAAGAACUAAUGGAUUGCCAUCAGCAUACUUUACAACUCUCCGUGAGUCAGGUUUGAAAUCUUCAGGACAAUGCUUUUCUUUAAAAGCGAAGUUACAAAAAUGCUCGAAAGCCUCAUGAAAAUCCAUUCCAUUAACCCUAUAUAUUUUCUUCUCCUCCACUCCAAAUUUUUCGAGGACUCCUUUAUCCCUAGUGGUUACAACAAUUCUACUUCCUGGAACAAAUUGAUCAAGCUCUCCAAUCAGACCCUCUAAUUGUCCAACUUCAUUCACAUCAUCGAGUACUAUCAACACCUUCAUACGCCGGACCCUCUCUUUAGUAAAAUGUGGAAUAUUGGCACCAGCUACUUCAAGUUUUUCGCUUAAUAUUGUUGAAAGCAUUUCCUUUUGUAGGUCUUCUAGGCCACCCUCUGUUUCUGAUUUUCUCCUAACAUUUUUUGCAAAGUAUUUACCAUCAAACUCACCAGAGAAUUGAUUGAAAAUAGCUUCAGCAAGGGUGGUUUUGCCGAUACCACCCAUGCCCCAAAUUCCAACAAUUUGGACAGUAUCCGACAAAUCCAUACACAAAAAUGGUUUAAUCUGCUCAAUUCGUGAAUUUAAUCCAACUAGGCCGUUGGAUGAGUCCGUUGAGACUGUUAUUUUUUCCAACUUCUUCAAAACAUCUUCGACAAUUUUGUUUACAAGUUCCGCAUCGUGCCUAAUAUAAAGGUGCAAAGAUGCAAAAACAUUGAGUCAAAUCGGGCCAACACAGAAACAGAGAUAAGAUGAAUUAGGAAAGAGAGUUACCUGAAUUUCGUGGAUUCGUGGCCAGCAAGACCGGAUGUUUCUCUCAGUGCAUCCCUCCACCUCUGAACCAUUUCUGGCUUCUCUUUGAACUGUUGUUCGAGCUUACCAAAGCCGACCCCAAAAAUCCCAGUUUGAUGCCGCACAUCGGACGGACUUACGCCAUAGAAAACCGGAAUAAUGAUUUGGCCGUUUGUGUGCUUGCAUUCAAGAAUCUCGACAAGUUCAUACAGGCACCAUUUUGAAGAAGCGUAGUCCGUUGAGAAAAUGACCACCGAAAUUUUUGAACCUUGGAUUGCGUUCAAAAGGGCAGGUGAAAUCUCAUCUCCGCGCCUAAGCUCUUCAUCAUCAAUAAAUGUUCUGAUUUUCUUUCUUUUAGACAAAGCAUCAUAGAGAUGGCAAGUAAAGAUCGCACGAGUGUCCUCCCCUCUAAAAUUGAGGAAGACUUCAUAAAUGCAAGGAGAAGAAGCCAUGAAGGAAAUAUUAGAAAUUUGGUGACAGAAACAGAGAAUUAAUCUUGAGAGCUGAGAGAGGAGAUGUAAGAAUGAACAUGUGUGAAUAUUCUUGCGAGUACAUAGUAAAUAAUUGAAUGGCUCGAGCUUUCUUAGUUUCCUGGAAAUUUCCUGGAGCUUUCGUAUACAUGAUUUGUCAAGUCAAGAAACAUAGUCAUGAUAAUGGGGCAGACCAGGAAGAAAAGGAAAUUGGAAUUUUGUACAAUUUCUCCAGCGAGGAACUUUCACUGUCAUUACCUCACCGUUACAGUUUGGAUUAGGGUAAUUUUUACCCCGCACCCAAAUGUUUUGACAUACAGCACAACGCACCCAAUUCUUUUGCCCAUGAGCACCGCGCACCCAUUUCCGUUUAUUUUUCAGUUAACUGUAACAGAUCAGGGUAAAAUUGGAAUAACGCAUCAAAAUUUAAAAAUAAAAAAAUAGGUAAACUCGAUGUUUGCGCCAAAAUAAUUUCACAUCACUGUGCUUAUGUUCACUGCGUUUGCGUGUGAGACCAAGAAGCAUGGCCACACCUCCAUUGAUGCCAAAAUCGAGGAGGUGGGUGAAGAAGAAUUGGCGCCAAAAUCAUUCACAUAUGAUGUGCAAGGAAAUUAUUUCAGCCUUUAAAUACUUUUUUAUUACAGCAGCAUCAGCUAUUGCUCUGUUUCGAAGAUCUGCUCAAUUUCUAAGACAAUAGUUGGUUUGAGAGUUUAAGGGAAGUGAAUCCACUGAGCGUGCUAUUGAAGAAGUGGAGGUCAGUUUCAUUUCUUGCUCAAUUGUUUUAAUUUAUUCCAUUUUGUUUGCAUGUCAAUUAUUUACACAUUUUUAGCUGGAUUUUGCUUAUCUAUAAAACUUGAAUCAUUGUUAAUCAAAUCAGCUAUAAUUUACGCCUCAAUGUGGUUUGUAAGUUUAAGUUAUGUUGGAUUAUACCUGAAUAAUGUGGUGUUUGCGUUAUUGAUUUCAAUUUCUAUUGAUGAUUUUGAGUAUACAUAUUAGUGGAUGAAAGUUUUUAAUUAGGAUGAUUGGUCACGCAUAUAUGUCAUAGCAACUGUGUUUUUUUGGGUUAUGGUUGUACUGUAGAUCAGUAGUAGUAGUGAUUUGGAUAUAAACGCUAGUGCUUUUAUUGUAAAUGAUAGUGAUGAAGAUCCAGUGUUACAGAAUUUGAUGUAAAAGUUAUUGGUUUUUGGCUAAAUAUCUUAGAUAAAUAUGAUGCUCAUGCAAUCAAAUCCAAUGCUUAUGCAAUUUACACCAUGUUUAUGAUAAGUAAUUAAAAAAAUAAAUGACUAUUCCAGGUGAAAAUGGAUGAUGAUGAUAUUACAACUGUUCUUUGUACAUUCAAGGGCAAGACAUAUAAUGUUGGUGUAAUUGAUCCAGAUAAGUUUAGUAGAGUUUCUGUAAUUAACAAGGUUUUAGUUAGAGUCUAUGGAAGAAAGAUGAGGCCUGAUGAGAAGUUUACACUAAGUGUUUGGGUACCAUGGGUCUAUAAGGAAGUAGAGAUUAUGUCUGAUCAUGACUUAAUAUUCCAGCUGAGAGAGCAUAAUAAGAUGUUGUUCUACUGCAUGCAAUUGUAUAUUGAAGAAAUCCAUGUACCUCAUGAGUUUGUACCUAGAAGGGCUUUGUUUCAGCACUCAGCAGAAGAAAGCUUACAAGGGUAUGCUGAAACAAACUUUCCAGCCACUACUGACCUGCACAAACCUUAUACACAUGCUACAUCCACCAACACAAAUCCUUAUGAAAAUGACAGUAAUGACCAUUCGAACCAUGAACCCCCUGUCAAGAACUCCAGCAGCAUAAUGAUGCAUAAUGUUGCACUUGAUAGCAUCCAAUCACAGACCAAACCAGAUACCAACCCUGACCUAUAUCAAGACUUUUUGGAUACCUAUUUCAGAUCAUCACCACAACAGAAAACACCAUCAGCUGCCCAAACUAAUGCCGAAAAUAGUGAUAGUGAUAACACAUCUUCAUUUGGUACAAAUAAGACUCCUACUGAGCAGCUUCAACAAAACUUUGCCAUCUCUUCUGAGUUGUCCCCUUUAUUGCAGCAACAUGGACAUCAUGCAUCCCAAAAUGAACCUAUACCUUUUCACCAACCUGAGUUCUCAUCUCAACCAAUAACUCAAAACCCUCAGUCACAAGUUGUACAAGCAGAAAACUUCCAGCAACCAGAAGCCACUACACCAGCACUAGUAGAUUAUAACUCAGAUGAUAGCCAUUAUAGUGUAACUGAUAGUGAGGAAGAUCCAGAUCAUCCAUUAGGUGCUCCAAACAUUAAUAAUACUCCUAGGAAACCUUCUGUUAAUGUUGACUUAGGCUCUAUGCCUUCUGAUGAUAGUGAUGAAGAUUGUAUGCUAUCUGAUUGUGAGAGUGAUGACAAUGAGUUUGGGGAAGAAUCUGAUGAAGAGAUUGAUCAAGUGCUGGUCAGAAUGGAUGCUGUUAUGAGAGAGAACAUGUACAUUCCUAGUGAUACACCUGUUCAAUUCUUUAUUGGGCAGUGUUUUAGGAACUUCAGGCAGCUGGCAUGGGCAAUAAGGACUUAUGCUGUGGAAAACAAGUUCAAGGUUUAUAAGCACAAGUUUGAAAAAUCCAGAGUAACUGUUGGAUGUAAUUAUUUCAGGUGCCCAUGGUUUUUACAUGUUGCAAAAACUAGAUUUGGACAAACCUUUAUUGUUAGGAGGCUUCACAACGUACAUACAUGUCAGAGAGACUUAAAGAAUCCUGAAUGCACUGCAGAGUUCAUUGUUGCCAAGUUUGCUGCAACUAUAAUUGAGCAUCCAGAUACAAAGGUUGGGUGGAUUCAAAGUGAACUUAGAAGGAUGUAUGGAGCUAAGAUACACAAGUAUAAAAUUUAUAGAGCAAAGAAGAAGGUUUUACAGAGACAAUGAGCUGAUUAUGAGUCUAGUUACAUGUUGAUCAGAAAUUAUGCUCAGGCCAUACUUACUAAGAUGCCACAGGCCUUGGCAUUGGUUAAGGUUUUCAGGAUGCAUGGUCAACAACCUCAAACUCACUUUGACAGCACUGUUAUAUCUUUCCAUGCCCUCAGAGAUGGCUUCAACCAAGGUUGUAGACCCUUCAUUGGUAUUGAUGGAUGCCAUUUGAAGGGUCCAUAUAAGGGUGUUCUUUUAUCAGCAGUUGCUAUUGAUGCCAACAAUGGAAUCUUCCCACUUGCAUUUUGUGUAUGUAGUGUCGAGAGUACAACCAGCUGGACAUGGUUUCUAAGCCACUUUAGGGAAUUUUUACAAGAUACAAGACAACUGACCUUUAUGUGUGAUAGGCAGAAAGGAAUUCAGAAUGCUCUUGCCUUAGAGUUUCCUAAUGCACAUGUUAGAUUCUGUGCUAGACACAUCUUAGCAAAUAUUAAGUUAAAACAUCCUCAAUCUGACUUUAAAGCAUAUUUCUGGGCAGCAGCAAGAGCAUCAAACAGAAGGGCAUUUGAUGAUGCUAUGCAAAACAUAAGAGCAGCACAUGAGGGUGUAUAUGAGACUCUUAGGAGGAUACCACCAAAUUUCUGGUCAAGGCAUGCCUUUGACAAUAAUUGCAAGUCUGAUCAUUGCACUAACAACGUAACUGAAUCUUUUAAUGCAUGGAUUGGGAUUCAAAGAAAGUUGCCAAUAAUCUCAAUGCUGGAGUGGAUUAGGAAGAAGCUGAUGAAAAGAAUGAUUGGAAGAAGAAAUAAGGCAGAGUCUUGGGACAGUGAUAUACCAAGAAGAAUUUAUGCACAAAUGAUGAAGAAUUUACAGAUUGGCAGUGCAAACCCUAUCUGUAGAGCUAGUAAAUGGCUUUAUGAAGUGGAUGAAAAUACCAAGACUUAUAUCGUUGAUCUUGAACACCAUAUGUGUGACUGCGGACAAUGGCAAGUUAGUGGGAUUCCAUGUGUACAUGCAAUGCCUUGUAUUGUGAAUAGUCAAAAAGAUCAAGCUCAGUUCAUUAGCCAAUGGUUGAAGAAAGAUACUUACCUAAGGUGUUAUUCUGGAUUGAUUAAACCAAUUCCAGAUAGAACGUCAUGGGUAGAUGCUGGUGGUGAUGAAAUACUGCCCCCUUUAGUGAGAAGACCACCUGGACGACCUAAGAUGACAAGAAGAAGAGAAGCUGAUGAGGUACCAGCACAUAAUAAACGAUACAAGAUGCAAUGCACUAUUUGCAAGGGAUUUGGACACAACAGAAGGGGUUGUCCUGUUAACCCUCAUAAUGCUCACAAGACAACAAGACAAUAUAAGGUGAGUGUGUAUGCUUGUAAGAGAAUAUUCAAUUAUUUUUUGAACCAUGUUCCUCCCAUGUGAUGACAGCUAAUGUGCCUUGUUUGUUUGUGCUUUUUUAUAGAAUAACCUGAAGAAGCACGUGACAAGGACAAAUGGGGAGCAAAGUGAAGGUAUAAGAGUAAUUUACUAAGUUAUAUUACUAUAUUACUUUACAGCUGUAUUAGAUAAUUAUAUAGUUGUGUAUCACCAAACUAUAUUAAAUUAACUUAUUUAUUUAACGUUGCUUUAUUGGUAAUUUAUAAGGCCAAGUUCACGGAAUUACCUCAACUAUUUUGGAAAGCCAAGACAAUGACAUGGUCCAAGUAACUGUCUCAGGCCAAAACAUAACAAAGAACCAGCAGACUGCAUCUAACAAACGCAAGAUUGGCAAUCAAGCAGGGCCAUCAAAAGCAAAUGAAGUCAUUGGCAAGAGCAUGAAUGGGGUCAUAUCUGUAGCUCCAUGGGUAGGUGAACAGGGAAGAAAAGUAAUGUCAGCCGCUGGAUUAACCUUCAGCAAAGAGGAUGAAGUCGGCAACUAUACUGAAAUGAAGCAUUUGGACAAAGGGAAGGCACCAGCCUUCCCUUCGUAAAGGGUAAAACCAUAGUUUUCUAUUGAUAUAAAUUAAUAUUGGUUUUGGAAAUGAUAUUUAUAAUUUGUAACUUGUUUUGUAGUGAUUCUUUGGCUAUGAUGGAGACAUUGGCAGCAAACUUAUUAACAAACAGUGGAGGCAACAUUAUCAUUUUUUGACACCUUCCACAAUGCCACAUCAACCCACCAGGCACAAGGUUAAGGUUAUCUGGAUGCUGAUUUCAUUAGGAUCAAGUGGCCAAGUAAUGACCAGGCAUGUCAUUGUUUUCUUUUUCUUUUUUAUUUUGGAGCUGAAAUUGGUGGAAGUUGUUGGACAUUAAGCUUAAGCAUUAUAGAGCUGGAAGCUGUGAUGACCUACUAUAAGUAUGAUUGGAAGGGUUUAUGGCAUUUUGAAAGUUUUUGGGAUUAAGAUACAUAUAGGACUGAUAUCAACCAAACCAACACUUUUUUUUUUUGUUUUUUGGUCACAUGUAUGUAAACACCAGAUUGGAUGUGACUAACAUUGUAAGUUGCUGCCAAUAUGCAUUUAUAGAUAAAAUAACUUAUUGCUAUUAUUGAUAUCAUAUUUGAUUAAAUGGUAUAUGUCAAGAAACGAAUGCAUUUUAUUGAUCAUAAGAUUUCAUUUUACACAUUGUUCUAGCAUUCCUUACAGUACAAUACAAGCAAUACAAGUAUAGUUAUCACUAUAAUCGUGAUUUGAUACUUCUUAUUUUUAUGAAGUAAACCUUCAAUAUUGAUGAACCUGUUGUGGAAGUCCUCAAUGUUAAAUUGUUGAAUCUCACUUGCCCUGUCUGCAGCUUCUUCUUCAAACCUUUGUAACGCUGCUUCAAUUUCUAUAGCCUCACCUGUAGAUGGUUUCCACCAUCUAAAGAAACCACAAGAUGGGUCAUUAGGGCAUGUGUAAUAUAGUUUGUUGGGGUUUGUUUUUGAUUCUGACACUUUGAUUUCUGCCCUUCUUCGACAGUAGCAUACUGUGUUAUAGAACUUGAUGAUGCCCCCAUUGAUUUUAGGUAAAUCCCUUCUUCUGUUAUAAGUUGAUGAACUUGAUGCAUUCCUUGAAGUGGACAUUUUCUUCAAAUUUCCAAUGUCGUGUCUGUUAUAUUCUUUUUGAAAUACAGCACAACGUAUCUGAACUUCAAGUUGUUGUGCUUGUUUUGUGUGUGAAUGAAGCUGCUGUUGAAGUUGUAUUGUUUCGGUGGGUAAAACCAAAUGUUGUACUACUGUAAGUUGUUGCUGAGUAAAAAAAAUGGUGGAGUUUCCAGGUGAGUCAAUGAAAAUCACUGAGGUGUGAAGAGGGUAGGAAUUUAUAUGUGUUAAACAUCACAGCUUGUGGUGAUGCAUCAGCUCAAAUUUAUCAAUUUCUUUUACUGUUCUUGUAACCAUAUAGCCGUUAUUACUGUUGCUCAGAUUUUAUAGCCGUUGGAUUUUUGAUGCGCAUGGUAAUAAACCAAUAUGCUAAGGGCAAUAUAGUCAAUAUAAUUUAACAGUUAUAGUUGGUCUUCGUGUGUAAAUACACCUUUAAAUAAUGGCCAGUGGUAAAUUCCUUAGUUCAAUGACUCACCUGGAUGCAUUUGAAUUCAACGCAAGGGUAUAUUUGUCAUUUAAUCAAAAUAUAGACUGAUCCGUUACAAUUAACUAAAAAAUAAACAGAAAUGGGUGCGCGGUGCUCAUAGGCAAAAGAAUUGGGUGCGUUGUGCUGUAUGUCAAAACAUUUGGGUGCGGGGUAAAAAUUACCCUUUGGAUUAUGAUUUGAGGGUGCAAGUAUUUACCUAGAGUUUACCUCCGCACUAAAUUCUUAAGUUUUGAAAAUUAUGAGACCUUUAUAUUGGGAGAUAUUGUAAUCGAAUCAAAACUUAAAUUUUUUAUAAUGUUAAUAUUUAAUCUUUUAAAAAACAAUAACCUCGCCGUUACAGUUUGGAUUAAGAUUUGAGUAAGUAUUUACCUAAAUUUUACCUCCGUCUGUAAAUUCUUAAGUUUUGAAAAUUAUGAGACCUUUAUAAUCGAAUCAAAAUUUUGAAUUUCAAUAUUAUUAUUCUUUAAAAAAAAUUUUGAGAUAACAGAGUGAUUGAUAAUAUAGGAGAACUUGUCUAGGCAAGCACAUGUAUACACAGAAACGUGAUGGAUUCAAAAAGAAAUUAAAGUGAUAAUGCGAAAUCGCUUGGUGGCCCAGUAAAAUUACGACUGAAUUUUUUUUUUUUUUUUUACAAAAUUCAAGCUCAUAAAUGACAAAUUUCAUUUCCCUUUCACACGUCAUUAACUUUUGUAACAUGGUGUGUGCAUCGUCAAGUGAGGCAAAAGGGUUUCAAUUACAGUUGGAAAACAUGAACAAGAAUGCAUAAUGAAUAAUUCCUUCGAUAAACCGAAAAUUAAGCACAGAAUAAUCCUAAAAUUUAAACUCUAAUAUCUUAUAAUGUAUUGAUUAAAAAUAAUCCUAAGAGCUCCCAAUUGAAACUUUCAUAAGUAUUUUAAUUGUUUUGGAUAAACAAAUUGCACUAGGAUAAAAAUUUGGCAAAUUCAGAGGAUAAUGGAAAAUAGUUAUGCUUCAAUAGGCCAAAGAUUAGAGAACAAAUAAGAAUUAUUUAUUGAUAUACAAAAGAGAAACACUCCAAAAUUUCAAGCAAAAAUAGUUUCAUAUAUCAUUUCGAUUUUGAAAGGGAUGAGAUUUUGAACUUCAAUAGUUUCCUCUAAAAUUAAAAGGUAGCAAUUAAGCUAAAAAGAGCAAUGAAGACUUAUUGGUACCUUAUUAAAGGUAAACAUUAUGGAACUUUCAAUGUCAUUAUCUCACUGUUCAAUUUUUAUUGAGAUUUGUGUAAGCAUUUACCUAAAUCUUACCUCCGCCUUUAAAUUCAUAAGUUUUGAUUAAUUAUGAGACCUUAUAUUGGGAGAUAUUAUAAUCAAACUAAAACUUAAAAUUUCAAUAUCAUUAUUCUUUAAAAAGAAAUUGAGAUAUCAGAGUAAUAUCACAUAGAAAAACUUGCCCACGGACGGUAAGCCAAAAGUCUAGUCAACCACACGCAUAAAGCUAACUAGAACAAGAGAACAGAGAAACGCGUGGGUCCCUAAAAGAAAAGGCAAGCACAUAAAUAACUUUCAAAAUGCCCAAGCAAAUACCGAUGAAAAUCACUGUUUAAGAAUAAUUUAUUAUGUGGUUGAAGCUUUCUUUUUAUCAAUCUUCUUUCUACCCAUUAAUUUUCCCACGACUUUCCCGUUUCAUUUCUUGAAUCUCCAUGGAUUAACUUUCAAUAAACCAUAAAAUAAACUAAGGAAUCAUUUUCUCGAAUACAGCUAUGAUUUUAAUAAAUGGGCGGACCAUCUAGAAUAGUAUAUAUAAUUCUGUUUAAUUAAUAAGUUGAAAAAACCAUCAAGAGAAAUUCUAAUAUUAUGAGCUUGACACGAAUUCUUCACUAAUUCCAAAACAAGGAGCUGUUUUAUAAGAACUGUGGUUGGAUUAUUAAGUUUUACAAUUUGAAUAUAAAUAAGAAAAUAAAAUCAGUCGCGUUGAUGUUUUCGAUACAUUUCGCUGCUAACUUUUUUUUUUUUUUUAUUACAUGAGACUAUUGCUCAAAUUACAACUCAUAUUACAUGAGAAUAUAACUGAUAUUUACAAAUCAGACUAUAACUGGGACCAAUAUACAUCAAUACUAAUGGAGCGCUGCCCAGAUUUUAACCCUCUCAAAUAUUCAAGGGAUGUCUACACCUCACACUUGGGUAAGGAAACAGACUGUCUUCACUUAAAUUUACUUGAGGAAUGAAGACCCCCACAAUACAUUGUGGGGGUUCACCACUCGACCAAAGGCCGAGUGGCUCAUUUCGCUGCUAACUUAAUUAAUUACUUUACUUCAACUUUAUUUCCUUAGGGGCACUUUAUGGUGGGUCCAAGAUGGGACCUACAAUAAUCAAUCCUAAAAUUUAGUAUGGUUACCAAAUAGCUAGUAGCUAGUGUUAUUUUGUGUUUGGUGGAAGAGAUUGAAUAUUUAGUUUUAACUUAACCAUUCAACUAAUUAGAAAAUAAAUAAAAUUAAAUGAAAUGUUUAGAUAUCAAUUUAAAUAUUAAUAUCGGGGAUAUAAAUUAGUUAUAAUAUAGUUCAUUACAUAAAAUUGAUUAAAUUAAUAAUUACCCGUGAACAUAGAUGUAUAUGCUUUCCAAUUUCCAAAGUGCUCAAAGCACUUUUCUCACCAAACUUUCCUCUGAAUUUCCCGUAGCUGACUCCUUUGUUUGCGUUUUGUGAAAUUUCUAGGAACUUUUUUCGAUUUAGAAUAUUGUACAUUUUUCUUUUCAGCUGAGAUUAAUUUAACUUAUAGAAAAUCUUAUCCUUUUUUAAUAUUAUUUAAAUAAAAUUUGUCUAUCUUUUAUUUUAUUAGUCUACUUUUUACCCAUUAAUUAAGACUUUUCAAUUUCUUUUUUACCUGAGGUUUUCAGUGACUAUCUUUCAAUAAACCAUAAAAAUUACUUAGUCAUUUAUCGAACAAUUAGAUGACCAUAUUUCAAAAUAUCAACUAGAAGUUGUCCUGAAAUAUUUAAUUAAUAGUUGAAGAAUUGUGAUUAGUGUGGGCAUCUACAUAAAAAUUAUAUUAAAACACCGCUAAAAGAUAAAAAUAAAAUAAAAUAGUACAAACAUACACCCAUAGGUUAAAACAAAGAAAAAACACGAACCAAUACACUAAAAUGUUUUAGCUGUAGUUAGUUUUCAGUUUCAUUACUUAAGUCCCACGUGCAUGUCACGUGACUGAGGUCAAAAAAUGAUUGUCACAUUAAAGUUCAAAAUACGGAGCAGGGUAAUUAAGGAGUGGAGCUAUUGGCACCCCUCCAUUAUUCUUACAAAACUCCACUUUAAAUCAAAAUAUAAUUAAGAAUAAUUGAAAAUUAAACACUUAUAGAUUUCUUUACAACAUGUUGAGUGAUAAAAAAGCACCAGUCGGGCAUGUCCCCAUUUCUUACCCGGUGCCGAAUCUCCACGGUCGAAUGGUAUGAGUAGACUCUUGGUGAUGUCUUCUAUGUGGAGCACGUAACAACAGACCAGGAACUAGUACCAACCAAAAACGAGUACUGAUCGAAACAAGCAUGACCAGAAACGCAUACCGACCAGAGACUUGUGGGUCCGUAAAAGAAAAGGCAAGCACACAAAUGAAAAAGCCAUUACAUUUCUAUUUUACAUGUCAUUCCUAAUUUUUGUAACACGAUGUGGCAGCAUAUGCACAAUCAAAUGAGGCAAAAGGGAUUCGACUAUCGUGGCAGAACAUGGACGAGGACGCGUGAUGAAUAAUUCCUUCGAUAAAACGAAAAACAAACGCAGAGAAAAGAAUUUCUUAUAUGACAAGAAAUUAAAGUAAUGUGACGGAACAUGAUGAAGAAAUUGCAGAUCGAUCAAUUAUCCCCAUGGACUCCUAUAAAUUCAACCAAAAUAACAAUUCCAAUAUUACCAAAUUCUUGAGUUAAAUUUAUUCAAUGCUUUUUUUUAAGAGAAAUUUUUUCCAAUGCUACUUUCCCUUUUUUGGGGAAAUUAGAACUGCGGCAUGUAUAGAAGACAUUGAGGUAUAAAGCAACAUUAAUUUCAUGGGUUAUGCGUUAUACGCAUAAUAUAUUUUCAGUCCAAAUUCAACUAUGCAAAGAGGCUUGAGAACUUAAAAUUAAGCACAAACUAAACAGACGAAGUAAAUACAUGAUUAUGCAACAUAACAUUAAUUCUCUUAAUUUAUAACCGUUUUGCCACAUGAAUCUUGCACAGUUAAUCCUAAUUGAAGACUAAAAAAGAACAAUUGGAACAAGGUUUUGAAAUAGAAUGAUAGACAAUCGAUAUGAUCCAUUUCCAGUCGUCAACGCUAAUUAACUGCAGUUUCUAGACUCCUAAUUAUACUAGCCAUAAGAAACUGUUUAGAAAACUGGUGAUCAGAUUAGAUUUUGAAAUGAAAUAAUGUUCAUUUUCCCUUCGUUACCCUUUUAUUUAUUUAUUAUUUUUAUACCAAAGAAUUCUAUCAUGAAACGAAUCAAUUUAAUCACCUUUUCCAGCAGCACAAUUUUUCUUUUAUAAAAUUUGACCACAGAGACAAAGAAGAAUUAUUCAUACCUUCAUCAGUAAGGAAAUACUUUUCGGUAUGGCUAGGGUGAGAAAAGGCUUUCCACAAACACUUGUACUUUGUAUUCCUGUAAAUUUUCUUUAAAGUCAAUAAAAAUCAUAAGUUCUUUACAAUAACCAUCUCUUUGAUAAAAAAAGUGCCGUAUUCCUUUAGAAUUUAAAACCGGCAAAAUCGAAUCAGUGUCUUUGAAGAGACAUAAUGGUCAUAAUUCUUUAAAGAGUUGGCUAUGGAAAUCCUUAUCCAAGAUUCUUUUACGCCAUAUUCUUUCGUAAACCAAAAUUCAUUUUGGAAUACUCUGUUGAGAAUGUCAAAUAAAACGGUAUUGAAGGAAGUUUUCAAAGGCAGAAUCCGCACUUGUCAAAGGGAUGAUCUGCAUUUGUCAGAGACACAAUCUGCGUCGAAUGAAUCGACACAUUUCCUUUUGUAUUCGCAUAUGUAAUUUUUGAAAAAAUGUAGCUUCUGCAUCUAUAAAUAACGCUCAGUGUAUAAUGUUUUAUUCAAAAAAAGAAAACAAGUUUCUUCAUACUCGUCGUCCGAACAUACAGAGACCGUCUCUCAUAACUUCAGCCGAAUACUUAUGAUGAUGAUCAUUUGUGAUUUCAUCAGGCAUAGGGUUGAUGGUGAAAAAUUUUGUAUGUGUGAAGAAUUGAGCUGUGGAUAUAGGGGACUUAAGUGUAAUCGAAAGAGAGUUAUUAGGCCAUAGUGUAGAUUGCAUUCAGUUUAUGAGUCGAUAUGCAAAUAAUUUGUUGACGUGGCGAAAUUUGUUAUGGUCGUUACUAUUGUUUCUGGAAAUUUUCUAGAAACCUCAGCAUAAAAGGGGCUUUUGGAUAGCCUCUGGUGUGCGUGUGAUUUCUCUUUCGUUUCCUCAUCAAAUUCUGUAAUUCUUGCUUUGAUAAAAAGCUUGUAAUCUCUUCUGUAAUUGUGAUCAGUGCGUAAUCAUUUUGAGCGAUAAAAGCUUGUAGGUUUUUCCUUCAAACAAUGUCGUUUUGGUCAGUUUGUUAGUUUGAUCUGUUGGUGGAAUUUUCUUUGGUUAUUUGUUCUCAAAUUUCAACCUUAUAUAAAGUUUGAACUCUAAUGGCUUAUAAUGUAUUGAUUAAGAAUAAUCCUAAGAGUUUCCGAUUGAAAUUUUUAAUGACUAUUUUUAUUGUUUUGGAUGCACAAAUUGCAUUAAGAAAAAAUAUUGUCAAAUUCAGAGGAUAACGGGAAAUAAUUAUGCUUCAAAAGGCCAGAGAUUAGAGAAUAAAGAAGCAUUCAUUACUGAUAUAAAAACUGCUUCUAUUUGGAUUUUGAAAGGGGUGAAGUUUUGAACUUCAGUUGUUCCUCUAAAAUCAAAAGCAAUAAUUAAGCAUUCUCAAUUAGAAAGAGCAAAGAAGACUUAUUGGUACCUUACUGAAGCUAACAUUAUGGCACGGUUGUUCAUAUGUAAUGGCUGCUCUGUUAUGCUAGCUUCUCUGUUUUUGCUUCUAUUUUUGCUUACAGUUUUGAAGAUAAAUUCUUGCUCAAAUAACACAUAAUUAAAUAACACUAAUAUGGCUCAUGAAAUCCUAUAAUAGCUAAUUACGCAACUUUCUCCUCCUCCUCAAUUCUGUCUUCCCCUGCUCGGACACUAACUUCAAAAUUCAAUGCCCCGAAAAACAACACAAGAAAUCUUUGAGUUAGUUCGUGACCAGUUUAUAUAUAGUAGCAAUUGAAAAAAGAAAAAGAAGAAAAGAGUUAAUUAUUUUUCAGACCUUCACUUAUUAGGAAGUUUGUUCUGCUAUUGGGUGAGAUCAAGCUCUCAGCAUAUACUUCCACAUGAUACUUUCUAACAUUUUCUUGAAAGCCAUCAAUCAUUAAAUCUUCAUACUUUUUUCCAUCCUUUGGAUCAAUAAGUACAAAUUUCUCAUCUAAAAAAGACAAAAUAAAAUCACUGUCCUUCAUGGAAUCAGAAUUGAGCUUACAAAAACCGAAGUGGACAGUUCCAUUCAGAUUGGUCGCCCGAGAACAAUGAUGAGAAGACUUAAAAUCAGUUUCAAAGGUUUUCCAAGUAUUGUUCCUCUAAACCACUUGUAUAUUUUACCAGAACUCUUGGUUAAGAAAAUCCUAGUCCAUGGAGUAUGAUAUAUCAAUCAUGCAACAAUGACCUACAACAUCUAUGUGGAUUGAUUUUUGCAAAAUAAAGAACAAUGCUGACUGAGGAAUAAGGUGCAUACCCGAUUAGCAAUAUCUCAGCAAGUAACCAACAAUUUUUUAUCUGAUAAGAAAAAAUUACAAUUUCUUGAAUAUACAUGAAACAUUUUGCAGAAAGAACCAUGUCAUAAUUAUUAGUCCAACUGAAGAAUUAUCAAUACUUAUCACAUGAAACGAAAGAUACCCGAGUUCACUUAAUGAAAUUCUCUUUUUUUUUUCUCUAACAUUGAGAUAAGCAAAAACUUUUAACUAAAGACAAUCAUCUAGUGAUCUCAAACAAAUGAGGUUAGUAUGAAACCAUCAUAAUUUGUUCGCUCAUUGCCUAAUUUUAUUAAUGCAAGAGCCUGGAAGCAACUCAAAAAGAAAAUAACCGACAUAGGAAGUGUCAUCUCAUAUCUCACCAAUGAAUGGGAACAGCUUGAUGUGGCUGAGCAAACUGGCAGAAUUGUCAUUUUAACACACGUUCAAGAAACUCAGCAAAUUCUCAUAUCUGUUUAAAUUCCACAGCAAAGAUAGUUACAAGAAAUCUAAUCAAAAUUUAAAAUGUCAGAAGGCAAAUCUUCCAAUUAGGAUCAAAAGAAGAUAAUUAUAAUUUGUCAUUUCAAUUCUGAAUGUACAAUUUUAUUUUUUUAUGUGUGCAUUAAUUAAGAUUCUACCUUCUCUGCAAAAUUGUGAUGGACUUGGUAAAUAAUGAAUUGUAUCGACUUGAAUUUUAUACAACUUAUUGAGAUAAUAAUACGCCAAAUUCAACACCGUCCAUCCCAAAUCACAACAAGAAACUCAAACUUUUAUCCCCUCAAGUGGGUUCUUGAAACUGAAGCUUUAGUGCCAGUACAAUUUUGAAAGAUUGUGAUCAAACUAAAACAUCAAAUAAAAUAAGACGUAACAAAAACACGUCUUCAGAAAAUUAGUAUAGGAAUAAGAUAAGCUACACAGACCUACUUCAAUGAAUUAGAAAAAUUAUGAUAAACUUGAUGCAUUUCGAAAAACAACAAACAAAUAUUCCCAGGAAAACAAAAAAAAGACAACUUUGUUUAAGCUUAGACAAAAAUAACUAAGGACAUAUGAAUGCAUCAUAAUAGUAUCUCUAUGGGUAAUUUUCAGAAAUCUCCCCUAAGGUAUGGUGUAUUCUUAGUUUGAUAGAAAAUAUCUAAGUAUUCUUAUAGACCUCCCCUACUGUUAGUAUUCCAUUUCGUAUAUGUUAGGUAGAUGAGGGUAAGAUCGUAAUUUGAAUAAGUUAAUGAUAAAAAAUCCAGAAAUUUUAAGAUUUUCACAUUGGCCUCUGGGCUUUAUUCAUCUCUUUCAUCCACCAAAACCAGAAAUACAACUCACCUCUCUCCUCCACCUAAAUCGAAGCAAGGUAGCUCAAAACUCAUUUCAAAAAAUUGAUCAAUUACUUGGGUCACAAACUAGAGACAAUGACGACGAAGUUGAUGACGCCAAUAUCGACGACGAAGCUGAUGACGCCAAUAUCGACGACGAAUGAUUCGCAACUGCCAGGUAAGAGAGUAUAGUAGGUUUCGCCAUCGAACGCCCAAUCAUCCAGUUGUUUUGGAGCCGCGUUAUUUUUAUUAGCUAAAAUUAGAAUUUUUAGUGAAAAAUUGAAAGUGGGUCUCAAAAUUUUUUGAGAGCGUAUAUGUUUCUCCUGAUUUUUCGAUCGAUUCGUGUUAGUUGCAGUUAAAUGAUUAAUCCAAUUCGUGUUGAAGAUAGAGCUAACUCGAAUAUCUCUAUAGUCCUGUAAUUGAUUGAAAAUGGGUCUUGAAAAUUGUUUUAGAUUUCAGCUGUGUGCUUCUGAUUUUUUCCAUGGAUUCAUGAUAGAUGAAAAUGGUUGAUGAAGAUUUGCUUGACAUGUAUAUAGAUGGUAUUUUGUUAAAGGGGUUUUAAUUUUUUCCUUUUUUGGUGGUUUCGAUUGUGGUAUUUACAUGCCUUAGGUUGAGAAAAACGAAAAUGGUUUGUUGCACUCUUUUGUGUUGGAUCAGUGAGUUUAGGCGAUUUGAAAUGGUUUGCGGCAUUCAAUUGAUUGUUUUAUUUAUGUGGUUUGAUAUGGGAAAAGUAUAAUAAAAUUCAAUUGUUCCAUAUGUCAAUUUGGAUGUUUUGAAAUUAUGAACUACAAAAAGUUAAAAUUAAUUUCUUAUUAUAUUUUCAAUUGAAAGUUACUAUUGUCUUCUUUUUAGUACUUAGUAUGCAUUUUUCCCCAUCUUCUAGUGGUGGUGUUGCACCCAUUUUGAAUUUGAUCGGCAUCUUCUUCUGUACAUGCAUGUUUCUUGGACUCCAAUUUUUGUUUCAUAUGAUGAAGCUAAUUUAAUUCCUCCUUUUUAAUAUCAACUUUGUUCAUCUAGGUUUGCGAUUUUGAUCUUUCUCAUUUGAAGGCAAACACAUUUAUGUCAUCAAAAUUUCCAAUAUUUUUUAUUUUAUAGUAUCCAAACUGCUUAUGGCAAUAUGAAAUUGAGAAUAUUUCUUUCAUCAUGUUAACCUAAGUGGAUGGUGGAUGAUGUUUGUGUAAGAGAUUUAAGUUAUUUGUAUUAUAGAAUAUGUCUUAUGUUUUGAUUUGCAAUUUCACCAUUAAAUUGGCUUUGUAAAUGAUUAGAAGCUAAAUGCAUAAAAUGAAAACAAUAGUAACAUUUCUGAGUGGGGUAUAAUCAGAUGCUAACAUGGCGAUCCAUGACUUGUAAUUUCUAUUGUCGUUAUAAUUGGACUAGAUCGAGGUAAACUGACUUUUCUUGUUCUGUUUUUUUUUUCAUUUCUUUGUUCUAGAUUUUUCUUUCUUUGUUUUACUUCUGGUUUCUUCUUCAGCAUAUUCAAUAACUAGCAUGAGCAAAUGGAGAGGAAAAGGGUAGAAUAUGCUUUUAAAAAAAAAGAAAAGAAAAAAAGAGAUAGCUCUAAUUCAAAAAUAAGGAGGAGAAAAGGGCAAUGAUUGAAGUUGUGGAGAAGAAAUUCUUAAUGCAUAGGAGAUGACAACAAAGUGUUGCAACUGGGAGCAGUUUUAAAGUGCUAUUCGAUUGCUUUUGUAAUCAAAUUGUCUUUUGUACCUAUUUAUACACACACAUAUUUGUAUUUGUAAUUUGAAUUUUACAUUUUCUCAAGACAACUAUGUUUAUUUUAAAAAAAAUCUAAAUGUAACUAAAAUAUUAAAGUUUUUGUACUUAUUACUCCAUUUGAUGAUUUUUUUUAUUUUUUUGCUGACGAAUAUUCCAUGUCAAUUUUUUUCCCUUCAGCUCGUUUAAGGUGUUUUAUUGUCUGAUGUGAUAUUUGGUGCUCGGGAGGAAGGGUGUUUUAAGUCUUUUUUGGUGUCAGGGGCAAUUUUGUCUUUACAUCAGUCAACAAAUAGUCAAUGGAUGGAAAUGCAAACAGCAGGGGAGGUGUCUGAUAAUACACGGAUACUUUCUAUCAAACUUAUAAUACACAAAAUCUCAGGGGAGGUUUUUGAAAAUUACCCAACUGUGCAAAAUUAUGAAAAAAAUGAGCUAAACAUAUAUAGCAUUUCAGAGGAGUGCUUACUUGACAAAUCACUAAUACAAAGCUGCGAAUGGGCAUUCGGAAUGUUUUGAGAGACUCGUAUGGAUAAAAUAUGUAGUUAUUUAAGUAAUGACAGAAGGAGAAUCGUGUGGCUUGUCAAAGCCGUUAGCUCCAUCUCAUUUGCCUCGUCCUCUCGUUUUGUUUCUGUGGGGACAUAUUUGAUAUUUUGGAUUUUGUCUAAAAUUCGUCAUGUUUUUGGAUACUAACAUCUGCGCCUCUAGACCAAUAGCCAUUUGAUUAAGUGGGAGAACCCUUACACUAGUGUAAGAAUUUGAACUUUUAUAAAAUUAUUUAUGAGAUUAUUUAUAAUUUUUUUUAAUUAUCAAAUAAUUGAGUAGAGUCAGUUUAAUCCUUACGAAAUAUUUACUAUUCAUAAAUAUCUUUUUUUUUCUCUAUCUUACAAUUGAAUAUUCUCUCUCUACUCCAACAUUAUGUAACCUAAAUAUUUAAUUUCACUCUUUUUUAAUUUAUUUUUUUGUCUUUUCUUAGUAUAUUAUAAUCUUUAUUUCAUGUUUUCUAUAUAUAAGAAUUUUUUUAUAUCUAUUAAAUUUUGUGUUUAGUGAAAAUUAAUUUCUUGAUAUUUUUAAUUUUUAUAAUUGAUAAAAAUAUAUCAAUGUUCAUUUUUAAAUGAUGGGUUUUGUUCAUUUUAGUUUGUUAUAUUAAUUUUUUGUAGGUAAAAGAAUAUAUUUGAAUGAAUUGAAGGAAAAUUGUGAAAUUGAGAAGAGAAAGAGAAGAAAAAGUUAAUUAAAUAAUUUUUUCAAAAAUUAUUUAAAUAAUAAAAUUCUUAAUUAAAAACAAAGAUGGAGAGAGAAAUUUAGUGGGUUCAAAAUACUUAUUUUAAAUCCAAAAAAGAACCAAUAAAAGAAAUCAAAAGAUGAUUCUUUUCUUUCUGACAUAUUUCUCUGUACUUUUCUCUCUCUACUGAUUCACAAUUUUUCAUACUUCUAACUAUCAUUUUAUUCAAGUAUUUUGUAUUUUUAAUGACAAUUAUUUAAUUUUUAGUUAGUUUUGAUAUUGAUUAGAGAUUUAAAGUGUAUUUUAGAAGACUUCCGGUCUCUUGAAAAAAGGAAAAAUGGAGAAGAAGAAGUGUUCUUGAUUUUUUGUAGGCGUUAAAGUUAAAUGGUUUGAAAUGAUAUUCUUUUUUAAUUUCACUCAUUAAUCUCAUUCAAGAUAAAAUUAUAAAUGCAAAUAAAUGGGGUUUCAUAAGUAUUUUUAAUAGUGUUAAAAGGUCUACUCACUAAAUAAACAUGUUUAACCCAAACCAAUGCGAUUAGUAAGUUAUUGGGUUGGGUUAAUCAGGUUAAAAAUCAAAAUUAAAAAUUAAAUAAAUAAAAAAGGUAUAAAAACUAUCUGUUACUUGAAAAUAAAAAGAAUUUCUAAUUGUUAGUUCUAAUGUCCCAUAUCCAAAACAUGCAUAUUAAAUAAAUAUUAUAAGUUAGAAAUACAAUAUCCAAGAAAGAAUGAAUGAAAUACCAUAUUUUUGUUGAGAAUUAAGAGUGUGAUUUUAAUUUUGAUAUUGGAGUCUAAAGUGCCACGUUUAAAUAUUCUCUUUUAUAAAAUAAUAAAAAGAGGUUAAAAAUUAGGUUAGCAAUUUAGCCAUUUAGGGUUUAGCAAUUAAGGAUGAACAUAUUAUUGUUGUUGUUGUUAUUAUUAUUAUUAUUUAUAUGUUUACUAAUCCAAUCCAAUCCAAUUAUUAACGAAUUUGAAAAAAUUGAUUCAAUCAAGCCAUAAUAAUUCAUUCAACUCGUCUAAAUUGGAUUAGGUUGAAUUUGGUUUGCCACCCUUGUUUUGAGCAACAAACCUCAAUGUGAUUCCAUGAGCUCUUUGAUUGUUUAUAAAAUUGUUUAUGAAAGUGCAAAAUAAAUUAUUGUAUACAUUAAAAUGUGCAAAACAAUGAAUUAUAUGUACGAACGAGUGCAAACACAUUUUUCAAUAAGAAGUUAAAAGAUAUUUAUGCAUGAAAAAGCCUACGUUUGUAGUUAUUCUAAAUUUUAAAAACAAAAUUUACAUUUAGAUCCCUAAAAUUUACGUAUAAGUACAAAAGUUUCAAAUAUUGUCUAUUAUUUUUUUAACAUGCCUAUUCCUUGUGGAUAAUUCUAUCUCAUCACUAAUGUUGUUUCUUGCUUACAAUUUGUAUAGUGUCUCAAAAUAGACAAUAGGGGGAUUUUGAAUUUUUUAAGUCUCAAUAUAGUCUCUAAUCUUGUGAGAAAGAUUUUCUUUCAAUAAUUUGGAGGUAAACAUAACAUAACUUUUUGGACUAAAGCCUAACUCUGCUGGUUAUGGUGGUAUCCUUUUCAAGACCUGCGUCUUUAGAUUCGAGUUUUAUAGUGUGCAUGCGUAUUUAAUUAAUAAUUUUUUAAAACAAUACAUCAAAUAUUAAUAUCCAUGACAUAAUUUAGUUCUUAAUUUUUUUUUUAAAUACAUCAAAAACAUAAUUUUUUUAACAACUUAUAGGCAUGACAAAUUUCAAGAUAUAAAUAUCAGUCAAAAUAAGUGAAAGAAAUAAUGGUGCCAAUUCUAAUUUCUUAACUAAAUUAAUUAGUGCAUGAGCCCCGAAUACGACACGAGAGUUUGAUGGGCUAACAUGGCACAAGAACCUGAAUAAAUAAUUGAUUUAAGAAAUAAUUCAAUGAAAAAUAUAAUUGAUAAGAAUUCAGUAUUGAAAUGAGUUUUUUAUGAAACACUGAAUUAAUGAUUAUUAAGCAAGAACAAUAAAAAAUAAAUAUUAAUCAUUGAUAAGUUUCAACAAAAGCUUAACACAAUCCUCAAUCCUAAUUCAAAUUAUAAAUGUCAUUCAUAUAUUCAUUAUAAUCAACAACAAAGGUUAUAAAUGUUUAGAAAUUCUAGAGGGAAGGAAGCUAUCGCUGGGCAAUCAACAACUAAAUUUGAUGUAAUUGUGGCACGAGAUGGAAUAUGGAAACUACACCAUAAUUUCAAAUGCCGCCAUAGACAUUGACUUAUCUACAAUAACAAUGAUCUAAUUAAAAUAAAAAUAGAGUUUAUGGGCAUUUAUUAAAAUAAAAAUAGGAGUGAAGUAAAAACAUUUAGAUUUUAAUGUAUGUACGGAAAAAUUUAUCUUUAAAAAUACUUUCUUAAUGUGUGUGUGCAUAUUGAAAUACUCAAACCAAUUUUGGUUAUAUAUAAUUCAACAAAAUUUAAAAUAUGAAAAAUAUAAUGUAGUUAUAGUGGAUAAGCAAUAAGUGAGCACAAUAUAAUUAAUCAAAUACUAUGCUAUCAAAAGUUAAUUUUAGAAAUUCCAAAUCCAAUAGCUAACACAAUUCUUUAAAGAAAUAACAAGGGGCAUUGGGCAAGAGUAAUGAAUGCUUAGUGGGUGCAUUUGAUUGAUAGAUAUAUAAAGGGCCGAAACUUGAUAUUAUAUUACUUUUACAAAAUUUAAUCCAAUCACAUAUUUAAUGAAAACAAAAUGAGUUAGGAUUGUUUAUUUAGAACCCACAUUUUAAUAAGGCUUCAUUUGAUGUAGUUUUUCAAACAUUGAUUAUUUGAGUAAUUACAAAGUACAAUACGUACCAAGUUUGGUAACUUAAUUGACAUCUUCUCAUAUAACCUUCGAUCAAGUCGAUUCUGACCUGACGACUAAUUGGUACAUCACCGUUGUUCUCUAUACUCGCAUGCAUCCGAUCACAAAUCUCACUCCAAUUGUCGUCUUUCUUCGGCGUUUUAGCGCAUCCUUCUUGAAUUUCCCGCAUUUCGUUCCCUCCUGUUACAAGUCUCCGGUCAGGUCAGUUCACUUGACGAUUAAUUCGGCAAAUCUCGAAUCUCUUCUCUAUCCCUCUCGUUUUCUCGUGUCUCCUUUCAGUUUAAGUGAUUGAAUCAAUUUUAUCGCAGUCUUAAGAGAAAUUAAGUAAUGCUCUUGGAUUUAAAAUUUUUUUGCUUUCGACUUUAGAUCUCGAAAGUCAAACUCUGCUACGAAUCCAUAGAUUCUCAAUGUUUAUAAUCUUAUUUGUGUUUGACCAGGUAACUGGAUCGUGAAAUUCGUCGUUUUGUAUCAAUUCAAGCUUUCGCGAGCUCAUGGAAUCCCCUGGUGAGUUGUGGUGAAACGUUAUCGUUUCAAUUUUCGCUUAAUUCUUUAUUGCAUAUUUUUUUCUCUCUAAUAUUUCAGUUUAAUUUAGAAAAGAAAGAGGACCCAAAAAGAGAGAGAGAGAGAGAGAGACUCUACCAUACUCAAUUCCUUGCUCAUUCUGAUUUGGCCUGAAUGUUGGCAUUGACUAUUAUUUGUUUUCAUUUCGAUUUAAUUCUCAUUUAGACAGUCUUUUUUAACUAGCAAUAAUCUUUUUAAGGAAAAUGAUAAUAGGGAUUCUGCAAUAAUCUUUUUAAGGAAAAUGAUAAUAGGGAUUCUGCAAUAAUCUUUCUGCAUUGUUCAAGUUAGUAGACAAUGAAUAGGGUGUUUAUGUUUACCUCAUUUUGAACCCUGAGGGCUUCGUUGAGUAGUUGAUCCAACAUAUCCAGCACCGGUUGAUGUGAGAACAGGAUGCCAUUUAGAUAGGCUUAAACUGAUUUUGGAGGUUUGUAUUCAUUCUAUUGUAUGUCUUGCUUACAAAUUUUUUAUUUUUUAUUUUUAAUUUUGUAUAAUAUGCUCUUUGUUGGUAAAUCUCAUUUGACUUAGAAGAGAUAGUUUUAUCCCAACAGUGGGAUAAAUCAUUGAGAUGCAUGGCAGUGUGAAUAUAGUAGACAAAAUCAUUGAGACAGAUGGUGGUGUGAACAUAGUAAACUUUGUCAAACACAGCUAAGAUAAACAAAUUGUUUCAUUAGCCUUUAUCUUAUCUGCUGUGAUGAUUCAAAUUAAUGCUGUUUGGUAGGUUGCAAAAAACGAAAUGAGCUGACUGUUCAUAUUAUUUAGUCAGAUCUAUUGCAAUAAGUUGAAGUUCACUGUCACAUGGGUUGGGAGUAGCGUGGGCUGUGAGUAGUAGAAUGGAUUUAUGGAGUUGAUACAAGUGCCCAUAAUCUAUCAUGUCAUUCUAGGAUUAAAUGGAUUGCACAUUACUGUAAAGAUGGAGGUUAAAUUUAUAUAAUUCGGAUUGAUUGUAAAAUGGGAGGCAGAGAUGAGUUAGAAAAAAAAUGACCUGUGUCCUUUUUGAGCUGUUUCUAAAUCUCCCUGGUGUGCUUCAUGCUUAACACGUGUCUGUCCAAAUAAUUUUGCUUAACCUGUGCUUGUCUACUUCUUGUGCUAUUCUGUGCCUGGUCCUGAGCUGUGUUGGUAGAUUGACAUAAUUUUGCUCUGCUAAAUGUAUAACUUAUUAAUCAGAGUCCUGUUAUUAUGGUUUGACACUACUGACAUGUUGUGUUGGUAUUUAUUUGUACUUCCCUUGGUUGAAUUAUUUGCUGUCUCCAUGCCAUUCGAUAUGGUGCUACUUGGUUUUUGAUCAUCCAUGACGCUAUAUAUAUGUAAAGGAUGAAUUGAUUGUUUUGGCUUGUAUUCUCACAUUUUAUGAUUGAUCGAUGGAAAGGUCUUCAUGUAUUAAAUUCAACCUCACAAGCGUAAGAUUGACAGAUUGUGGGAAAAUUUUCAGGAAAAGAAACUAGACUUCAUGGAAGCAAUGAAGCUUGAAAUUGAACGUCUGCAGCUGCAUCUUUCUGCAGCUGAAAGGGAUAGAGCUUUAUUGUCAAUUGAAACUGAUCCUGCCUCUAUAAAUCCAAAUGUAUUGCUUGAUGAAUCUUACAUGGGAAGACUGUCGAGUAGCAACCACUCUUGCAUUACUUGGCCAAACUUCCCUAGAAGACAAAAUUGUUGGUGCAAUUGGCCUUGAGAAUAGUGAUGAUAGUGUUUUAGACUUCUGGAAUAUUACUAGAAUCGGAGAGAGUUGUUCUGGUGGCGGGUGCAAGGUUUGUGCAGAAACUAAGGUGCCUGCUCUUGCUUCCUCAACUGCAACAUCUGUUGGAGCUUCACAAUCCCCUUUGUUGUGUUCUCAAUGUGAAAGAAAAGUUUGCAAAGUUUGUUGUGCAGGAAGAGGAGCUCUACUGUUUUCAAAUUAUAAAUCAAGGGAUGUGACCAACUACAAUGGCUUCUCAAGUCAGAGUGGAUGAAGCCAUGGAAGCCAAGUUGAUGUAUCUACCAGUCGUUCACUAACACUGGAUGGCGUUAUCUGUAAACACUGCUGCCAUGAGAUUGUGCCUGAUGCAUUGAUGUUGGACCAUGUUAGGGUCUUGAUUAGCUUGCGAAGAAGUUCCUGUGCAGACAACGCAGUCAUACAAUGCUUUGAAUGAGGUUGUUGGAUCCUGCUUAAAGGAUAGUGUUUCUGAAAGGAUUCAGUCUUCCGAUAACGUGCAAGCUGCUGAAGUCCUUCACCAAUUAUGUGGUGGACAGGAAUCACUUGCUGAAUUUCCAUUUGCUAGCUGUUUGCACUAGGUAUGUUCUUGGUUUGUAUUCAGUUCUCAUCAUGUUAUGUUUUCCUUUUAAAUUUCUUUUCUUGAUUAAAAUUUUUAGAAAUAUGUUUUAGUAUUUGUUCUUAUGAUAUAUGCCCAGAACAUUCAUCCCACUUAUCCAUGAGAAUCCUUGUCUGGUUUGAUUUUCAAUUGAGACAUUUUUGGGAACCCUGAGCAGGUUCCAUAUGCUAAUAAUCUUUGAGGUAAGGUGUUGUAGGAUGCCUUGAGAAGCUAAAAACCUAUUACAAGGAAAAGCUCUUGCAUUGUUUUGUGGAAUCUGUGUUGUGAAAAUAGGUAGAGAAAAAGUUUAUGGAAUAAUUCUCUUAUUUCAUAUGUUCAUGAGACUGUACACAGUCUUUAUAUAGGGAUACAAGAGACUAAGAAAGGAAAGAAAAAAUUAAAGCAGAAUAUUACACACUGAUUUCUAGGAAGCAAUAACUCUAUAUUUACACCAAAUAUACACCUAAAUAUAUAAGGAAAACCAAAUCAAUUUGAUUUGGUCAACCUUUCAACACUCCCCCUCAAGCUGGUCUAAAAAUGUCUUUCAUGGCCAGCUUGCAAACCAAUUUCUCAAAAUGUUUCUUAGGUAGUCCCUUGGUGAGUAUAUCAGCAAUCUGCUCAUUUGUAGGAAUGUAGGGCAUGCAGACCAAACCACUGUCCAGUUUUUCUUUUAUGAAAUGUUUGUCCACUUCAACAUGUUUAGUUCGGUUGUGGAGUACUGGAUUAUGUGCUAUUGCAAUGGCAGAUUUGUUGUCACAAUAUACUUUCAUAGGUAGAGAAUUAUUUGCCUUAAGUUCUUCAAGAACUUUUUUGAUCCAAAAAACCUCACAAAUUCCUAGAGCUACUGCUCUAUAUUCUGCCUCUGCACUACUUCUUGCUACCACAGUUUGUUUCUUGCUGCGCUAAGUGACCAAAUUUCCUCCGACAAAGGUGCAGUAACCCGAAGUGGAUCUUCUAUCGGUUACACUACCAGCCCAGUCAGCAUCAGUGUAGACUUCUACUUGUAGGUGCCCGUUUUUUCUAAACAAAAGACCUUUACCCGGAGAUCCUUUUAAGUAUCUAAGGAUUCUAUAUACAGUUUCAAAGUGUUCUGGUCCUGGAGCAUGCAUAAACUGGCUGACUAAGCUCACUGCAAAGGCUAUGUCCGGGCGUGUAUGUGAAAGGUAGAUUAAUCUACCUACAAGGCGUUGGUACCGAUCUAUGUUGGUCACAUCUUCAAUAUUAGCUGGCUGUAAUUUCAUAUUAGGAUCUAUGGGUGUCUCGGCUGCUUUACAUCCGAGUAAACCUGUCUCUUCAAGCAAAUCAAGAACAUACUUGCGUUGAGACACAACAAUCCCAUCUUUUGAUCUAGCAAACUCCAUGCCCAAAAAAUACUUCAGGUUGCCUAAGUCUUUGAUUUCAAAGUCACGUGCAAGCACUUUCUUUAAUCUGCAAAUCUCAACUAAGUCAUCACCAGUCAAAAUUAUAUCAUCUACAUAUACAAUUAACACGACUAAUUUCCCUUCAAUAGAAUGUUUGUAAAACAUUGUAUGAUCUGCCUGACUUUGGGAGUAGCCGUGUCCCUUUAUAACAUUACCAAAGCGUUCAAACCAUGCUCUAGGAGACUGUUUGAGCCCAUACAAAGACUUAUGUAGUUUACACACUUUACUGUUGCCAUGAUUUCCCUCAAAACCUAGUGGUAAAUCCAUAAAGACUUCUUCUUCUAGCUCCCCAUUCAGAAAAGCAUUUUUAACAUCUAACUGGUAUAGAUUCCAAUCAGAAUGUACAGCCAAUGAGAUAAGGACCCGGAUGGAAUUUAUCUUUGCAACGGGGGCAAAAGUUUCUUGAUAAUCAAUUCCGUAGGUUUGAGUGAAUCCUUUUGCUACAAGCCUUGCCUUAUAUCUCUCAACACUCCCAUCAGCAUUACAUUUAAGUGUAAACACCCACUUUCAACCCACAGUUUUCUUUUCUUUUGGUAAAUCCACAAUCUCCCACGUACCAUUCUUCUUUAGAGCAUUCAUUUCCUCUAAAACUGCUAACUUCCAAUCUGGGUGGUCUAGGGCUUCUUUUAUGGUUUUAGGAAUUGGUAUUUGAGAGAUUUUUGUGGUAAAGGCUCUUUGUUUAUUGGACAACUUUUCAUAGGAAACAUAUCUAGCAAUGGGGUGCUUAGUACAGGUUCGGGUUCCUUUCCUAUGUGCUAUGGGUAAGUCAAGAUCAGGAAAAAAAGUGCUGAAAUGUUUAGGAGAAGAAAUGUUACCUGAAUUUUCUGAGGAAUCAGUGCUUGGAGGCAACGAUUGAGGCUGUAUCGAGUUUAUGAGAGGGUCUUUACUGUUGUGAUGAUACUUUCGAGUAUAAACACGCAGCUCUGGUGGUGGAAUUUUAUCUUGUAGUAUUUCUCCCCCUGUCUCUGGUACAUUAACACUUGGUUCCUGUAGUUCAAGGUUUCCUAGGUUUUCAUUAUUAGAAAUAUCAGUUUUUUGAGUUUGAGUUGGAGUGCCCAGAUCAGGUAAAAACUGAUUAGGCAUAGGUGUAGAAGUAUGCCAAAAAUGAUCUUCACUAUUUUCUUUCUCCCCCUGAAGAGAAUUUUGGCCAAAAAAAGGUUGAUUUUCGAGAAAUAUAACAUCCAUACUGACAUGGAAUUUCUUUGUUUGAGGAUUGAAACAUUUGUAACCUUUUUUAUUAGGUGCAUAGCCCAAGAAAACACAUUUUUCAGAUCUAGGAUCCAAUUUAGAUCUAAGAUGGUUAGGAACAUGAACAAAUACAGUGCACCCAAAGACUCUUAACUGAAUAUUGGAGGUAAUCCUACUAGAAGGAUAUAUAAGUGUGAAGUAUUCUAAAGGUGAUUGAUACUUUAAAACACGGGUAGGCAUCCUAUUAAUCAAAUAACAUGCUGUUAAAACAGCAUCACCCCACAAAUAUUUAGGAACAUGCAUAGAGAGCAUGAUAGCCGACUAACUUCAAGUAAAUGGCGGUUUUUUCGUUCCGCAAUUCCAUUUUGUUGUGGAGUAUCACGACAAGUGGAUGUGUGAAUUAUACCCUUUUCCUUACAAAACACCUCUAGAUAAUUAUUAAAAUAUUCAGUACCAUUAUCUGUAUGGAGUAGACUUAUUUUUGUUUGAAAUUGAUUUUCAACCAUGUUAUAAAAAUCUUUGAAUAACCCCUCAACUUCAGAUUUUUCUCUCAUUAAAUAAACCCAACAAAGCCGAGUAUGAUCAUCUAUGAAUGUUACAAACCAUUUUUUUCCAGUUAAAGUGUUGAUUUUUGAGGGUCCCCAAACAUCACUAUGAAUUAAAUAAAAAGGUUUUGAGGCACGAUAAAUAAGUGCUUUAUAUGAAACUCGAUGACUUUUAGAUAAAAAACAACUUUCACACUGAAAAGUAGUACAAUCAACAUUUUUAAAUAAAUUUGGAAACAAAUAUUUCAAAUAAGGAAAGCUAGGGUGUCCUAGUCUAAGGUGCCAAAGCAUUAUUUGAUCCCUAGCAGAGUUUGAACUAAUACUACUGCUCAAACCUUGAGUUUGUUUAUUCCUUGAUAAGUAGUCAUCAAAAUAGUAAAGACCUUCUCGCAAACUAGCACUGCCAAUCAUCGUCCCCAAGUCCCUGUCCUGAAAUUCACAAUGGGAGUCAAAAAAGACAGCACAACAAUUAGAAUCUUUGGUUAAUUUACUGACAGAUAACAGAUUGCAAGAAAGUUUAGGGACAUGUAGCACAUUUUUAAGCUCAAUGGUUCCAGAGAUUUUUAUUGAUCCUUUUCCAGCUAUGGAAGAUAAGCUUCCAUCAGCAACUCUUACCUUUUUGUUACCAGGGCAAGGAUAAUAGGAAUCAAAUAAACUAGAAAUGCUAGUCAUAUGAUCAGAAGCACCCGAAUCAAUAAUCCAUGGUGCAGUAGUUGAGUGGCUAAAUAGAGCAUUAAUAAUACUACCUGUUUGGGCUAGUGAACCACUAGGAGUACUAGGUGGAGGAUUAGAAGUCAGCAGCUUUAUGAGAUGGUCAAUUUGCUCCUUGCUGAGAUUUUUUUCUAGAUUCUCCACUUCAUUGGCAGACGCACGGCUAUGCUUGCUGUUUUUCCAAUCUGCAGGCUUUCCGUGGAGUUUCCAGCAAGCCUCCCGAGUAUGGCGUGGUUUAUUACAGUAAUCACACCAUACUCGAGGUUUUUGUUGCUGUUGAGUGAUGGAGCGGGUAGCAUUAUCUGCUGUAACAAGGGCAGAUUUUUCCACAGAGACAACGGAGUUCUUUUUUCCCAACAUAACACCUCGACGACUUUCUUCUCUCCUUACUUAAGAGAAAACAUCCUCAAGAGUAGGAAGUGGCUUUCUCCCAAUAAUUCUUCCUCUUACCUCAUCAAAUUCAACAUUGAGCCCAGCCAGGAACUUGAAGAUUCGCUCAUUAUUGACAGUUUGUUUGUGGUGUUUAAAAUCUUCCAUGCUCUCCCACUCGUAGUCGUUGAAUAAGUCCAGAUCUUGCCACAAUCUCUUUAGAGUAUUGAAGUAUUUUGUUAUACUAUAAUCUCCUUGACGGAUAUCUCCAAGAGCAAGCUGCAACUCAUAGAUCUGGGACUGAUUUCCAUAGUCAGAGUACAUCUGACUCACAUUAUCCCAGAGUUCUUUUGCAGUAGAGUAGCACAUAUAAUUUGCACCAAUGUCUUCAUCCAUGGAGUUGACUAACCAUGCCAUAAUCAUGGAGUUUUCGGCAUCCCAAACACCAUAAGAGGGAUCAGAUAUUUCAGGAGCCUUAACAUCUCCGGUAAGAUAACCAAUCUUCCCUCUUCCCCUAAUAUACAUUCUAACCGACUGAGACCAUCUUUGAAAAUUUCCUUCAUUCAGCCGGAUAGUUGUAAUCUGGACAGAAUGAGAUUCAGAAUGGGAAAUUUUUGGUUCUAGUCUUUUUGAGGUGACUGUGGUUUCAGAAGAUUGGUCAGACAUGGUAGGGAAGAGAUCAGAAAGAAAGGGAGCCUAGCUCUGAUACCAUGUGAAAAUAGGUAGAGAAAAAGUUUAUGGAAUAAUUCUCUUAUUUCAUAUGUUCAUGAGACUGUACACAGUCUUUAUAUAGGGAUACAAGAGACUAAGAAAGGAAAGAAAAAAUUAAAGCAGAAUAUUACACAUUGAUUUUUAGGAAGCAAUAACUCUAUAUUUACACCAAAUAUACACCUAAAUAUAUAAGGAAAACCAAAUCAAUUUGAUUUGGUCAACCUUUCAACAUGUGUGCUAGCAAGUCAUGUCUCUAAUAAUUUCAUAGUUUGCUUGAUUGGAAUUUUUUAUCUUGAUAUGGAUUGUUUAUUCUAGAUUCCUUGGUGCUGUAGGUUGAAACAGCAAAAGAUUCAGCACCGAUUUUGUCACUGCUUGCUCCAUUAAAUUCUGGAUCAAGGCACUCAUAUUGGAGAGCUCCACCUUGUACUACUUCUGUUGAAUUUGUUAUUGUUCUCUGUUCUGUUUCUGAUGUCAGUGGGGUUAUCUUGCUUGUUAGUCCUUGCGGCUAUUCUGUGGGUGACACUCCGAUGGUAAGUGCCAUAUUUAUUCCCUUAUUUCCUUGUUGUUCAAUAAAUUUGGUGAUAAGCCAAGUGGCCUUAAUAAUGAAGCCCAGUACCAGGGGUGGUGGGUAAUCGAUAUUCAACUUGUGAAUAUUCCUAAGCAAGCACUGAAUCAACAUAGACCUCGGCAAAAGUUCUCCAUGCUAUUAUAACGAAAGUCAUAUUUUGAAAUGAUUAAAAGAGUCCCUGUGUAGUGCUAUUUCCAAAGAAAUUGCAGCUGGAGGUUUAGUUUCAUGUAGGUUAGUUUCCGAUAAUAAACUUUCCAUUUCAUUAAUUGCUGAUGAAAAAACCAAGUAAGAACAGUUUUGUUGCUCGUCAUUUAUGUAUAUUUUGGUAAACUGUAAUUUUAAAUUCUCAACGAUCUUCCCUUUGUAGGUAAGAAGAUGGUCCACUCACUUGAUAUUUAUGAUUGUAGAUCAGGUUUCUAUUGGUUUGCCUUUAUCAUUCGGAACCCAAGUUUGAUAUUAACAGAGAUCACGUCAAUAAUAUCCUAUUUGGGUAGAUGUGGGUGAGGAUUUAAAAUCAAAUUUGAAAUUGAGGGCAAAGAAGAGAAAAGAAACCGCAAUAAUUAAACAAAAUAUUAGGAACUAUUCUGAUGAGUUUUAAUCUCGAGAGGAACAAUUUUCAAAUGCAAAAUUUAACUGCUAGAGAAAUUGUAGCUUUUUGUCAUUAGUUAAGAGGAAAGAGAAUAAGAACUAUCUGGCCCUUUCCUUCAUGAAUGUGUGUUGAGGUUGCUGUAUUAUUUAGUCAGUAUUUGUAAUUUUCUUCCCUGCAGUGCUCUCUGCCUCCUGAAUUUGCUACUGAGUCCAUAUUUUUCUUUGAGCUGUUGCUUCCUAUUGCUGUUACAGGUACAAAUCUGGGCAAGCAAUAAGAUACACCGGGAGGACAGGUCAUCAAUGGGAAAAUGGGAUGUCCAAUCCCUCAUCACAUCUUCUUCAGAUUUGUAUGGUCCAGAAAAGUCUGCUAGUGUUGAAAAAUUACCUAGGCAUGUAAAAUUUACUUUUAAGAAUCCUGUUAGGUGCCGCAUUGUUUGGAUCACAUUACGUCUUCAGAGACCUGGUUCGGCUUCAGUUAAUUUCGGGAAUGACUUCAGUCUUUUGUCUCUUGAUGAAGAUGAAAACCCCUUUGCACAAGUAGACAGACGUGCUUCAUUUGGAGGAGCAGUUGAAAAUGAACCAUGUAUUCAUGCCAAAAGAAUUCUUGUAGUCGGAAGCCCAGUAAAAAGGGAGGGGCUUACCACAUCACAGAGCUCUGAGCAGCUAAGUAUUAGAAACUGGUUGGAUAGAGCUCCACAAAUGAGUAGAUUCAAGGUAUUAGUUGCUUUCACUCUUUGUUCAUUCAUAAUUCCAGCUUUCUGCUUGAUGCCUUGCCUCUGAUAAACCUCUUUUUUCUCUUCAGGUCCCAAUUGAGGCCGAGAGAUUGAUGGACUACGAUCUCGUCUUGGAACAGUAUCUACCUCCAGCGUCACCUUCGCUUGCCGGAUUCCGUCUAGAUGCUUUCAGUGCAAUAAAACCUAGGGUUACCCAUUCACCUUCCUCAGAUUCAGAUAUCUGGGACAAAUCAGUAACAUUUUUAGAAGACAGGUACAUCUCUCAAGCUGUGUUGUAUUUACAAGUAUCCGCACUCCAGGAACCACAUAACAUGGUAACUAUUGCGGAAUAUCGACUGCCGGAGGCUAGAGCCGGAACGCCAAUGUACUUUGAUUUCCCACGACCGAUACAGUCCCGACGAGUUUCAUUCAAGCUUCUUGGAGAUGUUACAGCAUUUGCAGAUGAACCUUCAGAACAAGAUGAUUCAGGAUUGAGAGCUCCACUUGUGGCCACAGGUUUGUCUUUGUCAAACAGAAUCAAGUUAUAUUAUUAUUGUGAUCCUUAUGAGCUCGGAAAAUGGGCAAGCCUUUCUGGAGUUUGAUCGUUAUUUAUAUGUCAGAGAAAGGGUUUUGGGUUUGAUUUUGAUUUUGAUUUGUAAUUUUUGUCAGUUUAUUGAAAUUUUUUGUUGUAUAAAAGCAGAAUGUAAAGGUAUAAAAAUUCAUUGAUGCUGCAAUGUCUGUGCUUUUGAGAAAGAAAGAAUUCUAUGGCUUUUCUAUGCCAUUGGAUUUUCCACUGCCUGUAAACUUGGGCUGUCGAAUGCUCUGUGAACCUUAAGGGCUAUAAAGUAAUUUUCAAGACUGAAGGAUUUAUUAAUCGAGUUCAAAAGAUUGCAAGUUGGUGAGCGUUGGCAUUUAAAAAAUCAAUUGUUAUUCUCUCAAUAAUCUCUGUCUUCUGCCGACACCCCAUGCUCAGAAACCCAUUGUUCCGACGGACGUGUAACACUUCUAGAAAUUGUUUUGAUCUCUCCUCGUGAAGUGUUUUCUUUUUCGAGUGAAGGUGGUUUUCUACUUGCAUACGUCGGGGGUCUUAUGAUAUGUAAUGUGUGAAAUUUCUUUCUCAUUUUACCAUAAAGAAAAAUGUUGUAAUAAUCUAAAGCUCGAGUCUUAAAUUAUCUUAAAUUUAUAUUUAGAGUGGAGCUAUUCGCAAUCCUACAUUAAAAUUACAAAUAAAAAUAAUUGAAAAUUAAACACUUAUAGAUUUUUUUUACAACAAAUUAUUUAAUUCAUAAUCAAUCCUUUAAAAAAAAAAAUCCAUAUGUUACUUGCUAUCUAACUAAAAUAAAUUUUACAAAUUUAGAAUAAUCUAUUGAUUUCUUUUGAUUUCUUAUUAAUUAAAUAUUUUUAUACAUAAAAUUGCUUUGAAAUUAUAAUUUGAAAUAUGUGUUAUUUCAGCCAAUGAUUAACACUAAAAAACUUAUCACCCAUAUAACUUUUUAAUUUGUGUGUAGGGUAAUAAUAAAAUCAAAAAUAAUUAAAAAAAUAGUACAAUAAUGAGUUUUAACAAUAAAACAAAUCAAAUGAAAAUUGAAAAUUUAGAAAAAAUGUAUCUAAAAAAGGGAACGUUUUUUAAAAUAAAAUGAAUAUAACUAAAAAGGGGUUUUAUGAGAAGAGCAGAGGGGUGCCAAUAGUCCAACUUGUAAUUAAGAAUCUCCCAUUAUAUUGUCAACCAAAAAGACACUUGAAUAAGAAGAAGAAUUUAUCAGUUUGAUUUUAUUUAUAGAUCCAACAUUUCUCAUAUCCUAAACGCCUUUCCGUAUCAAAUUAAAACAGUAGUCGCAAAAUCGUAGUAUUAAAAUCGUAGUGCACAUUCAAUUAACCAACUAAUAGUCUUUGGUAUAAGAUUUUAUAUUAGCUAGCCAAGUAGGUUGUCCAUCCCACUCAGACAUGAACGAAAGCUAAAUUCAUCAAAUGGUGUUAUACUAUUAAAUAUUUUUAUAUUUAAAAUUACUUUGAAAUUAUAAUUUCAAAUUAAAAUAGUAGUAGCAAAAUCGUAGUGCACAUUCAAUUAACCAACUAAUAGUCUAAGAAGCAAAGAGAGGAUUACAAGUUCACAACACCAUUACAAAGGAUUCAAAAUUCCCACACGAAAACAUCAAUGUACAGAUUAUAAACAAUCCGAAUUGGACACAAGAAAAAGCCCUUCAAUGGAUUGCUUUCCUUCCCAAUGCUAUAUACUGUGCAAACUCCGCACUGGCCAAGAAAAUGUUUUCAAUUUAGUGUAUUUUCAAAUUGCUUAUUUUCUCAUAAUAUAAAAAAUAAAAAAGAAUCCUUACAUGUUUCAUCAGCAUGAUUAAAAUCAAAGAAGAAAGCGAAGACGUAAUGUCUCUGACAUAAUAAAAUUACAAAAAUUUCAAGGAAAAAAAAAAGGUUAAAACAUGUAAUCUUCAGAAGCAUAUAAUAAAAGAACACUUCCACAAAUUACUACAAUUUCAUGCAGUAGAGAUUGAAGAGUUGAAUUCCACUAAUUUUAAUAAUGAAAACAACAACAGAGGAUUAACUGAUGCUUUGACUUAUUAGCAGGUUGCUUUGACUUAUUAGUUCUGCAGCUAAGUUAAAUAAAAUAAGCUAUUUUCAAAAGCAAAAUGGAAUACAUAGAUAAAAACAUCAUCUUAAACAAAUCACAAUCUAGAAUUAGAGCAUUUUCGACAUACCUAAGGAACACGAAUACGUGAAAACGGGUGAUUUAUUUGUUAAGGAGUGUUGAUUUGGUCGUCUCUGCAAAUUCUUUAGGGACUCGGUUCCAAUUCCUCUUCAUCAAAACUGUAAUAUAAUUCCCCUUCAUCAGAACUCGAAUCGAUGCAAUAUAAUUCCCCUUCAUCAGAACUCGAAUCAAAUUCACUUGCAGCAGUUCCACUCGCGCUUGGCAAAUCAUCCAAUUUCCAAACUUCGGUAACAAAAUUGAGAGUAAAAGUGUUGGCUUUGAUCUCGCUGGGAUUUGCAUAUACUGGACAUACUCCGCAACGUUUUAUCUUCUGACCCUUUUGGACCUUUAUUAUGUUUCGGUGACACUCAUUGAAGAACUUAAAUGUGGCAGUUGAAUGAUGGUCACCAUCAGGAAAGCCAACAUUCAAGCAAGGUUUAAAACCAAGUAUGACAUGAUCUGAAUCAUGGGGGUCUUGAAUUGAGUGCAAAUUGUAACCCAGAUGAACAUGUUUGGUUUCAGAGAGAGUCUUUAUUUCUAAGUCGGAUCGACAGUAAACGUAAAAAUAACGAAAACGAUCAGAAUAAAGUUGCUUAAAAUCAAGAACAGCACAAAAAGCAAACCCGAUUAAGUUUCUGCAAAAAGAGUGCGGUGGCAGUUGAAUACGUAUCGAAGAUCCUGAACUUUGAUUGCUGAACCAGUCAGGAAUUUCGCUCCCAGGUAAAACAAUUUGGGAUCCCCUGAGUUCAGAAAGUUUCUGCGAAACGACAUUUAAAAAAAGAAAAUUGUAAAAUGAAAACCAUGAUUUCAGAUAUAACAAAGAGGGACAGAGUAAACAAGAGAGGGAAUUUGAUACCUCGUUGUAUGCAUUUUCAUAGCCCAGUCUCAGUGAUGCUGCAAUUGCCAUACGUAGUGAAUCUGCCAAAAUCUUGUUGUUUGCUUUUCCAUCAAGUUUCAAGCAGUUAGUAAACUCAAAACAAAUUGGUUGUGGCGUCACAUAUUCCGGAUGCCAUUCACGAAGGUCAGGAGAGGGUUUGGAUAGCUUUUCGAGUACGGAUGCAUCUAGUUCUUGUACACAUGACGGAAUCUCUGGCAAAGAUUGAAGCCGGUUGCAGUUCAUUGCUUUUAGUGACUGUAGACACAAUGGAAGUUCUGGUAAUGACCGAAGCAUGUUACAAUCCUCCAAGUGAAGAGUUUCUAGACCCAAUGGAAGUGCUGGUAAUGACUGAAGCAUGUUACAACGCCUCAAGUAAAGAGAUUUUAGACACAAUGGAAGUUCUGGUAAUGACUGAAGUAUCUUACAAUCCCUCAAUUCAAGAUAUUUUAGACACAAUGGAAGUUCUGGUAAUGACUGAAGCAUAUUACAAUCCUCCAAGUUAAGAUAACUUAGCCACGACAGUUGCUUGAUACUUGCAGGUAAACUCUCAAAGUUAUUUCCACUUAAAUUGCCAAUGUUAUCCGGCAACUUGUCAAGUAUAGAGCAACCACUUACGGACAAAAAUGAAAGCCCCGGUAGAUUUUCAAAUGGCGAUGGCAGCUCUGUAAUUGCCGUCCAGACUAAAUAGAUGCAAUUUAAAUGUUCCAUUUUCUCCAAGAUUUCUGGGAAACGCUCAAGGUUCAAGCAGCCAAAAAGAAAAAGAUCAACCAAAGAUCUCAAUUUACAGAACCUAGUUGAAAUCCUCUUCAGCCGUUUGCAAUGCCCCAAAUCCAACACUUCAAGAUCAGUUAGGCACUCUAUUGAUGAUGGAACUUCUUCUAUUGCAGACUGGCCUAAGGAUAGCUCUGUGAUUUUCCCAGAAAUCCGUGGAAACUCUUUGAGAUUAACACAAUAGGAGAAAUUAAUAGUUACUGGACAAACAAAAUGAAGAUUGCUUGGAAAAGACCUAAGACUUUUGCAGCCCUCAAAAGACAACGCACUGAGAUACUUGAAAUUCUGGAUAGAUGAGGGAACACAAGCCAAGUUUGUAUAAUCCAAAAGAUUUGUUUCAACAUUUGGGGUUUCUAAUGGGCCUGGCAUCUUAAUGAAAUGUCGAGAAUGAUUGAGGUUAAUAGAUUUUAACUUGAAAGCUUCCUGCAAUAACAGAUAUAUAAAGACUAUAUUAAUUAAAAAGCAACAUUGAAUUCAACAAUUAAUUGCACGUAUGUUUAAAGAAAGAAAAAAAUUAAUGUUUUAGUUUUAGUACAAAACUUACCUUUUCUCCUUCCCAAAGUUGCUCAACUUUACUAAAACGCAAAUUCAGUUCAACAAGGUUCAUUGGCUUGAAAUUUGAUGGCAGUGUCCUUAAUGGAUAUGUGUCCCAAUGAAGAUAUCUCAAUUUUUUAGGAAGAUAAUCUAGGCCAUUUGGAAGCUGCACUUUAGAGUAUGAAAGUUGCUCUUCAAUGCUCAUACUUAGAAACCUUUCAAUCUCAGGUACAUAAAAUUUGAGCAAUCUUAGAUUAGACAUUUUUGUGAAGGCUCCUGGGUCUAAAUUGAUGCCUUUUAUUUUGGACAAAUCCAGAAAUAUGCCUUCAAUUGCAUCGGUCCCCUUAUUAAAAAAAAAAAAAACAAAGAAUGAGUAACCCUAAAACAGAAAAGAAACAUUCGUAAACUUUAUUAACUAAGAGCUUCUUAAACAAAAACAAAUUCUGCAAUCUUUGAUUUUAUUUUUUUAAUAUAUUAAAUAUCUAUAUACGAGAAAAGAAAAUUUUGGGGACCAUUGCAAAAUUAAACUAACCGAAAAAAAAUUCAAAAUUUCUCUAAUUUACAAACCUGUUAUCUUAAUAACUAGAAGUUGAGAAGACAAGGCCUAUUUGAUUGGUAUAAGAUUUCGAUUUGUUUUUUAGUCCAUAGAAUCCAAAAUGUUAGUUCAAAAUUAGGGAAAAAAAAUGAAAGUUAUUUUUUUUCCACUAGUUGUAAUUGUUUCCAAGUCAAAUUGAGAUACGACCCUUUUCGAAAGGAUUUAAUCAUCUUAUAGCCUCCUUAAGAUACAUUUAAGCUAAAAGGAGUGAUUGGAGGCAGAACUAGGUGGGCCAAUCAGUCCCUUUUAUUAGUGACUGUUGCUUAAAAAAAAUUAUACUCUAAAACACACUUACUUUUUUGAAAAAAAAUAUAAUUAUAUUGAAGUAGAACCAGGUGGGCCAAUCCUCAUGGCACUCACUUUGUUCUGACACUCUUCACUAAAUUUGAAGAAAAAUAAAAUUAUACUCUUCACACUCUUAUUCAACAUUCCAAAAUUGAUAAAAUCUAGAGUUUUCUUUAAAAAUUUAAAAUUUGAAGACUUGUUCUCUUGACAUCCUCAGUCAUUAAUUUCACCUAAUUAUGGUUUUUAUGAUUUUGGUUGUUUUGUUCAUAAAACAAUUUUACUAAAGGAUGUUCUCGUAAUAAUAAAAAUUAUAAAAAAAACAUGGGUGUGCUGGUAUGGUUGGGAAAAUACGAGUACAGAACUCCAAACAAAUAAAAGAUUUAUAUAAAAAAAAAUGGAGGAUUCUUACCAUAUUAUGCUUUAGUACGCGGCGGAUUUCCUUAGGAUCCCACAACCUACUACGUCUGCCUGGCACUUCCUCAGAUUCUUGGCGAACAGUCUCUUGGCCCAUUUCUUGCAAUAAAUCAUGCAUUUGCAAGCGGUUAUCUGACACAGUUAUGAGUGACUUGUCGACGAGGACAUCCAGUCUGUGAGACCCAGAAUCAUCAAGUAUCCUUAACACAAAAUCUUUAUCCUCUCCCUCAAGGAAACACGCAAUAUCUAGAAACAUACUCUUCACCCUGGGCGUUAAUUCUUUAAAACUAAUCUUUAAUGUAUCAUAAAUACCAUGAAUAUCAGAUUCACAAAUCCGAUUUAAGUCGUGCAAUACAUUUUCCCAAUGGCUUUUCCUCUUGAGAUACAGGGAGGAACCCAACACUUUAAGAACUAAUGGAUUGCCAUCAGCAUACUCUACAACUCUCCACGAGUCACGUUUGAAAUCUUCAGGACGAUGCUUUUCUUUAAAAGCGAAGUUACAAAAGUGCUCGAAAGCCUCAUCAAAUUUCAAUCCAUUGACCCUAUAUAUUUUCUCCACUCCAAAUUUUUCGAGGACUCGUUUAUCCCUGGUGGUUACAACAAUUCUACUUCCUGGACCAUAUUGAUCAAGCCCUCCAAUCAAACCCUCUAAUUGUUCAUCUUUAUUCACAUCAUCGAGUACAAUCAACACCUUCAUGCGUCGGACCCUCCCUUUAGUAAAUUGUGGAAUAUUGGGACCAGCUACUUCAAGUUUUUCACUUAAUAUUGUCGAAAGCAUUUCCUUUUGUAGGUCUUCUAGGCCACCCUCUGUUUCUGAUUUUCUCCUAACAUUUUUUGCAAAGUAUUUACCAUCAAACUCACCAGCGAAUUGAUCGAAAAUAGCUUCAGCAAGGGUAGUUUUGCCUAUACCGCCCAUACCCCAAAUUCCAACAAUUUGGACAGUAUCCGACAAAUCCAUACACAAAAAUGGUUUAAUCUGCUCAAUUCGUGAAUUUAAUCCAACUAGGCCGUUGGAUGAGUCCGUUGAGACUGUUAUUUUUUCCAACUUCUUCAAAACAUCUUCGACAAUUUUGUUUACAAGUUGCGCAUCAAGCCUAAUAUGAAGGUGCAAAGAUGCAAAAACAUUGAGUCAAAUCGGGCCAAGACAGAAACAGAGAAAAGAUGAAUUAGGAAAGAGAGUUACCUGAAUUUCGUGGAUUCAUGGCCGGCUAGAUGGGAUGUUUCUGUCAGUGCAUCCCUCCACUUCUGAACCAUUUCUUGUUUAUCUUUGAACUGUUUUUUGAGCUCAUCAAAACGGUCUCCAAAUGUUCCGUUUUGAUGCCGCACAUCAGAUGGACUUACUCCAUAGAAGAAUGGAAUAAUAAUUUGGCCGUUUGUGUUCUUGCAUUCAAGAAUCUUGACAAGUUCAUUCAGGCACCAUUUUGAAGAAGCGUAGUCCUUCGAGAAAAUGACCACCGAAAUUUUUGAACCUUGGAUUGCGUUCAAAAGGGCGGGUGAAAUCUCAUCUCCUCGCCUAAGCCCUUCAUCAUCAAUAAAUGUUUUGAUUUUCUUUCCUUCAUACAAUUUAUCAUAGAGAUAGCAAGUAAAGCUCUUACGAGUGUCCUCCCCUCUAAAGUUGAGGAAGACUUCAUAAUUGGCACAAGAAGAAGAGGAAGCCAUGAAGGAAAUUUUAGAAAAUUGGUGACAGAAACAGAGAAUUAAUCUUGAGAGUUGAGAGAGGAGAUGUAAGAAUGAACAUGUGCGAAGAUUCUUGCGAGUACAUAGUAAAUAAUUGAAUGGCUGGAGCUUUCUUAGUUUCCUGGAAAUUUCCUGGAGCUUUCGUAUACAUGAUUUGUCAAGUCAUGAAACAUAAUCAUGAUAAUGGGGCAGACCGAAAAGAAAAGCAACAAUUCAAAUAUUUGAUUCAACCAGUAUAAAAAGGAAGGAAAAGCAAAGAAAGGAAAUGUUGAAAGUAGAGUUAGGGAAUUAUAAAAAGCUGAAGGAAAUUGGAAUUUUGUACAAUUUCUCCAGCGAGGAACUUUCACAGUCGUUACCUCAUUGUUACAGUUUAGAUUAAGAUUUGAGGGUGCAAGCAUUUACCUAGAUUUUACCUCCGCACUAAAUUCUUAAGUUUGAAAAAUUAUGAGACCUUUAUAUUGGAAGAUAUUAUAAUCGAAUCAAAACUUAAAAUUUUAAUAUUGUUAAUCUUUAAUCUUUAAAAAAAAUUACCUUGCCGUUACAAUUUGGAUUAAGAUUUGAAUAAGCAUUUACCUAAAUUUUAUCUCCGCCUGUAAAUUCUUAUGUUUUAAAAAUUAUGAGACCUUUAUAUUGGGAGAUAUUAUAAUCGAAUCAAAAUUUUGAAUUUCAAUAUUAUUAUUCUUUUAAAAAAAAUUUGAGAUAACAGAGUGAUUGAUAAUAGAGAACUUGUCUAGGCAAACACAUGCAUACACAAAAAUGUGAUGGAUUCAAAAAGAAAUUAAAGUGAUAAUGUACGUGGAUCCUUAAAACAAAAAGCGAAAUCGCUUGGUGGCCCAGUAAAAUUAAGACUGAAUAUUUUUUACACGAGAAGUGUAGCUCAUAAAUGGCAAAAGCCAUUUCAUUUCACUUUUACGCGUCAUUGACUUUUGUAACAUGGUGCAUGCAUCGUCAAGUGAGGCAAAAGGGUUUCGAUUACAGUGGGAAAACAUGAACAAGAAUGCAUAAUGAAUAAUUCCUUUGAUAAAGCGAAAAUUAAACACAGAAUAAUCCUAAAAUUUAAACUCUAAUAUCUUAUAAUUUAAUGAUUAAAAAUAAUCCUAAGAGUUCCCAAUUGAAACUUUCAGAGAUAAUAGAAAAUAGCUAUGCUUUAAAAGGCCAAAGAUUAGAGAACAAAGAAGAAUUAGGUAUUGAUAUAAAAAUUAUUAAUUUUUUUGAUUUCAAGCAAAAAUAGUUUCAUAUACCAUUUCGAUUUUGGUAGGGGUGAGGUUUUGAACUUCAAUAGUUUCCUCUAAAAUCAAAAGGUAGUAAUUAAGUUAGAAAGAGCAAAGAAGACUUAUCGGUACCUUAUUGAAGGUAAACAUUAUGGAACUUUCAAUGUCAUUACCCCACUGUUUAAUUUUUAUUGAGAUUUGUGCAAGCAUUUACCUAAAUCUUACCUCUGCCUGUAAAUUCAUAAGUUUUGAAAAUUAUGAGACCUUAUAUCGGGAGAUAUUAUAAUCGAACUAAAACUUAAAAUUUCUUUUCUUUUUUUUUUUUUUUAUCAUAAAAGGGCUCUUAAGAGAGCUAAGGCAACACUAAAUGGGAGUGUGCAACCCCAUGAACAUCAUUAAUCAAUAUGUUUAGCGUAUUUGGAGGAAUAGAUUGAAAGCAAUGUAAACCCAAAGGAAAAGAAAAGCUGUACGAAGUAAGGAAAUCUGCUGCUACAUUGGUUUCUUGGUAGAUAUGAUCCACUUUGAUCAGCCAAUCACGCCGAAGGAGUUCUUCGAUGGCCUGAAUGAGAGUAAAAUGCUCAUUGACGGGAGGGUUUGAGUUAGAGAUUAACUUCAUAACACACAUGCUGUCCACUUCCACGUAAAACUUAAAAUUUCAAUAUUAUUAUUCUUUAAAAAAAAAUUGAGAUAUCAGAGUAAUAUCACAUAGAAAAACUUGCCCACGGACGGUAAGCCAAAAGUCUAGUCAACCACAUGCAUAAAGCUAAGUAGAACAAGAGAACAGAGAAACGCGUGGGUCCCUAAAGAAAAGGCAAGCACAUAAAUGAAAAAGCCAUUACAUAUCUAUUAACACGGUGUGGCAGCAUAUGCACAAUCAAGUGAGGCAAAAGGGAUUCGAUUAUCGUGGCAGAACAUGGACGAGGACGCGUGAUGAAUAAUUCCUUCGUUAAAACCAAAAACAAACGCAGAGAAAACAAUUUCUUAUAUGACAAGAAAUCAAAGUAAUGUGAAGGAACAUGAUGAAGAAAUUGCAGACUGAUCAAUUAUCCCCAUGGACUCCUAUAAAUUCAACCAAAAUAACAAUUCGAAUCUUACCAAAUUCUUGAGUUAAAUUUAUUCAAUGCUUUUAUUUUUUUAGAAAAUUUUUUUCCAAUGCUACUUUUCCUUUUUUGGGGAAAUUAGAACCGCGGCAUGUAUAGAAAACAUUGAGGUGUAAAGCAACAUUAAUUUCAUGGGAUAUGCGUUAUACGCAUAAUAUAUUUUCAGUCCAAAUUCAACUAUACAAAGAGGCUUGAGAACUUAAAAUUAAGCACAAACUAAACAGACGAAGUAAAUACAUGAUUAUGCAACAUAACAUUAAUUCUCUCAAUUGAUAACUGUUUUUGCUACAUGAAUCUUGCACAGUUAAUCCUAAUUGAAGACUAAAAAAGAGCAAUUGGAAGAAGGUUUUGGAAUAGAAUGGUAUACAAUCGAUAUGAUCCUUUUCCAGUAGUCAACGCUAAUUAACUGCAGUUUCUAGACUCCUAAUUAUACUAGCCAUAGCAAACUAUUUAGAAAACUGGUGAUCAAAUUAGAUUUUGAAAGGAAAUAAUGUUCAUUUUCCCUUCGCUGCCUUUUCUUUUCUUUUCUUUUUAUAGCAAAGAAUUAUAUCAUGAAAAGAAUCAAUUUAAUCACCUUUUCCAGCAGCCCAAUUUUUCUUUUAUAAAAUUUGACCACGGAGACAAAGAAGAAUUAUUCAUAACUUCAUCACUAAGGAAAUACUUUUCGGUAUGGCUAGGGUGAGAAAAUGCUUUCCACUAACACUUGUACUUUGUAUUCUUGUAAAUUUUCUUUAAAGUCAAUAAAAACCAUAAGUUCUUUGCAAUAACCAUCUCUUUGAUCAAAAAGUGCCGUAUUCCUUUAGAAUUUAAAACCGGCAAAACCGAAUCAGUGUCUUUGAAGAGACAUAAUGGUCGUAAUUCUUUAAAUGAGUUGGCUAUGGAAAUCCUUAUCCAAGAUUCUUUUAUGCCAUAUUCUUUCGUAAACCAAAAUUCAUUUUGAAAUACUCUAUUGAAAAUGUCAAAUAAAACGGCAUUGAAGGAAGUUUUCAAAGGCAUAAUCCGCACUUGUCAAAGGGAUGAUCUGCACUUGUCAGAGACACGAUCCGCGUCGAACGAAUCGACACAUUUCCUUUCGUAUUCGCAUAUGUAAUCUUUGAAAAAAUGUAGCUUCCGCAUCUAUAAAUAACGCUCAGUGUAUAAUGUUUUAUUCAAGAAAAGAAAACAAAUUUCUUCAUACUCCUUGUCCGAACAUACAGAGACAGUCUCUCAUAACUUCAGCCGAAUACUUAUGAUGAUGAUCAUUUGUGAUUUCAUCAGGCAUAGGGUUGAUGGUGAAAAAUUUUGUAUGUGUGAAGAAUUGAGCUGUGGAUAUAGGGGACUUAAGUGUAAUCGAAAGAGAGUUAUUAGGCCAUAGUGCAGAUUGCAUUCAGUUUAUGGGUCGAUAUGCAAAUAAUUUGUUGACGUGGCGAAAUCUGUUAUGGUCGUUACUAUUGUUUCUGGAAAUUUUCUAGAAACCUCAGCAUAAAAGGGGCUUUUGCAUAGCCUCUGGUGUGCGUGUGAUUUCUCUUUCGUUUCCUCAUCAAAUUCUGUAAUUCUUGCUUUGAUAAAAAGCUUGUAAUCAUUUCUGUAAUGUGUGAUCAGUGCGUAAUCAUUUUGAGCAAUAAAAGCUUGUGGGUUUUUCCUUCAAACAGUGUCGUUUUGGUCAGUUUGUUAGUUUGAUCUGUUGGUGGAAUUUUCUUUGGUUAUUUGUUCUCAAAUUUCAACCGUAUAUAAAGUUUGAACUCUAAUGGCUUAUAAUGUAUUGAUUAAGAAUAAUCCUAAGAGUUCCCGAUUGAAAUUUUUAAUGACUAUUUUUAUUGUUUUGGAUAUACAAAUUGCAUUAAGAAAAAAUAUUGUCAAAUUCAGAGGAUAACGGGAAAUAAUUAUGCUUCAAAAGACCAGAGAUUAGAGAAUAAAGAAGCAUUCAUUACUGACAUACAAAAGAGAAACACUCCAAAAUUGCAAGCAAACUAGUUUCAUAUACUAUUUGGAUUUUGGAAGGGGUGAAGUUUUGAGCUUCAGUUGUUCCUCUAAAUAGCAAAGAAGACUUAUUGGUACCUUACUGAAGCUAACAUUGUGGCACGGUUGUUCAUAUGUAAUGGCUGCUCUGUUAUGGUAGCUUCUCUGUUUUUGCUCACAGUUUUGAACAUGAAUUCUUGCUCAAAUAACCCAUAAUUAAUUAACAUUAAAAUGGCUCGUGAAAUCCCAUAAUAGCUAAUUACGCAACUUUCUCCUCCUCCUCAAUUAUGUCUUCCCCUGCUCGUACAAUAAAUUCAAAAUUCAAUGCCCCGAAAAACAACACAAGAAAUCUUUGAGUUAGUUCGUGACCAGUUUAUAUAUAGUAGCAAUUGAAAAAAGAAAAAGAAGAAAAGAGUUAAUUAUUAUUCAGACCUUCACUUAUUAGGAAGUUUGUUCUGCUAUUGGGUGAGGUCAAGCUCUCAGCAUAUACUUCCACAUGAUACUUUCUAACAUUUUCUUGAAAGCCAUCAAUCAUAAAAUCUUCAUACUUUUUUCCAUCCUUUGGAUCAAUGAGUACAAAUUUCUCAUCUAAAACAGACAAAAUAAAAUCACUGUCCUUCAUGGAACAUAAUGGCUGCAAUGCCUGAACUGAAUUGGCUAAUGAAACAUAGUCUUCUUUUCUUUCUCGACAUGGAACAUAGUCUUCUUUUCUUUCUCGACACAUGUCUCUGUACUUUUCUCUCUCUACUGAUCCACACUUUUUCAUACUUCUAACUAUCAUUUUGUUUUUUUUUUUUGAGUUGUGAUUUAUUCAAUUAUUUUGUAUUUUUAAUGACAAUUAUUUAAUAUUUAGUUAGUGUUGAUAUUGAUUAGUGAUUGAAAGUGUAUUUUAGAAGACUUCCGGUCUCUUGAAAAAAGGAAAAAUGGAGAAGAAGAAGAAGUGUUCUUGAUUUUUUUGUAGGCAUUAAAGUUAAACGGUUUGAAAUGAUAUUUUGUUUUAAUUUCACUCAUUAAUCUCAUUCAGGAUAAAAUUAUAAAUGCAAAUAAAUGGGGUUUCAUAAGUAUUUUUAAUAGUGUUAAAAGGUCUACUAACUAAAUAAACAUGUUUUACCCAAACCAAUCCGAUUAAUAAGUUAUUGGGUUGGGUUGAUCAGGUUAAAAAUCAAAAUUAAAAAUUAAAUAAAUAAAUAAGGCAUAAAAACUAUAUGUUACUUGAAAAUAAAAAGAAUUUCUAAUAGUUAGUUCUAAUGUCCCAUAUCCAAAACAUGCAUAUUAAAUAAAUAUUAUAAGUUAGAAAUAAAAUAUCCAAGAAAUAAUGAAUGAAAUACCAUAUUUUUGUUGAGAAUUAAGAGUGUGAUUUUAAUUUUGAUAUUGGAGUCUAAAGCAAUAGAUAGUACAAUGAAAUCAUGAAUGCUACGUUUAAAUAAUCUCUUUUAUAAAAUAAUAAAAAGAGGUUAAAAAUUAGGUUAGCAUUUAGGGUUUAGCAGUUAAGGAUGAACAUAUUAUUAUUGUUGUUGUUGUUGUUAUUAUUAUUAUUAUUAUUAUUAUUAUUAUUUACAUAUUAAUUAAUCCAACCCAACUCAAUUAUUAACGAAUUUGAAAAAAAAUGACCAAAUUAAUCCACAAUAAUUCAUUCAACUCGUCUAAAUUAGAUUAGAUUGAAUUUGAUUUGCUACACCUACAUUGAGCAACAAACCUCAACGCGAUUCUAUGAGCUCUUUGAUUGUUUAUAAAAUUGAUUUAGAGUACAUAAUGGAGUGUAUCGACAAUGAAAGUGCAAAACAAAUUAUUGUAUACAUUAAAAUCUGCAAAACAAUGAAUUAUAUGUACGAACGAGUGCAAACACAUUUUUCAAUAAGAAGUUAAAAGAUAUUUAUGCAUGAAAAAGCAUACGUUUGUAGUUACUCUAAAUUUUUUAAAAAAAAUUUACAUUUAGAUCCCUAAAAUUUACGUAUAAGUACAAAAGUUUCAAAUAUUGUCUAUUAUUUUUUAACAUAUGCCUAUUCCUUGUGGAUAAUUCUGUCUCAUCACUAAUGUUGUUUCUUGCUUACAAAAAACAAAUGUCAUCUCCUUUUACAAUUUUUAUAGCGUCUCAAAAUAGACAAUGGGGGGAUUUUGAAUUUUUUAAGUCUCAAGAUAGUCUCUAAUCUUGUGAGAAAGAUUUUCUUUCAAUAAUUUGGAGGUAAAGAUAACAUAAUUUUUUGGAUAGUGUGCAUGUGUAUUUAAUUAAUAAUUUUUUAAAAAAAUACAUCAAAUAUUAAUAUCCAUGACAUAAUUUAGUUCUUAAUUUUUUUUAAAUACAUCAAAAACAUAAUUUUUUUUAACAACUUAUAGGCAUGACAAAUUUCAAGAUAUAAAUAUCAGUCAAAAUAAGUGAAAGAAAUAAUGGUGCCAAUUCUAAUUUCUUAACUAAAUUAAUUAGUGCAUGAGCCCCGAAUACGACACGAGAGUUUGAUGGGCUAACUUGGCACAAGAACGUGAAUAAAUAAUUGAUUUAAGAAAUAAUUCAACGAAAAAUAUAAUUGAUAAGAAUUCAGUAUUGAAAUGAGUUUUUUUGUGAAACACUGAAUUAAUGAUUAUUAAGCAAGAACAAUAAAAAAAUAAAUAUUAAUCAUUGAUAAGUUUCAACAAAAACUUAACACAAUCCUCAAUCCUCAUUCAAAUGAUAAAUGUCAUUCAUAUAUUCAUUAUAAAUCAACAACAAAGGUUAUAAAUGUUUAGAAAUUCUAGAGGGAAGGAAGCUAUCGCCGGACAAUCAACAACUAAAUUUGAUGUAAUUGUGGCACGAGAUGGAAUAUGGAAACUACACCAUAAUUUCAAAUGCCGCCAUAGACAUUGACUUAUCAUAAUAACAAUGAUCUAAUUAAAAUAAAAACAAAGUUUAUGGGCAUUUAUUAUUUUGCCAUUCCUCAUUUGCAAAUAGGGAUAUAAUUAUAAUUUUACCUAGUCAAAGCAAUCGGUAGUUUUCUUCAUUAUAGGAGUGAAGUAAAAACAUUUAGAUUUCAAUGUAUGUACGGAAAAAUUUGUCUUUAAAAAUACUUUCUUAAUGUGUGUAUGCAUAUUGAAAUACUCAAACCAAUUUUGGUUAUAUAUAAUUAAACAAAUUUUAAAAUAUGAAAAAUAUAAUGUAGUUAUAGUGGAUAAACAAUAAGUGAGCACAAUAUAAUUAAUCAAAUAUUAUGCCAUCAAAAGUUAAUUUUAGAAAUUCCAAAUCCAAUAGCCAACACAAUUCUUUUUUUUUUAAAAAAGUUGACACAAUUAAUAAAAUUAGCGACAUGAAUUUCACGCCAUUGAUAAUCAGCAAUUAGUAUUACUUUCUAAACUUGCUUCAACUGGUCGUUGAUGUCCGGGUCACCAAAAGUAUAAGCGAUAAUAAGGGGCAUUGGGCAAGAGUGAUGAAUGUUUAGUCGGUGCAUUUGAUUGAUAGAUAUAUAAAGGGCCGAAACUUGAGAUUAUAUUACUUUUACAAAUUUUAAUCCAAUCACAUAUUUACUGAAAACAAAAUGAGUUAGGAUACUUUAUUUAGAACCCACAUUUUAAUAAGGCUUCAUUUGAUGUAGUUUUUCAAACAGUGAUUAUUUGAGUAAAGUUUCCUCAAUAGAGUUUUUAUCAAAUAAAUUUUAUUUAUUUGGUUGUCGAUAAGAACUUUUAUUAAAAAUUAUAAAAUUAUUUAAAUAAACAUAUUUUUUAAAAUUACAUUAUAAAAAGAAUUAAAUAAAGUUAUAAAAGUAAAAUAUAUUUUAGAUAUUUUAAUAUUUAAGAAAAAAAUUUUGAAUCUCUACUUUCAGAAGCUCAAAUUUUUAGUUUUUAGUUGUAGAGACAAAAUAUCUUAUUUAAUCUUUAAAAGUUCUGCUAAAAACAAUCAAAUAACUAUAAAAUUUUUAAUAAGAGUAUAUAAAAUUAAAUAAGCAUUUAUUAAUAAUCACUUUAGUGUACUUAUCUAAUGACCAUAAGUGUUUAUUUAAUCUCAUAAGUUCUUAUUUAAUCUCAUGAGCUCUUUUCAAUUUUUUUUGUUGUUUGCUUUUUUUAGUAGAGUUUUUGAAAAUUAAAUAAACUAUUUUGUCUCUAUUAGGAAAAACUCAAAUUUUAGGUUUUUGUGAGUAAAUGUUUAAAUUUUUUUUAAAAUAUUAAAAUAUUAAAGUAAAAGUUGUAGAGACAAAAUAUCUUAUUUAAUGUUUAAAAGUUCUGCUAAAAAUAAUCAAAUAACUACAAAAAUUUUAAUAAGAGCAUAUAAAAUUAAAUAAGCAUUUAUUAAUAGUCACUUUAGUAUACUUAUCUAAUGACCAUAAGUGUUUAUUUAAUCUAAUGAGCUCUUUUUAAUUUUGUUUGUUUGUUUUUUUAGUAGAGUUUUUGAAAAUUAAAUAAACUAUUUUGUCUCUAUUAGGAAAAACUUAAAAUUUAGGUUUUUGUGAGUAAAUGUUUAAAUUUUUUUUAAAAUAUUAAAAUAUCUUUUCUUUAUUUCAUAAUCUUAUUUCAUUCUUCACAACAUAACUUUAAAUAACUCACCUAUUAAAAUAAUUUCACAAUUUAUAAUAAAAAUUUUAAUUGACAAUCAAAUAACAAAUUUUUUUUUAUAAAAACUCUAAUAAUAAAAAUUCUACUUAAAUAAAUUAUAUUUGAAAAGGUAUACCAAACGAACCUAACAUAAAAACAAAAAUUUUUACAUCCACACAAUUAAGCUUAAAACAAUUUCAAAUGAAUUUUAGACUACUCAAAGUACAAUACGUACCAAGUUUGGUAACUUAUUGGGGUCCGCUUGUAAUACAGCGUCUGUAUCUCAUACAGCCAAAUUUAAUAAUUUAUUAAGAAAAAGGGCAACCAUUAGAUAGAAGUAGAUACAUCCAACGGUUAAAAUGUUUGAUUACUCAUUUUGGCGACCGGAUAUGCCAGUUAUUAUUUCAUCAAUUAACUUACCUAAAAAAUCACAGCCGUUGGAUUGAGAUGCCUCUCUUUCCCUCAAAAUAACAGCCUUCGUAUUCUCUCUGCUAUUGUUUUCUCCUACAUCCAGAAUUUUGGAUGAAUGAACUUGGUAUUCAACAAUAUUCACCACCCAUCACAGCAAAGAGCAAAGAUGUAGUCAAAGGAGUGCCAUUUAUUCAGGCUAACUCGAUCUGUCACUCUCGCUUCAAUUCGUCACUCAUUUUCUCGCGCUCAGCUUCAAUCUAUCACUCUCAGCUUCAGUUCGUCACUCACAGCUUCAAUUUUUCACUGUCGUGAAUCAUCUCUCUUGCUGUAUCUCUCUCUUAUGUCUUCCAAUAAUUUCGGUGAGCUCUCUCUCUAAUUUAAUAUAUGAUUAAAAAUCUUAUCAUCUUAUCAUGUCAUUUAAAUAUGCUUGAAGUUUCAAUUUAGUUUAUGAAUAUUACUUGAAAUUUCAGUUUCAAUAAUUUGAUUUUGCAAUUGAGAAAUUAUUACUUGAAAUAUUGAGAUGAUUUCUAGGGAUUGAUAAUUGAAUGAUAAUUGCUAAGGCUUGUCAUUUUUUGUUUUUGAACAGAUAGAGUUACAAUUAAGUCAUACUGCAAUAUUUUAUCUUGAGAUUCUAUUAUUCACAAAAAGAAAAAAAUCAUAAAUUGAAAAAAAAAAAAAAGAGGUUACGAGCAUCAAGCAACUGCAAGUAAUGGGGUUUGUUUUGAUGAGCUGCGAAUUGGGGCCUGUCAUUUUCUUGAAGUAUCUUCAAUAUAAGUGGAAGGAGAUUUCUUCUCUCCAAAAAAUUAUUGUAUAUUUCCUUUUAAAUUCUAGAUUCGCAUGUAGCUGAUUUUUUAUGUUUGAAGGAUUUUAUUAAAGAAUGUGCUGCUGCUAGUGGCAUGAAUUAAUGUAGUCUCGCUAGUAUUCGUGAUUUGGGGUAAGGAUCGAAUUGAACAAUUAUAUUUCUAUUAUUCUUAUAUUCGAAUCCAGUGAUAUUGUGGUGGUUUUAUGAUAAUAUUCAAUUGUUUUGUGCCUCAAAUCAGCCAAUGAGUUGGGUAUGUGCUGGGUAUAUGCCGUAUGGGCUUGUUGUUGAAUUUGCUUGACCUUGGAUGUGAUUCUUGCCGUGUUUAUAAGAAAUAGACACAGGUCUUUGUGUGGUAAUAGAAUUGUCUAAGGUGCCUUACAAUAAAUUUAAGAGUCUUAAGUAACUAUGCUUUGUAACCUUAAACCUUUAUUUGUACGACUUGGUGUUCUUGGUUGUGAAAGAAUGUUAAAUGUUGACCUAUUUUCAUCGGUGAAGAUAAAUGAAGUUAGGGAAGGUUUGUAAUCACUAUAACCCUGACAAUUUUUUUGGUGGGCCGUGAUAAUUUUAUUCAUGGCAUGUACUUUGUUUUUAUCAGAAGGCCCUGUUUGCUUGUAGUCUCAAAUCUAGGGUAAUAUUUUAAAUAAGUUCUGCAAUAUAUGUUUUGCUAUUUUUCUUUUUUGUUUUUAUUUUAAUUAGUUUUAGUAUUACUUGGAGGGGAAUUCUGAUCUGCUGAAGUUUAUCAAGCUGGUGCAGUGGUGCAGCAAGCAGACCUUUAUCUUAAUCUUAUGAUUGUGCUAAGUGGAAUUUUGUGUAAGUUACAACAAUAUAAUUUUUUAAAGAGCUGACAAGACGCUCUCUCUUUUUUUUGGAAUGUUGAGCAAAACUUUUCUUUCUUAUUAGGUGUUUAUAAUAAUUCAUAGCAUGGGUUUUGUCAUAUUGGUUUCAAUGCAUUGAUUUGAUCUUGGUUACAACCCAUCAGCCCUUACUCCUCAUUCCCAGCAGCUUUUAAUGCCUUUUUUUUAAGCAUUGUACUUUGUUUCAUGAUGAAAUUUGUUUAUAUGACGCAAAGUUGAGGACACGGUAAUAGUCAUUAUUUUAAUUUAUGCAACAAAGAUCAUUAUCCAUUAAAUUUUAUGUUGUUGAAAUAUUUAGAUUUUGUAAAUUUUGUUGUAAGAAAUGAGGGCUCUUGAUCCCAUCCCUUUAUUAUAUACAAUUUUUUUUCACUCUGUCAUUCAUUUAUUGUGUGUUAGAGGUAUUAGUCAUGUGCAAAAGUAAAGAUCUUUAUUUUGUUAUUUUUGUCAUCUUGUGCUUCAUUGGUAUAAAUGAGGAAAAAAAAGAAUAAAAUAAAAUAAAAUUAUAGUUUGUGCAUGAAUUCCACCAUAUAUGAAAUGUUUAAUAGAUUAAAAAGUAAGGAGUACACAGUGACUUUGAAUAGCAGGUGGGGGAACUCAUUUUGUUUUAAAAAAAAUUAAUACAUAUUGAUAGAAUAAUUAUCCUUCACUUAAUUAUUUAAAAAUUUUAUUUUGGAAGAAUACAAAUGGACAGUCACCAAUGAAAGCGUAAACGACUACCAGGGGGCUUACAGAAAAAAUUGCUCCUAUUCUAAAAGUAGAUGGUCAGGACAAAGUUCCAACAACUUCAACUUAUGGAUUUGUCUCUUACUUGUAAGGUAAUCUCUUCUUGUAGGGUGUUUAAUUGAAUUAAAAACAGAAUAUUAUUUGCAUUAUAGAGUACAGGCAUAAAUUCAUUAUCUAUGUCAGUUCAUUCAUGAUUUUACUCCAAAUGGAGUAAUAGAUCACCAUUAAUUUAUUGAUACAUCGUCCAUGUUUGUUUUCGUCUUCAAUUUUUAUAUUACAAUAUCUAAUCUAUUUAGUAUUCGUAAAAAAACAUACGAGAAAAAGUUGGAAAAACACUUUAGGGGUGAUUGUGUACACUUUCGUAUGGCACAAAUAGCGUUAGGCUUUGUUUUUUAAGUGGACGACGUGUCCAUUUUUUGUGUUACAUCUUACUCAUUAAUAUAUUUUUGAGUUUCUUAUGGAAAAAAAAUUGAAAAAACACUUUAAGUGAAAAAAAUUUGUAUUUCAAUUUAUAUGUAACAGUGAAUUGGAAAAUAAAUUCUACCAAUAAUUAAAAGAAUACUUUUCUUUUAAUUAUUAAAAAGAUAAGGUAGUUACUCAUUACCCAUAUAAAUGGACAGUUUUAAUUUGUUCCAUAUCUAUACAACAGAAGAGCUUCAGACACGGUUUGCAGCGUUCCACGAUCACUUCCAUUCUAAGCAGCAGCGUCUUCCGUCUUUUUGCACACCAACAGCAGAUUCUAGAUGGCCAGAAGCUCAUCUGCCGCACUCUCGGGAUUUCGCUGCCAUCCUCAUCUUCAUCUCCACUACCUCCUCAGUGAUUAUCCCCUGGUUUUAUGCUCAGAAAUUAUGAUUAUUAUGUAUCUUGUUUUCAGAUUUGUCAAUACUUGUUAUAUUUUGAUUAUGCAUUAUGGACAUUUUUCAUAAGAUAGCUUAAUUUUGUGGUUUGUGUUGACGAUUUCCAUGUAUGGAUGUUUGGAUAGGUAAUUUCGCCUUCCAUGCAUUCUUCAUUCCUGCAUCCUGUGGGAGAAAAUUGGAAAAAGUGGUUUUUGAUGAGAAACGGGGAGAAGGAUGAGAUAUAUAUUUUUGAAGUGUCACAUUAUUUCAAAAACAAACCCCAAAUUUAAUUUCUCUUACCGAUCAUGAGUUAAAAUAUAAAAAUUAACGUUUACUCAUCACACUGUUAUAAGUAUCAAAGCAUUACUUAUAGAAAAAUUAUCGUCACCUAUCCUACAUUUGUGAUUGAAUAGUGGCACAAUUUUAAUUGGGAUAUUUAACAUUACUCUUUGUAAUUGUUUGGUCUUAUUUGAAGUUUGUAAAUUUUUCAUAACUAUGACUUCAACAGCAUAUUUCAGGUUGCAUUUAAUCGUUGCUAUAAUUAGGUACUUUGAAAUAAUUUAUUGGCCACGAUUACAGUCAUUGUUAUUAGUCACCCCUCUUUUUUCUCUUUUGGCCAACCAGCUCUUGGAUAUUUGGGAACCGAUGACAAUAGUUGGGAAAUUAUGUAAUAUUGGUGUGUUUGCGAAAUAAAUCAAGAGAUUUGCCUUGCCGAAGUUAAAAGAGAUAUUGUGGCCUGAAUUUUUUUUUUUUUUCUCUAGGGGCCAUGGCUCUCAAGGACAAGGCAUGAAUCAUGCAUUAUAAUUGCUCGAAAGGGUUAGUAAAAUAGCAAUCUAAAAUACCCAAGUUGGAUCUGCUGUUGAAUCACAAAAAGAACAUAAUUGGGAUAUGAAGUCAUGGUUGCAAGUGUUGGACCCUUAGGUUACGUUUGGCACGUAGGAUUGGAUUGAACUAAUUACUAAAAUUGGAUUGAAUUAUAUUCGAUUGGAUUAAACUGGAUUAUAUUAUAUAGUUCUAUGGUUAGUACAAUAUCGGAUUAAACUAUGUUAAAUUAUAUUUAAAUAAUAUUAAAUAGCAUUUAAGUUGGUAUUUUAAUAUUAAUAUCAAUUAUUCAUGAAAUUUCAUAAUCAUAAUUAAAAUAAAUUUAAAAAACAAUUACCAGGAAAAUUAAAUAUAUUGUAAAUAAGUUACUGGGUAGUCAUAAUACAGUAAACAAAUGAACAUAGAUAAAAAAAUUAAAUUUUAAAUAAUUUUUAUCAAAUUUUAAAAAAAAAUUAUAUAAAAUCAAUUAUUUAAUGGUAUUAUUAAUUUUCAUGAUUAUUUUUAAUAGUAUAUAACAAUGAUUAUUAAAUUUAAUACAAUCAAAUAAUGCAAUAAAUAAUUAAACAUUUAAUUUUAUCAAUAAAUUACUAAAUAUACAAGUGGUGAAAAUUUAAUCUCCAGAGUUAGUACAAGUAAAGGUAUUAAUUUAAUUAGAUCAUAGAUAAUAAAUAAAAAUAAGUUUUAAGUAAAUCAUAUUAAAAAUUAAUUAAUUAAUUAAUACUAGGUGUAAAUAAAAAAAAUGAUAUAAAUAAAAAUCUCAUAAAUGGACAACUUUUUUCUUUAAUCUUAUCCCAACUAAACCCAUGCGUAAAUUAGGAUUAUCAAUUCCAUGAUUUUAGGAUUAAAUUUAAAUUACUACCCCCUUAAUCCAAUCCAACUAAGCUUGCCAAACAUUGGAUAAAUAUUUAAUUCCAAAAUUAGUCUAAUCCCAUACUUAAUCCUAGAAUCCAAACAUGGCAUUAGCACCUUAUAUAACAAAGUGUCACUGAAAUACAGCAAAACGUUAUAAACAAGAACUUAUUUCUGUACAAAAUGUUAUUUACUUUUUGUGAACUUCCAAAUACCUACUAUAUGAUUUGCAAACCCUACAAAAGUCUACCUUGCAUGCUCUUUCUAACGUGAAAUUUGAUUUUUAUUAAAUUUUUGAUGUGUUCACUAAUAAAUAAUUGGAAUCUAAAAAAAUUAGAAAAAAAUAGAAUUAGAAUGAGCUACAAUAAAAAUGAGGAAUAACAAAAAAAAUGAUAUUUGUUGAGAUGAAUGAAACACAAUUGAAAUACUCUAUAUCGCUCUUAAUAUGUUCACUUUGUGAACAUAAAUUAGAAUUAGUUGUUAUAACUUAGUAAUUUAUCCUCAAUCAAUUAUUAUCAUUAUUACUAUUUGUUAUAAUAAUUGUAAUUAUUAUUUUUGAUAAUUUUAAUACUAAGAAAAUUAUUGUUAGGGGUGGAAACACCAUAUAGAGAAGGAACAAUUAAAUUUAUAAAAUUUAGUGGGGAUAAAAUAGUCACUUAAGACAGCAAGCGUCUCCCAUUCUCACCUCCACGAGCAUGAAAACACUAGUAAUCAUUCUUAAAUUUUGAUGGAAUCUGUUGCUUUUAUUCUAAUAACGAACGCAAAACCUAUGGAAUUAGUUGGAAUAACGAAUGCAAAACCUCUGGAAUUACAAUUGAAAUACGUCAACCCAAAAUGGAGAAAGCACAACUAAAAUUAGAGACCUACAAAACCAAAAAUAAACUUAUAGAAAACAAACCCGGUACCUAAUCUCAAUAAUUGGAAUCUCAACCAGUUAAUGGAAAUAUUCAACUCAAAAUUAGGGAAAAAUUAGAUGAAACACGUGAACCAUUGAGAGAGAAAGUAUGACGAAAAUUAGAAACUCAUUUAACGAAAAAUAAUAUUUACUUGGAAUCUAACCCAUGAUACUGGUACCUAAGGAACUUUAUAGGAAUAUGAAACGCAAAACCAGUGGACCAAUAAGUUGAAACAUGUGAACCAAAAAAUGAAAAACUAUAACCAAAUCUUGAGACUAAUCAAACCAAGCAAAAGUAAUAUUGAUAUUUAACCCAUAUAAUUGGAAUUUUACCAAAUUAGUUGGAAUAACGAAUGUAGAACUUGUGGAAUUACAAUUGAAAUACAUCAACAAAAAAUGGAGAAAGCACAACCAAAAUUAGAGACCUACAAAACCAAAAAUAAAUUUAUAGAAAAUAAAUUUGGUACCUAACCACAAUAAUUGGAAUCUCAACCAGUUAAUGAGAAUUCUCAACGCAAAACUAUAGGAAAAAUUAGCUGAAACACAUGAACCAUUAAGAGAGAAAUUAGAACGAAAACUUGGAACUUAUCCAACGAAGAAUGCUCGUGACUUGGAAUCUAACAACAAAUAUUGGUACUUGACUAAUUUAGUAGGAAUAUCAAAUGCAAAACUCAUUGACCAAUAAGUUGAAACAUGUAAACCAAAAGAUGAAAAAGUAUAACCAAAACCUGAGAAUAAUCAAACCAAGAAAAAGUAAUAUUGAUUUUUAACCCAUAUAAUUGGAAUUUUACCAACUUAAUUGGAAUAACGAAUGCAAAACCUGUGGAUUUACAAUUGAUAUACGUCAACCCAAAAUGGAGAAAGCACAACCAAAAUUAGGGACCUACAAAACCAAAAAUAAAGUUAUAGAAAACAAACCUGGUACCUAACCUCAGUAAUUGGAAUCACAACCAGUUAAUAGGAAUAUUCAAUGCAAAAUUGGGGAAAAAAUUAGAUGAAACACGUGAACCAUUAAGAGAGAAAGAACAACGAAAACUAGGAACUUAUCCAACAAAGAAUGAUAGUUACUUGGAAUCUAACAGUAAAUAUUGGUACUCGACGAAUUUAAUAGGAAUAUCAAACGCAAAAAUAGUGGACCAAUAAGUUGAAACAUGUGAACCUAUAGAUGGAAAAGAAUUACCAAAAUUUGUAACUAAUCAAACCAAAAAAAGUAAUAUAGAUAUCUAACCCAUAUAAUUGGAAUCUCGACAAAUUAGUUGAAAUAUUAAACAAAAAACUAGUGGAAUAAUAGUUGAAACACAUGAACCAAAUGUGGAGAAAGUUUAACCAAAUUUUGAAACUUAUCCAAUGAAGAAUGCUAGUUACGUGGAAUCUAACAACAAAUAUUGGUACUCGACGAAUUUAAUAGGAAUAUCAAACGCAAAAAUAGUGGACCAAUAAGUUGAAACAUGUGAACCUAUAGAUGGAAAAAUAUUACCAAAAUUUGGAACUAAUCAAACCAAAAAAAGUAAUAUCGAUAUCUAACCCAUAUAAUUGGAAUCUUGACAAAUUAGUUGAAAUAUUAAACGAAAAACUAGUAGAAUAAUAGUUGAAACACAUGAACCAAAUGUGGAGAAAGUUUAACCGAAUUUUGAAACUUAUCCAACGAAGAAUGCUAGUUAUUUGGAAUCUAACAACAAAUAUUGGUACUCGAUGAAUUUAGUAGGAAUAUCAAACGCAAAAAUAGUGGACCAAUAAGUUGAAACAUGUGAAUCUAUAGAUGGAAAAGCAUUACCAAAAUUUGGAACUAAUCAAACCAAAAAAAGUAAUAUCGAUAUCUAACCCAUAUAAUUGGAAUCUCGACAAAUUAGUUGAAAUAUUAAACUAAAAAUUAGUGGAAUAAUAGUUGAAACACAUGAACCAAAUAUGGAGAAAGUUUAACCAAAUUUUGAAACUUAUCCAACGGAGAAUGCUAGUUACUUGGAAUCUAACAAAAAAUAUUGGUACUCGACGAAUUUAGUAGGAAUAUCAAACGCAAAAAUAGUGGACCAAUAAGUUGAAACAUGUGAACCUAUUGAUGGAAAAGCAUUGCCAAAAUUUGGAACUAAUAAAACCAAAAAAAGUAAUAUCGAUAUCUAACCCAUAUAAUUGGAAUCUUGACAAAUUAGUUGAAAUAUUAAAUGAAAAACUAGUAGAAUAAUAGUUGAAACACAUGAACCAAAUGUGGAGAAAGUUUAACCGAAUUUUGAAACUUAUCUAACGAAAAAUAAAUUUAAUUGGAAUUUAACCCAAAAUAUUAGUGUUUAACGAGUUUAGUGGGAAUAUUAAACAUAAAACUAGUGGAUCGGAAAAUGGAGAUAAGCAAACCAAUUAGUGAGAAAGUUGAAUCAAAAUUAGGUAUAUGUGAAAUUAACUUGGAAUGUCACCUAAUAUAUUGAUAUUUAACCAAAAGAAUCGAGACAUGCUCAUUUUAAUUUUUUUAAACUUUUGUUGCAAUUAAAAAUAAUUUUUUCACUUAAAUAUUGUUUGUGUUAAAUAUUUACAAAAUUUCCUUAAUUUUUCCUGUUUCAUUUUAUUUUUUCUACAUUAAAAAUAAUUUUUUAAAAAUUAUUAAAUGAACAACCGGUAAAAUACCGGUUGUUCAAGUUUCCUUUUUACUGUUGAAGGGGCUGUAUUUUAUACAGCACUGUACUAUAGGAAGACUCAACUUAUUGACAUCUUCUCAUAUAACCUUCGAUCAAGUCGAUUCUGACCUGACGACUAAUUGGUACAUCACCGUUGUUCUCUAUACUCGCAUGCAUCGGAUCACAAAUCUCACUCCAAUUGUCGUCUUUCUUCGCCGUUUUAGCGCAUACUUCUUGAAUUUCCCGCAUUUCGUUCCCUCCUGUUACAAGUCUCCGGUCAGGUCAGUGAUUGAAUUUCCCGCAUCUCUAUCCCUCCCGUUUUCUCGCGUCGUUUCACUUCAAUUUCUCGUGUCUCCUUUCAGUUUAAGUGAUUGAAUCAAUUUUAUCGCAGUCAUAAGAGAAAUUAAGUAAUGCUCUUGGAUUUAAAAUUUUUUUGCUUUCGACUUUAGAUCUCGAAAGUCAAACUCUGCUACGAAUCCAUAGAUUCUCAAUGCUCAUAAUCUUAUUUGUGUUUGACCAGGUAACUGGAUCGUGAAAUUCGUCGUUUUGUAUCAAUUCAAGCUUUCGCGAGCUCAUGGAAUCACCUGGUGAGUUGUGGUGAAACGUUAUCGUUUCAAUUUUCGCUUAAUUCUUUAUUGCAUAUUUUUUUCUCUAAUGUUUCAGUUUAAUUUAGAAAAGAAAGAGGCCCCAAAAAGAGAGAGAGAGAGAGACUCUACCAUACUCAAUUCCUUGCUCAUUCUGAUUUGGCCUGAAUGUUGGCAUUGACUAUUAUUUGUUUUCAUUUCGAUUUAAUUCUCAUUUAGACAGUCUUUACUAACGGUCAAUAAUAGUUUAAGGAAAAUGAUCAUAGGGAUUCUGCAAUAAUCUUUCUGCAUUGUUCAAGUUAGUAGACAAUGAAUAGGAUGUUUAUGUUUACCUCAUUUUGAACCCUGAGGGCUUCGUUGAGUAGUUGAUUCAACAUAUCCAGCAACGGUUGAUGUGAGAACAGAAUGCCACUUAGAUAGGCUUAAACUGAUUUUGGAGGUUUGUAUUGGUUCUAUUGUACGUCUUGCUUACAAAUUUUUAAUUUUUAAUUUUGUAUAAUAUGCUCUUUGUUGGUAAAUCUCAUUUGACUUAGAAGAGAUAGUUUUAUCCCAACAGUGGGAUAAAUCAUUGAGAUGCAUGGCAGUGUGAAUAUAGUAGACAAAAUCAUUGAGACACAUGGUGGUGUGAACAUAGUAAACUUUGUCAAACACAGCUAAGAUAAACAAAUUGUUUCAUUAGCCUUUACCUUAUCUGCUGUGAUGAUUCAAAUUAAUGCUGUUUGGUAGGUUGCAAAAAACGAAAUGAGCUGUCUGUUCGUAUUAUUUAGUCAGAUCUAUUGCAAUAAGUUGAAGUUCAUUGUCACAUGGGUUGGGAGUAGCGUGGGCUGUGAGUAGUAGAAUGGAUUUAUGGAGUUGAUACAAGUGCCCAUAAUCUAUCAUGUCAUUCUAGGAUUAAAUGGAUUGCACAUUACUGUAAAGAUGGAGGUUAAAUUUAUAUAAUUCGGAUUGAUUGUAAAAUGGGAGGCAGAGAUGAGUUAGAAAAAGAAUGACCUGUGUCCUUUUUGAGCUGUUUCUAAAUCUCCCUGGUGUGCUUCAUGCUUAACACGUGUCUUUCCAAAUAAUUUUGCUUAACCUGUGCUUGUCUACUUCUUGUGCUAUUCUGUGCCUGGUCCUGAGCUGUGUUGGUAGAUUGACAUAAUUUUGCUCUGCUAAAUGUAUAACUUAUUAAUCAGAGUCCUGUUAUUAUGGUUUGACACUACUGACAUAUUGUGUUGGUAUUUAUUUGUACUUCCCUUGGUUGAAUUAUUUGCUGUCUCCAUGCAAUUCGAUAUGGUGCUACUUGGUUUUUGAUCAUCCAUGACGCUAUAUAUAUGUAAAGGAUGAAUUGAUUGUUUUGGCUUGUAUUCUCACAUUUUAUGAUUGAUCGAUGGAAAGGUUUUCAUGCAUUAAAUUCAACCUCACAAGCGUAAGAUUGACAGAUUGUGGGCAAAUUUUCAGGAAAAGAAACUAGACUUCAUGGAAGCAAUGAAGCUUGAAAUUGAACGUCUGCAGCUGAAUCUUUCUGCAGCUGAAAGGGAUAGAACUUUAUUGUCAAUUGGAACUGAUCCUGCCUCUAUAAAUCCAAAUGUAUUGCUUGAUGAAUCUUACAUGGGAAGACUGUGUCGAGUAGCAAACACUCUUGCAUUACUUGGCCAAGCUUCCCUAGAAGAGAAAAUUGUUGGUGCAAUUGGCCUUGAGAAUAGUGGUGAUAGUGUUUUAGACUUCUGGAAUAUUACUAGAAUCGGAGAGAGUUGUUCUGGUGGUGGGUGCGAGGUUUGUGCAGAAACUAAGGUGCCUGCUCUUGCUUCCUCAACUGCAACAUCUGUUGGAUCUUCACAAUCCCCUUUGUUGUGUUCUCAAUGUGAAAGAAAAGUUUGCAAAGUUUGUUGUGCAGGAAGAGGAGCUCUACUGUUUUCAAAUUAUAAAUCAAGGGAUGUGACCAACUACAAUGGCUUCUCAAGUCAGAGUGGAUCAAGCCAUGGAAGCCAAGUUGAUGUAGCUACCAGUCGUUCACUAACACUGGAUGGCGUUAUCUGUAAACACUGUUGCCAUGAGAUGGUGCUUGAUGCAUUGAUGUUGGACUAUGUUAGGGUCUUGAUUAGGUUGCGAAGAAGUUCCUGUGCAGACAACGCAGCAUACAAUGCUUUGAAUGAGGUUGUUGGAUCCUGCUUAAAGGAUAGUCUUUCUGAGAGGAUUCAGUCUUCCGAUAAUGCGCAAGCAGCUAAAGUCCUGCACCAAUUAUGUGGUGGACAGGAAGCACUUGCUGAAUUUCCAUUUGCUAGCUUUUUGCACUCGGUAUGUUCUUGGUUUGUAUUCAGUUCUCAUCAUAUUAUGUUUUCCUUUUAAAUUUCAUUUCUUGAUUAAAAUUUUUAGAAAUGUGUUUUAGCAUUUAUUCUUAUGAUAUAUGCCCGGAACAUUCAUCCCACUUAUCCAUGAGAAUCCUUGUCUGGUUUGAUUUUCAAUUGAGACAUUUUUGGGAACCCUGCGCAGGUUCCAUAUGCUAAUAAUCUUUGAGGUAAGGUGUUGUAGGAUGCCUUGAGAAGCUAAAAACCCAUUACAAGGAAAAGGUCUUGCAUUGUUUUGUGCAAUCUGUGUGCGAGCUAGUCAUGUCUCUAAUAAUUUCAUAGUUUGCUUGAUUGGAAUUUUUUAUCUUGAUAUGGAUUGUUUAUUCUAGAUUCCUUGGUGCCACUGUAGGUUGAAACAGCAAAAGAUUCAGCACCGAUUUUGUCACUGCUUGCUCCAUUAAAUUCUGGAUCAAGGCACUCAUAUUGGAGAGCUCCACCUAGUACUACUUCUGUUGAAUUUGUUAUUGUUCUCGGUUCUGUUUCUGAUGUCAGUGGGGUUAUCUUGCUUGUUAGUCCUUGCGGCUAUUCUGUGGCUGACACUCCGAUGGUAAGUGCCAUAUUUAUUCCCUUAUUUCCUUGUUGUUCAAUAAAUUUGGUGAUAAGCCAAGUGGCCUUAAUAAUGAAGCCCAGUACCAGGGUUGGUGGGUAAUAGAUAUUCAACUUGUGAAUAUUCCUAAGCAAACACUGAAUCAACAUAUACCUCGGCUAAAGUUCUCUAUGCUAUUAUAACAAAAGUCAUAUUUUGAAAUGAUUAAAAGAGUCCCUGUGUAGUGCCAUUUCCAAAGAAAUUGCAGCUGGGGGUUUAGUUUCAUGUAGGUUAGUUUCCGAUAAUAAACUUUCUAUUUCAUUAAUUGCUGAUGAAAAAACCAAGUAAGAACAGUUUUGUUGCUCGUCAUUUUUGUAUAUUUUGGUAAACUGUAAUUUUAAAUUCUCAACGAUCUUCCCUUUGUAGGUAAGAAGAUGGUCCACUCACUUGAUAUUUAUGAUUGUAGAUCAGGUUUCUAUUGGUUUGCCUUUAUCAUUUAGAACCCAUGUUUGAUAUUAACAGAGAUCACGUCAAUAAUAUCCUAUUUGGGUAGAUGUGGGUGAGGAUUUAAAAUCAAAUUUGAAAUUGAGGGGAAAGAAGAGAAAAGGAACCACAAUAAUUAAACAAAAUAAUAGGAACUAUUCUGAUGAGUUUUAAUCUCGAGAGGAACAAUUUUCAAAUGCACUGCUAGAGAAAUUGUAGCUUUUUGUCAUUAGUUAAAAGGAAAAAGAAUAAGAACUAUCCGGCCCUUUCCUUCAUGAAUGUGUGUUGAGGUUGCUGUAUUAUUUAGUCAGUAUUUGUAAUUUUCUUCCCUGCAGUGCUCUCUGCCUCCUGAAUUUGCUUCCUAUUGCUGUUACAGGUGCAAAUCUGGGCAAGCAAUAAGAUACACCAGGAGGAAAGGUCAUCAAUGGGAAAAUGGGAUGUCCAAUCCCUCAUCACAUCUUCUUCAGAUUUGUAUGGUCCAGAAAAGUCUGCUAGUGUUGAAAAAUUACCUAGGCAUGUAAAAUUUACUUUUAAGAAUCCUGUUAGGUGCCGCAUUAUUUGGAUCACAUUACGUCUUCAGAGACCUGGUUCGGCUUCAGUUAAUUUCGGGAAGGACCUCAGUCUUUUGUCUCUUGAUGAAGAUGAAAACCCCUUUGCACAAGUAGACAGACGUGCUUCAUUUGGAGGAGCAGUUGAAAAUGAACCAUGUAUUCAUGCCAAAAGAAUUCUUGUAGUCGGAAGCCCAGUAAAAAGGGAGGGGCUUACCACAUCACAGAGCUCUGAGCAGCUAAGUAUUAGAAACUGGUUGGAUAGAGCUCCACAAAUGAGUAGAUUCAAGGUAUUAGUUGCUUUCACUCUUUGUUCAUUCAUAAUUCCAGCUUUCUGCUUCACUGAUAAACCUCUUUUUUCUCUUCAGGUCCCAAUUGAGGCCGAGAGAUUGAUGGACUACGAUCUCGUCUUGGAACAGUAUCUACCUCCAGCGUCACCUUCGCUUGCCGGAUUCUGUCUAGACGCUUUCAGUGCAAUAAAACCUAGGGUUACCCAUUCACCUUCCUCAGAUUCAGAUAUCUGGGACAAAUCAGUAACAUUUUUAGAAGACAGGUACAUCUCUCAAGCUGUAUUGUAUUUACAAGUAUCCGCACUCCAGGAACCACAUAACAUGGUAACUAUUGCGGAAUAUCGACUGCCGGAGGCUAGAGCCGGAACGCCAAUGUACUUUGAAUUCCCACGACCGAUACAGUCCCGACGAGUUUCAUUCAAGCUUCUUGGAGAUGUUACAGCAUUUGCAGAUGAACCUUCAGAACAAGAUGAUUCAGGAUUGAGAGCUCCACUUGUGGCCACAGGUUUGUCUUUGUCAAACAGAAUCAAGUUAUAUUAUUAUUGUGAUCCUUAUGAGCUUGGAAAAUGGGCAAGCCUUUCUGGAGUUUGAUCGUUAUUUAUAUGUCAGAGAAAGAGUUUUGGGUUUGAUUUUGAUUUUGAUUUGUAAUUUUUGUCAGUUUAUUGAAAUUUUUUUGUUGUAUAAAAGCAGAAUGUAAAGGUAUAAAAAUUCAUUGAUGCUGCAAUGUCUGUGCUUUUGAGAAAGAAGAAUUCAAUGUCUUUUCUAUGCCAUUGGAUUUUCCCACUGCUUGUAAACUUGGGCUGUCGAGUGCUCUGUGAACCUUAAGGGCUAUAAAGUAAUUUUUUAGACUGAAGGAUUUAUUAAUCGAGUUCAAAAGAUUGCAAGUUGGUGAGCGUUGGCAUUUAAAAAUCAAUUGUUAUUCUCUCAAUAAUCUCUCUCUUCUGCCGACACCCCAAGCUCAGAAACCCAUUGUUCCGACGGACGUGUAACACUUCCAGAAAUUAGCCUUUUCUUCUAUAUGAAGGUUGAUCUCUCCUCGUGAAGUGAAGGUGGUUUUCCAAUUACAUACGUCGGGGGUCUUAUGAUAUCUAAUGUGUGAAAUUUCUUUCUCAUUUUACCAUAAAGAAAAGUUCUGUAAUGAUCUAAAGUUGGGAGUCUUAAAUUAUCUUAAAUUUAUAUUUAGAGUGGAGUUAUUGGCACCCUACAUUAUUCUUACAAAAUUCUAUUUUAAAUAAAAUUAUAAUUAAAGACAAUUGAAAAUUAUAGAUUUUUUUACAGCAAAUUACUUAAGUCAUAAUUAAUCCUUAAAAAAAAAUCUAUAUGUUACUUCUUAUUUAAUUAAAAUAAAUUGUACAAAUUUAAAAUAAUUUAUUGUUUUCUUUUGAUUUUUUAUUGAUUAAAUAUUUUUAUACUUAAAAUUACUUUGAAAUUAUAAUUUAAAAUAUGUGUUAUAUGCAAUAGUUCGAUUUACCGAACCACAAAGGGAGCCAAUGUGGUUUUGCCAAAAUCACAUACUGUAGCAUAAUAACAGAUAUUAUUAUUGUAUAAUAGAUGGGUUUAGAAAAAUUGAAGAACCAAGUAAGUUAUUUGAAAAAUGUCGAUUCUCGUACCAAACCCAUGUUUUAUGCCAAUUGUUUUUGGAUUGGAGUGCAGGCAUUAACAAUGAUGGAGAUGGAGGAACUGUAGCAUUAGUCAUAUGAAGAGUACGUGUCAGGUUUGAUUUUCAUGUGAUUUGGUUAGUGACGACGAAAACGACGACGUCGUAGUUGAAAAGCGUUUGAAUUAAUGUUGCGUUAAAAAAAAAAUUUAACUUGUUCCACUAAUUAAGUCAACAUUACUGAUGUCUUAUCACCCUCGGCCAACUUAACAAUUGGUGUCCUUUGGACAAUUAAAUAUGAUUUAUUCAAAAAAAAUAAAACUAUUAAAUAUUAAAAAUUAGGUCCAUUAAUAAUAAUAAUAAUAAUACUAAGAAUUAAGAAGAUCUAAUUACAUAUCAAAAUGACUCAAACAAAUUAAUUAAUUUCAUAUUAGCUAGCCAAGUAGGUUGUCCAUCCCACUCAGACAUGCACGAAAGCUAAAUUCAUCAAAUGAAUUACUUAAGGAGUAUUUGAUAAUUUUGAAAUUAUAAUUUCAAAUUAAAAUAGUAGUAGCAAAAUCGUAGUGCACAUUCAAUUAACCAACUAAUAGUCUAAGAAGCAAAGAGAGGAUUACAAGUUCACAACACCAUUAAAAAGGAUUCAAAAUUCCCACACGAAAACAUCAAUGUACAGAUUAUAAACAAUCCGAAUUGGACACAAGAAAAAACCCUUCAAUGGAUUGCUUGCCUUCCCAAUGCUAUAUACUGUGCAAACUGCGCACUGGCCAAGAAAAUAUUUUCAAUUUAGUGUAUUUUCAAAAUGCUUAUUUUCUCAGAAUAUAAAAAAAAAAAAAACAAAAAAAGAAUUCUUACAUGUUUCAUCAGCAUGAUUAAAAUCAAAGAAGAAAGCGAAGACAUAAUGUCUCUGACAUAAUAAAAUUACAAUUUCAUGCAGCAGAGAUUGAAGAGUUGAAUUCCACUUAUAGACACCGACCUCUUGUUUUGUCUAAUGUUAAUAACGAAAACAACAACAGAGGAUUAACUGAUGCUUUGACUUAUUAUCAGGUUGCAAUGAAUUAUUAACUGAUGCUUUGACUUAUUAGUUCUGCUGCUAAGUUAAAUAAAAUAAGGUAUUUUCAAAAGCAAAAUGGAAUACAUAGAUAAAACAUCAUCUUAAACAAAUCAUAAUCUAGAAUUGGAGACAUACCCAAGGAGAAAGAAUACGUGAAAAUGGGUGAUUCAUUUGUUAAGGAGUGUUGAUUUGGUCGUCUCUGCAAAUUCUUUAGGGACUCGGUUCCAGUUCCUCUUCAUCAAAACUGUAAUAUAAUUCCCCUUCAUCAGAACUCGAAUCGAUGCAAUAAAAUUCCCCUUCAUCAGAACUCGAAUCAAAUUCACUUGCAGCAGUUCCACUCGCGCUUGGCAAAUCAUCCAAUUUCCAAACUUCGGUAGCAAAAUUGAGAGUAAAAGUGUUGGCUUUGGUCUCUCUGGGAUUUGCAUAUACUGGACAUACUCCGCAACGUUUUAGCUUAGUGAAGAACUUAAAUGAGGCAGUUGUAUGAUGGUAACCAUCAGGAAACCCAACAUUCAAGCAAGGUUUAAAACCAAGUAUGACAUGAUCUGAAUCAAGGGAGCCAGUGCACACCAUGAAACCCAGAUCAACAUGUUUGGUUUCAGAGAGAGUCUUUAUUUCUAAGUCGAGUUGAAAGCGGACGUAAAUAUUGCAGCAAUAACAAGAAUGAAGGUGCUUAAAAUCAAGAACAGCACAAAAAGCAAACCCGAUUAAGUUUCUGCAAGAAGACUGCGGUGGCAGUUGAAUACAUAUCGAAGAUCCUGAACUUUGAUUGCUGAACCAGUCAGGAAUUUCGCUUCCAGGUAAAACAAUUAGGGAUCCCCUCAGUUCAGAAAGUUUCUGUGAAAUGACAUUUAAAAAAAAAAAUUGUAAAAUGAAAACCAUGAUUUCAGAUAUAACAAAGAGGGACAGAGUAAACAAGAGAGGGAAUUUGAUACCUCGUUGAUUGCCUUUUCAUAGCCCAGUCUCAGUGAUGCAAUUGCCACAUGCCGAAUUCUUAGUUGUGAAUCUGCCAAAAUCUUGUUGUUUGCUUUUCCAUUCAGUUUCAAGCAGUUAGUAAACCCAAAAUAAAUUGGUUGUGACUCCAGAAGUCCGGUUGCCCAUUGACGAAGGUCAGGAGAGGGUUUCGAUAGCUUUUCUAGUACGGAUGCAUCUAGUUCUUGCAGACAUGACGGAAUCUCUGGCAAAGAUUGAAGCCGGUUGCAGUUCGUUGCAUCUAGUUCUUGUAGACACAAUGGAAGUUCUGGUAAUGACCGAAGCAUGUUACAACCCGUCAAGUGAAGAUAUUUUAGACACAAUGGAAGUGCUGGUAAUGACUGAAGCAUGUUACAACGCCUCAAGUCAAGAGAACACAGCCGCGACAGUUGCUUGAUACUUGCAGGUAAACUCUCAAAGUUAUUUCCACGUAGAUCCAAGCUUUUCAGUGAGGAUAGAUAGGCAAUCUCUUGUGGAAUUUCCAUUACAGCACAGUUCAUUAUGUAUAGAAGUCCCAAAGAAGAUAAACCUAAUAAUAAUGAUCGAGGCAAUGAUACCAAACCUUUGCAGCGAGAGAAAUCAAGAAUUAAAAGUGCGUUUGAAUCUGCAACAGAGGAUGGUAGUUGACUAAUAGCUGAUCCAGCUGCUGAGAUGUGACGCAAAGAUUCUAAAUUGCCAAUGUUAUCCGGCAACUUAUCAAGUUUAGAGCAAUCACUUACGAACAAUUCUUCAAGCCCCGGUAGAUUUUCAAAUGACGAUGGCAGCUCUGUAAUUGCCGUCCCGUCUAAAUUGAUGCGUUUUAAAUGUUCCAUUUUCUCCAAGAUUUCUGGGAAGCGCUCAAGGUUCAAGCAGCCAUUAACAAAAAGAUCAACCAAAGAUCUCAAUUUACAAAACCUAGUUGAAAUCCUCUUCAGCCGUUUGCAAUCCCUCAAAUCCAACACUUCAAGAUCAGUUAGGCACUCUAUUGAUGAUGGAACUUCUUCUAUUGCAGACUGGUCUAAGUAUAGCCGUGUAAUUUUCCCAGAAAUCUGUGGAAACUCUAUGAGAGUAACACAAUAGGAGAAAUUAAUAGUUACUGGACAAACAAAAUGAAGAUUGCUUGGAAAAGACCUAAGACUUUUGCAGCCCUCAAAAGACAGCGCACUGAGAUACUUGAAAUUCUGGAUAGAUGAGGGAACACAAGCCUUUUCUCCUUCCCAAGGUUGCUCAACUUUACUAAAACGCAAAUUCAGUUCAACAAGGUUCUUUGGCUUGAAAUUUGAUGGCAGUAUCCUUAAUGGAUAUGUGUCCCAAUGAAGAUAUCUCAAUUUUUCAGGAAGAUAUUCUAGGCCAUUUGGAAGCUGCACUUCAGAGUAUGAAAGUUGCUCUUCAAUGCUCAUACUUAGAAACCUUUCAAUCUCAUAAAACUUACUUGGAAACCUUUCAAUCUCAUAAAACUUAGGUACAUAAAAUUUGAGCAAUCUCAGAUUAGACAUAUUUGUGAAGGCUCCGGGGUCUAAAUUGAUGCAUUUUAUUUUGGACAAAUCCAGAAAUAUGCCUUCAAUUGCAUCGGUCCCCUUAUAAAAAAAAAAAAACAAAGAAUGAGUAAGCCAAAAAUAAAAAAGCAACAUGCGUAAACUUUAUUAACUAAGAGCUCCUUAAACAAAAACAAAUUCUGCAAUCUUUGAUUUUAUUUUUUUAAUAUAUUAAAUAUCUAUAUGCGAGAAAAGAAAAUUUUGGGGACCAUUGCAAAAUUAAACUAACCGAAAAAAAAUUCAAAAUUUCUCUAAUUUACAAUCCUAUUAUCUUAAUAUCUAGAAGUUGAGAAGAGAGUGCCUAUUUGAUUGGUAUAAGAUUUCGAAAUUUUUUUUUUUUAGUCGAUAGAAUCCAAAAUGUUAGUUCAAAAUUAGGGAAAAAAAUAAAAGUCAUUUUUUUUCCACUAGUUAAAACUGUAUCCAAGUCAAAUUAAGAUACGACCCUUUUUAAAAAGAUUUAACCAUCUUACAGCCUCCUUAAGGUACAUUUAAGCUAAAAGGAGUAAUUUGAGGCAGAACUAGGUGGUCCAAUCAGUCCAUUUUAUUAGUGUCUGUUGCUUAAAAAAUUUAUACUCUAAAACACACUUUUUUGGAAAAAAAAAUAUAAUUACAUUGAAGUAGAAUCAGGUGGGCCAAUCCUCAUGGCACUCACUUUAUUUUGACACUCUUCACUAAAUUUGAAGAAAAAUAAAAUUAUACUCUUCACACUCUUAUUCAACAUUCCAAAAUUGAUAAAAUCUGGAGUUUUCUUUAAAAAUUUAAAAUUUGAAGACUUGUUCUCUUGACACCCUCAGUCAUUAAUUUUACCUAAUUAUGGUUUUUAUGAUUUUGGUUGUUUUGUUCAUAAAAAUGAUUUUACUAAAGGAUGCUCUGGUAAUAAUAAAAUUUAUAAAAAAAAAUGGGUGUGCUGGUAUGAUUGGAAAAAUAUGAGUGCAUAACUCCAAACAAAUAAAAGAUAUAUAAAAUAAAUGGAGGAUUCUUACCUUUUUAUGCUUGAGUACGCGGCGGAUUUCCUUAGGAUCCCACAACCUGCUGCGUUUGCCAGGCUCUUUCUCAGAUUCUUGGCGAACAAUCUGUCGCCCCAUUUCUUGCAAUAAAUCAUGCAUUUGCAAGCAAUUACCUGAUAUUGAUAUGAGUGACUUAUCAAUAAGGACAUCCAGUCCAUCAGACUCAGAAUCAUCAAGAAUCCUUGCCACAAAAUCUUUAUCCUCUCCCUCAAAGAAACACGCAAUAUCUAGAAACAAACUCUUCACCCUAGGAAUUAAUUCAUUAAAACUAAUCUUUAAUAUUUCAUAAAUAUUAUGAAUAUCAGAUUCACAAAUCCGAUUUAAGUCGUGCAAUACAUUUUCCCAAUGGCUUUUCCUCUUGAGGCACAGGGAGGAACCCAACACUUUAAGAACUAAGGGAUUGCCUUUGGCAUACUCUACAACCCUCCGUGAGUGCCAGUUGAGAUUUGUAGGACAAUGAUUUUCUUUAAAAGCGAAGUUACAAAAAUGCUCGAAAGCCUCUUCAAAUUCCAAUCCAUUAACCCUAUGUAUUUUCUUCUCCUCCCCUCUAAAUUUUUCGAGGACUCCUUUAUCCCUGGUGGUUACAACAAUUCUACUUCCUGGACCAAAUUGAUCAAGCUCUCCAAUCAGACCCUCUAAUUGUCCAACUUCAUUCACAUCAUCGAGUACUAUCAACACCUUCAUACGCCAGACCCUCUCUUUAGUAAAAUGUGGAAUAUUGGCACCAGCUACUUCAAGUUUUUCGCUUAAUAUUGUGGAAAGCAUUUCCUUUUGGAGAUGUUCUAAUCCACCUCCUGUUUCAGAAUUUCUCCUAACAUCUGACAUAAAGCAGCUACCAUCAAACUCACCAGUGAAUUGAUCGAAAAUAGCUUCAGCAAGGGUGGUUUUGCCUAUACCGCCCAUGCCCCAAAUUCCAACAAUUUGGACAGUAUCCGACAAAUCCAUACACAAAAAUGGUUUAAUCUGCUCAAUUCGUGAAUUUAAUCCAACUAGGCCAUUGGAUGAGUCCGUUGCGACUGUUAUUUUUUCCAAAUUCUUCAAAACAUCUUCGACAAUUUUGUUUACAAGUUCCGCAUCGUGCCUAAUAUAAAGGUGCAAAGAUGCAAAAACAUUGAGUCAAAUCGGGCCAAGACAGAAACAGAGAUAAGAUGAAUUAGGAAAGAGAGUUACCUGAAUUUCGUGGAUUCGUGGCCAGCAAGACCGGAUGUUUCUCUCAGUGCAUCCCUCCACCUCUGAACCAUUUCUGGCUUCUCUUCGAAGUGUUGUUUCAGCUGAUCAAAACCGUGCUUAAAAAUUCCAGUUUGAUGCCGCACAUCGGAUGGACUUACUCCAUAGAAAACCGGAAUAAUGAUUUGGCGGUUUGUGUGCUUGCAUUCAAGAAUCUUGACAAGUUCAUUCAGGCACCAUUUUGAAGAACCGUAGUCCUUUGAGAAAAUGACCACCGAAAUUUUUGAACCUUGGAUUGCGUUCAAAAGGGCAUCUGAAAUCUCAUCUCCUCGCCUAAGCUUUUCAUCAUCCAUAAAUGUUUUGAUUUUCUUUUUGUCAUACAAAUCAUCAUAGAGAUGGCAAGUAAAGAUCCUACGAGUGUCCUCCCCUCUAAAAUUGAGGAAGACUUCAUAAAUGCAAGAAGAAGAAGAAGAAGAAGAAGCAGCCAUGAAGGAAAUUUUAGAAAAUUGGUGACAGAAACAGAGAAUUAAUCUUGAGAGUUGAGAGAGGAGAUGUAAGAAUGAACAUGUGUGAAGAUUCUUGCAAGCACACAGAAAAUAAUUGAAUGGCUGGAGCUUUCUUAGUUUCCUGGAAAUUUCCUGGAGCUUUCAUAUACAUGAUUUGUCAAGUCAAGAAACAUAAUCAUGAUAAUGGGGCAGACCAGGAAGAAAAGAAAACUUGAUUCAACCAAUAAAGGAAGGAAAAGCAAAGAAAGAAAAUUUGAAAGUAGAUUCAGAGAAUUAUAAAAAGCUAAAGGAAAUUGGAAUUUUGUACAAUUUCUCCAGCGAAAAUUAAGCAUAGAAUAAUCCUAAAAUUUAAACUCUAAUAUCUUAUAAUGUAUUGAUUAAAAAUAAUCCUAAGAGUUCCCAAUUGAAACUUUCAUAAGUAUUUUAAUUGUUUUGGAUAAACAAAUUGUACUAGGAUAAAAAUUUGGCAAAUUCAGAGGAUAAUGGAAAAUAGUUAUGCUUCAAUAGGCCAAAGAUUAGAGAACAAACAAGAAUUAGUUAUUGAUACACAAAAGAGAAACACUCCAAAAUUUCAAGCAAAAAUAGUUUCAUAUACCAUUUCGAUUUUGGAAGGGGUGAGGUUUUGAACUUCAAUAGUUUCCUCUAAAAUUAAAAGGCAGCAAUUAAACUAGAAAGAGCAAUGAAGACUUAUUGGUACUUUAUUGAAGGUAAACAUUAUGAAACUUUCAAUGUCAUUACCUCAUUGUUCAAUUUUUAUUGAGAUUUGUGUAAGCAUUUAGCUAAAUCUUACCUCCGCCUUUAAAUUCAUUAGUUUUGAUUAAUUAUGAGACCUGGGAGAUAUUAUAAUCGAACUAAAACUUAAAAUUUCAAUAUCAUUAUUCUUUAAAAAGAAAUUGAGAUUUCAGAGUAAUAUCACAUAGAAAAACUUGCCCACGGACGGUAAGCCAAAAGUCUAGUCAACCACACGCAUAAAGCUAACUAGAACAAGAGAACAGAGAAACGCGUGGGUCCCUAAAAGAAAAGGCGUGGGUCCCAAAAGUCUAGUCAACCAUACCGAUGAAAAUCACUGAUUAAGAAUAAUAUAUUAUGUGGUUGAAGAUUUCUUUUUAUCAAUCUUCUUUCUACCCAUUAAUUUUCCCACGACUUUCCGGUUUCAUUUCUUGAAUCUCCAUGGAUUAACUUUCAAUAAACCAUAAAAUAAACUAAGGAAUCAUUUUCUCGAACACAGCUAUGAUUUUAAUAAAUGGGCGGACCAUCUAGAAUAGUAUAUAUAAUUCUGUUUAAUUAAUAAGUUGAAAAAACCAUAAAGAGAAAUUCUAAUAUUAUGAGCUUGACACGAAUUCUUCACUAAUUCCAAAACAAGGAGCUGUUUUAUAAGAACUGUGGUUGGAUUAUUAAGUUUUACAAUUUGAAUAUAAAUAAGAAAAUAAAAUCAGUCGCGUCGAUGUUUUCGAUACAUUUCGAUGCUAACUUAAUUAAUUACUUUACUUCAACUUUAUUUCCUGACGGACACUAUAUGGUGGGUCCAAGAUGGGACCUACAAUAAUCAAUCCUAGAAUUUAGUAUGGUUACCAAAUAGCUAGUGUUAUUUUGUGUUUGGUGGAAGAGAUUGAAUAUUUAGUUUUAACAUAACCAUUCAACUAAUUAGAAAAUAAAUAAAGUUAAAUGAAAUGUUUAGAUAUCAAUUUAAAUAUUAAUAUCCGGGAUAUAAAUUAGUUAUAAUAUAGUUCAUUACAUAAAAUUGAUUAAAUUAAUAAUUACACAUGAACAUAGAUGUAUAUGCUUUCCAAUUUCCAAAGUGCUCAAAGCACUUUUCUCACCAAACUUUCCUCUGAAUUUCCCGUAGCUGACUCCAUUGUUUGCGUUUUGUGAAAUUUCUAGGAACUUUUUCUAUUUAGAAUAUUGUACAUUUUUCUUUUCAGCUGAGAUUAAUUUAACUUAUAGAAAAUCUUAUCCUUUUUUUAAUAUUAUUUAAAUAAAAUUUGUCUAUCUUUCAUUUUAUCAGUCUACUUUUUACCCAUUAAUUAAGACUUUUCGAUUUCUUUUUUUCCUGAGGUUUUCAGUGACUAUCUUUCAAUAAACCAUAAAAAUUAAUGAGUCAUUUAUCGAACAAUUAGAUGACCAUAUUUCAAAAUAUCAACUAGAAGUUGCCCUGAAAUAUUUAAUUAAUAGUUGAAGAAUUGUGAUUAGUGUGGGCAUCUACAUAAAAAUUAUAUUAAAACACCGCUAAAAGAUAAAAAUAAAAUAAAAUAGUACAAACAUACACCCAUAGGUUAAAACAAAGAAAAAACACGAACCAAUACACUAAAAUGUUUUAGCUGUAGUUAGUUUUCAGUUUCAUUACUUAAGUCCCACGUGCAUGUCACGUGACUGAGGUCAAAAAAUGAUUGUCAGAUUAAAGUUCAAAGUACGGAGCAGGGUAAUUAAGGAGUGGAGCUAUUGGCACCCCUCCAUUAUUCUUACAAAACCCCACUUUAAAUCAAAUUAUAAUUAAGAAUAAUUGAAAAUUAAACACUUAUAGAUUUCUUUACAACAUGUUUAGUGAUAAAAAAGCACCAGUCGGGCAUGUCCCCAUUUCUUACCCGGGGCCGAAUCUCCUCGGCCGAAUGGUAUGAGUAGACUCUUGGUGAUGUGUUCUAUGUGGAGCACGUAAAACAGACCAGGAACUAGUACCAACCAGAAACGAGUACUGAUCAGAAACAAGCAUGACCAGAAACGCAUACCGACUAGAGACUUGUGGGUCCCUAAAAGAAAAGGCAAGCACAUAAACGAAAAAGCCAUUACAUUUCUAUUUUACAUGUCAUUCCUAAUUUUUGUAACACGGUGUGGCAGCAUAUGCACAAUCAAAUGAGGCAAAAGGGAUUCGACUAUCGUGGCAGAACAUGGACGAGGAUGCGUGAUGAAUAAUUCCUUCGAUAAAACGAAAAACAAAUGCAGAGAAAAGAAUUUCUUAUAUGACAAGAAAUUAAAGUAAUGUGACGGAACAUGAUGAAGAAAUUGCAGAUCGAUCAAUUAUCCCCAUGGACUCCUAUAAAUUCAACCAAAAUAACAAUUCCAAUAUUACCAAAUUCUUGAGUUAAAUUUAUUCAAUGCUUUUUUUUUUUAGAGAAAUUUUUUCCAAUGCUACUUUCCCUUUUUUGGGGAAAUUAGAACUGCGGCAUGUAUAGAAGACAUUGAGGUAUAAAGCAACAUUAAUUUCAUGGGUUAUGCGUUAUACGCAUAAUAUAUUGUCAGUCCAAAUUCAACUAUACAAAGAGGCUUGAGAACUUAAAAUUAAGCACAAACUAAACAGACGAAGUAAAUACAUGAUUAUGCAACAUAACAUUAAUUCUCUUAAUUUAUAACUGUUUUUGCCACAUGAAUCUUGCACAGUUAAUCCUAAUUGAAGACUAAAAAAGAACAAUUGGAACAAGGUUUUGAAAUAGAAUGAUAUACAAUCGAUAUGAUCCAUUUCCAGUCGUCAACGCUAAUUAACUGCAGUUUCUAGACUCCUAAUUAUACUAGCCAUAAGAAACUGUUUAGAAAACUGGUGAUCAGAUUAGAUUUUGAAAAGAAAUAAUUUUCAUUUUCCCUUCGCUACCUUUUUUUUUUAAUUAUUUUUAUACCAAAGAAUUCUAUCAUGAAAAGAAUCAAUUUAAUCACCUUUUCCAGCAGCACAAUUUUUCUUUUAUAAAAUUUGACCACAGAGACAAAGAAGAAUUAUUCAUACCUUCAUCAGUAAGGAAAUACUUUUCAUUAUGGCUAGGGUGAGAAAAGGCUUUCCACAACACUUGUACUUUGUAUUCCUGUAAAUUUUCUUUAAAGUCAAUAAAAACCAUAAGUUCUUUACAAUAACCAUCUCUUUGAUAAAAAAGUGCCGUAUUCCUUUAGAAUUUAAAACCGGAAAAAUUGAAUCAGUGUCUUUGAAGAGACAUAAUGGUCGUAAUUCUUUAAAUGAGUUGGCUAUGGAAAUCCUUAUCCAAGAUUCUUUUACGCCAUAUUCUUUCGUAAACCAAAAUUCAUUUUGGAAUACUCUGUUGAGAAUGUCAAAUAAAACGGCAUUGAAGGAAGUUUUCAAAGGCAGAAUCCGCACUUGUCAAAGGGAUGAUCUGCACUUGUCAAAGACACGAUCCGCGUCGAAUGAAUCGACACAUUUCCUUUCGUAUUCGCAUAUGUAAUCUUUGAAAAAAUGUAGCUUCUGCAUCUAUAAAUAACGCUUAGUGUAUAAUGUUUUAUUCAAGAAAAGAAAACAAGUUUCUUCAUACUCGUCGUCCGAACAUACAGAGACCGUCUCUUAUAACUUCAGCCGAAUACUUAUGAUGAUGAUCAUUUGUGAUUUCAUCAGGCAAAGGGUUGAUGGUGAAAAAAUUUGUAUGUGUGAAGAAUUGAGCUGUGGAUAUAGGGGACUUAAGUGUAAUCGAAAGAGAGUUAUUAGGCCAUAGUGCAGAUUGCAUUCAGUUUAUGAGUCGAUAUGCAAAUAAUUUGUUGACGUGGCGAAAUUUGUUAUGGUCGUUACUAUUGUUUCUGGAAAUUUUCUAGAAACCUCAGCAUAAAAGGGGCUUUUGCAUAGCCUCUGGUGUGCGUGUGAUUUCUCUUUCGUUUCCUCAUCAAAUUCUGUAAUUCUUGCUUUGAUAAAAAGCUUGUAAUCUCUUCUGUAAUGUGUGAUCAGUGCGUAAUCAUUUUGAGCAAUAAGAGCUUGUGGGUUUUUCCUUCAAACAGUGUCGUUUUGGUCAGUUUGUUAGUUUGAUCUGUUGGUGGAAUUUUCUUUGGUUAUUUGUUCUCAAAUUUCAACCGUAUAUAAAGUUUGAACUCUAAUGGCUUAUAAUGUAUUGAUUAAGAAUAAUCCUAAGAGUUCCCGAUUGAAAUUUUUAAUGACUAUUUUUAUUGUUUUGGAUAUACAAAUUGCAUUAAGAAAAAAUAUUGUCAAAUUCAGAGGAUAACGGGAAAUAAUUAUGCUUCAAAAGGCCAGAGAUUAGAGAACAAAGAAGCAUUCAUUACUGAUAAACAAAAGAGAAACACUCCAAAAUUGCAAGCAAACUAGUUUCAUAUACUAUUUGGAUUUUGGAAGGGGUGAAGUUUUGAACUUCAGUUGUUCCUCUAAAAUCAAAAGCAUCAAUUAAGCGUUCUCAAUUAGAAAUAGCAAAGAAGACUUAUUGGUACCUUACUGAAGUUAACAUUGUGGCACGGUUGUUCAUAUGUAAUGGCUGCUCUGUUAUGCUAGCUUCUCUGUUUUUGCUUACAGUUUUGAACAUAAAUUCUUGCUCAAAUAACCCAUAAUUAAAUAACACUAAUAUGGCUCGUGAAGUCCCAUAAUAGCUAAUUACGCAACUUUCUCCUCCUCCUCAAUUAUGUCUUCCCCUGCUCGGACACUAACUUCAAAAUUCAAUGCCCCGAAAAACAACACAAGAAAUCUUUGAGUUAGUUCGUGACCAGUUUAUAUAUAGUAGCAAUUGAAAAAAGAAAAAGAAGAAAAAAGUUAAUUAUUAUUCAGACCUUCACUUAUUAGGAAGUUUGUUCUGCUAUUGGGUGAGAUCAAGCUCUCAGCAUAUACUUCCACAUGAUACUUUCUAACAUUUUCUUGAAAGCCAUCAAUCAUAAAAUCUUCAUACUUUUUUCCAUCCUUUGGAUCAAUAAGUACAAUUUUUUCAUCUAAAACAGACAAAAUAAAAUCACUGUCCUUCAUGGAACACAAUGGCUGCAAUGCCUGAACUGAAUUGGCUAAUGAAAUUUGAGUCCAGGAUUCUCUCAGCCCAUAUUCUUUCAUAAUCCAAAAUUCUUUUCUUUCUCGACAUGGAACAUAGUCUUCUUUUCUUUCUCGACACAUGUCUCUGUACUUUUCUCUCUCUACUGAUCCACACUUUUUCAUACUUCUAACUAUCAUUUUGUUUUUUUUUUUUUUUGAGUUGUGAUUUAUUCAAUUAUUUUGUAUUUUUAAUGACAAUUGUUUAAUAUUUAGUUAGUUUUGAUAUUGAUUAGUGAUUGAAAGUGUAUUUUAGAAGACUUCCGGUCUCUUGAAAAAAGGAAAAAUGGAGAAGAAGAAGAAGUGUUCUUGAUUUUUUUGUAGGCAUUAAAGUUAAACGGUUUGAAAUGAUAUUUUGUUUUUAUUUCACUCAUUAAUCUCAUUCAGGAUAAAAUUAUAAAUGCAAAUAAAUGGGGUUUCAUAAGUAUUUUUAAUAGUGUUAAAAGGUCUACUCACUAAAUAAACAUGUUUUACCCAAACCAAUCCGAUUAAUAAGUUAUUAGGUUGGGUUGAUCAGGUUAAAAAUCAAAAUUAAAAAUUAAAUAAAUAAAAGGCAUAAAAACUAUCUGUUACUUGAAAAUAAAAAGAAUUUCUAAUAGUUAGUUCUAAUGUCCCAUAUCCAAAACAUGCAUAUUGUGAGGUUUGCUGGUGAAUCAAACUCAUCAGAACCAAAUGAUGACGUUUUGGCAAUUGAAGGAGCACUUAAAAGACACGUGAAACGCACGUCUGUUGUCACUUAAGAUUAAAGCUUGAAACGGCAGUUCAACCAUGUCGUUUAAAGGAAGCUUAGAAGUGAUGCACGUGACAGAUGUGUGAAGCAGCUCAUCUCAGUUCGUUAAGUUUGUUAUGCUACGUGUAAGCAAUCAGUUCGAUCUGGGUUUAGCUGGUUAGUUGCUCUGUUAGUUAUAAGAGCAGGCUGAUGAAACGAUUUGGGUUAAGCUUGUGAAUUCAUAUCAGAGAGAGAGAGAUUUCAGUGAAAGGGUUAAGAGUUCUCUGAAAUCUUGUAAACCAUUCUCUGUAAGAAAGAUCCUCCAUUGUUGAAUAAUAAAAGCUCUGCAGAAAACUUUUCCUGUGGAUGUAGAUUGUACCAAUUUGGUACAACUGAACCACGUAAUUGAUUCUUGUGUUGUCUGUGAUUUGUUUGUUUCUUGAUUCUCUAUUCUUUCUAGUUCUUGGGUACAUUGUUUUCACUUGGCUAGAUUCAUUCCUCAAUCUGUGCAUCUUGUAUAGUUCUUUAUCAAAGGUCCUGGGAAGUGUUUUAUUUGUCUUGCAUGUUAUAUAGCAAAUUAAAACACUACACAUAUUAAAUAAUAUAUUAUAAGUUAGAAAUACAAUAUCUAAAGAAAGAAUUAAUGAAAUAACAUAUUCUUGUUGAGAAUUAAGAGUGUGAUUUUAAUUUUGAUAUUGGAGUCUAAAGCAAUAGAUAGUACAAUGAAAUCAUGAAUGCUACGUUUAAAUAAUCUCUUUUAUAAAAUAAUAAAAAGAGGUUAAAAAUUAGGUUAACAUUUAGGGUUUAGCAGUUAAGGAUGAAUAUAUUAUUAUUGUUGUUGUUGUUAUUAUUAUAAUAAUAAUUAUUAUAAUAAUAAUUAUUAUUUAUAUGUUAAUUAAUUCAAUCCAACUUAAUUAUUAAUGAAUUUGAAAAAAUUGACCCAAUUAAUCCACAAUAAUUCAUUCAACUCGUCUAAAUUAGAUUAAGUUGAACUUAAUUUGCUACCCCACAUUGAGCAACAAACCUCAACGUCAUUCUACGAGCUCUUUGAUUGUUUAUAAAAUUGAUUUAGAGUACAUAAAGUGUAUCGACAAUGAAAGUGCAAAACAAAUUAUUGUACAUAUUAAAAUGUGCAAAAACAAUGAAUUAUAUGUACAAACGAGUGCAAACACAUUUUUCAAUAAGAAGUUGGAAGAUAUUUAUGCAUGAAAAAGCCUACGUUUGUAGUUAUUCUAAAUUUUAAAAACAAAAUUUACAUUUAGAUUCCUAAAAUUUACAUAUAAGUAUAAAAGUUUCAAAUAUUGUCUAUUAUUUUUUUAACAUGCCUAUUCCUUGUGGAUAAUUUUGUCUCAUCACUAAUGUUGUUUCUUGCUUACAAAAACCAAAAGCCACCUCCUUUUUGCAAUUUUUAUAGCGUCUCAAAAUAGACAAUAGGGGGAUUUUGAAUUUUUUAAGUCUCAAUAUAGUCUCUAAUCUUGUGAGAAAUAUUUUCUUUCAAUAAUUUGGAGGUAAACAUAACAUAACUUUUUGGACUAAAGCCUAACUCUGCUAAUAAGUAAUUGGUGGUAUCCUUUUCAAGACUUGAGUCUUUAGAUUCGAGUUUUAUAUAGUGUGCAUGUGUAUUUAAUUAAUAUUUUUUUUCAAAAAAAAUUACAUCAAAUACUAAUAUUCAUGACAUAAUUUAGUUCAUAAUUUUUUUAAAUACAUCGAAAAAUAUAAUUUUUUAACAACUUAAAGGCAUGACAAAUUUCAAGAUAUAAAUAUCAGUCAAAAUAAGUGAAAGAAAUAAUGGUGUCAAUUCUAAUUUCUUAACUAAAUUAAUUACUGCAUGAGCCCCGAAUAUGACACGAGAGUUUGAUGGGCUAACUUGGCACAAGAACGUGAAUAGUUAACUCAUUUAAGAAAUAAUUCAACAAAAAAUAUAAUUGAUAAGAAUGCAAUAUUGAAAUGAAUUUUUUACGAAACAUUGAAUUAAUGAUUAUUAAGCAAGAACAAUAAAAAAAUAAAAUAAAAAUAAAGAUUAACCAUUGAUAAGCUUCAACAAGAACUUAACACAACCCUCAAUCCUAAUUCAAAUUAUAAAUGUCAUUCAUAUAUUCAUUAUAAAUCAAUAACAAAGGUUAUAAAUGUUUAGAAAUUCUAGAGGGAAGGAAGCUAUCGCCGGGGAAUCAACAACUAAAAUUGAUGUAAUUGUGGCACGAGAUGGAAUAUGGAAACUACACCAUAAUUUUAAAUGCCGCCAUAGACAUUGACUUAUCUACAAUAACAAUGAUCUAAUUAAAAUAAAAAUAGAGUUUAUGGGCAUUUAUUAUUUUGACAUUCCUCAUUUGCAAAUAGGGAUACAAUUAUAAUUUAUUUAGUCAAAGCAAACAGUAAUUUUCUUCAUUAUAGGAGUGAAGUAAAAACAUUUAGAUUUUAAUGUAUGUAAGGAAAAAUUUAUCUUUAAAAAUACUUUCUUAAUGUGUGUAUGCAUAUUGAAAUACUCAAACCAAUUUUGGUUAUAUAUAAUUAAACAAAUUUUAAAAUAUGAAAAAUAUAAUGUAGUUAUAGUGGAUAAACAAUAAGUGAGCACAAUAUAAUUAAUCAAAUAUUGUGCUAUCAAAAGUUAAUUUUAGAAAUUCCAAAUCCAAUAGCUAACACAAUUCUUUAAAGAAAAAAAAAAGGUUGACACAAUUAAUAAAAUUAGCGACAUGAAUUUCACGCCAUUGAUAAUCAGCAAUUAGUAUUACUUUCUAAACUUGCUUCAACUGGUCGUUGAUGUCCGGGUCACCAAAAGUAUAAGCGAUAAUAAGGGGCAUUGGGCAAGAGUGAUGAAUGUUUAGUGGGUGCAUUUGAUUGAUAGAUAUAUAAAGGGCCGAAACUUGAGAUUAUAUUACUUUUACAAAUUUUAAUCCAAUCACAUAUUUAAUGAAAACAAAAUGAGUUAGGAUACUUUAUUUAAAAUACACAUUUUAAUAAGGCUUCAUUUAAUUAAAUAAAAUUAUAAAAGUAAAAUAUAUUUUAGAUAUUUUAAUAUUUAAGAAAAAAUUUUCAAUCUUUACUUUCAGAAGCUCAAAUUUUUAAUUUUUAGUUGUAGAGACAAAAUAUCUUAUUUAAUGUUUAAAAGUUCUGCUAAAAACAAUCAAAUAACUACAAAAAUUUUAAUAAGAGCAUAUAAAAUUAAAUAAGCAUUUAUUAAUAAUCACUUUAGUGUACUUAUCUAAUAACAAUAAGUGUUUAUUUAAUCUAAUAAGUUUUUAUUUAAUCUAAUGAGCUCUUUUUAAUUUUUUUUUAGUAGAGCUUUUGAAAAUUAAAUAAACUAUUUUGUCUCUAUUAAGAAAAACUUAAAAUUUAGGUUUUUGUAAGUAAAUGUUUAAAUUUUUUUUAAAAAUAUUAAAAUAUUAAAAUAUCUUUUCUUUAUUUCAUAAUCUUAUUUCAUUCUUCACAACAUAACUUUAAAUAACUUACCUAUUAAAAUAAUUUCACAAUUUCUAAUAAAAACUCCGAUUAACAAUCAAGCAAUAAUUUUUUUUUUUUUUUUGUAAAAAUUCUAUUUGUAAAAACUCUAAUAAUAAAAAUUCUACUUAAAUAAAUUUUAUUUGAAAAGGUAUACUAAACGAACCUAAGAUAAAAACAAAAAUUUUUAGAUCCAGACAAUUAAGCUUAAAACAAUUUCAAAUGAAUUUUAGACUAAUCAAAGUACAAUACGUACCAAGUUUGGUAAUUUAUUGACAUCUUCUUAUAUACCUUCGAUCAAGUCGAUUCUCACUUGACGACUAAUUGGUAGUUUGGUACAUCACCGUUGUUCCCUAUACUCGCAUGCAUCCGAUCACAAAUCUCACUCCAAUUGUUGUCUUUCUUCGGCGUUUUAGCGCAUCCUUCUUGAAUUUCUCGCAUUUCGUUCCCUUACAAGUCUCCGGUCAGGUCAGUUCACUUGACGAUUAAUUCGGCAAAUCUUGAAUCUCUUCUCUAUCCCUCUCGUUUUCUCGUGUCUCCUUUCAGUUAAAGCGAUUGAAUCAAUUUUAUCGCAGUCUAAGAGAAAUUAAGUAAUGCUCUUGGAUUUAAAAUUUUUUUGCUUUCGACUUUAGAUCUCGAAAGUCAAACUCUUCUACGAAUCCAUAGAUUCUCAAUGUUUAUAAUCUUAUUUGUGUUUGACCAGGUAACUGGAUCGUGAAAUUCGUCGUUUUGUAUCAAUUCAAGCUUUCGCGAGCUCAUGGAAUCACCUGGUGAGUUGUGGUGAAACGUUACCGUUUCAAUUUUCGCUUAAUUCUUUAUUGCAUAUUUUUUUCUCUAAUAUUUCAGUUUAAUUAGAAAAGAAAGAGGACCCAAAAAGAGAGAGAGAGAGAGAGACUCUACCAUACUCAAUUCCUUGCUCAUUCUGAUUUGGCCUGAAUGUUGGCAUUGACUAUUAUUUGUUUUCAUUUCGAUUUAAUUCUCAUUUAGACAGUCUUUACUAACGGUCAAUAAUAGUUUAAGGAAAAUGAUAAUAGGGAUUCUGCAAUAAUCUUUCUGCAUUGUUCAAGUUAGUAGACAAUGAAUAGGAUGUUUACGUUUACCUCAUUUUGAACCCCGAGGGCUUAGUUGAGUAGUUGAUUGAUUCAAUCUUGCAAUGUGUUCCCACAAGGUUUUGAGUUUGAUUCCUAAUUAUGUGGACCUUAGUUUCGAAUUUGAGUUUGUUAGGUGGGUUGAUGGGGUUUUUGGGUAUUAAAAAGGGAGAAGAAAAAAGUUGCUUGCUUCAUUUUGUACAAACCUGUUGACUUUUUAUUUUUUUCUUUUUAUUUUUGUACUAUUUUGUUUUACAGUUGGUGGUUCAAGACAGACAUCUGUUAUUGUUGUAACUUUGGAUACUGGUGAAGUAUAUAUUGUAACCAGCUUGUAUUCUAGGACUGACACUCAAGUGAUAUAUAUUGAUCCAACUACUGGUGCACUUCGCUACCAUGGGAAAUGGGGCUAUGAUGUUUUUGGAUCUGAAAAUGAAGCAGUAGAUUACAUAACAAAUGGAUCACGAUGGAUGUGCAAGAGUACAACUUUUGCCAAGGCGAUAUUGGGUUAUACUGCCCUGGGAAGCUUUGGGCUGCUUCUUGUUGCCACAAGGUUAACUGCCAGCAUUCCAAAUCUUCCUGGUGGAGGAACUGUAUGCACGGUUACAGAGAGCCAAUGGAUCAAAAUUCCACUUCAAAAUCCUCAACCCCAGGGUAAAGGAGAAGUAAAGAAUGUUCAAGAGUUGCCUGAUCUUGACAUUGAUGGGAAGCACUACUUUUGUGAGACAAGAGAUAUCACUCGACCUUUCCCCAGCCGCAUGCCUUUGCAAAAUCCUGACGAGGAAUUUGUUUGGAAUGAAUGGCUUUCGAUGCCUUUUAAAAGCAUUGGUUUACCUCAGCAUUGUGUCAUUCUUCUGCAGGUUUUGCUUCAUACUCGGUAUCUUCAAAAUUUAUGCUCAUUAAACUUCUUUCAUUCCCCACCCUCUCACUAUCCCUCCACCUAAUUUUGUUUCCAAAAGUUUGUUUGAUAGUCUAUUGCCACUAUAUGUAAAUGUAUCAUUUCCAUUCUGAGCAUGAUAUUUUAUUCAUCAUCACUUGUUAUUCUAAUCUUUAGAUGAAAGAAUAUUUCGUAUUAACAUUUUUCAUGGGCCAGUACCUAUUUUAUGGUCCAUUGUAGAUACUAAAAUGACCAACUUUAUUUCUUGGUCAUAAAAAGUUGCGACAGAAAUUUUAAACAUGUGAAUAUUUAAAUCUGAUAAUUCAUUAAAGAUUUCAACCUAAUAGAUUGAAAACUUAGAUUCAUUCCAUGAAUGAAAGAUAAUAAAGCAUCAGCCGAUGGAAUAUGGGAAAUAGAAACACUUUCCCUUCUAUUAAGAAGAGCCUGCUUCAGAUGAUCCUCAUUUUCUUCAUCCACAGGCCAACCUAGAACAUACCACACCAAGGUAAGAAAGAAAAGGGGUAGCAGGAUUGCCUAGUUUGACAAUUAGCAAAGCCCCAAAUGUUCCUCUUUUACUUUUCUUUUAGAAAGGUAGACAUGUUUGACAGAUUUGGGACAUUGCAUCAUCCCUUUCUGCUGCACAUGGUUGCAAUGUUUUACUUCUCACGUGAAAGCCUAGAAAUCCCAAUCCAAUAAUAAAAGGCCAUUUUAGAGUCAAUGUACAAAAACUUCCUUCCUUGUCUCUAUAUCCUCUUUUACAAUCCAUUCUUAGUUGAAUUGAGAUUAUGCUACAGCUGCUUCUUCAAGUUAACAUUGUUAUGCAAUUCAAUGGUGAUUUACGUGUGUACUUGUCCUAAGCAUGUGAUUUGAAAAUAAUAUGUUAAUAUUGUUUUCACUGGAUAUUAAUGUAUAGGGAUUUGCAGAAUGUCGAAAUUUUGGAAGAUCAGGUCAGCUAGAAGGGGUUGUUGCUCUUAUAGCUCGUCGUAGUAGGCUGCAUCCUGGUACUCGAUACUUGGCUAGGGGGAUUAAUUCUUGUUUUAGUACAGGUAAGAUAAUCUUUAACAUCUCCAGACCUGGAAAUUACAUUUUUGUUGUUGAGAUUCACUUGGUUCUUCUAUACAAUCAAAAAAAUUAAGGAUUUAGUUUUUUUUUUUUUUAAACGGAAUUUUCUUUUCCUUUCAGUACUCUUUGCAUUCUGUGUAUGCUGUUUAUUCUGAUUGUCAUUGAUCUCAUGCCUUUACAAGGAAACAGGUAAUAGUUUCAGUGGUAAAUUCAAGUGGAAUUGGUUUUGAUUCUGUUGUUUAGAAAGAUGGAUUGUAGAACUACAGAACAUUAAUCGUGCCACCUCAUGGCUCAUGCAUGCUUUUGGAGUAUUCUUUACCUGUAGAAUUUUUGUUUUUGUAGUUGACUUGGAAUAUAACUUUACCAUUUUUUUCAAAUAAUAAGAAUCAAUGAGUCUCAUCAAUAUUAAUCAAUAAUGAGCUAAAGAUAUAUAACUUGUGUCUCAGAACUAUAUAUGAUAUGCUUGUGAAGGUGUAUUAUUUUAAGUAGAGAUACCAAAUGCUACAGGGAGAAGCAAAAAAGAACAUUCUCCAGUGAAAACCUUCUGACAGAUUACAUUUUUGGGAUAAAAAAGAAACAUUGAGAUCAUCAGCCACACUUUUUCUUCUUGUACUGUUUAAUUAGUUUAGAGGCCUUUUAGUUGGUUUUGCUUGCCUGGAGGUGUCAUACAGUUCACUUUUUGAAUACCCUGGUUUUCUACAGAUUAGAACUUGGUUUCCUUUCACUCCACAGCUUUUGCUUUCCUACAUCACGUCCUUUGGGAUAAUUGAAUAAUGAAUGAAUGAAAACAAUCAAAUAAUUUCUGACAAUUAGUUAAUAACUUUUAUUUUGUAUGACCCUUUUGAUAUGUGUGGUCCUUUAAUUUACGGUUGAAAUAUAAAUAUGAAAAAAGUCUGCCAAUUAGUUUUACAAAUGACUUUUGUGCCAUAGAAUAUAUAUAUUUUUUUUUUGCCGAAAAACAAAACAAAUUCAUAAACAACAUUGUAUUUCACCAAUUAACAGUGCAAGUGUCAUUAUAGUUUCCACAUAUUAGUUCUGUUUUCGUUAGUUUCAUUUUCAUUCUGUUAUGUAACUGAUGUUUCAUUGCUAUAAAAUUAAUUGUCUGUUUCUCUUCACAACUGUUAUUUUGAAUGAUUUUUUCUGAAUUUUAUAAAGAAUUUGUAUAUGACAGGAAAUGAAGCAGAGUGCGAGCAACUUGUAUGGAUUCCUAAAAGGUCUGGUCAGAGUGUUCCUUUCAAUGCAUACAUCUGGCGGCGAGGGACUAUUCCAAUAUGGUGGGGUGCAGAAUUAAAGCUUACUGCUGCUGAAGCAGAAAUUUAUGUUGCAGAUCGGGAUCCUUAUAAAGGAAGUCUGAAGUAUUAUCAGAGGUUGAGUAAUCGAUAUGAUGCUCGAAACUUUGACUUAGCUGUUGGGGAAAAUCAGAAGAAAAAGCCUUUUAUUCCAAUUGUAUGCAUUAACUUGCUUAGGAAUGCGGAAGGGAAAUCAGAAUCUAUUUUAGUUCAGCAUUUUGAGGAAUCUUUGAACUAUGUCAGAUCAACUGGAAAACUUCCUUAUACUCGAAUAAUUUUAAUAAAUUAUGACUGGCAUGCCAGUACAAAAUUAAAAGGUGAACAACUUACAAUUGAAGGAUUAUGGAAGCAUCUAAAAGCACCCACUCAGGCCGUAGGCAUUUCUGAAGGGGACUAUUUGCCAUCACGGCAACGACUUAAUGAUUGCCGAGGUGAAGUCAUCUGCAAUGGUGACUUUGUGGGUGCCUUUUGCUUAAGAUCCCAUCAGAAUGGAGUGAUACGCUUUAACUGUGCAGACUCUCUUGAUCGGACCAAUGCUGCUAGUUAUUUUGGUGCUCUGCAAGUAUUUGUGGAGCAAUGUAGGCGGCUUGGGUUCUCCCUUGACAGUGAUUUUGCAUAUGGCUAUCAGUCAGCUAAUAACUAUGGUGGAUAUACUGCUCCUUUGCCACGAGGAUGGGAGAAACGAGCUGAUGCAGUGACAGGAAAAACAUAUUAUAUCGAUCACAACACUAGGACCACAACAUGGAUUCAUCCAUGCCCAGACAAACCUUGGAAGAGAUUUGAUAUGACAUUUGAGGAGUUCAAGCAAUCAACAAUUUUAUCACCAGUGUCUCAGCUAGCAGAUCUUUUUCUGCUUUCUGGUGAUAUCCAUGCAACCCUUUAUACUGGUUCAAAAGCAAUGCAUAGCCAAAUUCUUAAUAUAUUCAAUGAAGAACCAGGAAAGUUCAAACAAUUUUCUGCAGCACAAAAUAUGAAAAUUACCCUGCAGAGAAGAUACAAAAAUGCAGUUGUCGAUAGCUCUCGUCAGAAACAGCUGGAGAUGUUUCUUGGAUUGAGGCUUUUCAAGCAUCUUCCAUCUGUUUCAGUUCAACCUCUACAUGUAUGAUACUGUAGAACUUCAGAUUACCUAUUCAUACAAUCUGAGUUCAAUGAUUAUCAAUUUUCAUGAGGGAUGGAGACAAUAUUACACUAGCUACUUGUUUCUAACCUAAGCAUCCCUAACUUCUGCACAUAAAUAAAUGAUGCGCAAAGCAUACCAUAGCUAUAUCAAUGCCCAUUUCCUGUUUGAUGUUGACCAAUAAUGUUUGGAAGUUAGCUAUUGCAUGGUAAGAUGAUUUGAAGCUUCAUUUAAAGCUUCUAAGCCAGAGCUUCUAAGUCAUCUGGCUUAGAGAAUUUAAAUGUCCUCCAAAAGUCUGGAAUCACUGUUGCAUCUCAGCCUGAUUGAUAUUUGUUAUUGUUAACUUGGAAAUAUUUUGUUAAUCUUUCGGAUUGAACAACGUCGUGCUAUGAUCAUUAUUCAAGAAAUGACCUCAAGAACUUGUUGCAGUUGAGUGAUUUUUUGGUAAUGAUGAAAAUUAUUCAUGUUUAGGAACAGCUCUUUAGGGGAAAAGCAUAUAUGGGCUGGCUGGCCCUUUUUGGUGUAUUUGAUGAACCAUUUCAUAUCAUGCUGGUAACUGCAGGUUCUUUCUCGACCAUCUGGUUUCUUUCUCAAGCCAGUUCCCAACAUGUUCCCAAGUUCUGAUGGUGGAGCUAGUCUUCUAAGCUUCAAAAGAAAAGACAUGAUCUGGGUAUGGGUUGCAGCUAAACUUAGUCCUUUGUAGCAUUCCUAAUUCUCUGAUUGUCUUUUCUUUGUAGCAUUCUUAAUUCUCUGAUUGUCUUUUCUGUCCUUAAUGGAAUUCAUGCAUUUUUGGUUCUUUAGGUAUGUCCACAAGGCACAGAUGUGGUUGAACUUUUCAUCUACCUUGGUGAACCUUGUCAUGUCUGUCAGCUUCUUCUCACCAUAUCCCAUGGUGCAGAUGAUUCAACAUAUCCAGCAACAGUUGAUGUGAGAACAGGACGCCACUUAGAUGGGCUUAAACUGAUUUUGGAGGUUUGUAUUGGUUCUAUUGUACACCUUGCUUACAAAUUUUUUAUUUUUAAUUUUUAAUUUUGUAUGAUAUGCUCUUUGUUGGUAAAUUUCAUUUGACUUAGAAGAGAUAGUUUUAUCCCAACAGUGGGAUACAUCAUUGAGAUGCAUGGCAGAGUGAAUAUAGUAGACAAAAUCAUUGAGACCCAUGGUGGUGUGAACAUAGUAAACUUUGUCAAACACAGCUAAGAUGAGCAAAUUGUUUCAUUAGCCUUUAUCUUAUCUGCUGUGAUGAUUCAAAUUAAUGCUGUUUGGUAGGUUGCAAAAAAACGAAAUGAGCUGACUGUUCGUAUUAUUUAGUCAGAUCUCUAGCAAUAAGUUGAAGUUCAUUGUCACAUGGGUUGGGAGUAUCGUGGGCUGUGAGUAGUAGAAUGGAUUUAUGGAGUUGAUACAAGUGCCCACAAUCUCUCAUGUCAUUCUAGGAUUAAAUGGAUUGCACAUUACUGUAAAAAUGGAGGUUAAAUUUAUAUAAUUCGGAUUGAUUGUAAAAUGGAAGACAGAGAUGAGUUAGAAAAAGAAUGACCCGUGUCCUUUUUGAGCUGUUUCUAAAUGUCCCUGGUGUGCCUCAUGCUUAACACGUGCCUUUCCAAAUAAUUUUGCUUAACCUGUGCUUGUCUACUUCUUGUGCUAUUCUGUGCCUGGUCCUGAGCUGUAUUGGUAGAUUGACAUCCAGCUUGAACUUUUAGGUAUAUCUUUUGUACAUAAAUUCUGAAUACCCAUGGACUUAGCGUGAUAUAAAGUCAAGGAUCCAUUUAGCUGAGUCCUUCAAGUUUUGUUAGUAUGUCUUCGGAUUAUAAAUAUGUAACAAAAUGAGGUGUAGAAUACAUUUAAAAAGAAAAGGAUAAAAAAACAAAAGAAAUGAAAAGAGGUGUUUAGAAGUAAUAGCUAAACUAGAUACACUCUCACUAAUUAGCGAUUCUGAUGAACAGUGCCCAUAGCUUCUUUUAUACCUUGAAGUUGCAGAAAUUGAUUCUUGGUGAAUUAAGUCACUUACAGACAUAACUUUUUCUUCCAUCUAAUUUUUAUUAGGUUAGAUAGGAGAAGACUUGUUUCAGGGUGUCCUGACCCUAGUAUUAGUUUUCUUGUCAGAUUUUUCAUGAAAAUUUACAAUGCACGUGACAUACAACUUCUAGUAAUCCUAGGACUUUGUUCACAGGGUGCUUCUAUUCCUCGUUGUGGAAAUGGGACAAACCUUUUGAUACCUUUACCAGGAUCAGUUAGUGCUGAGGAUAUGGCUAUUACUGGAGCUGGUGCACGACUUCAUGAUCAAGAUGCACCAACCCUUCCACUGUUGUAUGAUUUUGAAGAAUUAGAGGGAGAAUUGGAUUUUCUUACUCGUUUUGUGGCAGUUACCUUUUAUCCUGCUAUUUCUGGAACAAGUUCCAUGACUCUUGGUGAGGUAGAAAAUAUUUUCAUAAAAUGUUAAUUGAUUUAUCUACGCACUUUAUUCUUAAAUUAGUAUUUUAGACCAUGAGCUUUGUGGAGUGGGUUUGCUGUAACUGCUGCUGGUGACAACAUAAUUGUUAAUAUUAUUACAGAUAGAGAUUCUUGGAGUUUCUCUUCCAUGGAGGGGGGUAUUCAAUAAUGAAGGCCCUGGUGCUAGAUUAAUUGAGCUUGGCAAAAAGUUUCAGAAGGAAACCGAUCCAUUUUUGUCAAAUUCAGUUACAAAUACGGUUCUGUUUUCCAAUGAAAAUGUGUCAACAUCAAUGCAAACAGAAGCUGCUUCCAAUCCUUGGGUUGACCUGUUGUCUGGAGGGGACACAUUUUCUGAUCCUCUUUCAGAGCCGUUUUCUAACCCUCUUUCUGAGCCGUUCUCUGAUCCUCUUUCUGAGUCGUUCUCUGAUCCUCUUUCUGAGCCAGUGACAAGAAAUGUUGCAUCUGGAGGGGCUGAUUUGCUUGAUUUCUUGGACCAGCCUAUAGUUGAAGAUCAUGGUGUGGAAACUUAUAAAAGAUCUUCAACACAGGAUGGCUGUUCUCUGGCUAGUGGUGCCCAGCAGUACAUAAGCUGUCUAAAAUCCCUUGCAGGGCCACGCGAGGUAUAGUACUGCUCUCUUGUGUUUUUUGCAGCUCUACAUCUUAGUAACCUCAUCUUUUUAAUGGAGUAAAUUCUAGAAGUUCAACAAAUUUUGCUUUGCUAAAUGUAUAACUUAUUAAUCAGAGUCCUGUUAUUAUGGUUUGACACUACUGACAUAUUGUGUUGGUAAUUUAUUUGUACGUCCCUUGGUUGAAUUAUUUGCUGUCUCCAUGCCAUUCGAUAUGGUGCUACUUGGUUUUUGAUCAUCCAUGACACUAUAUAUAUAUAUAUGUAAAGGAUGAAUUGAUUGUUUUGGCUUGUAUUCUCACAUUUUAUGAUUGAUCGAUGGAAAGGUCUUCCUGUAUUAAAUUCAACCUCACAAGCAUAAGAUUGACAAAUUCUGGGCAAAUUUUCAGGAAAAGAAACUAGACUUCAUGGAAGCAAUGAAGCUUGAAAUUGAACGUCUGCAGCUGAAUCUUUCUGCAGCUGAAAGGGAUAGAGCUUUAUUGUCAAUUGGAACUGAUCCUGCCUCUAUAAAUCCAAAUGUAUUGCUUGAUGAAUCUUACAUGGGAAGACUGUGUCGAGUAGCAAACACUCUUGCAUUACUUGGCCAAGCUUCCCUAGAAGACAAAAUUGUUGGUGCAAUUGGCCUUGAGAAUAGUGAUGAUAGUGUUUUAGACUUCUGGAAUAUUACUAGAAUCGGAGAGAGUUGUUCUGGUGGUGGGUGCGAGGUUCGUGCCGAAACUAAGGUGCCUGCUCUUGCUUCCUCAACUGCAACAUCUGUUGGAUCUUCACAAUCCCCUUUGUUGUGUUCUCAAUGUGAAAGAAAAGUUUGCAAAGUUUGUUGUGCAGGAAGAGGAGCUCUACUGUUUUCAAAUUAUAAAUCAAGGGAUGUGACCAACUACAAUGGCUUCUCAAGUCAGAGUGGAUCAAGCCAUGGAAGCCAAGUUGAUGUAUCUACCAGUCGUUCACUAACACUGGAUGGCGUUAUCUGUAAACACUGCUGCCAUGAGAUUGUGCUUGAUGCAUUGAUGUUGGACUAUGUUAGGGUCUUGAUUAGCUUGCGAAGAAGUUCCCGUGCAGACAACGCAGCAUACAAUGCUUUGAAUGAGGUUGUUGGAUCCUGCUUAAAGGAUAGUCUUUCUGAGAGGAUUCAGUCUUCCGAUAACGUGCAAGCAGCUGAAGUCCUUCACCAAUUAUGUGGUGGACAGGAAGCACUUGCUGAAUUUCCAUUUGCUAGCUUUUUGCACUCGGUAUGUUCUUGGUUUGUAUUCAGUUCUCAUCAUAUUAUGUUUUCCUUUUAAAUUUCUUUUCUUGAUUAAAAUUUUUAGAAAUAUGUUUUAGCAUUUAUUCUUAUGAUAUAUGCCCAGAACAUUCAUCCCACUUAUCCAUGAGAAUCCUUGUCUGGUUUGAUUUUCAAUUGAGACAUUUUUGGGAACCCUGAGCAGGUUCCAUAUGCUAAUAAUCUUUGAGGUAAGGUGUUGUAGGAUGCCUUGAGAAGCUAAAAACCUAUUACAAGUAAAAGCUCUUGCAUUGUUUUGUGCAAUCUGUGUGCGAGCAAGUCAUGUCUCUAAUAAUUUCAUAGUUUGCUUGAUUGGAAUUUUUUAUCUUGAUAUGGAUUGUUUAUUCUAGAUUCCUUGGUGCCACUGUAGGUUGAAACAGCAAAAGAUUCAGCACCGAUUUUGUCACUGCUUGCUCCAUUAAAUUCUGGAUCAAGGCACUCAUAUUGGAGAGCUCCACCUAGUAUUACUUCUGUUGAAUUUGUUAUUGUUCUCGGUUCUGUUUCUGAUGUCAGUGGGGUUAUCUUGCUUGUUAGUCCUUGCGGCUAUUCUGUGGCUGACACUCCGAUGGUAAGUGCCAUAUUUAUUCCCUUAUUUCCUUGUUGUUCAAUAAAUUUGGUGAUAAGCCAAGUGGCCUUAAUAAUGAAGCCCAGUACCAGGGGUGGUGGGUAAUAGAUAUUCAACUUGUGAAUAUUCCUAAGCAAACACUGAAUCAACAUAUACCUCGGCAAAAGUUCUCUAUGCUAUGAUAAUGGAAGUCAUAUUUUGAAAUGAUUAAAAGAGUCCCUGUGUAGUGCCAUUUCCAACGAAAUUGCAGCUGGGGGUUUAGUUUCAUGUAGGUUAGUUUCCGAUAAUAAACUUUCCAUUUCAUUAAUUGCUGAUGAAAAAACCAAGUAAGAACAGUUUUGUUGCUCAUCAUUUUUGUAUAUUUUGGUAAACUGUAAUUUUAAAUUCUCAACGAUCUUCCCUUUGUAGGUAAGAAGAUGGUCCACUCACUUGAUAUUUAUGAUUGUAGAUCAGGUUUCUAUUGGUUUGCCUUUAUCAUUUGGAACCCAUGUUUGAUAUUAACAGAGAUCACAUCAAUAAUAUCCUAUUUGGGUAGAUGUGGGUGAGGAUUUAAAAUCAAAUUUGAAAUUGAGGGGAAAGAAGAGAAAAGGAACCACAAUAAUUAAACAAAAUAAUAGGAACUAUUCUGAUGAGUUUUAAUCUCGAGAGGAACAAUUUUCAAAUGCACUGCUAGAGAAAUUGUAGCUUUUUGUCAUUAGUUAAAAGGAAAAAGAAUAAGAACUAUCCGGCCCUUUCCUUCAUGAAUGUGUGUUGAGGUUGCUGUAUUAUUUAGUCAGUAUUUGUAAUUUUCUUCCCUGCAGUGCUCUCUGCCUCCUGAAUUUGCUUCCUAUUGCUGUUACAGGUGCAAAUCUGGGCAAGCAAUAAGAUACACCGGGAGGAAAGGUCAUCAAUGGGAAAAUGGGAUGUCCAAUCCCUCACCACAUCUUCUUCAGAUUUGUAUGGUCCAGAAAAGUCUGCUAGUGUUGAAAAAUUACCUAGGCAUGUAAAAUUUACGUUUAAGAAUCCUGUUAGGUGCCGCAUUAUUUGGAUCACAUUACGUCUUCAGAGACCUGGUUCGGCUUCAGUUAAUUUCGGGAAGGACCUCAGUCUUUUGUCUCUUGAUGAAGAUGAAAACCCCUUUGCACAAGUAGACAGACGUGCUUCAUUUGGAGGAGCAGUUGAAAAUGAACCAUGUAUUCAUGCCAAAAGAAUUCUUGUAGUCGGAAGCCCAGUAAAAAGGGAGGGGCUUACCACAUCACAGAGCUCUGAGCAGCUAAGUAUUAGAAACUGGUUGGAUAGAGCUCCACAAAUGAGUAGAUUCAAGGUAUUAGUUGCUUUCACUCUUUGUUCAUUCAUAAUUCCAGCUUUCUGCUUCACUGAUAAACCUCUUUUUUCUCUUCAGGUCCCAAUUGAGGCCGAGAGAUUGAUGGACUACGAUCUCGUCUUGGAACAGUAUCUACCUCCAGUGUCACCUUCACUUGCUGGAUUCCGUCUAGACGCUUUCAGUGCAAUAAAACCUAGGGUUACCCAUUCACCUUCCUCAGAUUCAGAUAUCUGGGACAAAUCAGUAACAUUUUUAGAAGAUAGGUACAUCUCUCAAGCUGUGUUGUAUUUACAAGUAUCCGCACUCCAGGAACCACAUAACAUGGUAACUAUUGCGGAAUAUCGACUGCCGGAGGCUAGAGCCGGAACGCCAAUGUACUUUGAUUUCCCACGACCGAUACAGUCCCGACGAGUUUCAUUCAAGCUUCUUGGAGAUGUUACAGCAUUUGCAGAUGAACCUUCAGAACAAGAUGAUUCAGGAUUGAGAGCUCUACUUGUGGCCACAGGUUUGUCUUUGUCAAACAGAAUCAAGUUAUAUUAUUAUUGUGAUCCUUAUGAGCUCGGAAAAUGGGCAAGCCUUUCUGGAGUUUGAUCAUUAUUUAUAUGUCAGAGAAAGAGUUUUGGGUUUGAUUUUGAUUUUGAUUUGCAUUUUUUGUCAGUUUAUUGAAAUUUUUUCGUGGUAUAAAAUCAGAAUGUAAAGGUAUAAAAAUUCAUUGAUGCUGCAAUGUCUGCUUUUGAGAAAGAAGAAUUCAACGUCUUUUCUAUGCCAUUGUAUUUUCCACUGCUUGUAAACUUGGGCUGUCGAAUGCUCUGUGAACCUUAAGGGCUAAAGUAAUUUUCAAGACUGAAGGAUUUAUUAAUCGAGUUCAAAAGAUUGCAAGUUGGUGAGCGUUGGCAUUUAAAAAUCAAUUGUUAUUCUCUCAAUAAUCUCUCUCUUCUGCCGACACCCCAAGCUCAGAAACCCGUUGUUCCGACGGACGUGUAACACUUCUAGAAAUUAGCAUUUUCUUCUACAUGAAGGUUGGUCUCUCCUCGUGAAGUGUUUUCUUUUUUGAGUGAAGGUGGUUUUCUACUUACAUAUGUCGAGGGUCUUACGAUAUCUAAUGUGUGAAAUUUCUCUCUCAUUUUACCAUAAAGAAAAUGUUUGUAAUGAUCUGAAGCUUGAGUCUUAAAUUAUCUUAAAUUUAUAUUUAGGGUGGAGCUAUUGGCAUCCCUACAUUAUUCUUACAAAAUUCCACUUUAAAUAAAAUUACAAUUAAGAACAAUUAAAAAUUAAACACUUAUAAUUUUUUGUACAGCAAAUUACUUAAUUUAUAAUCAAUUCUUUUAAAAUAUAUAUAUAUAUUUGUUACUUCUUAUCUAACUAAAAUAAAUUGUACAAAUUUAGAAUAAUCUAUUGUUCUUUUUUGAUUUCUUAUUGAUUUAAUAUUUUUAUACUUAAAAUUACUUUGAAAUUAUAAUUUGAAAUAUGUGUUAUUUUAGCCAAUAAUUAACACUUAAAAACUUAUCACCCAUAUAACUUUUUAAUUUGUGUGUAGGGUAAUAAUAAAAUUGAAAAUAAUUAAAAAUAGCACAAUAAUGAGUUUUAACAAUAAAACAAAUCAAAUGAAUAUUUAAAAUUUUAAAAAGUAUAUCUAGAAAAAGAGGUAUUUUCGGAAAUAGUUUGCAUAUAACUAAAAAAAAGUUUUAUGAGGAGAUCAGAUGGGUGCCAAUAGUCCACCUCGUAAUUAAGAAUCUCCCAUUAUAUUGUGAACCAAAAAGACACUUGCAUAAGAAGAAGAAUUUUUCUGUUUGAUUUUAUUUGUGGAUCCAACAUUUCUCAUAUCUUGAGCGCCUUUCCGUAUCAAAUUAAAAUAGUAGUAGCAAAAUUGUAGUGCACAUUCAAUUAAUCAACUAAUAGUCUAAGAAGCAAAGAGAGGAUUACAAGUUCACAACACCAUUACAAAGGAUUCAAAAUUCCCACACGAAAACAUCAAUGUACAGAUAUAAACAAUCCUAAUUGGACACAAGAAAAACCCUUAAAUGGAUUGCUUGCCUUCCCAAUGCUACAUACCCUGCAAACUGCUUACUGGCCAAGAAAAUGUUUUCAAUUUAGUGUAUUUUCAAAAUGCUUAUUUUCUCAUAAUAUUAAAAAAAUAAAAUAAAAAAGAAUUCUUACAUGUUUCAUCAGCAUGAUUAAAAUCAAAGAAGAAAGAGAGACAUAAUGUCUCUGACAUAAUAAAAUUAUAAAAAUUUCAAGAAAAAAAAAGGUUAAAACAUGUAAGGUGGAUGAUUGAAAACAAUUGUAUGAUGGUAACCAUCAUCUUAAACAAAUAAAAUAAGGUAUGUUCAAAAGUAAUAAGGAAUACAUAGACAAAACAUCAUCUUAAACAAAUCAUAAUCUAGAAUUGGAGCAUUUUCGACAUACCUAAGGAGAAAGAAUACGUGAAAAUAGGUGAUUCAUUUGUUAAGGAGUGUUGAUUUGGUCGUCUCUGCAAAUUCUUUAGGGACUCGGUUCCAGUUCCUCUUCAUCAAAACUGUAAUAUAAUUCCCCUUCAUCAGAACUCGAAUCAAAUUCACUUGCAGCAGUUCCACUCGCGCUUGGCAAAUCAUCCAAUUUCCAAACUUCGGUACCAAAAUUGAGAGUAAAAGUGUUGGCUUUGAUCUCGCUGCGAUUUGCAUAUACCGGACAUACUCCGUAACGUUUUAUCUUGUGACCCUUUUGGUUUCGGUAACACUCAUUGAAGAACUUAAGUGAGACAGUUGUAUGAUGGUAACCAUCAGGAAAGCCAACAUUCAAGCAAGGUUUAAAACAAAGUAUGACAUGAUCUGAAUCAAGGGAGUAUUUAGAAUAGGUAGAAAAACCCAGAUCAACAUAUUUGGUUUCAGAGAGAGUCUUUAUUUCUAAGUCGGAUUGAAAGAUGACGUACCAAUCGCACUUGCAACGAGAACAAACUUUCUUAGAAUCAAGAACAGCACAAAAAGCAAACCCGAUUAAGUUUCCGCAAAAAGAUUGCGGUGGCAGUUGAAUACAUAUCGAAGAUUCUGAACUUUGAUGGCUGAACCAGUCAGGAAUUUCGCUCCCAGGUAAAACAAUUAGGGAUCCCCAGAGUUCAGAAAGUUUCUGUGAAAUGACAUUUAAAAAAAGAAAAUUGUAAAUUGAAAACCAUGAUUUCAGAUAUAACAAAGAGGGACAGAGUAAACAAGAGAGGGAAUUUGAUACCUCGUUGAUUGCCUUUUCAUAGCCCAAUCUCAGUGAUGCAAUUGCCAUAUGCCGAAUUCUUAGUCGUGAAUCUGCCAAAAUCUUGUUGUUUGCUUUUCCAUCAAGUUUCAAGCAGUUAGUAAACUCAAAACAAAUUGCUGCUGACUCCAGAGAUUGAAUAAGGUCAGGAGAGGGUUUCGAUAACUUUUCGAGUACGGAUGCAUCUAGUUCUUGUAGACAUGACGGAAUCUCUGGCAAAGAUUGAAGCCGCUUGCAGUUCCUUGCUUUUAGUGAUUGUAGACACAAUGGAAGUUCUGGUAAUGACCGAAGCAUGUUACAACCCGUCAAGUCAAGAGAUUCAAGACACAAUGGAAGUUCUGGUAAUGACUGAAGCAUCUUACAACGCUCCAAGUGAAGAGACCUCAGCCGCGACAGUUGCUUGAUACUUGCAGGUAAACUCUCAAAGUUAUUUCCACUUAGAUGCAAGCCUGUCAGUGAGGAUAGACAGGCAAUCUCUUGUGGAAUUUCCAUUACAGCACAGUUCCUUAUAUUUAGACGUCCCAAAGAAGAUAAACCUAAUAAUAAUGAUCGAGGCAAUGAUACCAAACCUUUGCAUCUAGAGAACUCAAGAAUUCUAAGUACGUUUGAAUCUGCAACAGAGGAUGGUAGUUGACUAAUAGCUGAUCCAGCUGCACAGAUGUAACGCAAAGAUUUUAAAUUGCCAAUGUUAUCCGGCAACUUAUCAAGUUUAGAGCAAUCUUCUACGAACAAUACUUCAAGUCCCGGUAGAUUUUCAAAUGACGAUGGCAGCUCUGUAAUUGCCGUAUGGCCUAAAUAGAUGCGUUUUAAAUGUUCCAUUUUCUCCAAGAUUUCUGGGAAACGCUCAAGGUUCACGCAGCCAUUAAGAAAAAGAUCAACCAACGAUCUCAAUUUACAAAACCCAGUUGAAAUCAUCUUCAGCCGUUUGCAAUCCCUCAAAUCCAACACUAUAAGAUCAGUUAGGCACUCUAUUGAUGAUGGAACUUCUUCUAUUGCAGACUGGAUUAAGUAUAGCCGUGUAAUUUUCCCAGAAAUCUGUGGAAACUCUACGAGAUUAACACAAUAGGAGAAAUUAAUAGUUACUGGACAAACAAAAUGAAGAUUGGUUGGAAAAGACCUAAGACUUUUGCAGCCCAUAAAAUCCAACCUACUGAGAUACUUGAAAUUCUGGAUAGAUGAGGGAACACAAGCCUUUUCUCCUUCCCAAAGUUGCUCAACUUUACUUAAACGCAAAUUCAGUUGAACGAGGUUCUUUGGCUUGAAAUUUGAUGGCAGUGUCCUUAAUGGAUAUGUGUCCCAAUGAAGAUAUCUCAAUUUUUUAGGAAGAUAAUCUAGACCAUUUGGAAGCUGCACUUUAGAGUAUGAAAGUUGCUCUUCAAUGAUCAUACUUAGAAACCUUUCAAUCCCAUAAAACUUAGGUACAUAAAAUUUGAGCAAUCUCAUACUAGACAUAUUUGUGAAGGUUCCGGGGUCUAAAUUAAUGCCUUUUAUUUUGGACAAAUCCAGAAAUAUGCCUUCAAUUGCAUCGGUCCCCUUAUUAAAAAAAAAACAAAGAAUGAGUAAUCCUAAAACAGAAAAGAAACAUUCGUAAACUUUAUUAACUAAGAGCUCCUUAAACAAAAACAAAUUCUGCAAUCUUUGAUUUUAUUUUUUUAAUAUAUUAAAUAUCUAUAUGCGAGAAAAGAAAAUUUUGGGGGCCAUUGCAAAAUUAAACUAACCGAAAAAAAAAAUUCAAAAUUUCUCUAAUUUACAAACCUGUUAUCUUAAUAUCUAGAAGUUGAGAAGACAAGGCCUAUUUGAUUGGUAUAAGAUUUCAAUUUUUUUUUUUUUUUUUUUUUUUUUUUGUCGAUAGAAUCCAAAAUGUUAGUUCAAAAUUAGGGAAAAAAAUGAAAGUCAUUUUUUUUUCCACUAGCUGUAAUUGUAUCCAAGUCAAAUUGAGAUACAACCCUUUUUGAAAGAAUUUAACCAUCUUACAACCUCCUUAAGGUACAUUUAAGAUAAAAGGAGUGAUUGGAGGCAGAACUAGGUGGGCCAAUCAGUCCAUUUUAUUAGCGACUGUUGCUUAAAAAAAAUUAUACUCUAAAACACACUUACAUUUUUGAAAAAAUAUAUAAUUAUAUUGAAGUAGAACCAGGUGGGCCAACCCUCAUGGCACUCACUUUGUUCUGACACUUUUCACUAAAUUUGAAGAAAAAUAAAAUUAUACUCUUCACACUCUUAUUCAACAUUCCAAAUUUGAUAAAAUCGGGAGUUUUCUUUAAAAAUUUAAAAUUUGAAGACUUGUUCUCUUGACACCCUCAGUCAUUAAUUUUACCUAAUUAUGGGUUUUAUGAUUUUGGUUGUUUUGUUCAUAAAAAUGCUUUUACUAAAGGAUGUUCUGGUAAUAAUAAAAUUUAUAAAAAAAACAUGGGUGUGCUGGUAUGGUUGGAAAAAUAUGAGUGCAUAACUCCAAACAAAUAAAAGAUAUAUAUAAAAAAAAAUGGAGGAUUCUUACCUUAUUAUGCUUGAGUACGCGGCGGAUUUCCUUAGGAUCCCACAACCUGCUGCGUUUGCCUGGCUCUUUCUCAGAUUCUUGGCGAACAAUCCGUCGCCCCAUUUCUUGCAAUAAAAUCAUGCAUUUGCAAGCAAUUCCCUGAUACUGAUAUGAGUGACUUAUCAAUAAGGACAUUCACGUCAUUCAGUCCAUAAGACUUAGAAUCAUCAAGUAUCCUUAUCACAAAAUCUUUAUCCUCUCCCUCAAAGAAACAAGCAAUAUCUAGAAAUACACUCUUGACAUUGGGCGUUAAUUCAUUAAAACUAAUCUUUAAUAUAUCAUACAUAUUAUGAAUAUCAGAUUCACAAAUCCGAUUUAAGUCGUCCAAUACGUUUCCCCAAUGGCUUUUCCUCUUGAGGGAGGAACCCAACACUUUAAGAACUAAUGGAUUGCCAUCAGCAUACUUUACAACUCUCCGUGACUCACGUUUGAAAUCUUCAGGACAAUGCUUUUCUUUAAAAGCGAAGUUACAAAAAUGCUCGAAAGCCUCAUCAAAUUUCAAUCCAUUAACCCUAUAUAUUUUCUCCACUGGAAACGUCUCGAGGACAUGUUUAUUCCUAGUGGUGAUGACAAUUCUACUUCCUGGACCAUACUGAUCAAGCCCUCCAAUCAAACCCUCUAAUUGUCCAUCUUUACUCACAUCAUCAAGCACAAUCAACACCUUCAUGCGUCGGACCCUCUCUUUAGUAAAUUGUGGAAUAUUGGGACCAUCUACUUUAAGUUUUUCUCUUAAUAUCCUUGAAAGAAUUUGCUUUUGUAGAUCUUCUAAUCCAUCCCCUCGUUCUAUAUUUCUCCUAACAUCUGACAUAAAGCACCUACCUUCAAACUCUCUGGAGAAUUGAUUGAAAAUAGCUGUGGCAAGGGUGGUUUUGCCUAUACCACCCAUGCCCCAAAUUCCAACAAUUUGGACAGUAUCCCACAAAUCCAUGCACAGAAAUGGUUUAAUCUGCUCAAUUCGUGAAUUUAAUCCAACUAGGCCAUUGGAUGAGUCCGUUGAGACUGUUAUUUUUUCCAUCUUCUUCAAAACAUCUUCGACAAUUUUGCUUACAAGUUGCGCAUCAUGCCUAAUAUGAAGGUGCAAAGAUGCAAAAACAUUGAGUCAAAUCGGGCCAACACAGAAACAGAGAUAAGAUGAAUUAGGAAAGAGAGUUACCUGAAUUUCGUGGAUUCGUGGCCAGCUAGAUGGGAUGUUUCUUUCAGUGCAUCCCUCCACUUCUGAACCAUUUCUGGCUUCUCUUUGAACUGUUGUUCGAGCUUAUCAAAACCGUGCCCAAAAAUUCCAGCUUGAUGCCGAACAUCGGACGGACUUACGCUAUAGAAAACUGGAAUAACGAUUUGGCCGUUUGUGUGCUUGCAUUCAAGAAUCUUGACAAGUUCAUUCAGGCACCAUUUUGAAGAAGCGUAGUCCUUUGAGAAAAUGACGACCGAAAUUUUCGAACCUUCGAUUGCGUUCAAAAGAGCAGGUGAAAUCUCAUCUCCUCGCCUAAGCUCUUCAUCAUCAAUAAACGUUUUGAUUUUCGUUCUUUCAUUCAAAUUAUAAUAGAGAUGGCAUGUAAAGCUCACGCGAGUGUCCUCUCCUCUGAAACUGAGGAAUACAUCAUAAUUGCAACAAGAAGAAGAGGAAGCCAUGAAGGAAAUUUUAGAAAUUUGGUGACAGAAACAGAGAAUUAAUCUUGAGAGUUGAGAGGGGAUAUGUAAGAAUGAAAAUGCGUAAAUAGUAAAUGAUUGAAUUAAUCUGGCGAGUAAAUAGUAAAUAAUUGAAUGGCCGGAGCUUUCUUAGUUUCCUGGAAAUUUCCUGGAGCUUUCGUAUACAUGAUUUGUCAAGUCAAGAAACAUAAUCAUGAUAAUGGGGCAGACCAGGAAGGAAAGAAAAUUUGAUCCAACCAAUAAAGGAAGGAAAAGUAAAGAAAGAAAAUUUGAAAGUAGAUUCAGAGAAUUAUAAAAAGCUAAAGGAUAUUGGAAUUUUGUACAAUUUCUCUAUUACAGUUUGGAUUAAGAUUUGAGCAAGCGGCCAAAACUACAUUGCGUCAGGGCUUUGGUGCCACACUCGUUUGUCUGUUAGUAGCAUUGGAUUUGAUCUGACGGCUGCAGAAGAGACACAAACAUAAAGAGGAGUAACCUGAGGAAAAGGUAAUAAGCCGGUUACCUGCAGAAAAUAAGUGCAUGAUAAAAUAACACAAGUAAUGAACACAAUGGAAGCGUAUAUGCAAGUAAUGGUUGGAAACAACUUGCUGGAAGCGUGCAAGUAUUGGUUGGGCACAGACCGACAUUAAAUUUCGCAAAUAGUGUCUGAAACAUUUGCAAAUACUUAAUUCAAAACGUCAAUAAAUGCUGGAAAAAAUACAUAUUUUUUUAUUUUUUAUUAAGAAUACAUUUAAAAAAAGAAUAAUUAUUAAUGGUACAUAUUUGUAACAAUUAUACCAAAAACAAUUAUCCAUAUAUUUAAAAAAAAUGUUAACAAUACAUAUUUUUUAGAAGUAUACAUAUUAUAUCAUAAAAAAAUUGAGUUGGAGCUUCGACAAGUAGAUCUUAAAAAACUAAGGUUGAAUUUUGGAGGAGCAGAUUCGGUCGUGGAGUAACAUUUGUUUAUUAUUAUUAAUUUAUUUUGGUAGUCCUAGUGAAACAUCGUUGUUUCACAUAGAUGAUGUCGCAGUUUGAUAGACGGGAUGACAUGUGAUUUUUUAUCAAAUAUAUCGGGCCACAUGGCAUUUUUGACUAGGUGAAUGGAGUGACAUGUUAAUUUUUUUUUUUUUUAAUCAAAGGUUCUUCUAUCUUAGAAGACUAGAUUAGCCUUAUGAUGUCAAGACUUGGAAACGACAACUAACUGACUAGUGGAUAGCAGACACAUGUUGUCAACUUAGGGUAUACAAGGAUACAUGUUAAAAGUAUUGUAGUAUAUGUGAUACAAGUGUCAUGGAAGGCUAUAUGAGUGAUAAUUACUCAUUAAACUAUAAGUUGCAAUAAUUUAACACAACAAGUGCCAAUUAAAAUGUAAUAAUUUAAAAAAAAUUAGGUAUUCUCCGUCUGUCUCCCUCUCAAUCAAUGUGUCCUACUUUGAAUGUUAAUAUUUAUUAUCAAACAUAAAAAAAUUCUAAAAUAUUAAAAAAAAAAAACAGAGUCUUCUAGGCACAUAAAUUAGAGUAGUUUCGUGAACAAAGAACUUGAGAAAGAUAAUGGUGGCACUCUCUUAGAAGGAAUCUAUGGGGUUAAUGUUUUCUUCCCUAUGUCUAUUUUAUGUAUCUUAGUUUCAAAAACAAGAUGUACACAAUUAGGGGUUGGUUAAUGCAGUUAAAACGGUGGAAAAAGGCUUAUAGAAAUAAAAUAUAAUUGUAAUGCAGUGUUUGGUAUGAAUAAGUAAACUAAAAAUAAGACAAUUGGGUAUACGAAUUUAUAAUGCGAUAAUAAUAUUUUUUCCCUAAGACGACCCGUAGGGUAAGAUUAUAGACUAAAUUGUUGUGUUAUGUUAAUGAUACGAUAUAAAAGUGUUGUUUUAGAAGCUGUAAAAGUUAGUUAAUGUGAAAUUUGUUUUUAAAGGUAAUUGUCUUGUAACCCCUUGUUUUUAAGGGUAAGAUUAUAGACGCAAUUUGUUUGUUUUGAAAAAAAGUCCCUUAUGUUGAGCUGGACUUUUUUUCGUCUUCACAAGUCCCUUUUGCCGAGCUGGAAUUUUUCUGACAGAGUCUCCGUUUGUUCCCAUAAUAGCGGCGAGAAUCUGGCCGAGCCUCGAUGAUAGCUCGUUGCUACGACACGUGACUGUGUCCAUUGAGUCUCUAUUCGAAAUCCAAAUGUCGACGACAACGGCCGCCUCCACUAACGGUUCUCAAAUCACGCCGUGCGUUGAUGACGUGGCGGUGGCAAUUAACAACAAUAACUUCAACUCGAAGGAGAGAUUCAACGACCGUGAUUUUUUGUUGAAGCAGUCGUAUUCGUUUGGAUUCGAGCGGAGUCUUGCAUCGAAGAGGAUGGUGAUGGAGGCGGUAAUGGCGUUGCCGUGGAAGUACAAGAGGGGGAGUUACUGGAGCAAACAGUCGUCUCCGUUUGGCUCAUUGACGAAGUCUAGAGUCUUCUGGAGCAAAGGAUUAUAUACUUAUCCUCUUUGUUUUCCUUUUACUGAUACUGUAGCUUUAGCCGAUUACCCAUUUUCCAAGUGUUAAACAUGAGCCGUUGUUACCUUUCUUUACUAUCUAAAUGGUCAUUCGCAAAAGGACAAAUGACUAGGGUAUCAAACCCCUUACGCAAUGUAGCUGGACCCUUAGCAAAGCAUUCACCUAAAUCUUACCUCCGCUGUAAAUUCUUAAGUUUUGAAAAUUAUGAGACCUUUAUAUUGGGAGAUAUUAUAAUCAAAUGAAAAGUUAAAAUUUUAAUAUUGUUAAUAAAUGACAAAGCCAUUUCAUUUCUCUUUUACAUGUUAUUAAUUUUUGUAACACGGGGUGGCAACAUAAGCAUAAUCAAGUAAAGCAAAAGGGUUUCAAAUUAUGGUGGUAAAACGUGAAGAAGGAUGCCAACUGAAUAAUUCCUUCCACAAAACGAAAAAUAAUCACAGAAAAAGGAAUCUCUUAUAAAAUGUUUGCGUAUUUUUUAUAAGGUUUGAAACUUUAGGUGGUCGGUAAAUGAUUUCUUAAUUGAAUAAUAUAUAAAAAAGCUAAUUAUUUAUAAUUUUAAAUAAUCUGAAUUUGUAUGUUAGAAAUUUCAUCUCUUUUAUUUUUGAGAAUUUUUCAUAAAGAAUAGAGAACAUAAUGUUAACAUUUAAAGUAACACAUCUCAAUCGUCGAAAUUAUUUUUCUAUUAAAUCCAACGAUAACGAAUUAAUGUCAGAAAAGGACAAAAUUAGUGGUGGCUUGCAAUAAUUGCAAGGUAGCUUUUGUAAAGACAGAAAUGUGAUGGAUUCAAAAAGAAAUUGAAGUGAUAAUGUACGUGGAUCCUUAAAAUAAAAAGCCGAAUCGCUUGGUGGCCCAGUAAAAUUACGAUUUGAAUUUUUUUUUUUUUUUUUUUUACACAAUGUGUCAAGCACAUAAAUGACGAAAGCCAUUUCAUUUCCCUUUCACACGUCAUUAACUUUUGUAACACGGUGUGUUCAUCGUCAAGUGAGGCAAAAGGGUUUCCAUUACAGUGGGAAAACAUGAACAAGAAUGCAUAAUGAAUAAUUCCUUCGAUAAAGCGAAAAUUAAACAUAAAAUAAUCCUAAAAUUUAAACUCUAAUAUCCUUCGAUAAUGUAUUGAUUAAAAAUAAUCCUAAGAGUUUCCAAUUGAAACUUCCGUAAGUAUUUUUAUUGUUUUGGAUAAACAAAUUGCACUAGGAUAAAAAUUUGGUAAAUUCAGAGGAUAAUAGAAAAUAGCUAUGGUUCAAUAGGCCAAAGAUUAGAGAACAAACAAGAAUUAGUUAUUGAUAUACAAAAGAGAAACACUCCAAAAUUUCAAGCAAAAAUAGUUUCAUAUACCAUUUCGAUUUUGGAAGGGGUGAGGUUUUGAAAUUCAAUAGUUUCCUCUAAAAUCAAAAGGCAGCAAUUAAGUUAGAAAGAGCAAAGAAGACUUAUUGGUACCUUAUUGAAGCUGAACAUUAUGGAACUUUCAAUGUCAUUACCUCACUGUUCAAUUUUUAUUGAGAUUUGUGCAAGCAUUUACCUAAAUUUUACCUCCGCCUGUAAAUUCAUAAGUUUUGAAAAUUUUGAGACGUUAUAUUGGGAGAUAUUAUAAUCGAACUAAAACUUAAAAUUUCAAUAUUAUUAUUCUUUGAAAAAAAAAUGAGAUAUCAGAGUAAUAUCACAUAGAAUGGUAAGCCAAAAGUCUAAUCAACCACAUGCAUAAAGCUAACUAGAACAAGUGAACAGAGAAACGCGUGGGUCCCUAAAAGAAAAGGCAAGCACAUAAAGAAAACGGAAAACAAACGCCAGAGAAAAGAAUUUCUUAUAUGCCUUGAUAUUGAUUAAUAUUCAGCGAUAGCUUAAUGCUUACCAUCAAGCAACUUUGAAAGCAGGAAGCUAUAUAUGACAAGAAAUCAAAGUAAUGUGAAGGAACAUGAUGAUGAAAUUGCAGGCCAGCACAAAAACACCCAUACCCCUGAUUUGUUUAAAUGUACACGAAGACCUUAAGGUUUGGUAAAAGAAAAUUGAAUUUAUAUUGUAUUAUAAUACAAUUUUUUUUAAACCAUCAAUGAUAAAAUCUUCUUACUUUUUUCCAUCCUUUGGAUCAAUAAGUACAAAUUUCUCAUCUAAAUCUUCAUACUUUUUACAAAUGACUUUUGUGCCAUAGAUUUUUUUUUUCUUUUUUUGGUUUUGCCGAAAAAACAAAACAAAUUCAUAAACAACAUUGUAUUUCACCAAUUAACAGUGCAAGUGUCAUUAUAGUUUCCACAUUUUAGUUCUGUUUUUUUUAGUUUCAUUUUCUUUCUGUUAUGUAACUGAUGUUUCAUUGCUAUAAAAUUAAUUGUCUGUUUCUCUUCACAACUGUUAUUUUGAAUGAUUUUUUCUGAAUUUUAUAAACAAUUUGUAUAUGACAGGAAAUGAAGCAGAGUGCGAGCAACUUGUAUGGAUUCCUAAAAGGUCUGGUCAGAGUGUUCCUUUCAAUGCAUACAUCUGGCGGCGAGGGACUAUUCCAAUAUGGUGGGGUGCAGAAUUAAAGCUUACUGCUGCUGAAGCAGAAAUUUAUGUUGCAGAUCGGGAUCCUUAUAAAGGAAGUCUGCAGUAUUAUCAGAGGUUGAGUAAUCGAUAUGAUGCUCGAAACUUUGACUUAGCUGUUGGGGAAAAUCAGAAGAAAAAGCCUUUUAUUCCAAUUGUAUGCAUUAACUUGCUUAGGAAUGCGGAAGGGAAAUCAGAAUCUAUUUUAGUUCAGCAUUUUGAGGAAUCUUUGAACUAUGUCAGAUCAACUGGAAAACUUCCUUAUACUCGAAUUAUUUUAAUAAAUUAUGACUGGCAUGCCAGUACAAAAUUAAAAGGUGAACAACUUACAAUUGAAGGAUUAUGGAAGCAUCUAAAAGCACCCACUCAGGCCGUAGGCAUUUCUGAAGGGGACUAUUUGCCAUCACGGCAACGACUUAAUGAUUGCCGAGGUGAAGUCAUCUGCAAUGAUGACUUUGUGGGUGCCUUUUGCUUAAGAUCCCAUCAGAAUGGAGUGAUACGCUUUAACUGUGCAGACUCUCUUGAUCGGACCAAUGCUGCUAGUUAUUUUGGUGCUCUGCAAGUAUUUGUGGAGCAAUGUAGGCGGCUUGGGGUCUCCCUUGACAGUGAUUUUGCAUAUGGCUAUCAGUCAGCUAAUAACUAUGGUGGAUAUACUGCUCCUUUGCCACGAGGAUGGGAGAAACGAGCUGAUGCAGUGACAGGAAAAACAUAUUAUAUCGAUCACAACACUAGGACCACAACAUGGAUUCAUCCAUGCCCAGACAAACCUUGGAAGAGAUUUGAUAUGACAUUUGAGGAGUUCAAGCAUUCAACAAUUUUAUCACCAGUGUCUCAGCUAGCAGAUCUUUUUCUGCUUUCUGGUGAUAUCCAUGCAACCCUUUAUACUGGUUCAAAAGCAAUGCAUAGCCAAAUUCUUAAUAUAUUCAAUGAAGAACCAGGAAAGUUCAAACAAUUUUCUGCAGCACAAAAUAUGAAAAUUACUCUGCAGAGAAGAUACAAAAAUGCAGUUGUCGAUAGCUCUCGUCAGAAACAGCUGGAGAUGUUUCUUGGAUUUAGGCUGUUCAGUUCAUUUUUUUGUGGUAGAAAUGUCGUCAUUUUAAAUUUAGUGUAUUUUCAAAAAGCUUAUUUUCUCAGAAUAUAAAAAAUAAAAAAAUAAAAAAAGAAUUCUUACAUGUUUCAUCAGCAUGAUUAAAAUCGAAGAAGAAAGCGAGACAUAAUGUCUCUGACAUAAUAAAAUUACAAAAAUUUCAAGGAAAAAAAAGAAGUUAAAACAUGUAAUCUUCAGAAGCAUAUAAUAAAAGAGCACUUCCACAAAUUACUACAAUUUCAUGCAGUAGAGAUUGAAGAGUUGAAUUCCACUUAUAGACACCGACCUCUUGUUUUGUCUAAUGUUAAAAUUACAACCUCUUGCUUUGACUUAUUAGCAGGUUUCAAAAGUAAUAAGGAAUACAUAGAUAAAACAUCAUCUUAAACAAAUCACAAUCUAGAAUUAGAGCAUUUUCGACAUACCUAAGGACCACGAAUACGUGAAAACGGGUGACUCAUUUGUUAAGAAGUGUUGAUUUGAUCGGCUCUGCAAAUUCUCUUGGGACUCGGUUCCAAUUCCUCUUCAUCCGAAGUUCCACUCGCGCUUGGAAAAUCAUCCAAUUUCCAAACUUCGGUAGCAAAAUUGAGAGUAAAAGUGUUGGCUUUGAUCUCGCUGGGAUUUGCAUAUACUGGACAUACUCCGUAACGUUUUAUCUUGCAAUCCUUUUGGCUUCGGUAACACUUAUUGAAGAACUUAAGUGAGACAGUUGUAUGAUGGUAACCAUCGGGAAAGCCAACAUUCAAGCAAGGUUUAAAACCAAGUAUGACAUGAUCGGAAUCAAGGGAGUAUCUAGUGGGCAAAUCGAAACCCAGAUCAACAUGUUUGGUUUCAGAGAGAGUCUUUAUUUCUAAGUCGAAUUGACGGUAGAAGUAAAAAUCACACAUACAACGAGAAUAAACUUUCUUAAAAUCAAGAACAGCACAAAAAGCAAACCCGAUUAAGUUUCUGAAAAAAGAGUGCGGUGGCAGUUGAAUAUAUAUCGAAGAUCCUGAACUUUGAUUGCUGAACCAGUCAGGAAUUUCGCCCCCAGGUAAAACAAUUAGGGAUCCCCUGAGUUCUGAAAGUUUCUGUGAAAUGACAUUUAAAAAAAGAAAAUUGUAAAAUGAAAACCAUGAUUUCAGAUAGGGAUAUUAUCAUUUUUCCACCAAAGGUAUUCUGACACAUCAUGUCAGUACCACGGUUUGGUAAAACUAUCAAUUUACCACCAAACGUUUAAACUGUUAGGAUUUUCCCACUAUUCCGUUAAAACUCAGUUAAUAUGUAACGGAAAAUUUCUAAAAAGUCAAUUUUACCCCUGGAGCAUAAAAGACCAUAUAAUUAACUUUUUAUGAAUUUUGUAAUUAAAUCAUCAUUUGUUGUUCUUCCUUCUUAAAGGACAAAAAUUACCCUUUAUAAAUUUUAUAAAAUUGGCCGUGUAGUGCUAGGUACUUCAUAAAUUAAUUUAAUUUUUAAAGGGCAAAUUUAUUUAUUAAAUUGAUGAGCUCAAGACAAUUUAUUCUACUACUAAAAAUCAAUUUAUGAAAGGGAAAAAAAAAAGAAUGUGCAAACGAAGUAAUUUAAUCUUUGAUAUGAUGAUAAUAAUUUUACACAAAAAAUUAAAUAAAUAAAUUUUCCCUUUAAAAAUUAAAUAAAUUAAAUCAAUUUAUGAAGUACCAAAUACCACACGGUCAAUUUUACAAAAUUCAUAAAUGGUAAUUUUUGUCGUUUAAGAAUAAAGAAUAACAAAUGAUGAUUUAAUUACAAAAUUCAUAAAAGGUUAAUUAUAUGGUCUUUUAUGCUCAGGGGUAAAAUUGACCUUUUAGGAAUUUUCCGUUAGAUAUUAACUGAGUUUUAACGGAAUGGUGGGAAAAUGCUAACAGUUUAAACGUUUGGUGGUAAAUUGAUAGUUUUACCAAACCGUGGUACUGACAUGAUGUGUCAGAAUACCUUAGGUGGGAAAAUGAUAAUAUCCCUUUCAGAUAUAACAAAGAGGGACAGAGUAAACAAGAGAGGGAAUUUGAUACCUCGUUGAUUGCCUUUUCAUAGCCCAGUCUCAGUGAUGCAAUUGCCAUAUGCCGAAUUCUUAGUUGUGAAUCUGCCAAAAUCUUGUUGUUUGCUUUUCCAUUCAGUUUCAAGCAGUUAGUAAACCCAAAAUAAAUUGGUUGUGACUCCAGACAUCCCGGUGCCCAUUGACGAAGGUCAGGAGAGGGUUUCGAUAGCUUUUCGAGUACGGAUGCAUCUAGUUCUUGUAGACAUGACGGAAUCUCUGGCAAAGAUUGGAGCCGGUUGCAGUUCCUUGCAUUUAGUGAUUGUAGACACAAUGAAAGUUCUGGUAAUGACCGAAGCAUGUUACAAUCCUCCAAGUUAAGAUAUUUUAGACACAAUGGAAGUUCUGGUAUUGACCGAAGCAUGUUACAACCCGUCAAGGCAAGAGAUUCUAGACACAAUGGAAGUGCUGGUAAUGACUGAAGCAUCUUACAAUCCGUCAAGUCAAGAGAUGUUAGGCACAAUGGAAGUUCUGGUAAUGACUGAAGCAUCUUACAAUUCUUCAAGUCAAGAGAACUCAACUGCGACAGUUGCUUGAUACUUGCAGGUAAACUCUCAAAGUUAUUUCCACUUAGAUGCAAGCCUGUCAGUGAGGAUAGACAGGCAAUCUCUUGUGGAAUUUCCAUUACAGCACAGUCACUUAUAUCUAGAAGUCCCAAAGAAGAUAAACCUAAUAAUAAUGAUCGAGGCAAUGAUGCCAAACCUUUGCAGCUAGAGAAAGAAAGAAUUCCAAGUACGUUUGAAUCUGUAACAGAGGAUGGUAGUUGACUAAUAGCUGAUUUAGCUGCUGAGAUGUAAUACAAAGAUUCUAAAUUGCCAAUGUUAUCCGGCAACUUAUCAAGUUUAGAGCAACCAUUUAUGAACAAUGAUUCAAGCCCCGGUAGAUUUUCAAAUGACGAUGGCAGCUCUGUAAUUGCCGUCCGGUCUAAAUAGAUGCGUUUUAAAUGUUCCAUUUUCUCCAAGAUUUCUGGGAAACGCUCAAGAUUCAAGCAGCCAAGAAGAAUAAGCCGAACCAAAGAUCUCAAUUUACAAAACCUAGUUGAAAUCCUCUUCAGCCGUUUGCAACCCAUCAAAUCCAACACUUCAAGAUCAGUUAGGCACUCUAUUGAUGAUGGAACUUCUUCUAUUGCAGACUGGUCUAAGUAUAGCCGUGUAAUUUUCCCAGAAAUCUGUGGAAACUCUAUGAGAUUAACACAAGAGGAGAAAUUAAUAGUUACUGGACAAACAAAAUGAAGAUUGCUUGGAAAAGACCUAAGACUUUUGCAGCCCUUAAAAGACAACGCACUGAGAAACUUGAAAUUCUGGAUAGAUGAGGGAACACAAGCCUUUUCUCCUUCCCAAGGUUGCUCAACUUUACUAAAACGCAAAUUCAGUUCAACAAGGUUCUUUGGCUUGAAAUUUGAUGGCAGUGUCCUUAAUGGAUAUGUGUCCCAAUGAAGAUAUCUCAAUUUUUUAGGAAGAUAAUAUAGGCCUUUUGGAAGCUGCACUUUAGAGUAUGAAAGUUGCUCUUCAAUACUCAUACUUAGAAGCUUUUCAAUCCCAUAAAACUUAGGUACAUAAAAUUUGAGCAAUCUCAUAUUAGACAUAUUUGUGAAGGCUCCGGGGUCUAAAUUGAUGCCUUUUAUUUUGGACAAAUCCAAAAAUAUGCCUUCAAUUGCAUCAAUCCCCUUAUAUAAAAAAAAAAAAAACAAAGAAUGGGUAAGCUUAAAACUCAAAAGAAACAUUCGUAAACUUUACUAAGAGCUCCUUAAACAAAAACAAAUUCUGCAAUCUUUGAUUUAAUUUUUUUAAUAUAUUAAAUAUCUAUAUGUGAGAAAAGAAAAUUUUGGGGACCAUUGCAAAAUUCAACUAACUGAAAAAAAAAAUUCAAAAUUUCUCUAAUUUACAAACCUGUUAUCUUAAUAUCUAGAAGUUGAGAAGACAGGGCCUAUUUGAUUGGUAUAAGAUUUCGAUUUUUUUUUAGUCCAUAGAAUCCAAAAUGUUAGUUCAAAAUUAGGGAAAAAAGUCAUUUUUUUCCACCAACUGUAAUUGUAUCCAAGUCAAAUUGAGAUACGACCCUUUUCGAAAGGAUUUAACCAUCUUAUAGCCUCCUUAAGGUACAUUUAAGCUAAAAGGAGUGAUUGGAGGCAGUUCUAGGUGGGCCAAUCAGUCCAUUUUAUUAGUGACGUUUGCUUAAAAAAAAAAAUUAUACUCUAAAACACACUUUUUUUUUUUUAAAAAAAUAUAAUUAUAUUGAAGUAAAACCCGGUGGGCCAAUCCUCAUGGCACUCACUUUGUUCCGACACUCUUCACUAAAUUUGAAGAAAAAUAAAAUUAUACUCUUCACACUCUUAAUCAACAUUCCAAAAUUGAUUAAAUCUGGAGUUUUCUUUAAAAAUUUAAAAUUUGAAGAUUUGUUGUCUUGACACCCUCAGUCAUUAAUUUUACCUAAUUAUGGUUUUUAUGAUUUUGAUUGUUUUGUUCAUAAAAAUGCUUUUACUAAAGGAUGUUCUGGUAAUAAUAAAAUUUAUAAAAAACACAUGGGUGUGCUGGUAUGGUUGGAAAAAUAUGAGUGCAUAACUCCAAACAAAUAAAAGAUAUAUAAAAAAAAGAUGGAGGAUUCUUACCUUAUUAUGCUUUAGUACGCGGCGGAUUUCCUUAGGAUCCCACAACCUACUGCGUCUGCCUGGCUCUUCCUCAGAUUCUUGGCGAACAAUCUCUCGACCCAUUUCUUGCAAUAAAUCAUGCAUUUGCAAGCAGUUAUUUGACACUGUUAUGAGUGACUUGUCCACGAGGGCAUCUAGUUUGUGAGACCCAGAAUCAUCAAGUAUCCUCGACACAAAAUCUUUAUCCUCUCCCUCAAGGAAACACGCAAUAUCUAGAAACAUACUCUUCUGCUUGCGUGUUAAUUCAUUAAAACUAAUCUUUAAUAUAUCAUAAAUAUUAUGAAUAUCAGAUUCACAAAUCCGAUUUAAGUCGUUCAAUACAUUUUCCCAACGGCUUUUAUCCUUGAGGGAGGAACCCAACACUUUAAGAACUAAUGGAUUGCCAUCGGCAUACUCUACAACCCUCUGUGAGUGCCAGUUGAGAUCUUCAGCACAAUGCUUUUCUUUAAAAGCGAAGUUACAAAAAUGCUCGAAAGCCUCAUCAAAUUUCAAUCCAUUGACCCUAUAUAUUUUCUCCACUCCAAAUUUUUCGAGGACUCGUUUAUCCCUAGUGGUUACAACAAUUCUACUUCCUGGACCAUAUUGAUCAAGCCCUCCAAUCAAACCCUCUAAUUGUUCAUCUUUAUUCACAUCAUCAAGUGCAAUCAACACCUUCAUGCGUCGGAGCCUCCCUUUAGUAAAUUGUGGAAUGUUGGGACCAUCUACUUCAAGUUUUUCACUUAAUAUUGUCGAAAGCAUUUCCUUUUGUAGCUCUUCUAGGCCACCCCCUGUUUCUGAUUUUCUCCUAACAUUUUUUGCAAAGUAUUUUCCAUCAAACUCACCAGAGAAUUGAUCGAAAAUAGCUUCAGCAAGGGUGGUUUUGCCUAUACCACCCAUGCCCCAAAUUCCAACAAUUUGGACAGUAUCCCACAAAUCCAUGCACAGCAAUGGUUUAAUCUGCUCAAUUCGUGAAUUUAAUCCAACCAGGCCAUUGGAUGAGUCCGUUGAGACUGUUAUUUUUUCCAACUUCUUCAAAACAUCUUCGACAAUUUUGUUUACAAGUUGCGCAUCAUGCCUAAUAUGAAGGUGCAAAGAUGCAAAAACAUUGAGUCAAAUCGGGCCAACACAGAAACAGAGAUAAGAUGAAUUAGGAAAGAGAGUUACCUGAAUUUUGUGGAUUCGUGGCCAGCUAGAUGGGAUGUUUCUUUCAGUGCAUCCCUCCACUUUUGAACCAUUUCUGGUUUCUCUUUGAGCUGCUGUUCUAGCUUGUAAAAACCGUCCCCAAAAACUCCGGUUUGAUGCCGCACAUCAGAUGGACUUACUUCAUAGAAGACUGGAAUAAUAAUUUGGCCGUUUGUGUUCUUGCAUUCAAGAAUCUUGACAAGUUCAUUUAGGCACCAUUUUGAAGAAGCGUAGUCCUUUGAGAAAAUGACCACCGAAAUUUUUGAACCUUCGAUUGCGUUCAAAAGAGCAGGUGAAAUCUCAUCUCCUCGCCUAAGCUCUUCAUCAUCAAUAAACGUUUUGAUUUUCGUUCUUUCAUUCAAAUUAUAAUAGAGAUGGCAUGUAAAGCUCACGCGAGUGUCCUCUCCUCUGAAACUGAGGAAUACAUCAUAAUUGCAACAAGAAGAAGAGGAAGCCAUGAAGGAAAUUUUAGAAAUUUGGUGACAGAAACAGAGAAUUAAUCUUGAGAGUUGAGAGGGGAUAUGUAAGAAUGAAAAUGCGUAAAUAGUAAAUAAUUGAAUUAAUCUGGCGAGUACAUAGUAAAUAAUUGAAUGGCCGGGGCUUUCUUAGUUUCCUGGAAAUUUCCUGGAGCUUUCGUAUACAUGAUUUGUCAAGUCAAGAAACAUAAUCAUGAUAGGAAAUGGGGCAGACCAGGUAGGAAAGAAAAUUUGAUCCAACCAAUAAAGGAAGGAAAAGUAAAGAAAGAAAAUUUGAAAGUAGAUUCAGAGAAUUAUAAAAAGCUAAAGGAAAUUGGAAUUUUGUACCAUUUCUCCAGCCAGGAACUUUCAUUGUCAUUACCUCACUGUUACAGUUUGGAUUAAGAUUUGACUUUUGAGCAAACAUUCGCCAAAAUUUUACCUCUGCCUGUAAAUUCUUAAGUUUUGAAAAUUAUGAGACCUUUAUAUUGGGAUAUAUUAUAAUCGAAUCAAAACAUAAAAUUUUAAUAUUGUUAAUCUUUAAUCUUUUUUUUAAAAAAUUGAACAACAGAGUAAUUUCUAACAUAGAAAAAGUUGUAUAAUUGUCCAAUUAUUUAUAAUUUUAAAUAAUCCGGAUUGGUUUGUUAGAAAAUCAUCUCUUUGAUUUUUGAGAAUUUUUCAUAAAGAAUAGGGAAUAUAAUGUUCAUAUUUAAAGUAAGUAAGUAACACAUCUCAAUUGUUGAAAUUAUUUUUCCAUUAAAUUCAACGAUGACGAAUUAAAGUCAGAAAAUGACAAAAUCAGUGGUGGCUUGCAAUAAUUGCAAGGUCGCUGGACCCUUGCAAAAUGUGUGAAAGUAAAUAAUUGAAUGCACAGAGCUCGCUUUCUUACUUUCGUUCCGGUUUCCUGGAAAUUUCUUGGAGCUUUCAUAUACAGGAUUUGCCAUGUUAAGAAACAGGGUCAUGAUAAUGGGGCAAACAUUUGAUUGAACCAAUAAAGGAAGGGAAAGCAAAGUAAGGAAAAUUUGAAAUUAUAAGAAGCUAAAGAAACAUCCAACGUCAUUACCUCACUGUUACAAUUUUUAUUGAGAUUUGAGCAAGCACUUACCUAAACAUUACCUCCGCCUGUAAAUUUAUAACUUUUGAAAAUUAUGAGAUCUUAGAUUGCGAGAUAUUAAAAUUUAGAAUUUCAAUAUUAUUAUUCUUUUAAAAUGAAAUUUGAGAUAACAGAGUGAUUGAUAAUAUAGGAGAACUUGACCACGGUAGGCCAAAAAUCUAGGCAAGCACAUGCAUACACAGAAAUGUGAUGGAUUCUGAAAGAAAUUAAAGUAAUAAUGUACGUAGGUCCUUAAAAUAAAAAGCAAAAUCGCUUGGUGGCCCAGUAUAAUAUAUAUAUAUUAUAAUACAAUAUAAUACAAUAUAAAUUCAAUCCUUACCUGAGGCAUGGAUGCACAACGAGUUACCUGCCACGCUGGAGCACCUUGAGGUCAAUUGUUGCUCGAAUCUUGCUUUCUUGUCACGGAAUGGAAAUCUACCUCAGGCUCUUAAGUACCUUCGUGUUGAAGACUGUUCAAAGCUGGAGUCGUUAGCAGAAAGGUUGGACAACACAUCCCUUGAAGAAAUUGAUAUUUCAGGGCUUGAAAAUCUUAAAUCAUUACCUGCCGGUUUGCAUAAUCUCCACGAUCUUCAAAAGAUUUGGAUAUCUGAAUGUCCAAAUCUUGAGUCAUUUCCCGAAGAAGGAUUGCCUUCUACGAAACUGACUCUGCUCACGAUAUGUGAUUGUGAGAAUCUGAAGGCUUUACCCAACUACAUGCACAAUCUCACUUCAUUGAAAACUCUGCGUCUCGGUAAUUGUCCGAAGCUCACAUACUUUCCAGAGCAGGGCCUGCCUAAAUCACUUUUGGAACUAAUUGUCUCUAAUUGCCCGUUGAUAGAAGAAAGGUGCAGAAAGGAUGAAGGAAAAUAUUGGCCCAUGAUUUCCCAUAUACCUUGUGUCCAAAUUAAUUUCAGAUCAGUUUUUAAAGGAAGAUCCAUCAAUUAGAUUGUGUAAUCAUAAUUUCUUUUUUUUUUCCACCUGUAAUUUAAUUGUAAUAUGAACUGACUUUAUCAAUAAAAGAAUAAAAUUAUGUUUAGGAUUGUCAGUGAAGUUGAUAAAGUAAGAAGAGCAGAGGAAAGAAGUAAUAAGAGAAGAAGAAACUCCAGUUCAAGGAGGGAUGUUAGUGAAACUGAUUAAAUGAGAAGGAACAGAGAAAUCGUGUACAUGCUGUUAUUGUGCUCUUGACAGCAGCUAAGCAGCUCACUUAAGCUGACGUGGAUUAGUUAGUUAUUUGGUUUAACAAAUUAUCAUUUUAUAUAUAUAAAUGAUAAAAAAUUGAAUUUAUAUUGUAUUAUAAUAUAUAUAUAUAUUAAACCAAACCAAACUUAUGUUAUAUGGUUUUUUAAAAAAAACUUAUUUUAUAUGGUUAAAAGAAAACCUUAUGUUAUACGGUUUCAAAAAAAUAAACUUAUAUUAUAUGGUUUCUUAUUAAUAAUCACACAAACCUUAAGGACUACCAUUUGUUUUUUGAAAAAAAAAAUUGAAUCUAAAGAUUUUUGAGAAAUGACCCAUUAUAAGUUGAACUUAUAUUAUAUAUAUUUUCUCCUUACAUGGACAACCACAGAAAAGACCGACCAGUUAUCUCCAUGAACUCGUAUAAAUUCAACCAAAAUAACAAUUCCAAUCUUACCAAAUUCUUGAGUUAAAUUUAUUCAAUGCUUUUUUUUUAUAGGAAAUUUUUUCCAAUGCUACUUUUCCUUUUUUGGGGAAAUUAGACCGCGGUAUGUGUAGAAGACAUUGAGGUGUAAAGCGACAUUAAUUUCAUGGGUUAUGCGUUAUAGGCAUAAUAUAUUUUCAGUCCAGAUUCAAUUAUGCAAAGAGGCUUGAGAACUUAAAAUUAACCACAAACUAAACAGACGAAGUAAAUACAUGAUUAUGCAACAUAACAUUAAUUCUCUCAAUUUAUAACUGUUUUUGCUACAUGAAUCUUGCACAGUUAGUCCUAAUUGAAGACUAAAAAAGAACAAUUGGAACAAGGUUUUGGAAUAGAAUGAUAUACAAUCAAUAUGAUCCAUUUCUAGUGGCCAAAGCUAAUUAACUGCAAUUUCUAGACUCCUAAGUAUACUAGUCAUAGGAAACUGUUUAGAAAACUAGUGAUCAGAUUAGAUUUUGAAAAGAAAUAAUGUUCAUUUCCCCUUCUCUACCUUUUUUUUUUUUUGUUUUAUUUUUAUAGCAAAGAAUUAUAUCAUGAAAAGAAUCAAUUUAAUCACCUUUUCCAGCAGCCCAAUUUUUCUUUUAUAAAAUUGGACCACGGAGACAAAGAAGAAUUAUUCAUACCUUCAUCACUAAGGAAAUACUUUUCGGUAUGGCUAAGGUGAGAAAAGGCUUUCCACAAACACUAGUAGUUUGUAUUCCUAUAAAUUUUCUUUGAAGUCAAUAAAAACCAUAAGUUUUUUACAAUAACCAUCUCUUUGAUCAAAAAGUGCCGUAUUCCUUUAGAAUUUAAAACCGGCAAAAACCGAAUCGAUCAGUGUCUUUGAAGAGACAUAAUGGUCGUAAUUCUUUAAAUGAGUUGGCUAUGGAAAUCCUUAUCCAAGAUUCUUUUACGCCAUAUUCUUUCGUAAACCAAAAUUCAUUUUGGAAUACUCCUCGUCCCAACAUACAGAGACAGUCUGUCAUAACUUUAGCCGAAUACUUAUGAUAAUGAUCAUUUGUGAUUUCAUCAGGCAUAGGCAAGAACUUGAACUUGUCUACUACCAACCAAAAGCCGAAAUUCGCCUGCCACCCCCAAUGAUUCCUAAUACUAUUUUAAUACCAAGUUUGAUCACAAGAUAAGAAUCAGAUUUAACACUUUUCCAAGUGUUGUUUCUCAAAGAGAAGUCAUACACAUUUUAUUUUCUACCAGGAACUGUUGUACUAUCUAGCCAAAUGUAAAUUUCCGGUCUUGGUAUUCUCUUACCUCUCUAGUGGAAGGAUUGUAUAUCUUAUAUAAAUAGUUAUUAUAAUUACGCUCCGAGUCUCUCUUUAGUCCUCAAGCACAAUAAGCCAUUACAAGAACCCAAUAUCAAAACCGAUUCAUAAAGCUAACCAUUGCUUUAAUUUGCAAGUUAAAGAAAAAAUCACUUCAGGUUUCAGGGAUACUGUACGUAAAAUCGAGGAAGGUAACUGGAAAACACUUGUAUAUAUGUCAAGCAAACUGCAGGAUUUGUGAUUAUAUGUGUAAAAUAGAUAAGACUGAUAAUAUAGCAAUCGCAUAUACAUGCCAAUCCUAGUGGAGUAAAAGCUCUAUUGCCACUAGAAUUCUGUUCGUGGAAUUUGUUCUCAAAUUUCAACCGUAUGUAAAGUUUGAACUCUAAUUGCUUAUAAUGUAUUGAUUAAGAAUAAUCCUAAGAGUUCCUGAUUGAAAUUUUUUAAUGACUUUUUUAUUGUUUUGGAUAUACAAAUUGCAUUAAGAAAAAAUAUUGUCAAUUUCAGAGGAUAACGGGAAAUGAUUAUGCUUCAAAAGGCCAGAGAUUAGAGAAUAAAGAAGCAUUCAUUACUGAUAUACAAAAGAGAAACACUCCAAAAUUGCUAGCAAACUAGUUUCAUUUACUAUUUGGAUUUUGGAAGGGGUGAAGUUUUGAGCUUCAGUUGUUCCUCUAAAAUCAAAAGUAGCAAUUAAGCGUUCUCAUUUAGAAAGAGCAAAGAAGACUUAUUCGUACCUUACUAAAGCUAACAUUAUGGCAUGGUUGUUCAUAUAUAACGGCUGCUCUGUUAUGCUAGCUUCUCUGUUUUUUUUUUUUUUAUAUUACAUGAGACUAUUGCUCAAAUUACAACUCAUAUUACAUGAGAGUAUAACUGAUAUUUACAAAUCAAACUAUCACUGGGACCAAUUUACAUCAAUGCUAAUGGAACUCUGCCCAGAUUUUAACCCUCACAAAUAUUCGAGGGAUGUCUACUCCUUACUUUUAGGUAAGGGAGAAGACUACCUUCACUCAAUUUUAAUUGAGGAAGAAAAUAACCCCACAAUGCAUUUGCUUCUAUUUUUGCUUGCAGUUUUGAACAUAAAUUCUUGCUCAAAUAACCCAUAAUUAAAUAACACUAAUAUGGCUCGUGAAAUCCCAUAAUAGCUAAUUACGCAACUUUCUCCUCCUCCUCAAUUCUGUCUUCCCCUGCUCGUACACUAAAUUCAAAAUUCAAUGCCCCUAAAAACAACACAAGAAAUCUUUGAGAUAAUUCAUGACCAGUUUAUACAUAGUAGCAAUUGAAAAAGGAAAAAGAAUGAAAGAGUUAAUUAUUAUUCAGACCUUCACGUAUUCGGAAGUUUGUUCUGCUAUUGGGUGAGAUCAAGCUCUCAGCAUAUACUUCCAUAUGAUACUUUCCAACAUUUUCUUGAAAGCCAUCAAUCAUAAAAUCUUCAUACUUUUUUUCAUCCUUUGGAUCAAUAAGUACAAAUUUCUCGUCUAAAACAUACAAAAUAAAAUCAUUGUCCUUCUUGGAACAUAAUGGCUGCAAUGCCUGAAUUGAAUUGGCUAAUGAAAUUUAAGUCCAGGAUUCUCUCAGCCCAUAUUCUUUCAUAAUCCAAAAUUCUUUCGACCAUAAUGUUGACUCUGAGAUUAAACAAAGGCAAUUUCCUAUAAUUGAAUAUGAAUAUUUGGAAUGAUAUGGGCAAACAUUUUUCAGGUAAGGCUAAGAAUUUGAACUUGUCUUUUGCCAAAACAAAUGCCGCAAUCAUGUAAUCAGAAUUGAGCUUACAAAAACCGAAGUGGACAGUUCCAUUGAGAUUGGUCACCCGAGAACAAUGAUGAAAAAACUUAAAAUCAGUUUCAAAGGUGUUCCAAAGUAUUUUUCCUUAAAGAGAAGACAUGCACACCUACUACUACUUUGGCAUUUCUAUAAGAGUGAGAAAACCCUAAAACCUUGAACUCAUCUAUUGAUUGAGCAUAACCUAAGCUAACUAACGGUGUAUCUCUAUUAGUGAAGGGUUCAUAGUCGUUUGGUAUUCUCUUGAACUCUCUAGUUGAACAAUUGUAUAUAAAUAAAGUUUCAGUUGCAGUUUCAUCUCGGAGGGAUAAGCACAACAAAGCAUUACAAGGGCAGCAUAUCCUAAGACAAUCAAAAGAGCUUUCUUUAAUUGGAAAAUCAAACUGAUCUUCCGUAAUAAUUUUGCUAUCGAGGUCUAUACGGAGAAGAGAGUUUCUUACCAAGCUCUUGACCAUAUCAACAAGAACCAGCGUUUGUCCUUGUUGGUUUUUAGUUUGGUUGAUCUUGACGAACCGAGGAUUAGUAAUUAAGGCCCUGAAUGACUUGGAUAAACACUUGAAUAGGCAGAGAGACUUGGCGGGGAGUUUUGCAAACACAUCGACGAUGAUAUCUGGAGGAAGAGCCACAUUGCUUCUUCACCAAGUUAAGCAAAGACUUUAGGGUUUCUUGAUCUCAAUUUGGUAGCCGUGAUGUUUGUAAAGAGCAGUCAUUCGCAUAAAAACUAUUAAAUAUAUUAUUUUUUUAUUCUAAAACAAUAUCAAAGCAUUUUUUAAAUACUGCUCCGUUAAUUUUGAAGUAAAGUUUUUGGGCUCCUUUCAAAAUAUUUUGCCUCUACUCCCAAAUGGGGGUUUUUAAUUAAAUACCCUUUAAUAGUUUUAAAAUUAUUUAAAUACCCCAUCCUUUUUUAGUUUUCAUGGAUACCCUAACAAAUGUGAGUAAAGUCAGAAAUACCCUUAAUGAAUGCAUCAAAUUCACUCAAUGAAUUGUCUUCAUAUUUCUUUCCUCAUUUCUUUCACCCAAAUCUAUUUUUGCUGCCGAUUCUCUCAAAGUCUCUUAGAAUCUCUCAAAAUCUCUCAUAACUUCUUACACAAAUACAAUUAUGUAUUCAUUUCUUUAACACCCACUCUUUCUUUAAAGGUGCAUUGCUUAUUAAACAACCCAAUAAGAGAUGUUAAUGUUGUUAGGUUUUAAAUUUUUUAAUUUUUAGGAAAAUUUAGAAAUUUUCCUCACAUUACAAUGUUUUAUUUUCACCAUUUUUUCUUAUAUGUAGAAAUUUAUGCAAUGUAGGUUGUUUGAUUAUUUUUUUCAGCAAUAUAGCUUAUUUAUGGCGAAAAUGUUUCGCGUUAUGCAUUCUUUUGAUAUCGUGUACGUCAUAUAGUUAGUCAUAUAGGUCAUGUAAAUAAUAUAGUCGUGUAAGUCGUGUAGGUCAUGUAAGAAAUAUAGUCAUGUAAGUCGUGUAAGUAAUAGAGUCGUGUAGGUCGUGUAGUUACUUGUAUAUGAAAUUUGAUAUUAUUAUUUUUAUUGUAUCAUCAGAUAUGGGAAGUGGCUCGUUCUCACUUCGAGGGGAGGUGUUAUGGGAUUAUGACAACUAACAUUGCAGAAAGUAUGAAUUCUCUCUUGAAAGAAGCACGAACCUUGCCUAUUCAUAAGUUAAUGGAUUGUAUCAUUGACAAAUUACAAGAAUAGUUUGCAAAAAGGCGAGAUAUGGAAAUGGAUGCAUGUACUCUAAUUUGUUGCAUUAUGAAAUAACUAAAUUUUUUUACAUUCCAAUUUAAUUUCACUUCUUUGUUUUUAUAAUUUCAGUUGACAUUUUCUACAUAGCAGCAAAUAUAAAUUCUUAGCACCAAUUAAGUCUUUAAAGAACUAAAUUAAUCUAAUGAUUAUUGGAAAAAGUCGUGUAAUACAAGAAGUCGUGUAAUACAUGAAGGUGGUGUAAUCGCAUAAUAUAUGAAGGUCGUGUAAUACACGAAUAUAUUACAUGACCUUACACAACCAAAUCGUGUGUUCAUAAAUUACAGCAAAAAAAUAAAUUUGCAUAUUCGACAGUUUGAGAAAUGAUUAGAUUAAUUAUUAUAAACAAACAAAGUUAUUAGUUUACAAUGUCAAUAUUUGGAUAGGAUACACUAAUGGGCAUCGCAAUUAAACAAAUUACAACCAUUUAAAAAGUUUUUUUUAUCUUCAAACUGUUUUCUUCCUCUGCCCAAGCAUACAUGAGGAAUGUCUGCAAAUAAUAAAUUCAUGAAAUCAAUUAGAAACAACUCUUAAUCAAAGGCUGCUUGAAAAAACCACUUUAGUUAAUUCUUCCUAUUAAUAGCCCAGGACCAUUGAUAGUGAUGGCCUAUAAAAUUUCAUUUUACUAAAUCAAACUAUUCCACCAGCAAUGACUUCAUUUAAAAAAACAAUACUCACAUGUUAGUUGUUCUCCGAAAGUAAUGACUGGUCAUAGAAAAGUCUUUCAGCAAGUUGCUUUCAUGAAGGUCGUGUAAUUGCAAUACAUGAAGGUCGUGUAAUCGUGCAAUACAUUAAGGUCGUGUAAUCGUGCAAUACAUGAAGGUCGUGUAAUACACAGCCUUAAAUCCUACAUAACCUUACACGACCAAAUCAUGUGUUACAUGACAAAAUUAUAAUCGGCACAAUCCAUCAAAUUUUCACAAUUUGCAUGCAGCAAGACAACUAGAAAUUUAUUUUUGAACAUGUAAUGAGAGACCCGCAACUAAUUAAUCUAUAUUUUCUAUAGAAACCCUAACUUUUUGUUUUUUUUCCCCGAAUAUCAACAAGAAAACUAAUUAUAGGGAAUUGCUUACCUCAACUAGUUACAUUAUGACCAUUUUAUAGUAAAAGAUCAACUCUCACCGAUGAUUAUGUAGCGACAAACUAGGCUUCUCUUUCUCAGUUGUGGCAGCUUCUCCUUCUCAGGCUCAGUUUGCUCGUGUUGAAGUUCGAUUUAGCAUGUAUGGAAAAUGAAUAUUUGUUUCGGUAGAGGUGAUGCCGGUGAGGGAAUUGCAGAUGUGAUGCUGGUUGAUAUUUGAUUUAACAUGUAUGAGAAUGGAGGAUGAGUGUUUGUUUGUUUGAGUAAAGGUAAUGAAAGGAAUUGCAGCAGAUAUGAGUGUUUGUUUACUUCAGUAGAGGGGGGAGAGGUGUUGUCCGUUGAGUUGAAAUGUUUUAAAAUGAGGAUAACUUAGUAAUUUCCUAUCAAUUUUUAAAAGAUAUUGAUGAAAAUUUUGACAAAAUCAAAUUUUAAGGUAUUGAGAUAAUUUUUGAAGUAUGGAGGUGUACUUGCCGCAAUUAACUUUCCCAAAUGCCCAGCUAAAUACCCAAUGAAUAGCUCCGCCUCGAAUAUCAGAUGAAUAUCUCCAAUGAAAAUCACGUUCAACUCUUUUUUUUUUUUUUUUCCUCCCCAAGAGCUGGUUUUCACAGAGAAAACGUCUACAAUUUUUUCACAAAAACCAAAUUUCACAAUUUUGUAGUCAUCAAUUUGCUCAGCAUAACAAAACCCAUAUAAACUUUUCACUAUUUUACAUAUAGUAUAAUAUAACUCUUCUCCUCAGUCCUCAGUUCCCUCUUAUGAGAAAACUAAAAUUCACGUCUCCUUCUUCGAUAACAAAUUCACGUUAAAACCCUCAAAAACAACAAGACUUGCCAAUAUUUUAUAAUAAAGAAGAGAGAAACAAUGCCUUCAUAUCCUCGAAGUAAAUGAGAACUUGCAAUAAUUAAAGUAAGUAGUAACAUACGGUUUGCGACCCUGUUGAUGAUAGGCGUCUAGGCUAGCAAGUGGCUUUAGUAUGUAAAACUAUCUAGAAUCAAAAUCUAUGUACAUUCGAUAAGCGGGUCGGUCAGCAGAGUAGUAACCUUGGAUCAGGGUAUCAACUUGGAAACCAAAUUUCUUGUAAAGAUUCACAGCGGGAGUUCUCAAAGGAUCAACAUGAAGCGUUAUGCGGAGCACAGUUCUGGUUCUGCAUUUCUUAAUUGUUGCUUCCAGCAGUGCCUCUCCGUGACCUUGUCCCCGAUAAUUCUCCUUCACUAAUUAAGUUCACCCCAAAACCCAUUAAUUUCAUGUCAAUUAAAAAAAGAAAAGAAAAUGAAUAACUAACAAAUAUUUCUUUGAGGACUUUUAUCAAACAGUUGAGAUUACGGGCAUGCAGUGGAAAUUUCAACAAUGUGGACAAAGAUAUGGGACCUGCAAGCUUGGUGAUAGAAGCAGACAAGGAAGUAGGCCACGCGUACAUGACGUAGCCAACGACUUGUCCAUGAAUAUGAAUGUAAAGCAGGCCUGAGUUCUUCUUUUUCAGCUCUUCAUCAAAAGAUCUUGCCAGUGAUUCGUGCUUGGGAAAAAUCUUCUUCUCCAUCUUCACAAUCUCGUCCACUACGACAGUCCAGUUCGUUGAGUUUCUCUGCAGCUCCGUGACGGUUCCAUUACUCCCCAUGGCACGUGGCUUGUUGCGACUUACAGUUGAUCCAGCACGUACAGAAAAUUAGAAAUGAAGCCUCCUAGCAUUCUUUCGAACAGGCAAAAAAGUCAAUGGACAUGGAGGCGCCAUGUGUGGAAAUGUUAAGAGGAUGAUGAAGCCCCCAAGAGGCCAGCGUGGCGUGGCAUUGCACCUCAUCAUUUUUUUAAUGCUAAUCUGUAGAGCGGCCCAAAAUGACGGCACAAUAUAUAGCUGGCAAAGCCCACCCAAGCCCAACUAUUUGGGCCAACAUAUCAUAAAUUAAAACAAAUAUAAAAUGCACUGUACAGCGCAGACAAAGAUGCUUUGUGCAGAGAUGUGUUUUCUUUAUGGGUCCAAUUAUAUUGGUACCGCUCUAAGGUAGAGUAUCAUUUCAUAACUACAUUAUCAAAAUCAUAAUUAUUUUUUUAUUAUUUAUUACUUUGCGUGUGUGACUGAGAUUCGUGAUCCAUCAUAGAUCAGCUCCAACGUAACAGAAGCCUUCUUUUAUUGCUCAUCAUCUUUAGCAAACAUUCAUUGGCUUUGGAUGUUGCUACAAUUUAUUUUGCAUAAUUGAAAAGUAUAGUAGAUGUGCAUAAUGUUAGAAAUUUUAUUAUAAUAUAACAAAAUACGUAAUAACUUAUACUAAGAUGUUAAGAAUUCAUUGUGCCAAAUUCCUAUAUUUGUCUAUAAUAAAUCAAAAUUUCAAAAUAUAAAAUAUGGAUAAAAUUAAAUAGAAAAUGAUUCAAUUUAUAAAAUUAAAAAUGAAAUUUGAUUAAAUCAUAUUUCUAAGUAUGAAUAUUUAGUUAAACAUUUUUGAAAUAAAGAAAAUUAUUAAAAUUGAAAAAACAAAUAAUUAAAAAAUAGAAUUUUAAAAUUGAAAUAAAACUAAUUUUAUUGAUUGAUAAUAUAUUACAAAGAGAGAUGAGAAAAAUAAAUUGAGGUGAAAGAAGAGAAGAGAAGGUGUGUAGAGAUGUGUUCCACCCUCUUCUAUUUAUACUAAUACAUGGUUAAUCCAGACUACGCAAAUAAAUAAAACUAAUUACACCUUAACCGUAUAUUUGUCACACUGAUAAAACACAAACUUAACUUAAUCCACUAAUGCAUAUCCAACACAUUCCGUUAACAAUUACCAUAAAGUAGUGUACUAGGGUAUAUACAUAAUCAUUUUACAUAACUAUACGCUGAAUGUAAUACAUCAGCAAACUUGGAAAUCAUACAUUCAUUACAAAACUGCACCAUAUAAUACCCAGAGGAAAUAAGUCUCAAUACUUACCGAGAUCAUCAUCGCAUGAAUAGAGGAUAGAAAACCUUUCAAUACCUAACAAAACUUAACUACAUCAUACAGGUAAAGUAAUUUAACUCUCAAUACACAAUGCACAUAGCUUAUAAAGAAGACUACAUAUAUGAUGAUUGGCAAUCACAUAUCAUGACUCAAUUAAAUAUAUAAUACGUGUAUAUAAAAUCAUAACAUGAUAUUAAAUCAUAUUAUCAAUCAUAAAUGCUUCAUAGAAUACAUAAUGGUAAUAAUUGUCUCUACUCACAGAUUUUGUUUCACUCGUGGGUUCGUUGGGGCUCCUGUGGGUUUCUAAAUUCUUGAAAUUCUCAUAAAAUGCAGGAUUCAAAAAUUAACUGUUAGAACUGAUAUAAAAAUUAAUACGUACGAUGUAAAUUAAAUCAUAAUUUCUUAUAUUUCACAAAUCUAUUACCCACUGACUCACUUAAUAUAGAUCUAACUGUCCAAUUCUAUUUCUUAUAAUAUUUCUCUCAAUUCCACUUUUCAAAUUCUUUUCCACUCACAACUUUUUAAUUUUCUUUUUCACUCUUUUCUUUCUUUUCCUCAUUUCCCACUCUCGGCUUCUUUCUUUUCUUUUUCUUCUCUUUUAUCUUCUCUACUUUCUUAUUUCUCUCAUGUUUCCUUUAUUCAUUCUCAGUGCUCAAAUUUGAUAAAAUGAAGCAGUGUCAAAAUUUUGCAUUUAUAUAGCCACCAAACAGCCACCGAAUUGAAGCAAGUAGCUCUCACUUUUUAAAUAUAUGUAGGCACCACUUGAAGCAAGUGAAUAUGUAGCUAGCUGCUUCCAAUUGCCUGCACUUGUGCUAUAUAAUUGUAAAAUUGGACUUGGGUUUGAGAGGCCUCUUCAAUGCUUUCUAUUCUCCCGUAAUUAUUGUUAUUAGAAUAUUCCAACCUAGCCUACGUACAACUGCAUUCUUCACUCGUGCUCAUCGUAGGCCUCUUUCAGCCAAUGGUUAAUACUAAAAAACUUAUCACCCAUAUAAUUUUUUAAUUUGUGUGUAGGGUAAUAAUAAAAUUGAAAAUAAUUAAAAAAUAGCACAAUAAUGAGUUUUCACAAUAAAACAAAUCAAAUGAAAAUUGAAAAUUUAGAAAAGUGUAUCUAAAAAAAAGGAGCAUUUUUGGAAAUAAAAUGAAUAUAACUAAAAAGGGGCUUUUAUGAGAAGAUCAUAGGGGUGUCAAUAGUCCAACUCUUAUAUUUAAAGUUAUUUUGACUUUGUAUUUCCGAUGAUAUAUUUAUUAGGUAAUUUUUAAUUGAGUCAUUAUUUGUAGAAAAUUUUUCUGAGACCAGAAGUUUAUAAAAUGAAUCAAUUAAAUCCCUCUAAGUAUAAAUUUAUGUCAUUCAAGUCUUUAACUUAAUUUCUUCGUUAAAAUUAUUAACAACAUCAAGGACAUUUUAGUUAAAAAACAAUUAAGCACCUUCUCAUUCUUUAUUUUUGACAGCCAACAAUAGUUUAAAGUAAACUCAAGUAACCUAAAUUAAUGUUCUUUAAAAAAAAAGAAAAAAGAAAGAAAGAAAAGGUUAGUUAAUGUGUAGGCAAGCAAUAUCACUUCAUCAACUGCACAGAUAUGAUUUCUUUUCAAGCAAGUGGAUUUCUUUUAUAUAUAUUCAUCAUGUUAUCAAAUGAAUUAAUAAAUUGGUGAUCCUAGUGAUGUGUAUGGAACCAAUAGGAUAUCACUAGCUAUACAUGUUUGAUUUGAUUGUGAAAUCCUAUUGAUUAAUUGUUUUUAAUAAAAAGAAAUUGAAGUCUCUUUUUUCUUUUUUCAUUUUUGGACGGCAUGGAAUUAGCCCACAAUCUCAAUAACUAGAUGUCAAUGAAUAAGCAAUUGACAAUAAUUCUAAACAUGCGAAUUAGACUUCAAUCAAUGUCACUCAACCUGUGGGACAACAUACACAACUUUUAUGGGCUGUAUCUCAACCUCAAAAUGAAGAACCAAUGUUAUUGACAAUGAGUAGAAUAGUACAAUAUUCACCUUGAGCUGGCAUUUAAUUCUCCAAAAUAGAAUCUAGAAGACAAUUAACUAUUUCUUGUACUUGAAUUUCAGUUUACCAUAAUGUUGUCAAGGUGUUUCUUAGUUUCAAUUUAAUUGACCUUCAUACUUUUAGUUUUAUUUUUAGACCGAAUGUUAUUGUGGUUUUUCUAAUAUUAUAUUCAAUACAUGUUAUUUAGUUUAACAAUCAUCGUAUAUUUUAUAAAUGUGACGGAAUUACAUUUUCAUGUGUAAUUCCAAGAGUUAUUAUGGUUAUGUUUUUUAGUGGUGCUCUCUUUAUUCGAAUUAGUUUAAAAACUAAAGAUUUUGUUUAAAUUGUUGCAGAAAUUUGUUCCCGAUUACUCAAAUUGGUAAAUAGGCUAUUAGGCUCUGAAAAAAAAAUUAAUGCAUAAGGGUAAAAUUGUACUUUAAAUCACUAAUAUGAUAUAUAUGGGAAUAUAGUUAUCUUUUUAUGUUUAAAUUAACGUUUUCACUAACUUUUAUGGCCAAAGAAUUAGGUGAAGAAUCUGAAAGACAUAAAUUUGUAUUUAAAAGGAUUUAAUUGAUUCAUUUUAUAAACUUUUGGUCUUUGAAUUUUUUUUCUAUAAAUAAUAAUGACUCAAUUAAAGAUCAUCCUAUUUAUUAUUGGCUGUUUAAAAAAACAAAAGAGAUGACUAGAGUUUAUCACUUUGACUAUAACGUGGGUCAUAUUGGUAGUUGCCAUGAUGGCAUGUCGAAUUUGGGAUGAUACGUUGAGGACUUGAGGUUGGAUUUCUUUCAGCUUAAAAAAAAAAAAAGUAUGCGGCCAAAAUUUUGCUUAAAAGGUUAAAUGUACCCCUGUCAAAGGACCAUCUCACCUCUGACCAUUUAACUUCUACCGUUAAAUCUGGUAUAUUUAACUAGUUUUGACCUAUGCAAUGAUUUUUUCUUGCAAGUUGUGUCAUGUGUGGAAGGGUAAAUUUGUUUUUUUUUGGGUGAACUUGUUCUUUUCUUAAAAGUUUCGGGGCUAUAAGUCUCUUAACUUAAAGUUAUAAUUAUAAUUGCACUAAUGAUACAAUAAAUUUUUGAUAAAUAAAUAUUUAAGAAAUUAAUAACUUUGGGUAAAUAACACACUUCUCCCGCCCCAACUUGCACUAUUUAAAUUAAUAAUUUCAUUUAAUGCAUAUGAUAAUAUUUUUUUUAAAUCCAUUAAGGCCCAAUGAAAAUAUAAAUUAAUAAUUAAUUAAAUAUAAAAAUUCAUAACUACUAAAAUAUAAAUUUGUAACAUUAAAGAAUUCUGUUUUUCUUACAACUUCAAUCAUCUAAAUUAAACUCUUUGCAAAUAAAUGCAUAUAGAGUUGUUUGCUUUUUUUUUUAAUAUUUAUUCCUAAAUUGAAUUCAAUCUCCUCUCUUAAUUUUUUUUUUUUUUUUUGUAGAGCAUGCACCACAUUUAUAACUUUUUUUUUCAUGUUUUAGAAAGUAGUUACUUAAUAUUAUUAUUGCUUGAAAGACCUCUUUUGCAGAAAUAUUUGGCAAACACAAUUAUCAUAUGAAUCGUAAUUGUCAUCAGCAUAGUUAUCUAAUACCCUUUUAAUAAUCUGGUUGAAUUAGUGAGUGAUUCCAUCACUACAGCUAUGCUAUUAAAUAUAGUAGUCAUCAGAGGAGAUAUUGUUGACAUGAGGAAGUACGAUAUGUGUUUAUACAUAAGUAAAAAUAUUGAUAAAACUCUUCCUAAAAACAAAAUAACAAAAUUAUGUUUCUAAAUUAAUAAAUAUUCAUUGAUCAAUAAAUUAAUAAAUUAUUAAAAUUUAUAAAUAAAUAAAUUCUCUAAAAUGAUAUUUUUUUCUUAGUCCUAGCAAGUAGCAAUAUUAUUUUAUAGAGGUUUUAUUUUAGUAAUAGCAAUAGUAUAAUUAUAAUUAUUAUUAUCAUUAUAUAUAAUAAUUAGUUAUAAUAUUUACUAUUAUGAUAGUUAUCAUUAUAAUUGUUAUUAUAAUUGUUAAUUAUCACUAUCAUUAUUAUUAGUUAUUUUACUAUUUAUUAUUAUCGUUAGCAUAGUAGUAAGAUAUUAUGUCGCUAUUAUUAUUACUAUUAAUUUUUUUAUUUUGUAAAUGGGGCAAAUUUCAAAUUUUAAAAACUAUAAGAAGAAUUUCAUUAUUUCCACUAGUUUCAUUCUCAUAUAUAUAGAUACACACACAUAAAGAAAUACGAUCAAUUAUUCACAUUUCUCUAUCCCACGAAUAAAUACUGUAAAUUAUUAUUUUUUAAAAGAAAAAUAUCAAAACGGUGUGGGUCCCAGCAUAAGCCUUCUAACCUACCUUCUCCCUGUAGAAAAAAAAGAAAAGAAAGAAAAACUCAACUUUUAGGAAAAUGUUUUGGAAAAUGAGAUUCUUCCCACGUUAAGCACCACAAUAAGCACCAAACGGUGCGUUUUGGGCAUAGUAUAAAAUGAGCCAACUCACGUGAUACACACAUAGCCACCAGUAAACACGCGCAGUAGAUCUCACGCGAUAUACACCUUUUCUCCAUUUGCUCUCACAAAAAUCUCACCGUUUCUCUCGCUGUGUCUCUCUUUGAUCUCCAUUCUCAAACUUUCUCAGGCAGUGGUGCUCGGCGUUGGUCUCUGGCCGUGGGUUUCCGGCUGUGGGUCUCCGGCCGUGGGUCUCUCACCGCUGGUCUCUCACCGUGGGUCUGCUCUCUCUCUUCUCUAUCAUCUCUAUUCUCAAACUUUCUUAGGCAGUGGUGCUCGGCGUUGGUCUCUCACCGUGGGUCUGCUCUCUCUCUUCUCUACCGUCUCUGUUCUCUCGAAUUGUAUAGGUAAUGGCAAAUUUCCGUGAGUUGAUUUUUAAUUUUUGAAAAUCCAGUUGAUAUUGUGAGCUUAAUUACACUUGGAUUGAUGUUGUAGUCGAAUUGUAUAGGUAAUGGCAAAUUUCCGUGAGUUGAUUUUUAAUUUUUGAAAAUCCAGUUGAUAUUGUGAGCAAAUGAGACAAUUAUUUUCAAUAGUCUUAGGAGAUGGCCUUGUGCUGGAGAUGGGAUUUUGAUAGCCUUAAGAGAUGGUCUUGUGCUGGAGAUGUCAUUUUGAUAGUUAUUUACAUGCAGUUUCUUGGUUACAAUUGGCAAUCCGUUAUAUCCUUUGAACUUGACUACUACAAAUAUUCCAAUUGAUGGAUGAGUUGAUUAUUCUUGUGUUCCUCUUAGACAUUUUUGAAAUGAGUGGCAAACAGACCAUAUUUUUCUUCUUUUUGUUUUCUUUGUAAUUGAAAUUGAAUAAUUUUAUUUGAGCUGAAUGAAAUUAGUGUAGACUUUUUGUUGUACUUUUGAGAUGAAUGCAGUAAGAUGUAUUUCUUUUUUUUUGGGGGAGAAAAAAAGAAAAUUAGACCUAGCACAUACUUAUGUAUUUCUUUUUUUUUGUCUUUGCCUAGGUGAAGUUGAAUUGGUGGUCAUUAGCAUAAAGAUGCAAUUGGUAAUUUUGAAGUUGGUUCAGUAAGCUGGUUUUUAAUAAAUUGACUACCAUUUUUUCUUUCUGGAAGGAAUCUGGGUUGUUGUGUAUAUUGAACAGAAUUUGUUCAAUCAUUAUGUCUUCAAGCACAAGCGAAAUGCAAACACAACUAAAAGCUUGUGAUAAAUGCUGCAACAACAAUAAGGUCUUGCAAACUUCACGUACAAAAGAAAAUCCGAAUCGUAGGUUUUGGAAGUGCAAAGGAUGUGGGGCUUUUGAAUGGGAUGAUGAUUGGAAGAGCAGUGAAUGUACUGAUUUUAGAGGGAUGGAAGAUCGUAUUAUAAAUUAGAAUAAAAUUGAGAUGUUGAUAGCAGAAGUCCGCAAGUUGGGCCAUCAAAUCGAAUGCUUAUCUCUUAAAUUUCAGUUGCUUGAGCAAGAACUUCAACGAAGACAACAACCAAGUGUUCUUGUAACAUACAUCCCGCAAAUAAUGAUAACUCUUUUAAUAUGUAUUAUAUUUAAGUUGUGCAAUUAAUUAAUGUAUUGUUAUUUUUCUUUUUCUUUUUGGCGAAUUGUAUCAUGAAUGCUUCAGUGGAUGUAAACAAAAACUAAUGUUUCUGUAAAGGGCAGGAAAGAUUAUGCUUAUGAUUGUUGCUGUCAUUUUAAUUUGCCUUAUCAUUUGCAUCUUUCUGUCAUUUGAUCCCCAUAACUAGUUUGUAAGGGAAUUGUUCCAUGCUUUUUCACAAAAUAUAGAUAAUUGCUGCACAUUAAAAACACAUUUAUUCUUUAGGAAAUAAUUAAAGAAUAACAAAUCUGCAGUUACAGAGGAUCAAUUCCAAUAGCAUACAAUUAAAAAAUAACAUAAUAUCAUUUAUCUCUCCACCAUUUCAGUAGCACACAAUCAAAGAAUAACAUAUUUGCAGCAUCUCCUCAAUUCCAAUAGCAUACAAUUAAAAAAUAUCAGAAUAUCAUAUAUCCUCUCACCAUUCCAGUAGCACACAAUUAAAGAAUAACACAUGCAGCAUAUCCCUCCACCAUUCCACCAGCAUAUAAUUCAAAAAUAACACAUGCAGCAUAUCCCUCCACCAUUCCACCAGCAUAUAAUUCAAAAAUAAAACAUGCAGCAUAUCCCUCCACCAUUCCACCAACAUAUAAUUCAAAAAUAACACAUGUAGCAUAUCCCUCCACCAUUCCAAUCCAAUAGCACACGGCCAAAUAAUAACACAGCUGCAGCAUAUAAAUCUAAUAAAGGAUCAUGCAUAGAUAAAAAACAAUUUCAUGUAUGAAAUCCACAAUCUUACAUAUCAUAGCCAAGGGCUUGUAUCCGAAUAUUAAUGAGAAUAAAACAAAAACAAUGCUAUUCUAGGAAAUCACUUCGAAACUCCUUAUCAACUUCAUAUUCACUAUCUUGCUGAAAGAGUAGCUGCUGAAAAUGUCCAUGCGGCUGGAAUUGUGGUUCCUAUUAAAAAUAAAUAAAUAUUUUGUUAUAAUAAAAGAAAAUAAAGUAGAUAAGAUGAAUAAAUACUAAAUUUAUCACCACUUACCGUACAAGAAUUUUGUGUAGGUGUUGGAUAAACAUUAUCCCCAACCAUAUGAUGUAAGCUCAUAAGACCCUAAAACAAACAUACAUUAAAUGAAGCGAUAAUAAAAAAAAUUCAUAACAUAUACUAUGAAAAACUUACAUUACAAUAGUCCAUAACUCCAUGUGGGUACAUAUUCAUAUCAACACAACUUCCUUCAGGAUUUUGAAAUGCCUAUAGAGGAUCAAUAAUAUAUUAGAAAAAUGUCUAUGAUUAAGUAAUAAAAAUCAACGACAUGCAUAUGAAUUCCAUAAAACCUACCGUAACAACAUUGUUCUCGUGUGUUGGGAUCACAGUCAGCACUUGCUCGUUCACCUGUCCAUCCUGCAAAGUCAACAAAACAUACAUUUGAACAUCAUUUAUCUCAUAAAUUUUUUAACUUUAAUUAAAUUGAAAAUACAUUUUAAAAGUACCUUUGCAUUAGAACGUGAGGAAUUCAUUUUAGAUUUUGAAAAUUUAUUAUAUUUUUUUCUUUGACAAGGUGGCCGACCUUUACGACGCCGAGCUACUGGAUCUCUAACUGUUUCUACUUCCACACUACAACUUCCUUGGCCUGUAACAAUAGUUACUUCAUUAUCUCCGCAAGGAAUUGCCUUUGAUCAAUCCUCCCGUACAUUCUCAAUCCAAUUGAAAACAAGAUUAGAGCUUUCAAUCUUAUGUGCAGCCAUAUUCGCAACCUCCGCGAAAGUAGCACACAUUUUCUCAUAUCGUUUUUGCUCAUCCGUACAGCUAUGAAGCUCAUAACUCGCUUUCACUCUACUAUGGCAUCUCCACACAUCUUUUCUCCAUCUUCGUAAAAUAUACUUUUCUGGAAGUACUUCUACGUCAUUGCGGAUCAUGAUUGUAAUGGCAUGCCUACAAAGAAUACCUCUAAAUUGGAACCUUGAGCAGCUGCAACGUAUUUCACCAUUUUCUUUUUCAAAAUAUACUUCAAAAAAGGUUCUCUUUUUACCCUCUCCAACUUUGACAUCCUCUCUAACUAUAUAUUCACAACCCAUAGAAUUGACAAAUUCGCAAUACAUUUUCCCAAUCAAUUCUUGCUGAAAUUCUUGAAAUUUUGAAAUAGUGUACACAUCUCGGACUUGCCUCUCCAUUGCAUAAGAUGUUACACGUGGCAUUUGUUGGGAAAGACACCUGACAUCUUCUUCAACUUCCUUCUGAACUUUAUUCUUCAACGCACAACUGUAUUGCUCUACAAACUGCUUCAAAGUAGUCUUUAAGUUAACAUAACCAUCAAAAAAUGCAUUCAUACUUUCACUGCGUUGAGUAGAUUACAUUCCUGCCCAAAAAGUAUUGUUUAGAUAACAAGGUACCCAAUGAUGCCUCUCAUCAUAUAAGCCUCGUAACCAUUCGUUAUCCCCCAAAUCAUAUUCUAUAAUCAUGUGGUGCUAAGUUUCCUCAAAUUUUGCAGCACUCUGGGAAUCAUAAACAGCACAAUGCAAGACAUUACUUAUGUUGCGAUAUUCUUUAUAACCCCCUAGCUUCUCUGGAAUUUUCUUCAUUAUAUGUCAUAAACACCACCGAUGUCGAGUAUUGGGGAAGACAUUCUGAAUUGCAACUUUCAUUGCCCUGUCUUGAUCUGUAAUGAUUCCAUUGGGAGCUGAAUUAGACAUGCAGGAUAGCCAUGUUCGAAAUAACCACGUGAAUGUCUCAAUAUCUUCGUGUGAAAUCAAUCCACACCCAAACAAAAUAGAAUGCCCAUGAUGAUUAACUCCUACAAAUGGAGCGAACGGCAUAUCAUACUUAUUUGUAAGAUACGUGGUGUCAAAUGUAACAACGUCUCCAAACUCCUUGUACGCUUCCCUAUUCCUUGGUUAUGCCCAAAAAACAUUUUUUAAUCGUCCCUCAUCAUCCACUUGCACACUAAAGUAAAACCUAUUAUCUUCUGCUUGCACUUUCAUAAAAUAGUUUUGAAGAGCAGCAGCAUCUCCAUCUCCAAGCCGUAAUCUUCUUUCUUUCUGAACAUGAUUUCUACAAUCUCUUUCUAUGAAUGUCACAUUUUCAUGACCGCUAGCCUCAAUAACAAGUGAUUGAUAAUUUUUACACAAUCUGAUUCCUGCUCGAUCAUUCACAUCAAGCAUCUUUUUUGCAUAUGUAUUGAGGCUAAGAUUGCACCGAAAAUACUUGGAUUUGGUUGGAGUUAACAGCACAUGGUUGUGUUCAAGAUUUAAGCUUCGAAUUGUCCACUUUCCAUCAUCCCCUAAACCAGCUCUCAAUCUAGCAUUGCAGCUUGUUUUUGCAUUAGGUUGGGGCUUUAAAAUUUUCACAGAUUUGCUUCUUGUUUCACCACUUCUCCCACAAGCAAAAGUCACAUUUCUAAAUAUCCCAUCACUAUCCUUUCUACUAGUUCUCCUCAAAACCGGAAACCCUUUUCUUUUACCGUACUCUUUUAAGUAAAUAAACAAAUCGACAUCACUAUCAAAUGACAUCCCAAUUAUUGGCUCAUCAUCCUCCUCAUUUUUCUCCAACUCUUCAACUUCGAUGUCCUUUUCCAUAUUAUUUAUUUCUACAAAAUUGAAAUAAUUCACAUUGACAAAAUGAAAGUAACAAAAUACAAAUAAUUCAGCACAACCUUACAAAACUAAACUAACUAAUGAUGCAAAUUGUGAACACAAAUUUAAUAUAUACCAGCUGAAUUUGCAGCAUAUAUUUAUUUAUUUCGUGCUUACUAUUAACUUUGUAAUAGACAAUUAAACAAAUAAGUAUGGAAUAAUUUAUGGCAGUGUAAAUUACUAGCUGAAUCUGCAGCAUAUACUAGAUAAAAUGCCGAUCACUGUCUUGAUUUUUUAUUUUUCCAUUUCAUUAAGUAAUUUGUUUAACUUAAUUUAAAUUAAAAUAAUGGGUUGCAAAUUGAAAUUUAAGUGAAAUGGGCUGCUGCCAUUUCCUGCCUUGAGUUGAUAGAAAGGUGCUUACGGUCUACAACAUAUGAUGCGGGUUUUUGCCCAUGCCUUUUUGUUUAUAGAGAUCGACUAGACAAGUUUUUUACAAGACAAUGCGUCAUUGGAGAGGAUGAAAUGGUUUAGGCUCCUAAGGGCUGCAUUCUUUUUUUUUUUUUCUUUUUCAAUGAAAUUAAAAAAAAAAAGUAUAUCCUGGAUCGCAAUUAGUGCGUCUACGAUUUAACUAGUCGUCUUGAACAAAGAUUCUAUAACUCCUAAUCUGUAGCAUAUACGCAUCCAAUGCAUACCUGCAGAAAUUGAUUGCCGCAAUCGACGAUGAGUGAAGUCAGUCACCAAGAUGCAACUCAAUUCUUCACACAGCUAAGAGGAUGAUAUACCGUGAGAGAGCCAACGGAUUUCACACCGUGAGGAACAGUCCACAAGUAAAACAGAAAAUGCCUUAGGAGAAUUAGUUGUUCAGAUUUCUAGCUUGAAUGAGGAGUGGGUUUGGUGUGAAUGAGAGUGAGAGUGAUGCGUGCGUGAGAUGCACGUGUAAUGUGUUUGUUUGUUCAAACAGUGGCCUUUUAUAUUGCACACAAAACGUACUGUUCGGGACUUAUUGUGGUACUUAUUGUGUGCUGAAUAUCGGUGCUGAAAUGUUUUUAUUAAGAAAAAAACAAAACAGAACGUAGAAAUAGGAGCAAGCAGGCCGCAGGCCAAAACCUUGGGGGUACCACCAUACGACUUCUGACCUCCCUGCGGGCUUGUCCUUUGCAGGGGUGGUGACAUGUCACAUGCGUACCAAAAAAUAAAAUUAUCUUUUUGUAUUUUUGUAUUAUUAUUUUCCUCCGCUCAUUCACAAGUAGUGGAUGUGAAAGAAGAUUUUAUAUAGGACCGCCGCACUAUUUCAGCAUGCCGUAUUGAAUAACAAUAAAUCUUAUAAGCGAAAUUAAUGAAGAAUCUUAUAAUCCUAUUUAUUUUAGAAUCUGCUUUUCUAUUAUAUGUCUUCUUUUUUGCCCCCCCGCCCCUCCCCUCUUUUUUUUUGCUAGUCCCAACGAUUUUGAAAUAUUAACUGAUUCCCACUGGUUGAGAUAAGGAUAAUUUUUAAAAACCUCCCUGAAGUUUGAGGUUGUUGCAAGUAGACCGUCAAAAUUAUUUUAUUUAUAAAAAAUCUCAAACCGUCAGUUAAAUUUUUCUUAACUAGUAGUUGACUUUGAAAAGAUAAAAUUAUCCUUAAUGACAGUGCAAUCCUUGGCGUGAAAAUCACCGUUCUAUUUUUUAACAUUUUUAGUUACAAUGUCUCAAGUAACUAAAAAAUUUAUUUUAUCCUAUUUAAAUUAUCAAGAUUUCCUUAAAAUCCUAAAAAAAAGAAAAAAAUUGAAGAAAUAGCAACUACUACCAAUCCCAUCAUCACCCAUUCAAUUUUUUUUUCUAGUCAAUUUCUUCAAAAUUGAUAAAAAAACAUUCUUCAUCAUAAUCUACAUUCAGCAACAUCAUCAAGCCUAUAACUAUACAUCGCCUAAUCCAAAGCAUUAAAGACGAACAAGAAAAGAGAGUUAUGUGAUAUGUGAUCGUAGAUCACAAUCUAAAGAUCAGAUCAGGCCACUCUCAAACUUCCACGUCAACGUCCUUCUUGACCGGAGAGCAAAUGAGCCAUGUGAAACCACAUGGAUCCUUGACCUUUUCCACGUGCCCAGCCGCCCACAACAAUACGCGCUGUUGCCUUUAGCAAGCUUACCCUCAUCAACAAUUCCAGCACUCACAGCCUUGGCGAGGGCAGCCUCAACAUCAUCAAUCUCCAAGCAGAGGACGCAUCCGAUUCCCAUAUUCUUAGCUGCAGCAGAAUCAUCGGAAAAGUCAGAGACAAGAAAAAUGGAGCCAGCAAUCUCGAGUUGAGCUCUUGUUCAGCCUUUCGUUUGGUUUCCAUGUUGCAGUUGAUCUCCACAGCACCAAACGCUGUCUUGUAGAACUGAACAGCGUCAGCAACCUUCGAUGCUUCCACAAGCAACUGCGGCUUCAUCCCAUGAAGUUGGCCAAGGUAGCAGGAGCAGUCAUCUUCACGGUGCAGUUCAGAACAUCAGCCAUUGAGAGAGUUUUGGUGUCUAGACAAAGGGAAAGAACCUGAACUUAGGAGAGAGAAAAUCAAAGAGAGAGAAGAAAGAUGAAACCAAAGAGACGAAAUAAAAGAAAAUGAACUUCACCCAUUUUGAUACAGUGUUAAAGGCAAUAAAACGAUAACUCUUUGAUAACAAUACAAAAUAUCAAUAAUGCCCUCAAUUAGUCAAACGGCAACCAAACGGAACUAAAAUGUAACGGAUCUUUUACAACUAAAACGAUUUUGGCCAUCUACUUAUAACAGCCUCAAAUUUCAAGAAAUAGGGAUGGCAAUGGGGCAGAUAUGGGUUGGAUCUACUCUGCUCCAGAUCCAAAUCCAUAAUAAAAAUCAAGAUCCGUAUCUGCUCCAGAUCCGUUAUGAAUCCAUAUUUUUCGCUCCAUAUCCAAAUCCAAAAAAGAAAUAAAUAUCUAUAUCUGCUCCAAAUCCGAAAAAAAAUUAAAAUCCAAAUAUGCUCUAGAUCCGUCAUGAAUUCUAAAAUUCCGUAAUAAAAAAGUAAUAAUUUUUUAGAUUGAAAAUUGAAGGCUAAAAUGUAUUGAUAACAAAUAAAUUAUAUAAUUUUUCUCAAAAAUAUAAUAAAUAUUGUAGCUUAUACUUCUAUACCAAAACAACAAACAAGAAUGAUAAUAAAAUAUCAUUCAGAAGUAAUUGCAGGAGUAAGAUCAAUCUAAUAUUCUAUUGUCUCCUUCAUCAUUCUAGUAUCCACGAUACACCUACCCUCAUUUCUACAACAUUAGAUAAUGACAUAUAAAUUAAAUAUGAUUUAUAUUCAGUCCUUUAUUAUUUUUAUUAUGACCAUAUUUGACUAAAUAUAUGAAUAACUAUAUUCCUUAAAAAUUAUUUGGCCAAUAAGAUAAAAUAAAUUACCAGGUUAUAUUACUUGGAUUGCAAUUUGAAUAUUGCAUGUACAUGCUUUGAGGCUGGUUGAUCUUUAAAUUUACAAAACUAACCUUUAAGUUUUAAGAGUUUAAAUUCAUGAUAAAUACUACUAAUAUGCUAUGAAUAAAAUUUAUUAUCAUUAUCAUUCCACAAUUAUUAAGAAACUUUUAAAAUAAAAUAAAAUUAAAAGAUGAGUGGAUAUGGAUAUGGAUUUAGAUAUUAAGAUAGAUCUAUAUCUGCUCCAGAUCCGUCUUAGAUCCGCACAUCGAUAUCCAAAUCCGAUCCAAAUCCAUUUUAAACCGAUCCAAAUCCGAUCCGAUUGGAUUUGGAUCACAUGAAUCUUGGAUCAAAUCCAAUCCAUUGCCAUCCCUAUCCAGAAAGAUUUUUAAAAAUUACCCGUUGAGAUAACGUUCAUUAAUGGUAUUAGAUUCGGAGCAGACUGCAGACUCAGAAUUUUUUUUUUAGAUAACGUUCAUUAAUGGUAUUAGAUUCGGAGCAGACUGCAGACUCAAUAACUUUUUUUAAAAAAAAAAAAAUUCUGGAGAUUAACAACUUUAUUAAUUAUUCUUCGUACAUAAAUUUUUAGCCUGGAUUAGAUUUAUUUCAAUGGAAUCAGCUUUUCAUUGAAGAAAAUAAAGAUUGACGCGGGGGCGGAGGCCAACCAAUUUUUGGCAUCAGGUUCAACAACUUUAUUCUUUAUGCAGAAACUUUUAGCCGUCUGAUUAAUUUUAUCAUACAUUGAUAUUCGGUCGUUGGAUUAGAUCUAUUUCAAUUACGUGAGACAUAAUUAGCUUUUAAUUAAAGAGAAUAGAGAGUGACGCCGGGACCACCAAUUUUCUUUCCUGACUUUUGUCUAAAAAUUAUUGUGAAGUGCUUAUCUUAACCGUUGACCUGAAUCUAAUCAGAGGGCUAAAAAUUUGUGACUAGGUAAACAAACAGGCACCCAAAGUUCCAUUUAAGAUCAAUCGGAAAGAAAGUGAGCGAGCAUAAUCACAGAGAGAAAAACCUUGUUGAUUUUCCUUAAUACCUUUUCUUCUAAACCCCCCCCCCCCCCCCCGCCCCGGGGGAAAAAAACAAUAACAACCAAAAAAUAAAAAAUAAAAUAAAAGACACGCACAAACACAUUUUUUUUUUUCUAUAGAUUUCAGUUUUCUGUAGAUUUAUCCUGCCAACAUUUUUUCAUAGUCAUUUUCUGUCAAUUCUUGUCGUCCUUCCCAAAAAAAAAAAAUGUCGAUCGUUGGAGAAACCAUUCUAACUGUCACCAUUGAGAUGUUGGUGAAAAGUUGAUAUCAGAUGUGAUUCAGCUGUUCGCACGCCAAGAACAGAUCCAAGCCGCUCUUAAGGAUUGGAAGAAGAAACUGGGGAUGAUCAGGGCGGUGCUCGACGACGCCGUUGAGCAGCAGACAACGAAGCAGUCAGUGAAGACGUGGCUGGGCGGACUUGAGAGCUUAGCUUAUGACGUGGAAGACAUAUUGGACGAGUUUGCAGCUGAGGCUUUGCGGAGGAAGUUGGUUUUCGAACCCGACGAUCUCGUUCAACCUCGUGCAGGUUACUUGCGGAAACUCAUUCCUACCUGCUGCACUAAAUUCAGUCCGCAAAAUGUGAGGUUCGAUUCCAAGAUGGCGGCGAGGAUAGAGGAGAUUACUGGCAGAUUCCAGGACAUCGUAGCGCAGAAAGACCUGCUGGAUUUGAAAGAAAAUUCAGGAGGAAAGUCCAACAAAUUAAGCAGUCGUCCAGAGACCACCAGUUUGGUGAUUGAAGCCGAAGUACAGGGCAGAGAAGAAGAGAAGAAAGCAAUAGUGGAGCUGUUAUUGAAAGAUGAUUUAAGUUCUGCUGGUAGAUUCUCCGUUAUUCCUAUUGUAGGCAUGGGAGGGCUGGGGAAGACAGCUCUUGCCCAACUUGUCUACAAUGACCCAACGGUGGAAAGCCAUUUUGACUUCCAAGCUUGGGUAUGUGUCUCAGAAGAUUUCGAUGCUGUCAGAGUGACAAGAGCCAUUCUCAACUCUCUGCAAAUUUGAAAUUGGAUGUAAAAAAGUGGUGUGGAGAAGAAGAAGUGCAAUGGUUCUCAGCCCACAGAAUUCACAGGUUACAAAUGAUAUGUCAAAUCGAGUGUUCCUAAGAGGGAUACUCCAGGAAGAGUUACCAAAUUUAGAAGAAGUGUCAAUUAAAAACAACGAAGAGCUAACAUGCUUAUGGCGGGCAGGACAUGGAUUACUGCAAGACAUUGGUUCCCUUCACCAAUUGAAGAUUGCGAGUUGUCCCCAACUUGUUUCCUUGGUGGAGGAGGAAGAAAAAGGCCAACAACAGCAAGGGUUGCCAUGCAGACUUCAGGUUCUGGAAUUAAGGAGCUGCCCAAGACUGGUGAAGCUACCACAAGCAUUUCUCAGCUUUAGUUCACUUCGGGACUUGAAGAUCUCAGACUGUGAUUCAAUGGAAGCUUUACCGGAUGCGCUGAUGCACAAAGGUAAAGCACCGCUUGAAAAGUUAAUCAUUUCUGGUUGUCAUACUCUGUAAUACAUCGCCAGGGCCCAGCUACCUCCUAGUCUUAAGAAGCUGAGGGUCUACUAUUGCAACAGUCUUAGGACGUUGGUAGAUGAAGAUCAAAUUUUAGACAUCAAUAGUUGCGGUGGGUACACCUCUGUUCUUGAGCAGUUACAGAUUAUUCAUUGUCCAUCUCUGACAUCCUUAUGGUCAAAAAGCGAGCUACCCGCCACGCUUGAAAAUAUUUAUGUUGAUCGUUGCUCGAAGCUUGCUUUCUUGUCAUUGAGAGGCAAUCUAUCGAAGGCUCUUAAGCACCUUUAUAUUGUUAGUUGCUCAAACCUGGAGUCAAUAGCAGAAGGGUUGGACGACAACACAUCUCUUGAAACUAUGGAAAUUUUUAUUUGUCAAAAUCUGAAAGUUUUACCCCAUAACUUGCACAAGGCCCGCCAUCUUCGACUAUUGAGGAUAAAUGAAUGUCCAAAUCUUGUUUCCUUUCCAGAAGGAGGGCUGGCGCCUUUUAGUAAACUGACUACGCUUGAGAUAUUUAAUUGUGAGAAACUGAAGGCCCUCCCCAACGGCCUCCGCAAUCUCACAUCUCUUCAAUACUUAUUAAUACAAGAUUGUCCAAGCAUAGGAUCUUUCACUGCGAAUUGCUUUCCCACCAACCUUACUUCAGUUCGUAUUGACUAUGAGAAGAUUUAUAAGCCAUUGAUAUUGGAGCGUGGCCUGGGAUUGCACAGAUUCACCUCUCUUAGACAACUCACGCUAUUUGGAGGAGAAUGUUGCAGCUUGGUAUCAUUUCCACUGGAGAAAGAUACAGGAAAGGCACUUCCUGCCUCUCUAAAGCAUCUGUCUAUUUGGAAUUUUCCUAAUUUGGAACGCAUAUCCUCAAUUGAAAACCUCACUUCAUUUGAAUCUCUUCAGCUCUGUUGUUGUCCAAAGCUCCAGGAGUUUCCAGACAAUGGCCUGCCUAUCUCACUUUUGAGACUAGAAAUCUAUGGAUGUCCGUUGAUUGAAGAAAGGUUCGAGAAGGAUAAAGGACAAUAUUGGUCCUUGAUAGCCGAUAUACCUUGUGUCCGGAUAGAUUGCCAUUAUGUGUGAUAGAUCCCAAAGCACAGAGACAACUGUAUCCUGUUUAAAUUCACAAAAUCCAAUCCCAGGUAUGUGUAGUUAGGGAUGGCAAAAAUUCUCACGGGACGGGUAGUCUCGGGGAUUUUUCCCAUUCGGGGAGGGUAUGAGGAUAAUUUCAUACCCAAUUUUUUAUUCGGGGAAGGGACAAGGAAAUUUAAUUUCUUAUUCGGGGAGAGGACGGGGAUGAGGUGGAAUCCCCAUCCCCUACCCAUUUCCCCAUUUUAAUUUUUAAUUUAAUUUUUAUUUUUUAAAAUUACUAGUAAAUAAAUAAUAAAAUUUGAAUUAUAAAAUUAUUAAAAUUGGUAAAAAUAACAAAUAGCAAAAUAUUUAUAUUAUUAAACUUUUAGGCCUAAUUAACUAAUUAAAGUCCUAAAUUUUUAUUUAGGACAUUAAAAAGACCAGAUAGAUUCUAUUAGCCCAAAAAUUUUGUUUUAAUUUUAAAAUUCAUUAAAUAUUUUAAACUUAAAUCUAUUUUUUUAUUUAUUUUUAGAUGUUAUAAUUGUCCACAGCGAAUCACAAUUUUAAUAUCUAAUCUAAUAUUUUCUCUUGAUUUGCUCCGACUUAACUAUUGUGUUGUAAAGGAAAUAGUCCACAUUUAUAAAGUGCCCACGCCACCAUUGAAAAAGUUAAUUUUGAAUCUAAAUUUGAUUUUAUUUGUAACAAUUUUGUAUUACACUGUUAAUUUGUUCAUGAUAGUUUGUAAAAGAAGUUUGUAUCCAUUGCAUGCUGCGUUACUUACUAAUUUAAUGUAUGUGACUUUUGUAAUGAAUAUUAAUGUAAGAUAUAUUUCGAACUUUACUUUUAUUUGAAUUUUUUUAUUUUAAUAUGAUUAACUUAAAAUCGAAAACAAAAAAAUGUAUUAGUUAUUCGGGGAUCGGGGACCUUCGGAGAUCCCCUGUUAUUAUUCAGGGAGGGGAUGGAGAUUCUCUCAAAUAAUUCUGACGGGACGAGGAGGGGACGAGGACAUACGCAAAAUAUCGGGGAUGGGUACGGGGAGAUUGAUCCCCUCCCCUCCCCUCCCCAUUGCCAUCCCUAUGUGUAGUUAAUAAAUAUCCAACCAAUUACAAUUAUGUUUUAAUUAUAUUUCUUUCUUUUUAAAAAAUUAAAUCUCAUGGAUUCUUCUUUUUCUUGAUGUUCUGAUCAAGAUCCAAACAGCUGAUUACACAAUUCCCCACCUGCUCGUUUCUUUCUAUAUCAGCUUAUCAAGGCAAUUUUUUAUUUUUCUCUUUUCAUGGUGAGAAAUACUUUUAUUUAUUAUUCUUAUUUUGUUUCUUUUCUUGACAAUUGACAAAGCUGAGCUACAUCUAAGUCAUUUUCCUUUAUGAUGCUGACCACUGAUGGUUGAUGUUAAGGAAGCUCACAUUUGCAAGAUUAUCAGCAAAGCAGAGGAUCACAGCAACAAUCAUAUGCAGUUACGAGUUGAUGACAUGGCAUGCCAGCUGGAGCCUGGUGGCUAUGUAAUCAGUUAUGCAUGUAUCAAUUAGCUAUAAGCUGUUAUAGUUAGUUGAAAGGAUUAGUUAAUAAUUUGUUGCUAAUUACAACUAUUUGUGCUGAGCUUCAGCUUAGUAUAAAUAACAACAGCUUUGUACAUAUCAUUAAUAAUGUGAUUAAUGAAAUUUAGUUUCUAGAAAACACUCAGAUCUAGUUCAUAUUUUCUUAGUUGCCAAACACGUUUUUCUCGUUCUUCAACUUGGUAUCAGAGCUAGUAACAAUGGCUUCAGUCCAUCUAGCUUCUUCUUCUUCUUCUCAAGCGCCAAUUAAUCAAACAACUGUUAAUUCAACAAAUAUGACAUUCACUUUCAAUACACCUAUCAAGUUAGAUCAAUCCAAUUAUUUGAUUUGGAGAUCUCAAGUUCUUGCUUCAAUUCGCGGCAACAGACUUGAGAAAUUCAUUGAUAACUCAACCACUCCACCUCCUUCACACAUUGCUCAGAGAAUUGAAGAUGAUCUAAGAUCUGUAGAAAAUCCAGAAUUUGCAACUCGGAGAUCACAAGAUCAGGUGCUGCUUGGCUGGUUACCUUCUUCAAUGAGUGAAGGAAUCAUCAGUCUAGUCUUCAAUCUAGAGACUUCUCGAGAGGUAUGGAAAGCUAUAGAAGUUCAAUUUGGAUCUCAAUCUAAAUUUAGACUUCUGCAUUUACGAUAUAUGAUGAAUUCAACUAGGAAAGAUGAUCUGAAAAUUACUGAUUACUUCAUUAAGAUGAAAAGUAUUGCUGAUAAUAUGGCUGCAGCUGGUAGUGCGUUAAGUGAUGAUGAUUUGAUUUUGCAUGUACUCUCUAGCUUAGGUCCAGAUUAUAACUCUGUUGCUACCUAUAUCACUGGACAAGUAGGAGUAGGAAAAAUGAAUGUAAAUGAAGCUUAUACUAUGCUUCUAACUCAAGAAGCUAGGAUUGAACAACAAACUCAUAUGCUAGCUAAUACUGAUGUGAUACAAAACUUUGAGGCUAAUCUUGCCUAUAACAAAGGUUAUAAAAUGGGAAAUAUGUCAGGAGGAAGAGGUUUUGGUAGCUUUGGAUAUAAUUCUGGUUAUGGAAACAGUGGAAACAGUAACAGUAAUGGUUACAAAGGAGGUUAUGGAGGCUCUGGAUUUAAUGCUAAUAGUGGAAAUGCUUAUGGAUCUAACAAUCAGUUCAAGGCUUAUCAAGGAGAUAAUCAGAGAGGUGGAGGAGGAGGUAACUAGAACCAGAAUGCUGGAAAUAGAGGAUUUAACAAUAGCAGACCACCUGGAAACACUAAGCCUCAAUGGAAUGUCUCUAAGCCAACCUGUCAAAUCUGUUGUAGAACAGGCCACACUGCAAAUAUUUGCUGGAAACUUGAGGAAUUCAUGGCAUUUGGAGCUUACAGACCACCACCAAACAGAAAUCCAAAAUCUGCAUAUUUGGCUAAUAUGGAAGGCCCCGCUGAUACUAACUGGUAUUUGGAUAGUGGUGCAACACACCAUCUGACUAAUGAUAUCAACAUGCAUGUUUCUGAAGCUUUUACAGGUAUAUCUAAACUUGUUGUUGGCAAUGGUGCUGGAUUGGAUAUAACACUUAUUGGAAGUGCUGCAUUGAAAUCACAUAACUCCAAUAAUGCCUCUUUAACUUUUAAACUAAAUGAUAUCCUUUUAGUGCCACAAAUUACUAAAAACCUUAUCAGCAUCUCUAAACUCACAAAGGAUAAUGAUGUUGUGAUUGAGUUUACUAAUAAUUUCUGUUUUGUGAAGGACAAUGUGAGAAAUUUGAUCAUAUUGCAGGGCAAAGCUGAAAAUGGUCUAUACAAAUUGCUAUUGGUAAUAGGAAUAGUGUACUGCUGAAGAAGAUUGUACUGAAAUUCAGAAGUUUUGGAUGGAGAAGAAGAACUGAAAAUUGAGGAAUAUGGAAAUGAAGUUUCAUAAAAAACAACAUGACUUGCUAUAUAGAUUUUUCCAAAAGAAUGGAGACAUUUAAAACCCUUAUGCAAAGGACUAUACCCCAGAAAAAUACAUUUGGAUGUAUGAGACUGAAAUUUGUGUUGAUUAUAACUUCUAAGGAAGGGAAAGCAUGAACAUCCAAAUGUUCUCAAGAAUUUGUAAUCUGGAGAGAUGUGAAAUAUAGACUCAUAAGGAGAUUUCAUUGACUGAACUGGUGUAGGCAAUCUGUUUAUAAGGUAUGUGGCUGUAUGAAAAGACUCCCACCAGAAUUUAAUGGGUAGGUUUGCUUGUGCAAGUAGAGUAAGACCAAGUUCUGUAAUAUGCCUAUGCUUUCUCUCUACAAUUCCAUUUUGAUUGUGAGUGUAUGGACAUGAAUGUCUGAAGUGUAUGCCCUCUGUGUGAAGGAGGUUAACAAAGGAUCGAAAUUCUCCCCCCCAGUCUGAUUGAAGACAUUUUAUGGGUUUGUCAAGUUGUUUUUCUAUCUGGUUUUUGAAAAUUUUAAAGACUGAUAGUGUUUCACUUUUGGUUUUCAAAGGAAAGAUCCAAGUAAAUCUUAUGAAAUCGUCAACAAAGCUUAUAUAAUAUAUGUAGCCUUGUGAUGAAAUCACAGGGGCUGGUCCCCAUAAAUUAGUAUGCAAUAUUUCCAGGGGAAACUUUGUUUUGAUAUCAGAAGCUGGAAAAUGAAGUUGGUGCAUUUUUCCUAUUUGACAAGCAUCACAGAAAUUAAAGGUUGUAUUCUUAUUGUCAAGAAUGAAAGAUGAACAUGUUUUGAUUACAUGAUUCAAAAUCUUAGAAGAUGGAUGUCCCAAUCUCUGAUGCAAUACAGAAGUACUUAACAAACACUCAGAGUUUUUACAAGUAGCUGCAGUAGGCAGACAGGAGGUUUUAUUUGAAAAAAUAGAAUUGACAACUGAAAACAUUAAAAGAGGAGAAGUUGAUACAACUGACUCAGCAACAAAGUUUUGACUAUAAGCAGAAGAGGCUGUCUUAUUAGGUGAAACCAAUAGCAAUUUGUAUACCUUUGAAGCUGAAACUGCAGGUAAUGAUUCACAUUCUAAUCACCUUGGUCCUAUAUCUUCACCACUCUCUCACAACACCAUCCCAACCCUCACCACCAGCUGUUGUAUCUCAGCAAUCUAUACCUUCUUCACCAACUCAGCUCAAUCUUCCUAUACUUCUACCUGAUACAACACAAAAUACAUUAUUCUCCCAACCUCCUAUAUCUCACUCUCUGAUUCAACCAACCCACUCAUCUCAACCUAAACCAAAUCUCUCCACACAUAAAAUGAUCACUAGAGCAAAGGCUGGCAUAUACAAACCAAAGGCCUACCUAACAGAUCAUAAUAGCCUGGAACCAUCUACAGUUUCAGAAGCAUUAUCUGAUCCCAAAUGGAAAGCAGCAAUGCAGACUGAAUACCCUUAUGCCUAUGUGCCCAUCCUACAAACUAGUUGGGUGCAAAUGGGUGUUCAGAACCAAGUACAACACAGAUGGCUCAGUUUCAAAACAUAAAGCCAGACUGGUAGCCAAGGGAUUUCAUCAAACUGCAGGUAUUAAUUAUUCUGAAACUUUUAGUCCUGUAGUGAAGUCUUCAACAGUAAGAUUGAUUCUUAGUCUAGCUGUCAUGAACUGUUGGAAGGUCAGACAAAUUGAUGUGAAUAAUGUCUUCUUAAAUGAGGAUUUGUCAGAGGAUGUGUAUAUGGUUUAGCCUGAGGGUUUUGUGUCCAAAGAAGGCUACAUAUGCAAGCUUACCAAGGCUCUAUAUGGAUUGAAACAAGCUCCAAGAGCUUGGUAUGAUAAACUGAAAGGCUGUCUUACUGCCUGGAAUUUCAUCAAUUCAAAGGCUGACACAUCUCUUUUUGUUAAACAUGAUGAUAAGGGCAUUAUUAUUAUCUUGGUCUAUGUUGAUGAUAUUCUGGUUACUGGUCCUGACUCAGCAUUACUUGAAGAAUUUAUCACUAAACUAAGUAAGGCUUUUGCUCUCAAGGAUCUGGGUUUGAUAGCUUAUUUUCUUGGAGUGGAAGUAUGUUACACAACUCAUGGAAUGCAUCUGUCACAGACAAAGUAUAUUAAAGAUCUGAUCAGCAAAGCUUCAAUGCAGAAUUGCAAAGGGUCAGAUACACCCUUCAGUACUGGAUUUAAACUAGAGAAAAAUGUUCAAGGUCCUCUGGGACAAGAAUUUGAAGAACCAGCACUUUAUAGGAGCAUUGUUGGAGGGCUUCAAUAUUUGAUUCUCACCAGGUCUGACAUUGCUUAUUCUGUACACAAACUCAGCCAAUAUCUCAAUACUCCUACACUUCAGCACUGGCUGGCAUGCAAGAAGGUUCUCAGAUAUCUUCAAGCCAUAACUACUCAUGGUUUAUACAUUCAAAAGGAAGGGACACUUGGACUUGCAGGUCUAACAGGAUACUCUGAUGCUGACUAGGCAUGUGAUGUUGAUGAUCGAAAGUCUAUUGGAGCUUACUGUAUUUACCUUGGUAAUAAUCUGAUCUCCUGGUCUUCAAAGAAGCAAGCUAUAGUAGCUAAGUCAAGCACUGAAAGUGAAUACAGGGCACUAUCUUCAGCAAGUUCAGAGCUUUCAUGGUUGCAAUCUCUGUUGUCAGAACUUAACAUUGUUCAGUUACCUACUCCAAUUCUUUGGUGUGACAAUCAAAGUGCUGGAGAGUUAGCUCGAAAUCCUAUUCUUCAUUCUAAAUCCAAACACAUUGAAUUGGAAAUUCAUUACAUUAGAGAUAAAGUGCUUGGAAAAGAAUUAGAAAUAAGAUAUAUUCCUACAGAAGAACAAGUUGCUGAUGUCCUUACUAAAGCUUUGUCAUUUCCCAAGUUUAACUAUUUUAGAUCCAAGCUCAAUGUCAUCAACAGGCCAUUGAGCUUGAGGGGGGAUGUUAAAGAAGCUCACAUUUACAAGAUUAUCAGCAAAGCAGAGGAUCACAGCAACAACCAUAUGCAGUUACGAGUUGAUGACAUGGCAUGCCAGCUGGAGCCUGGUGGUUAUGUAAUAAGUUAUGCAUGUAUCAAUUAGCUAUAAGCUGUUAUAGUUAGUUGAAAGGAUUAGUUAAUAAGUUGUUGCUAAUUACAACAGCUUUGUACAUAUCAUUAAUGAUGUGAUUAAUGAAAUUUAGUUUCUAGAAAACACUCAGAUCUAGUUCAUAUUUUCUUAGUUGCCAAACACGUUUUUCUCGUUCUUCAACUGUUGGAAGUCAACUAUUGUAUAGUAAGAUGAUUUGAAACUUCUUUUAAAACUUCUCUGUCAUCUAGCUUAGAGAACUUGACUGUCCACCAAGAGUCUGGAGUCACCUGUUGCAUCUCAAGUUGAUUUGGUAUUUGUUAUUUUUAAUGAGGAAAUACUUUGCUAGAACUUUCAGAUUGAACAUUGCAGGUAGGAUUAUUAUUCAAGUCGUGACCUUCGAGAACUUGUUGCAGUUGAAUGUUUUUUUUUUUUUUUUGGGGGGGGUGGGGGGGUAAUGACAAAAAUUAUUAAUGUUUAGGAACAACUCUUUAGGGGAGAAGCAUAUAUAUCUGGCUGGCAAUUUUGGCAUAUUCAACUGUUGAUAGUAGAAUGGAUGUAUGGAGGGUUGACUUCAGUGACCACAAUUAAUUAUGUCAUUGUACGGUUAAAUGGUUGCAUUAUGAAAAGCAGAGAUGCGUUAGAAAAUGACAUGGCCUUUGUCAUGCUUAAUCUGUGCCUAUGCAGCUAUUGUAUUAUCUUGGUUAACCUGUGCCUUUUUAAUUCUUGUACUAUGACUGCCUGGUCCUAAGCAAUAUUGAUGGAAAUGACAUCCAGCUUGAAGUUUAUGUAAAUCUUUCAAAAUAAAUUCUGAAUACCCUUGGAUUUGGUGUGUACAAAGUCAAAGAAUCCAUUUAGCUGGUCCUACAAGUUUUAGACUUUGCAGGGAGGCUUCAGAUUUAUAAAUAUGUAACAAAAAAGGUGUAGACUACAUAAAAAGACUUAAAAAAAAAGUGUAUAGAAUUAUUAGCUAUGCUUAGAUAAAUUCCCGGUAAUUACCUUUCUAGUAUUACUUUUUUUCUUGUUGUUUCUUUGAGAUAUUUCAAGAAAUAUACAAUAUAUGCAAACAUAUAACUUCUUGAAAUUUGUAAUUAUAGGAUUCUGUUGACUGGUUGGUUCUAUACCUCUUUGUGGGAAUGGGCGAAACAUCUUGAUACCUUUACCAAGAUCAGUUAGUGCUGAGGUUUUGGCUAUUACUGGAGCUGGCGUGUGACUGCAUGAUCAAGAUGCGUCAAACCUUCCACUGUUCUAUUGGUUUGCCUUUAUCAUUCGGAAUCCAAGUUUGAUAUUAACAGAGAUCACAUCAAUAAUAUCCUAUUUGGGUAGAUGUGGGUGAGGAUUUAAAAUCAAAUUUGAAAUUGAGAGGAAAGAAAAGGAGCCACAAUAAUUAAACAAAAUAAUUCUGAUGAGUUUUAAUCUCGAGGAACAAUUUUCAAAUGCAAAUUUAACUGCUAGAGAAAUUGUAGCUUUUUGUCAUUAGUUAAAAGGAAAAAGAAUAAGAACUAUCCGGCCCUUUCCUUCAUGAAUGUGUUGAGGUUGCUGUAUUAUUUAGUCAGUAUUUGUAAUUUUCUUCCCUGCAGUGCUCUCUGCUUCCUGAAUUUGCUACUGAGUCCAUAUUUUUCUUUGAGCUUUUGCUUCCUAUUGCUGUUACAGGUGCAAAUCUGGGCAAGCAAUAAGAUACACCGGGAGGAAAGGUCAUCAAUGCGAAAAUGGGAUGUCCGAUCCCUCAUCACAUCUUCUUCAGAUUUGUAUGGUCCAGAAAAGUCUGCUAGUGUUGAAAAAUUACCUAGGCAUGUAAAAUUUACUUUUAAGAAUCCUGUUAGGUGCUGCAUUAUUUGGAUCACAUUACAUCUUCAGAGACCUGGUUUGGGUUCAGUUAAUUUCGGGAAGGACUACAGCAUUUGCAGAUGAACCUUCAGAACAAGAUGAUUCAGGAUUGAGAGCUCCACUUGUGGCCACAGGUUUGUCUUUGUCAAACAGAAUCAAGUUAUAUUAUUAUUGUGAUCCUUAUGAGCUCGGAAAAUGGGCAAGCCUUUCUGGAGUUUGAUCGUUAUUUAUAUGUCAGAGAAAGAGUUUUGGGUUUGAUUUUGAUUUGUAAUUUUUGUCAGUUUAUUGAAAUUUUGUUGUUGUAUAAAAGCAGAAUGUAAAGGUAUAAAAAUUCAUUGAUGCUGUAAUGUCUGUACUUUUGAGAAAGAAGAAUUCAAUGUCUUUUCUAUGCCAUUGGAUUUUCCACUGCUGGUAAAACCUGAGCUGUCGAAUGCUCUGUGAACCUUAAGGGCUAGAAAGUAAUUUUCUUUUUUUUUUAAUUCUUUUAUAUACAUAUUAUUAUUGAUAUUACAUUAGACAUUACAAUUACAAUAUUUAUAAUCGUACUAAAUAACUGAGACCAACGUCAUACAUUAACUCACGCCAUACAUUAACUCACUGAAGCACUUGUCCAAAUACUUUAAACCUCUCUAAUAUUCGAGGAGUGUCUACUCUAUUCACAUUUUGUUAGGGAGAGACUGUCUCUACUCAAUUAGUUGAUAAUUAAGAAAGAAUUGAAACUAACCUCCAUAAUGUUCUUAUGAAAGCUCGAACUCUUGCACUCAACAUUAUAAGUGCAAGGUUUCUACCAUUGAACCAAAGACCCAUUGGUGGCUAUAAAGUAAUUUUCAAGAGUGAAGGAUUUAUUAAUCGAGUUCAAAAGAUUGCAAGCUGGUGAGCGUUGGCAUUUAAAAAUCAAUUGUUAUCCUCUCAAUAAUCUCUCUCUUCUGCCGACACCCGAAGCUCAGAAACCCGUUGUUCCGACGGACGUGUAACACUUCCAGAAAUUAGCCUUUUCUUCUAUAUGAAGGUUGAUCUCUCCUCCUGCAGUGUUUUCUUUUUCGAGUGAAGGUGGUUUUCUACUUACAUAUGUCGGGGGUCUUACAAUAUCUAAUGUGUGAAAUUUCUUUCUCAUUUUACCAUAAAGAAAAUGUCAGUAAUGAUUUAAAGCUCGAGUCUUAAAUUAUCUUAAAUUAAGAAUCUCUCAUUACAUUGUCAACCAAAAAGACACUUACAUAAGAAGAAGAAUUUGUCAGUUUGAUUUUAUUUGUAGAUCCAACAUUUCUCAUAUCCUGAGUGCCUUUCCGUAUCAAAUUAAAAUAGUAGUAGCAAAAUCGUAGUGCACAUUUAAUUAACCAACUAAUAGUCUAAGCAAAGAGAGGAUUACAAGUUCACAACACCAUUACAAAGGAUUCAAAAUCCCCGCACGAAAACAUCAAUGUACAGUUAUAAACAACCCGAAUUGGACACAAGAAAAACCCUUCAAUGGAUUGUUUGCCUUCCCAAUGCUAUAUACUGUGCAAACUGCGCACUGGCCAAGAAAAUGUUUUCAAUUUAGUGUACUUUCAAAAUGCUUAUUUUCUCAGAAUAUUAAAAAAAUAAAAAAAUAAAAAAAUAAAAAGAAUUCUUACAUGUUUCAUCAGCAUGAUUAAAAUCAAAGAAGAAAGCGAGACAUAAUGUCUCUGACAUAAUAAAAUUACAAAAAUUUCAAAAAAAAUGUUAAAACAUGUAAACAUGAAAGUAUUUUCAAAAGCAAAAUGGAAUACAUAGAUAAAACAUCAUCUUAAACAAAUCACAAUCUAGAAUUAGAGCAUUUUUGACAUACCUAAGGAAAAAGAAUACGUGAAAAUGGGUGACUCAUUUGCUAAGGAGUGUUGAUUUGAUUGGCUCUGCAAAUUCUCUUGGGGCUCAGUUCCAAUUCCUCUACAUCCAAAGUUCCACUCGCGCUUGGCAAAUCAUCCAAUUUCCAAACUUCGGUAGCAAAAUUGAUAGUAAAAGUGUUGUCUUUUGUUUCGCUGGGAUUUGCAUAUACUGGACAUAAUCCGCAACGUUUUAUCUUGUAAAACUUUCGCUCAGCGAAGAACUUAAAUGUGGCAAUUGUAUGAUGGUAACCAUCAGGAAACCCAACAUUCAAGCAAGGUUUAAAACCAAGUAUGACACGAUCUGAAUCAAUAAGGUCUUCAAUAUAGCGCGAAUUGUAACCCAGAUCAACAUGUUUGGUUUCAGAGAGAGUCUUUAUUUCUAAGUCGAAUUGAAAGCUGACGUAAAAAUAACGAAAACAAUCAGAAUCAACUUUCUUAGAAUCAAGAACAGCACAAAAAGCAAACCCGAUUAAGUUUCUGCAAGAAGAGUGCGGUGGCAGUUGAAUACAUAUCGAAGAUCCUGAACUUUGAUUGCUAAACCAGUCAGGAAUUUCGCUCCCAGGUAAAACAAUUAGGGAUCCCCUGAGUUCAGAAAGUUUCUGUGAAAGGACAUUUAAAAAAAGAAAAUUGUAAAAUGAAAACCAUUGAUUUCAGAUAUAAGAAAGAGGGACAGAGUAAACAAGAGAGGGAAUUUGAUACCUCGUUGAUUGCCAUUUCAUAGCCCAGUCUCAGUGAUGCAAUUGCCAUAUGCCGAAUUCUUAGUAGUGAAUCUGCCAAAAUCUUGUUGUUUGCUUUUCCAUUCAGUUUCAAGCAGUUAGUAAACUCAAAACAAAUUGCUGCUGACUUCAGAGAUUCUGGUGCCCAUUGAAGGUCAGGAGAGUGUUUGGAUAGCUUUUCGAGUACGGAUGCAUCUAGUUCUUGUAGACAUAACAGAAUCUCUGGCAAAGAUUGAAGCCGGUUGCAGUUCCUUACAGUUAGUAACUGUAGACACAAUGGAAGUUCUGGUAAUGACCGAAGCAUGUUACAAUCCUCCAAGUUAAGAUAUUGUAGACACAAUGGAAGUUCUGGUAAUGACCGAAGCAUGUUACAACCCGUCAAGUCAAGAGAUUCUAGACAAAAUGGAAGUACUGGUAAUGACUGAAGCAUCUUACAAUCAAUCAAGUGAAGAUAUUUUAGGCACAAUGGAAGUUCUGGUAAUGACUGAAGCAUAUUAAAAUCCUCUAAGUGAAUAAACCUCAGCUGCGACAUUUGCUUGAUAAUUGCAGGUAAACUCUCAAAGUUAUUUCCACUUAGAUACAAUAUUUCCAGUGAGGAUAGAUAGGCAAUCUCUUGUGGAAUUUCCCUUACAGCAUAGUCACUUAUAUGUAGAAGUCCCAUAGCAGAUAAACCUAAUAAAAAUGUUCGAGGAAAUGAUUCCAAACCUUUGCAGUGAGAGGAGUCAAGACUUCUAAGCAUGUUUGACAAUGCAACAGAGGAUGGUAGUUGACUAAUAGCUGAUGCAGCUGCUAAGAUGUAAUACAAAUAUUCUAAAGAGCCAAUGUUAUCCGGUAAAUUAUCAAGUUUAGAGCAAUCUUCUACGAACAAUACUUCAAGCCCCGGUAGAUUUUCAAAUGACGAUGGCAGCUCUGUAAUUGGCGUCCUGUCUGAAUAGAUGCGUUUUAAAUGUUCCAUUUUCUCCAAGAUUUCUGGGAAAUGCUCAAGGUUCAAGCAGCCAAGAAGAAUAAGCGUAACCAAAGAUCUCAAUUUACAAAAGCUUGUUGAAAUCCGCUUCAGCCGUUUGCAACCCCUCAAAUCCAACACUUCAAGAUCAGUUAGACACUCUAUUGAUGAUGGAACUUCUUCUAUUGCAGACUGGCCUAAGUAUAGCCGUGUAACUUUCCCAGAAAUUUGUGGAAACUCUAUGAGAUUAACACAAUAGGAGAAAUUAAUAGUUACUGGACAAACAAAAUGAAGAUUGCUUGGAAAAGACCUAAGACUUUGGCAGCCCUUAAAAGACAACGCACUGAGAUACUUGAAAUUCUGGAUAGAUGAGGGAACACAAGCCUUUUCUCCUUCCCAAGGUUGCUCAACUUUACUACAACGCAAAUUCAGUUCAACAAGGUUCUUUGGCUUGAAAUUUGAUGGCAGUGUCCUUAAUGGAUAUGUGUCCCAAUGAAGAUAUCUCAAUUUUUUAGGAAGAUAAUCUAGGCCAUUUGGAAGCUGCACUUUAGAGUAUGAAAGUUGCUCUUCAGUGCUCAUGCUUGGAAGCUUUUCAAUCUCAUAAAACUUAGGUACAUAAAAUUUGAACAAUCUCAGAUUAGACAUAUUUGUGAAGGCUCUGGGGUCUAAAUUGAUGCCUUUUAUUUUGGACAGAUCUAGAAAUAUGCCUUCAAUUGCAUCGGUCCCCUUAUAAAAAAAAAAACAAAAACAAAGAAUGGGUAAGCCUAAAACAGAAAAGAAACAUUCGUAAACUUUAUUAACUAAGAGCUCCUUAAACAAAACAAAUUCUACAAUCUUUGAUUUAUUUUUUAAAUAUAUUAAAUAUCUAUAUGCGAGAAAAGAAAAUUUUGGGGACCAUUGCAAAAUUAAACUAACCGAAAAAAAAAAAUCAAAAUUUCUCUAAUUUACAAACCUGUUAUCUUAAUAUUUAGAAGUUGAGAAGACAUGGCUUAUUUGAUUGGUAUAAGAUUUCGAAUUUUUUUAGAGUCCAUAGAAUCCAAAAUAUUAGUCCAAAAUUAGGGAAAAAAAUGAAAGAUUUUUUUACCACUAGCUAUAAUUGUAUUCAAGUCAAAUUGAGAUACGACCCUUUUCGAAAGAAUUUAUCCGUCUUACAGCCUCCUUAAGAUACAUUUAAGCUAAAAGGAGUGAUUGGAGGCAGAACUAGGUGGGCCAAUCAGUCCAUUUUAUUAGCGAUUGUUGCUUAAAAAAAAUGAUACUCUAAAACACACUUACUUUUUUUGAAAAAAAAAUAUAAUUAUAUUGAAAUAGAACCAGGUGGGCCAAUUCUCAUGGCACUCACUUUGUUCUUACACACUUCACUAAAUUUGAAGAAAAAUAAAAUUAUACUCUUCACACUCUUAUUCAACAUUUCAAAAUUGAUAAAAUCUGGAGUUUUCUUUAAAAUUUUAAAAUUUGAAGACUUGUUCUCUUGACACCCUCAGUCAUUAAUUUCACCUAAUUAUGGUUUUGAUGAUUUUGGUUGUUUUGUUCAUAAAAUAAUUUUACUAAAGGAUGUUCUCGUAAUAAUAAAAAUUAUAAAAAAAACAUAGGUGUGCUGGUGUGGUUGGGAAAAUACGAGUGCAGAACUCGAAACAAAUAAAAGAUGUAUAAAAUAAUGGAGGAUUCUUACCUUAUUAUGCUUUAGUACGCGGCUGAUUUCCUUAGGAUCCCACAACCUGCUGCGUUUGCCUGGCUCUUUCUCAGAUUCUUGGCGAACAAUCUGUCGCCCCAUUUCUUGCAAUAUAUCAUGCAUGUUCAAGAAAUUACCUGAUAUUGAUACGAGUGACUUAUCAAUAAGGAUAUCCAGCACAUCAGACUCAGAAUCAUCAAGAAUGCUUGCCACAAAAUCUUUAUCCUCUCCCUCAAAGAAACACGCAAUAUCUAGAAAUAUACUCUUCACCCUGGGCGUUAAUUUGUUAAAACUAAUCUUUAAUAUAUCAUAAAUAUCAUGAAUUUCAGAUUCACAAAUCCGAUUUAAGUCGUGCAAUACUUUUCCCCAAUGGCUUUUCCUCUUGAGGCACAGGGAGGAACCCAACACUUCAAGAACUAAUGGAUUGCCUUUGGUAUAUGAUACAACACUCCGUGAGUGCCAGUUGAGAUCUUCAGGACAAUGAUUUUCUUUAAAAGCGAAGUUACAAAAAUGCUCGAAAGCCUCUUCAAAUUCCAAUCCAUUAACCCUAUAUAUUUUCUUCUCCUCCCCUCUAAAUUUUUCGAGGACUCGUUUGUCUCUGGUGGUUACAACAAUUCUACUUCCUUGACCAAAUUGAUCAAGCUCUCCAAUCAGACGCUUUAAUUGUCCAACUUCAUUCACAUCAUCGAGUACUAUCAACAACUUCAUGCGUCGGACCCUCUCUUUAGUAAAAUGUGGAAUAUUGGGACCAGCUACUUCAAGUUUUUCGCUUAAUGUUGUUGAAAGCAUUUGCUUUUGGAGAUGUUCUAAUCCACCCGCCGUUUCUGAGUUUCCCCUAACAUCUGACACAAAGCAACUACCUUCAAAUUCAUGGGAGAAUUGGUCGAAAAUAGCUUUGGCAAGGGUGGUUUUGCCGAUACCACCCAUGCCCCAAAUUCCAACAAUUUGGACGGUAUCCGAUGAAUCCAUACACAGAAAUGGUUUAAUCUGCUCAAUUCGUGAAUUUAAUCCAACUAGGCCAUUGGAUGAGUCCGUUGAGACUGUUAUUUUUUCCAACUUCUUCAAAACAUCUUCGACAAUUUUGUUUACAAGUUGCGCAUCAUGCCUAAUACAAAGGUGCAAAGAUGCAAAAACAUUGAGUCAAAUCGGGCCAUGACAGAAACAGAGAAAAGAUGAAUUAGGAAAGAGAGUUACCUGAAUUUCGCGGAUUCGUGGCCGGCUAGAUGGGAUGUUUCUGUCAGUGCAUCCCUCCACUUCAGAACCAUUUCUGGUUUAUCUUGGAACUGUUUUUUGAGCUCAUCAAAACCGUCUCCAAAAGUUCCAUUUUGAUGCCGCACAUCAGAUGGACUUACUCCAUAGAAAACCGGAAUAAUGAUUUGGCCCUUCAUCUUCUUGCAUUCAAGAAUCUUGAGAAGUUCAUGCAGGCACCAUUUUGAAGAAGCGUAGUCCUUUGAGAAAAUGACCACCGAAAUUUUUGAACCUUGGAUUGCGUUCAAAAGGGCAGGUGAAAUCUCAUCUCCUCGCCUAAGCCCUUCAUCAUCAAUAAAUGUUCUGAUUUUCUUUCUUUCAUACAAAUUAUCAUAGAGAUGGCAAGUAAAGCUCGUACGAGUGUCCUCCCCUCUAAAGUUGAGGAAGACUUCAUAAUUGCCAGAAGAAGAAGAAGAGGAAGCCAUGAAGGAAAUUUUAGAAAUUUUGGUGACAGAAACAGAGAAUUAUUCUUGGAAGUUGAGAGAGGAGAUGUAAGAAUGAACAUGUGUGAAGAUUCUUGCGAGUACAUAGUAAAUAAUUGAAUGGCUGGAGCUUUCUUAGUUUCCUGGAAAUUUCCUGGAGCUUUCGUAUACAUGAUUUGUCAAGUCAUGAAAUAUAAUCAUGAUAAUGGGGCAGACCAGGAAGAAAAGCAACAAUUCAAAUAUUUGAUUCGACCAAUAAGGGAAGGAAAAGCAAAGAAAGGAAAUGUUGAAAGUAGAUGUAGGGAAUUAUAAAAAGCAAAAGGAAAAUGGAAUUUUGUGCAAUUUCAAUAUGAGAACCUAUAUUGGGAGAUAUUAUAAUCGAAUUAAAACUUAAAAUUUCAAUAUUAUUAUUCUUUUUUUAAAAAUUGAGAUAUCAGAGUAAUAUCACAUAGAAAAACUUGCCCACGGUAAGCCAAAAGUCUAGUCAACCACAUGCAUAAAGCUAACUAGAACAAGAGAACAGAGAAACGCGUGGGUCCCUAAAAGAAAAGGCAAGCACAUAAAUAAAUGAAAAAGCCAUGACGUUUCUAUUUUACAUGUCAUUCCUAAUUUUUGUAACACGGUGUGGCAGCAUAUGCACAAUCAAAUGAAGCAAAAGGGGUUCAACUAUCGUGGCAGAACAUGGACGAGGACGCGUGAUGAAUAAUUCCUUCGAUAAAACGAAAAACAAACGCAGAGAAAAGAAUUUCUUACAUGACAAGAAAUCAAAGUAAUGUGAAGGAACAUGAUGAAGAAAUUGCAGACCGAUCAAUUAUCCCCAUGGACUCCUAUAAAUUCAACCAAAAUAACAAUUCCAAUAUUACCAAAUUCUUGAGUUAAAUUUAUUCAAUGCUUUUAUUUUUGGGGGAAAUUAGAACCGCGGCAAGUAUAGAAGACAUUGAGGUGUAAAGCAACAUUAAUUUCAUGGGUUAUGCCUUAUACACAUAAUAUAUUUUCAGUCCAAAUUCAACUAUGCAAAGAGGCUUGAGAACUUAAAAUUAAGCACAAACUAAACAGACGAAGUAAAUACAUGAUUAUGCAACAUAACAUUAAUUCUCUCAAUUUAUAACUGUUUUUGCUACAUGAAUCUUGCACAGUUAAUCCUAAUUGAAUUCUAAAAAAGAACGAUUGGAACAAUGUUAUUUCAAAAACGUACGUUCAUAAGCGGGUCGGUCAGCAGAGUAGAAACCUUGGAUCAGGGUAUCAACUUGGAAACCAAAUUUCUUGUAAAGAUUCACAGCGGGAGUUCUCAAAGGAUCAACAUGAAGCGUUAUGCAGAGCACAGUUCUGGUUCUGCAUUUCUUAAUUGCUGCUUCUAGCAGUGCCUCUCCGUGACCUUGUCCCCGAUAAUUCUCCUUCACUAAUUAAGUUAACCCCAAAACCCAUUAAUUUCAUGUCAAUUAAAAAGAAAAAGAGAAUGAAUAACUAACAAAUAUUUCUUUGAGGACUUUUAUCAAACAGUUGAGAUGGCGGGCAUGCAGUGGAAAUUUCAACAAUGGGGACAAAGAUAUGGGACCUGCAAGCUUGGUGAUAGAAGCAGACAAGGAAGUAGGCCACGCGUACAUGACGUGGCCAACGACUUGUCCGUGAAUCUGAAUGUAAAGCAGGCCUGAGUUCUUCUUUUUCAGUUCCUCAUCAAAAGAUCUUGCCAGUGAUUCGUGCUUGGGAAAAAUCUUCUUCUCCAUCUUCACAAUCUCGUCCACUACGACAGUCCAGUUCGUUGAGUUUCUCUGCAGCUCCGUGACGGUUCCAUUACUCCCCAUGGCACGUGGCUUGUUGCAACUUACAGCUGAUCCAGCACGUAUAGAAAAUUAGAAAUGAAGCCUCCUAGCAUUCUUUCGAACAGGCAAAAAAAGUCAAUGGACAUAGUGGUGCCAUGUGUGGAAAUGUUAAGAAGAUGAUGAAGCCCCCAAGAGGCCAGCGUGGCGUGGCAUUGCACCUCAUCAUUUUUUUAAUGCUAAUCUGUAGAGCGGCCCAAAAUGCCGGCACAAUAUAUAGCUGGCAAAGCCCACCCAAGCCCAACUAUUUGGGCCAACAUAUCAUAAAUUAAUACAAAUAUAAAAUGCACGGUACAACGCAGACAAAGAUGAUUUGUGCAGAUAUGUGCUUCCUUUAUGGGUUUAAUUAUAUUGGUACCGCUCUAAGGUAGAGUAUUCUUUCAUAACUACAUGAUUAAAGUCAUAAUGAAUUUUUUAUUAUUUAUUAUUUUGCGUGUGUGAUUGAGAUUCGUGAUCCACCAUAGAUUAGCUCCAACAUAGCAGUAGCCUUCUUUUAUUGCUCAUCAUCUUUAGCAAACAGUCAUUGGCUUUGGAUGUUGCUACAAUUUAUUUUGCAUAAUUGACAAGGAUAGUCGAUGUGCAUAAUGUUGGAAAUUUUAUUAUAAUAUAUCAAAACACGUAAUAAUUGUUUAACUAUAUUAAUACUGGAUUAAUUUGACGAAUUAUGAAAUGACAGUAGGCAUUAUAUUUUAGAGGAAAAAUUAAAUAUAACAACCUAAAAAGUAGGGAUAAUCUCUUAACCAAACUAAAGAUGUAGGACAUCUAAAAGUAAAUUUAGCUAAUGUGUAGUACAAUUACAACAUCUUAGAAUAUGUCAAAACUUGAAGUGUUGUUGUGUUGAAAUAAGUUCCUAUACUAUUAUGGACAUGUAUGAGAUGUACUAAAAACAAAUUAAAUAACCCACAAUAGAUAUGACACGACCACCAAAAGAGACACACUAUUCUCACUAGGUAGUUGUAACAAGAGCGAAAUGUUUUAACCUAUAUCUACAUGCAUUACUAGAAAAAAAGGUCUUUAUUACAAGUAUUACCUACCAUCUAUCAUGUUGCACGAUAAUUGAGUGACCGUCAUUGAUUUCGGUGUCAAGAAAAUAAGAUGAUUGUUUACAUACGUCAUUUUAUGUAUGACAUAUUAUCUGAUACUAUUUUGGUCAUAACUGUUUUGAUGAAAAAUUUCGCGUAUGAUUAAUAUUUGUCAUAAUCACUUCCAUGCAUGACUAAUAUGUAUCAUAAGAUAAUGACAUAUACAAAUAAAUUUGGUGGGAUUCCAAAAUUUUAAAUGAAUUUUGUUGUGAAUUUCAAAAUUUAGUGGAUAUUCAUAUUUUUUUAUUCCAUUAUUAAUUUAUUCCAUUUGUUAUUAUUUGUAUUUAAUUAAACAAAUAGUUGAAGGAAGGUCCCACCCUAACAAAAAGUUGAUGGUUGUUAUACACUAUAAAUAAGAGCGAUAACGUCAUUAUCUGCGCAGACCAAAGAGAAUUUCAAUAACUAAGUUAAUUUUAUUUAAAUAAAAAAUCUCAAUUAUAUACACGAAAGCUCGGCACGUGUGUCAGUCGCAUAUCUGAUAAUAUAUAUACACACACAAACACAUACACACAUAUACAUAUACAUAUACAUAUAUAUCUAUAUAUAAAUUUUAUUUAUAAUCUUGUAAACUGAAUUUUAUAAAAUUAUAAAAUAGUAAAAGCAUUGUAAACACUUCUCAAAUUUUAAUUCUAAAUUUUAAUUUUAGACCUGAAUAUAUACCCACACAUAUGGCAUAGGUAAUUCCUCCAUAGACUCUAGAGUUUGGGUUAAUUUUACUUCCAAGAUUAUUCAAAAUAGUAUUUUUAAUUUAUAUAGUUUAAAUAUUCAAACAAAUCUAACAUAUAACAAAGAUACACACACACACACACACACACACACACACACACACACACACAACAUGUAAAUUAAUAUUAAAUGUAAAAUAAAAUAUAAGUGUGCAAAUGAAACAUAAGACUUGUGAAUGGAAGGUAAAACAAUUAAAUCAACAUAAGAGUGGUAAAUUGAUAUAUUACCGGUAAAUAAAAUAAAAGCUUAUAAAUAUAACAUCAAACUUAUAAAUCAAUAUUAAGUGUAAAAUAAAACAUAAAUGAUGUAAAUGGAAUAUAAGACUUGUGAAUAAAAGGUAAAAUAAGUAAAUUAAUAUAAGAGUGGUAAAUUGAUAUAUCAUUGGUGAAUAAAAUAAAAUUUUUUAUUAAUAUAACAUAAAACUUGUAAAUCAACAUUAAAUAUAAAAUAAAACAUAAAUUAAGUAAAUAAAACAUAAGACAUGUAAAUAGAAUAUAAAACAAGUAAAUUGAGAAAGGAGUGGUAAAACGAUAUAUUAGUAAAUAAAACAUAAACUUACAAAUGUUACAUAAAACUUGUAAAUCAACAUUAACUAUAAAAUAAAAUAAAAAGUAAGUAAAUAAAAUAUUAAACCUGCAAAUAGAAAGUAAAACAAAUAAACUAACAAAAGAGUGGUAAAAUUAUGUAUUAUUGAUAAACAAAAUAUAAACUUACAGAUGAAACAUAAAAAUUAUAAAUCACUAUUAAGUGUAAAAUAACAUAUGAAUUAUGUAAAUGAAAUAGAAGAUUUAUAAAUGAAAUGUGAAAUAAGUAAAUAUUAUAAGAAUUAUUAAGAAAAUAAAACUUACAAAUAUAAAAAUAAAAACUCACUACAAUAAUGAUUACCUUAUAUAUUUAUUGUUUUUAUUUCUAAAUUGAAUGAUGAUAAUUUUGGGUCUAUAUAAUACAUGUAAUGAUAUUUGUGAAAUUUUAUUAAGGAUAAAACUUAUUUCUAAAAUCAAAUUUUGAAAAAAAAAUUUCAUAUUUUUCAAAAUUGUUUGCAAGAGAAGUGAUUUUGCAUCCUAAACCUGCUUGACAACAACCCUAAAUAAGAUUUUUUUUUUUUUUUUUGGCUUGAUUCACAUUAAGAAAAAUAAUUUUACUUAAUUAACUUGUAUAUUUAACAAAUAAUAUGACGGAAAAAGAAAAAAAGGUUUAUAAGUGUCCUAGCAUGAACAUAGAAUUUAUGGUUAAACCAAUUUAAUGAAAUUUAUUCCAAUUGUCUUCAAUAUAAAUUAUUUGUUUUCAAUUGAACAGCAACUUUUUUCAUUACUUAAAUAAUUAAAAAAUAAUUUUUUUUAAAAUUAAAGUUUCAUGCUAAUUUACAAGCUUAUGUUAUUUUAUAAGUAACACUAAUUUACAGUUCUUAUAUUAAUUUACUUGUUUUACCUUUUAUUUACUAUCUUUAUAUGUAAUUUAUGAAAUUUAUAUUUAUCACGAUAUUGAUAUCGUAAUUUUAAUCACGGUAUUGUAGAAUUUUCCUUAACGACAAAUAUGAGCUUGAUAUCGUCUUUUCAUCUGCAACUUCCUUUAUUUAUUUAUUUAUUUAUUUAUUUUGAGAGAGAGAGGGCAACUUCCUUUGAUUCAAAAUUGGGAACUUUUUGGCCUUUCAACUUAGGCUAAUGUUAAUUGCUAAGUUACACACAUGUAACUUACAAUCAUCUCACAUGAAUAGUGAAUGGUGUGGGCUCACUCACUAUUUAUGUGAAAGAGUUGUAAGUUAUAUGCGUGUAACUUAGGGGGAUCCUUCAACUUAACCUUACUAAACAUCUUCGAUCCUUUCACUAAAUUAAAGUUUUCUCAGUCUCCUUGCCCAUGUCAAAAGACUAAAAUACCCUUUAGGCAUCAAAAUUUCUCAAUAAGACAUGGAGAUGAAAAGAAUUUAUUAUGUGACUGUUCUAAUGCUAUAUUGAUGGUGUGUAAGACAUUACAAUUGUAGGAAGAAGAGGAUGAAGUCAUGAAACACAGACGAAUGAAAUUAAAAAUCUACUUUUUUUAUUUUAAAUAUCUACUGUUGGGUUAUACAAGAUCAAUAGAUGAGAAUUUAUGUCAAUAUUUGAAAUUAAAAAUUUUAAUUAAAAUGGCUAGUCCUUUUUUAAUACUUUUUAAAUAAAUUCUUCAGUGUAAUAUGACAACUGAAAUUUGUACAAGGUAAUCUGAAAAUUAAACGAAUCUAAAAUCUAAAAAUAACUUUCAAAAACGGAUGAAAAUCACUGAUUAAGAAUAAUAUAUUAUGUGGUUGAAGCUUUCGUUUUAUCAAUCUUCUUUCUACCAUUGAUUUUCCCACGACUUUCCGGUUUCAUUUCUUGAAUCUCCAUGGAAACUUUCAAUAAACCAUAAAAUAAACUAGCGGUGUUUGGUUUUAAGAAAGGGAAUGAGAGGAAAAUAGUGAAAUGUAAGGAAAAUGAGAAAAGAGGAGUGAAAAAGGAUAGUGAAAUUAAAUUUCAUUAUUUAGUUUGACAUAAAAUUUGAUAGGGAAAAGAAUUGUAAUUUUUUUCUUUGGAUAAAUUUAUCCUUUGCCUUAAAUAUUAAAUUAUCUAUAUUAGUAAUAAAAUAUAAUUUAAUAUUAAUACCAAACUUUUUUAAUUUCAAAAAGUUCUAAAACAAUUCAUGAUUUAUAUUUAAUAUAAAAUAUAAAAAUAAUUUAAUAUAUUAAACUAUUUAAUAUAAUUUAAUAUAAAUAAAAGCUAGACAACAUAAGUCAACGCCGGUCAACAUAAGUCAUCACCGGUCAACAAAAGUCAACAUCGGCCAACACAGGUCAAUGGAAGUCAAACGCCGGCCGGAUAUUUUCUGACAAAAUUCCGGCGAGUUCCGGCUGAGAUCCGGUGUACCGACGGUGGUUCGGCGAAUUCCGGCGGUUGUCCGGUGACCUUCCGGAAAGGUCCACAUGGAAGUCCAUUUAUAAUGUUAAAUCAAUAAAAUAAAAUUAUAAAUAAUAAUUAUUAAUGACAUUAAAUAAAUUUAAAAAAUGAAAGGUUAUUUUGAAAAUUUUAGUUUCUAAUAUAAGAAAAUUUUAAAUUAUUCACUGCUAAGUCUGAAAUUCAAAUUCUACAUUAUAAUGAAUAUUAAAUUCAAAUGGAAAUUAAAUUCUUAUACAUUUUCUCAAAUUAAAUAAUAGAAAUAAAAGAAUUUUAAAUUAUUUUUCUCUCCUACAUUCUCUCCUCCCAACCAAACACCAUUUAAUGAAUCAUUUUCUGGAACACAACUAUAAUUUUAAUAAAUGGGCGGACCAUCUAGAAUAGUAUAUAUAAUUCUGUUUAAUUAAUAAGUUGAAAAAACCAUCAAGAGAAAUUCUAAUAUUAUGAGCUUGACACAAAUUCUUCACUAAUUCCAAAAUAAGGAGUUGUUUUAUAAGAACUGUGGUGUCUAUGUUUUCUAUACAUUUCGCUGCUAACUUUAACCAAUUACUUUAUUUCAACUUUAUUUUCUGGCGGGCACUAUAUGGUGGGUCCAAAAUGGGACCUACAAUAAUCAAUCAUAAGAUUUAGUACGGCUAUCAAAUAGCUAGUGCUAUUUUGGGUUUGAUGGAAGAGAUUGAAUAUUUAAUUUUAACUUAACCAUUCAACUAAUUAGAAAAUAAAUAAAAUUAAAUGAAAUAUUUAGAUAUUAAUUUAAAUAUUAAUAUCGGGAUAUAAAUUAAUUAUAAUAUAGUUCAUUACAUAAAAUUGAUUAAAUUAAUAAUUACACACGAACAUAGAUGUAUAUGCGUUCCAAUUUCCAAAGUGCUCAAAGCACUUUUCUCACCGAACUUUCCUCUGAAUUUCCCAUAGCUGACUCCUUUGUUUGCAUUUUUGGAAAUUUUUAGGAGCUUUUUCUAUUUAGUAUAUUGUACAUUUUUCUUUUCAGGUGAGAUUAAUUUAACUUAAAUUAGAAAAUCUUAUCUUUUUUUAAUAUUAUUUAAAUAAAAUCUGUCUAUCUUUCAUUUUAUCUGUCUACUUUCUACCCAUUAAUUAAGACUUUUCGAUUUCUUUUUGCCUAAGAUUUUCAUUGACUAUCUUUCAAUAAACCAUAAAAAUUACUGUGUCAUUUAUCGAUUAGAUGACCAUAUUUCAAAAUAUCAACAAUAAGUUGCUCUUAAAUAUUUCAUUAAUUGUUGAAGAAUUGUGAUCAGUGUGGACAUCUACAUAAAAAUUAUAUUGAAACACAGCUAAAAGAUAAAAAAAAAUAAAAUAAAUAGCAAUACACUAAAAUGUUUUAGUUGUCGUUAGUUUUCAGUUUCAUUACUUAAGUCCCACGUGCAUAAGUCACGUGACUGAGGUCAAAAAAAUGAUUGUCACAUUAAAGUUCGAGGUACCGAGAGGGGUAAUUAAGGAGUGGAGCUAUUGACACCCCUAGAUUAAUCUUACAAAACCCCACUUUAAAUAAAAUUACAAUUAAGGACAAUUGAAAAUUAAACAAUUAUAGAUUUUUUUUUACAGUAAAUUACUUAAUUCAUAAUCAAUCCUUUUUAAAAAAAAAAAAUUAUAUGUUACGUCCUAUCUAACUAAAAUAAAUUGUACAAAUUUAGAAUAAUCUAUUAUUCUCUUUUGAUUUCUUAUUGAUUAAAUAUUUUUAUACUUAAAAUUGCUUUGAAAUUAUAAUUUGAAAUAUGUGUUAUUUCAGCCAAUGAUUAAUACAAAAAAAUUAUCACCCAUAUAAUUUUUUAAUUUUUUUGUAGGGUAAUAAUAAAAUUGAAAAUAAUUAAAAAAAAUAGCACAAUAAUGAGUUUUUACAAUAAAACAAAUCAAAUAAAAAUUGAAAAUUUAGAAAAGUGUAUCUAAAAAAAGGGGCAUUUUUAAAAAUAAAAUGAAUAUAACUAAAAAGGAGGUUUUAUGAGGGGAUUAGAGGGGUGCCAAUAGUCCAACUCUUAUAUUUAAAGCUAUUUUGACUUUGUAUUUCCAAUGAUAUAUUUAUUAGGUAAUUUUUAAUUGAGUCAUUAUUUGUAGAAAAGUUUUCUGAGGCCAGAAGUUUAUAAAAUGAAUCAAUUAAAUCCCUCUAAGUAUAAAUUUAUGUCAUUCAAGUCUUUAACUUAAUUUCUUCAUUAAAAUUAUUAACAACAUCUAGGACAUUUUAGUUAAAAAACAAUUAAGCACCUUCUCAUUCUUUAUUUUUGACAAUUGACAAUAGUUUAAAGUAAAUUCAAGUAACCUAAAUUAAUGUUCUUUUAAAAAAAAAGGUUAGUUAAUGUGCAGGCAAGCAAUAUCACUUCAUGAACUGCACAUGUCUGAUUUCUUUUGAUACAAGUGGAUUUCUUUUAUAUAUAUUCAUUAUGUUAUCAAAUGAAUUAAUAAAUUGAUGAUCCUAGUGAUGUGUAGGCAACCAAUAGGACAUCACUAGUUAUACAUAUUUGAUUUGAUCGUGAAAUCCUAUAGAUUAAUUGUUUUUAAUAAAAAGAAAUUGAAGUCUUUUUUUUUUUCAUUUUUGGAAGGCAUGGAAUUAGCCCACAAUCUCAAUAAGUAGAUGUUAAUGAACAAGCAGUUGGCAAUAAUUCUGAACAUGCGAAUUAGACUUCAAUCAAUGUCGCUCAACCUGUGGGACAACAUACACAAAUUUUAUGGGUUGUACCUCAACCUCAAAAUGAAGAACCUAUGUUUUCGACAAGGAGUAGAAUAGUACAAUAUUUGCCUUGGGCUGGCAUUUAAUUCUCCAUCAUAGAAUCUAGAAGACAAUUAUCUAUUUCUUGUACUUGAAUUUCAGUUUACCUUAAUGUUGUCAAGGUGUUUGUUAGUUUCAAUUUAAUUGACUUUCAUACUUUUAGUUUCAUUUUUAGACCGAAUGUUAUUGUGGCUUUUCUAAUAUUAUAUUCAAUACAUGUUAUUUAGUUUAACAAUCAUCAUAUAUCUUAUAGACGUGAUGGAAUUAUAUGGAUAGGAAAUUACAUUUUCAUGUGUAAUUCCAAGAGUUAUGAUGGUUAUGUUUUUUAAUGGUGCUCUCUAUAUUUGAAUUAGUUUAAAAAAACUGACUAAAGAUUUUGUUUAAAUUGUUGCAGAGUUUUGUUCCCGGUUGCUCAAAUGGGUAAAACAGGCUGUUAGACUCGAAAAAAAAAAAAUUAAUGCCUAAAGGUAAAAUUGUACUUAAAGUCAUUAAUAUGAUAUAUAUGGGAAUAUAGUUAUCUUUUUAUGUUUAAAUUAACGUUUUCACUAACUUUUAUGACAAAAGAAUUAGCUGAAAAAUCUGAAAGAUAUAAAUUUAUAUUUAAAAAGGUUUAAUUGAUUCAUUUUAUGAACUUUUGGUCUUUGAAUUUUUUUUCUAUAAAUAAUAAGGACUCAAUUAAAGAUCACCCUAUUUAUUCUUGGCUGUUUAAAAAAACAAAAGAGAUGACUAGAGUUGAUCACUUUGACUAUAACGUGGGUCAUAUUGGUUGUUCUUAUAAUGGCAUGUCGAAUUUGGGAUGACUAUUACGUUGAGGGCUUGAGGUGGGAUUUCUUUCAGCUUAAAAAAAAAAAGUAUGCCGCCAAAAUUUUGCUUAGAAAGUUAAAUGUACCACUGUCAAAGGACAAUCUCACCUCUUACCAUUAACUUCGACCGUUAAAUCUGCUAUAUUUAACUAGUUUUGACCUAUGCAAUAAUUUUUUCUUAUAAGUUGUGUCAUGUGUGGAAGCUCUUUUCUAAAAAUAGAAAGGUAAAUUUGUUUUUUUUUUUUUCGGUAAGAGAUGGAAGUGGUUUUCUAAAAGUAAAGAGAUGAACUUGUUCUUUUCUUAAAAGUUUCGGGGCUAUAAGUCUCUUAACCUAAAGUUAUAAUUAUAAUUGCACUAAUAAUACAAUAAAUUUUUUAUAAAUAAAUAUUUAAGAAAUUAAUAACUUUGGGUGAAUAACAAACUUCUCCUCCCCCCCCCCCCCCGGAACUUGCACUAUAUUAAAUUAGUAAAUUUAUUAAAUGCAUAUGAUAAUAUAUUUUUUAAAUUCAUUAAGGCCCAAUGAAAAUAUAAAUUAAUAAUUAAUCAAAUACAAAAAUUAAUAACUACUAAAAUAUAAAAUUUAUAACAUUAAAGAAAUUUUUGUUUUUCUUACAACUUCAAUCAUCUAAAUUAAACUCUUUGCAAAUAUAUGCAUAUAGAGUUGUUUUUUUUUAAUCCUAAAUUGAAUUCAAUCUCCUUUCUUAAUUUUUCUUUUUUUUUUCUAGAGCAUACACCACAUUUAGUAUAUAUAAAACUUUUUUUUUCAUGUUUUAGAAAGUAGUUAUUUAAGAUUAUUAUUGCUUGAAAGACAUCUUUUGUAUAAACAUUUGGUAAAACAUAAUUAUCAUUUGAAUCAUGAUUGUCAUCAACAGAGUUAUCCAAUACCCUUUUAAUAAUCUGUUGAAUCAGUGAGUGAUUCCAUCACUACAUCUAUGCUAUUAUGGAUAGUAGUCAUCGGAGGAGAUGUCGUUGACAUGAGGAAGUACGAUUUGUGUUUAUUUAAAAGUAAAAAUAUUGAUAAAACUCUUCCUAAAAAUAAAAUAACACAGUUCUGUUUCUAAAUUAAUAAAUAUUCAUUUAUCAACAAAUUAAUAAAUUAUUAAAAUUUAUAAAUAAAUAACUUCUCUAAAAUAAUUUUUUUUCUUAGUCCUAGCAAGUAGCAAUGUUAUUUUAUAGAGGUUUUAUUUUAGUAAUAACAAUAAUAUAAUAAUAAUAAUUAUCAUUAUAUAUAAUAUUUACUAUUAUGAUAGUUAUCAUUAUAAUCAUGAGAAGAAUUUCAUUAUUUUAAAAGGGGCAAAUUUUAAUUUUUAAAAACUAUGAGAAGAAUUUCAUUAUUUCCAUUAGUUUCAUUCUCAUACACACACACACACACACAUAAAGAAAUCAAUUAUUCACAUUUCCCUAUCCAACAAAUAAAUACUGUAAAUUAUUAUUUUUUUAAAAGAAAAAUAUCAAAACGGUGUGGGUCCCAGCAUAAUCCUUCUAACCUACCGGCUCCCUGUCGGAAAAAAAAAAAGAGAAAAUGUUUUUAUUAAGAAAAAAACAAAACAGAACGUAGAAGUAGGAGCAAGCAGGCCGCGUGGCAAACCCCUGUGGGUACCACCAUACGACUUCUAAGUUCUCACCUCCCUGCUUUUCCUCCCGGGCUUGUCCUUCCCUGGGGCGGUGACAUGCGUACCCACAAAAAAAAAAUUAUCUUUCUGUAUUUUUGUAUUAUUCUUUUUCUCCGCUCAUUUUGAAUUACACUGGCAAGUAUAAAAACGACACGCGUCCCACCUAAAGUCGUGAAUGUGAAAGAAGAUUUUGUAGGACUGCCGCACUAUUUGAGCAUGCCGUAUUGAAUAACGAAGCAGUCAGUGAAGACGUAGCUGAGCGGACUUGAGAACUAAGCUUGUGACGUGGAAGACAUAUUGCAUGAGUUUGCAGCUGAGGCUUUGCGGAGGAAGUUGGUUUUUGAACCAGCCGAUCUCGUUCAACCUCGUGCAAGUAAGUUGUGGAAGCUCGUUCCUACCUGCUGCACUAAAUAAUGUGAGGUUUGUCGUUGUCAAACAGAAUCAAGUUAUAUUAUUAUUGUGAUCCUUAUGAGCUUGGAAAAUGGGCAAGCCUUUCUGCAGUUUGACCGUUAUUUAUAUGUCAGAGAAAGAGUUUUGGGUUUGAUUUUGAUUUUGAUUUGUAUUUUUUGUCAGUUUAUUGAAAUUUUUUUGUUGUAUAAAAAUUUUAAUUGUCCAAUGAAAACCUAUCCAUUUUUGUCAAAUUCAGAUACAAAUACAGUUUUAAUUGUCCAAUGAAAAUGUGUCAUCAUCAGUGCAACCAGUUAAACAAUCCUUGCGUUGACAUUUUGACCGGAGGGGACAUGUUUUCUGAUCCUCUUUCUGAGUUAGUGACCAGAAAUAUUGUACCUGAAGGGGCUACUUGCUUGAUUUCUUGGACCAACCUGUUGUCGAACAUCAUGGUGGGUCGAAGCUGAUAAAAAAUCUUCUUCUACACAGGAUGGAAUAUUUCCAGCUAGCAGUGCCCUGCAGUACGUAAACUGUCUAGAGUGGCAUGGUAUAGUACUGCUCUUCUUGUGUUGUUUUCAACUUUAAUGUCAUACCAGGUUCAUCGUGUUUAUGGAGUAAAUUCUAGAAGUUCAACAAAUUUUGCUUUGCAAAAUGUAUAACUUAUUAAUCAGAGUCCUGUUAUGAUGAUUUGACGCUGACUGAACAUAUUCUGUUGGUAAUUUAUUUGCACUUUUCUUGGUUGAAUUAUUUGCUGGCUCCACGCGGUUACUAGGCCAGUAUUUUUAUGAUUUAUCGAUGGAAAGGUCUUCACAUAUUAAAUUCAACCUCAUAAGUGUAAGACUGACUGAUUCUGUGCAAAUUUUCAGGAAAAGAAACUAGACUUUAUGGAAGCAAUGAAGCUGAAAAGGAUAGACCUUUAUUGUCAAUUGGAACUGAUCCUGCCUCUAUAAAUCCAAAUGGAUUGCUUGAUGAAUCUUAAAUAGGAAGACCAUGUAGAGUAGCAAGCAAUCUUGCUUUACUUGGCCAAGUUUUCCUACAAAUAUUGUCAGUGCAAUUGGCGUUGAGAAUAGUGAUGAUAGUGUUUUAGACUUCUGGAAUAUUACUAGAAUCAGAGAGGGUUGUUCUGGUGCCAGGUGCGAUGUUUGUGCAGAAACUAAGGUGCCUGCUCGUGCCUCCUUUACUGUGUCUUCAGUUGGAGCUUCACAAUCCCCUUUGUUGUAUUCUCAAUGCAGAAGAAAGGUUUGCAGAGUUUGUUGUGCAGGAAGAGGAUCUCUACUGUUUUCAAAUUAUAAAUCAAGGGGUGUAAAAUGGCUUCUCAAGUCAGGGUGGACCAAGCCAUGGCAGCCAAGUUGAUGUAUUUACCAGUCGUUCACUAUCACUGGAUGGCAUAAUCUGUAGACAAUGCUGCCAUGAGAUUGUGCUUGAUGCAUGUUGGGCUAUGUUAGGUUCUUGACUAGCUUGGGAAGAAGUGCCGUUGCAGAAAAUGCAGCUUAUAAUGCUUGGAACGAGGUUGUUGGAUCUUUCUUAAAGGAUAAUCUUUCUGAAAGGAUUCAGUCUUAUGAUAAUGAGCAAGCUGUCAAAGUCCUUCACCAAUUAUAUGGAGAGUCAUUUUGUAUCAGUGAAAUCCAAUAAAUGAAGGAAUCACUUGCUGAAUUUCCAUUUGCUAGCUUUUUGCACUCGGUAUGUUCUUGGUUUGUACUCGGUUCUCAUCAAAUUAUGUUUUCCCUUUGCCUCUUUAGGUUAAAUUUAUUUUCCUGGUUAGAAUCUGUAGAAAUAUAUUUUAGCAUUUAAGCUUUAUGAUAUAUGCCCAGAACAUUCCUCUCACUUAUCCAUGGAAAUCCCUGUCUGGUUUAAUUUUCAAUUGAGAUAUUUUUGUGGACCCUGAGUGGGUUCCAUAUGCUAAUCAUCUUUAAGGUAAGGCGAUGGAGAAUGCCUUGAGAAGCUAAAAACCUAUUACAAGGAAAAGCUCUUGCAUUGUUUUGUGCAAUCUGUGUGCUACCGAGUCACGUCUCUAAUAAUUUCAAAGUUUGCUUGAUUGGAAUUUUUUAUCUUGGUAUGAUUGUUUAUUUUAGAUUCCUUGGUGCCACUGUAGGU